rnacentral:lncRNA from 1 species
AAGACGGGAGGACAAAAGGGAAGGUGGUAUGUGGAUGCAUGCCGGGCAGGGUGAUCUGCGCAGAACAUUCAGGCCCGUUGUCCCUCCACUGCACGGAGCGGGGAGUGAACGCUGCUCGGUUGCCCGCCUGACGCGGUGCCCCCCUCACCAUCGCCCGCGAAACCCCACCCUCCGACGAGGUUCCACUGGCGACUCCAUGCUUGGAGUGGGCAGGCCCUCCACACCCCUCCGCAGGCCCGUGCCCGGCGCCCCCACAUCCUCACCCUCCUUCCCCCGCGGUCAGGUUACAAGCGGACGCUACCCCGCCCAGACAUCUGCGUGUCUUCCUCCCUCUCUCUACAUACCUUUCACCACUGCAUACUCCAAAACAUAUGGCGCUAUCUUCCCUCCUCCACCAACCCCGCUCCCUAUCCCCACGGGUCCCCGCGGACACUGCCCCCUCGCCCACUAUCCCACGCCGCUCUACCCUCUCUUCCCCACGCCCCUGGGUCCGUAACCCCGCCGCACCACCGAGCGGAAUCUCAUCUCCUUCGGGACUGCGGCGACAUCACAGCCCCAGCACCCUGCACCACACCCGCGUCUUCUCUCCCAGCAAACUCUACAGCUGCCGCACCCGCCUCACACCCCAAGAAACGUGAAGCCGCCACGAAAUUGUUUUUCUCGUUGCAUUUGAGUCACUGAAAAAUGUCACAUUGGUUUAUCUGUCGUGCAGGAUGGGGUGUUUGGGUGUUUUAUAUUGUAAUGCUAUACAAUCACUUGUGUUCCAUUUGGUAUUGGAUGCAUGAUUUACGUGAGGCACUGAAGUAAACAUGAAGGAUGAAUAAAUCUAUACGGGGAUCAGAAUAUGAAUGCCCGUCGAAAACUGGAUUUUUCUUUCUUGAGUGGGCAGGACGGAUCAAGCAAGCAGUGUAGACUUCUUCAAUCGGCAGGUAUACAGAAAAAUAAAGAAAAAACGGAGGCAGCAAUUGGAAGCACCGACAGUUGCUGUCUAAAGUCCGUCUGGAAAACUUGUGAGAGGCGUCCAUGAAAAGGGGUCCCGGAAGCAACGUUCUCUGUGCUAUCAGAGCCAGGUUUCGGUCCUCCGACCUAUGGGUUAUGGGCCCCACCACGCUUCCGCUGCGCCACUCCGAUUUUGACACCUCGGGAUAGUAUAGUCAUUCAUAGAGCAUUUUACUCUACUACUGAUCGACAUGGGCUUCGUGUGUUUACGUGUAUUUCUUUGGUGUUGUUAAUUUUGCUGCCUGUCCCUUCACACAUUAUGAUGGAUUGCUGGUUUCAAUUGGUAUCUCUCUUGCACCCACACAUAAAACAAACAUAUAAAUAACUUCUAAUGCAUAUGCAAACACACACCCUCUUCAGUUGAUUUUUUUCCAUUGGCUCGUUACGUGUAAUACUGUUGGAAUUGUAACACAUCUGGAUUUUCUUUGUGCAACCAAAUUACUCUUGGCUAGUAUGUAAUCAAUAUUGUCUCCACUUAGGUUGAAUUUAGUUUUGCUAUUGCAAUUUCUUUUUACCAAAAAGAAUGAAGAAUGUGCAUUUGGAAUCCAAUGCACAACUUGAGUGAUCAUGGAAAUGUAUUUUCUUCUUAAAUUUAAGACAAUAAUGUCCAUGUCAACAAAGGCUCUCAAUCUACUAAUGUACGUAUCAUGUCAUUGAAGUUGGACAAAGAUAUCAUCAUCUAAGUUAAGAAUCUUCUUUCUAUUUUGUUAGAUAUAUUCAUGUGUUGCAUUGUCAUUACAUAUAUAUUCAAGUGUUUGAACCAACAAUGAAAUCAUAUGGUCUAAUUUCACAUUGUACUUCUUUACCUAAGAUAUAACAUUAGCACAUGCAUUUUUUGUAUUGUUGUUGCUAUUUUUUAGACAUUUUGGAUCACCCUUCCAAAGUUACUUCUUUAUAUAGACUUUUUACUUGCUUUUGGACUUAUCUCUAUCAACAUGAUAAAAACCAUUAAAUUUCAUUUCCCAAAAGAGUCUUGUAAUGACUCUUUUGAACUUAUAAAGUUGGAAUACUUUAAACCAACAACUUAAGGUUUUUCAAGAAUCUUAGAGGGGCUUUUAUAUAUAUAUAUAUAUAUAUAUAUAUAUAUAUAUUGGUAGAGAAAUAAGAUUUUCUUGUAUUCCAAAAGAAAAAAAUUACAAAAGCCAUAGUAGUUUAAUUGAUAUAAAAUUUCAAAUGGCUAUACACUUUGAGCCCUUGAACCAACACAUAGACUUAGCCAAAACCAUUCAUAAUAACACAUCAAACUACUACCUCCAUCAUACUAAACCACCAACUUCAUCUUUGUAAAGUUUGCCAAUCAUUGGUGGGCUUGGAAUGAACUUGGAAUCUUUCUAUAAGAAGAAUGGUUGAUUUUGGAUUUGUACAAGGGCGGCUUUUAACAAGGUCUAUGGAUUUAUUCAAGGGCGUGAUAUGAUUUAAGACAUUUCAAUGUUAAACUUCAACCAACUUCUUCCUCAUCUCUCUUAUAAUCCUAUAUUAUAAUGGUUUGUUGUAUCAUAUAAAUUCAUAUUAUUUGAAAUAAAACCAUAAUAUAAAAAUAGGUCUAACAAAAGCAUACACCUUAAUAUGAAUCAAAGAAAGAGAUGAAUGAAAAGUAAUAUUUUGAACUAAAAAUAGAUAUUUUAAAUAUAAUGUCAUGCCUUUUGGAUUCACCAAUGCAUUUUUGAAGCAAAAGUUUAAGCUUAUUGUAAGAUAAGAUAAUUUUUUUGUAGAUAUGUUAUCAAGAAUAAGGUAUUACAAUAAAUAAAGGUAUGAUUUAGAUAUUGAUUUAAAAGAUAUUGAUUUAGAGGAUGAUAUCAAAAUAAUUUUUUUUCCAAUGCAUUAUUAAAAAAAGAAGGUAUUUGUUUGAAUAAACAAUUGAAAAUAUUUUUAUGAAAUUCAUAUGAAAGUGAAUAGAAAGAUAUUAGGAAGUAUCUCUAAAUACUUGAAGGUUGGACAGUGAAAAAAGUAGCUUAUAAAAGCAUUUUGAAUACAAUGGUGAAGUUAGAUUUAUCAAAAAUUGCUUUCUUGACCACUUAUAAGAGCCAUCAGCCUUAGUAAUGAGAUUUGCUUUUGGAUGAAUGAAGGCCAUAGAUCUAGAUUAGAAAUCUUAAAAAUCAAGGGUAGAGAUGUAGCCACCCUUCUACAAGCCUCCACUCAUUUGUAUAAGAGAGGCUUGGGUUUCCAAGCCUCUCUCUCUCCUCUUUUGGAUGAAGGGCGAAGCCACACCAAAAUUUGGUCAAAACCCUAAUCUUAAUUUUGUUUAGACUUAAAAUCUCAUUGUGAACCUUAUGAUUGUGUAUGUAUGGAUUUUUGAUUGCAAAUAAGGGUCAUUAAGUUUUAAAAGAUGCUUCAUUGAGAUAGAUAGCUCCCUCGUCCUCCUCAAAUAUCCCAAGGGUUUCAAGGGCCUCGGAUUAUCCUCAAUCAGUCACUCAGUUUCUUUUUUUUUGAUGUGAAAUUCCAAAAAGUUGUAGCUUUUGUUGUUAGCUUUCCAACAAGAUAAGACUUGCUUGAUUUGGAGUAAGAAGGAAUUUUUGUUGAAUUUUUGAGUGUGAGGGAGUCGACUGCCUUUGCAGUUUGGAUUAAUCGAGUUCGGAAAGGUAUUUCUCAGUGCUUGAUAAUUGGCUUCAUUUGAAAUUUUGGGAGCAUCAAGCUUUAUAAGUUAAGCUCUGAAAAGCACAAGUUUUGUUAGAUUUGAAGACAAUAUGAAGUUUUAGUGAAUUUCUAAGUGAAGAGGGUUGGUCACUAUGGCAGUUUAGAUCACUCAACUUAAAGGGAGGAAUCCUCACGAUUGAAUCAUUAGAUUGCAACGAGAUUUGUUGGAUCAAGAACGUCUUUAAGUUGGCCUUGCAACAAGCUAAGAAUCAUUCAAAUCGAAGCUGAUUACAAAUUUUGGCAAAUUUUGGAAUAGAAGGGAGACGCUACCUUCAAUCCUUGCGUAUUGUCAAGAUACCUCUACUUUCAUCUCUCUUAUUUUAUUUUUACUAUUACCUUCACAGUGAAUUGUAAUCUCCACAUUUCACUUUUUGGCUAAUAAGUUUUAACUUUUAACCUUUAAUAUUUUCACUUUAACUUUUAAUUUUAACUUUUAACUUUAUAUUUUAAACUUAAUUUUUAAUUUUUACUUUUUAAUUUAACCCUUUUAAAUUUAACUUUUAACUUAACCUUUUUACUUUUACUUUUUACUUUUAACUUUAAUUUUUCAACUUAACUUUUUAAUUUUAACUUUAACUUUUUAAUUAACUUUUAACUUUAACUUUUAAUUCAAACUUAAGUUUUUAUUUUUAUUGUCAAUCAAUAAUAACAACUUAAUUAAUUAUUUUUUUACUCUGUUUGUAUAGUAAAUUUUAUUUAAUAUUUUAAUUUAAUGUCAGUAAGCAUUGUUUGAAAGGCGUUAAUUUGAAUUGAACUAUAAACAUCUACAUUUAAAUUCACUCAACAAUUUCACAAUUGGAAGUCCCUCCAUUCCAUCCCUUGAUUUAAGGUGGAUAUUGAGAAAAGGUUGGUGAGGAGAGGAGGUUUUAGCAUCUAGUGGGAUUUUGCUUGAAUAAAAGUGUGUGUGUGGAGGAUUAUUGGAGUUUUAGAUAGUAAGAUUCAAGACUAGUUUAGGAUUUUUUUUAUACCUUUUACUACAUUUUCACCUUUUUGUAUCAAAAUUUUGAAAAAAGUUAAAUCUCAUCGUAAGCUUUUCAAUAAACCUUAGCAUAAUAAGAGGGAUCUGUCAUAAUUAGUGGGUAGAGGAUUGUUGGAGUUUUUGGUAGCAAUGUUGUGUGAUAACAUGACCAUAUAGUAAAUAGUAAAAGUAUAGAUGGUAUCAUUAAAGAGCCUAGUAGAAUGACCUAGUAGAAAAAUAAGAAAAAAUGAUAGAAAGGUAGUAAAAGAUUUUGUCUUAAUGUUGUCUUUUUUGUAGAAGGGACCUCUAUUUACUUUGUAGAGGCAUAAAUGAGCCAAAUCAAAGUAAAUGAAAUAAAAAUAUUAUAGCAAUGUAUAAAAAAGAGUUAAGAAUAGAUUUUAGCAAAAUUAACCUCAAGAAGCCAAGAAUUGAUAUUCAAAGAGGAUUGGUUGUCAACCUAGGUCGAAAUCAAACCUCAAGGCACAAAACCAUGCACCUACAAAGACUUUAGAGUUCUUUGGUUGAUCAAAGAACAAAAUUUAAGAGAAGACUUGAGAAGAGAUUUUUGAACAUUACAUUGAUGUCAAUUGAUUCAAUGCUGAGUUUUUGAGGGAUUUUCAAAAUAUGUAAGGUUCUUUAUUGGUUUAGAUUUUUGAAAAAUAAAAAUAUGCUUAUAAAUUUGAAGGUUUCUUAAGUUCUAUGCUGUGUAUAUUUAGACUAGGAUUUAAGGCCAAAAUUUGGCAUGGCUUUGCCCUUCAUCAAAAGAGUAGAAAGAAAGGGCAUGGAGGACCAAGCCAUUCUUAUACAAUUCAGUGGUGGAUUGUGGAAGGGCGGCCACAUAAUUCAUUGAUCACUAAGAUUCCUAAUAUAGAGCUAAAAGAUUCAAGCUAAUUUGUAGAUGCAAGUUUUGAGAAUUGCGGCUUUAGUAAGUGGCUAAAUUUUUGCUUAGUUUGGCUCUCAGUUUUUUUGAAAUUUGUUUGUUGACUCUGAAAUUUUAAAGUUUGUAAUUUGAUUUUAGCUCAGUAAAGAGCUUACCAGGGGAAGAUCUNNNNNNNNNNNNNNNNNNNNNNNNNNNNNNNNNNNNNNNNNNNNNNNNNNNNNNNNNNNNNNNNNNNNNNNNNNNNNNNNNNNNNNNNNNNNNNNNNNNNCUUUUAGCUCUAUUUUAGGAAUCUUAGUGAUCAAUGAAUUAUGUGGCCGCCCUUCCACAAUCCACCACUGAAUUGUAUAAGAAUGGCUUGGUCCUCCAUGCCCUUUCUUUCUACUCUUUUGAUGAAGGGCAAAGCCAUGCCAAAUUUUGGCCUUAAAUCCUAGUCUAAAUAUACACAGCAUAGAACUUAAGAAACCUUCAAAUUUAUAAGCAUAUUUUUAUUUUUCAAAAAUCUAAACCAAUAAAGAACCUUACAUAUUUUGAAAAUCCCUCAAAAACUCAGCAUUGAAUCAAUUGACAUCAAUGUAAUGUUCAAAAAUCUCUUCUCAAGUCUUCUCUUAAAUUUUGUUCUUUGAUCAACCAAAGAACUCUAAAGUCUUUGUAGGUGCAUGGUUUUGUGCCUUGAGGUUUGAUUUCGACCUAGGUUGACAACCAAUCCUCUUUGAAUAUCAAUUCUUGGCUUCUUGAGGUUAAUUUUGCUAAAAUCUAUUCUUAACUCUUUUUUAUACAUUGCUAUAAUAUUUUUAUUUCAUUUACUUUGAUUUGGCUCAUUUAUGCCUCUACAAAGUAAAUAGAGGUCCCUUCUACAAAAAAGACAACAUUAAGACAAAAUCUUUUACUACCUUUCUAUCAUUUUUUCUUAUUUUUCUACUAGGUCAUUCUACUAGGCUCUUUAAUGAUACCAUCUAUACUUUUACUAUUUACUAUAUGGUCAUGUUAUCACACAACAUUGCUACCAAAAACUCCAACAAUCCUCUACCCACUAAUUAUGACAGAUCCCUCUUAUUAUGCUAAGGUUUAUUGAAAAGCUUACGAUGAGAUUUAACUUUUUUCAAAAUUUUGAUACAAAAAGGUGAAAAUGUAGUAAAAGGUAUAAAAAAAAUCCUAAACUAGUCUUGAAUCUUACUAUCUAAAACUCCAAUAAUCCUCCACACACACACUUUUAUUCAAGCAAAAUCCCACUAGAUGCUAAAACCUCCUCUCCUCACCAACCUUUUCUCAAUAUCCACCUUAAAUCAAGGGAUGGAAUGGAGGGACUUCCAAUUGUGAAAUUGUUGAGUGAAUUUAAAUGUAGAUGUUUAUAGUUCAAUUCAAAUUAACGCCUUUCAAACAAUGCUUACUGACAUUAAAUUAAAAUAUUAAAUAAAAUUUACUAUACAAACAGAGUAAAAAAAUAAUUAAUUAAGUUGUUAUUAUUGAUUGACAAUAAAAAUAAAAACUUAAGUUUGAAUUAAAAGUUAAAGUUAAAAGUUAAUUAAAAAGUUAAAGUUAAAAUUAAAAAGUUAAGUUGAAAAAUUAAAGGUUAAAAAGUUAAACUUUAUUAGCCAAAAAAGUGAAAUGUGGAGAUUUAAAAUUCCCUGUGAAGGUAAUUGUAAAAAUAAAAUAAGAGAGAUGAAAAGUAGAGGUAUCUUGACAAUACGCAAGGAUUGAAGGUAGCGUCUCCCUUCUAUUCCAAAAUUUGCCAAAAUUUGUAAUCAGCUUCGAUUUGAAUGAUUCUUAGCUUGUUGCAAGGCCAACUUAAAGACGUUCUUGAUCCAACAAAUCUCGUUGCAAUCUAAUGAUUCAAUCGUGAGGAUUCCUCCCUUUAAGUUGAGUGAUCUAAACUGCCAUAGUGACCAACCCUCUUCACUUAGAAAUUCACUAAAACUUCAUAUUGUCUUCAAAUCUAACAAAACUUGUGCUUUUCAGAGCUUAACUUAUAAAGCUUGAUGCUCCCAAAAUUUCAAAUGAAGCCAAUUAUCAAGCACUGAGAAAUACCUUUCCGAACUCGAUUAAUCCAAACUGCAAAGGCAGUCGACUCCCUCACACUCAAAAAUUCAACAAAAAUUCCUUCUUACUCCAAAUCAAGCAAGUCUUAUCUUGUUGGAAAGCUAACAACAAAAGCUACAACUUUUUGGAAUUUCACAUCAAAAAAAAAGAAACUGAGUGACUGAUUGAGGAUAAUCCGAGGCCCUUGAAACCCUUGGGAUAUUUGAGGAGGACGAGGGAGCUAUCUAUCUCAAUGAAGCAUCUUUUAAAACUUAAUGACCCUUAUUUGCAAUCAAAAAUCCAUACAUACACAAUCAUAAGGUUCACAAUGAGAUUUUAAGUCUAAACAAAAUUAAGAUUAGGGUUUUGACCAAAUUUUGGUGUGGCUUCGCCCUUCAUCCAAAAGAGGAGAGAGAGAGGCUUGGAAACCCAAGCCUCUCUUAUACAAAUGAGUGGAGGCUUGUAGAAGGGUGGCUACAUCUCUACCCUUGAUUUUUAAGAUUUCUAAUCUAGAUCUAUGGCCUUCAUUCAUCCAAAAGCAAAUCUCAUUACUAAGGCUGAUGGCUCUUAUAAGUGGUCAAGAAAGCAAUUUUUGAUAAAUCUAACUUCACCAUUGUAUUCAAAAUGCUUUUAUAAGCUACUUUUUUCACUGUCCAACCUUCAAGUAUUUAGAGAUACUUCCUAAUAUCUUUCUAUUCACUUUCAUAUGAAUUUCAUAAAAAUAUUUUCAAUUGUUUAUUCAAACAAAUACCUUCUUUUUUUAAUAAUGCAUUGGAAAAAAAAUUAUUUUGAUAUCAUCCUCUAAAUCAAUAUCUUUUAAAUCAAUAUCUAAAUCAUACCUUUAUUUAUUGUAAUACCUUAUUCUUGAUAACAUAUCUACAAAAAAAUUAUCUUAUCUUACAAUAAGCUUAAACUUUUGCUUCAAAAAUGCAUUGGUGAAUCCAAAAGGCAUGACAUUAUAUUUAAAAUAUCUAUUUUUAGUUCAAAAUAUUACUUUUCAUUCAUCUCUUUCUUUGAUUCAUAUUAAGGUGUAUGCUUUUGUUAGACCUAUUUUUAUAUUAUGGUUUUAUUUCAAAUAAUAUGAAUUUAUAUGAUACAACAAACCAUUAUAAUAUAGGAUUAUAAGAGAGAUGAGGAAGAAGUUGGUUGAAGUUUAACAUUGAAAUGUCUUAAAUCAUAUCACGCCCUUGAAUAAAUCCAUAGACCUUGUUAAAAGCCGCCCUUGUACAAAUCCAAAAUCAACCAUUCUUCUUAUAGAAAGAUUCCAAGUUCAUUCCAAGCCCACCAAUGAUUGGCAAACUUUACAAAGAUGAAGUUGGUGGUUUAGUAUGAUGGAGGUAGUAGUUUGAUGUGUUAUUAUGAAUGGUUUUGGCUAAGUCUAUGUGUUGGUUCAAGGGCUCAAAGUGUAUAGCCAUUUGAAAUUUUAUAUCAAUUAAACUACUAUGGCUUUUGUAAUUUUUUUCUUUUGGAAUACAAGAAAAUCUUAUUUCUCUACCAAUAUAUAUAUAUAUAUAUAUAUAUAUAUAUAUAUAAAAGCCCCUCUAAGAUUCUUGAAAAACCUUAAGUUGUUGGUUUAAAGUAUUCCAACUUUAUAAGUUCAAAAGAGUCAUUACAAGACUCUUUUGGGAAAUGAAAUUUAAUGGUUUUUAUCAUGUUGAUAGAGAUAAGUCCAAAAGCAAGUAAAAAGUCUAUAUAAAGAAGUAACUUUGGAAGGGUGAUCCAAAAUGUCUAAAAAAUAGCAACAACAAUACAAAAAAUGCAUGUGCUAAUGUUAUAUCUUAGGUAAAGAAGUACAAUGUGAAAUUAGACCAUAUGAUUUCAUUGNNNNNNNNNNNNNNNNNNNNNNNNNNNNNNNNNNNNNNNNNNNNNNNNNNNNNNNNNNNNNNNNNNNNNNNNNNNNNNNNNNNNNNNNNNNNNNNNNNNNNNNNNNNNNNNNNNNNNNNNNNNNNNNNNNNNNNNNNNNNNNNNNNNNNNNNNNNNNNNNNNNNNNNNNNNNNNNNNNNNNNNNNNNNNNNNNNNNNNNNNNNNNNNNNNNNNNNNNNNNNNNNNNNNNNNNNNNNNNNNNNNNNNNNNNNNNNNNNNNNNNNNNNNNNNNNNNNNNNNNNNNNNNNNNNNNNNNNNNNNNNNNNNNNNNNNNNNNNNNNNNNNNNNNNNNNNNNNNNNNNNNNNNNNNNNNNNNNNNNNNNNNNNNNNNNNNNNNNNNNNNNNNNNNNNNNNNNNNNNNNNNNNNNNNNNNNNNNNNNNNNNNNNNNNNNNNNNNNNNNNNNNNNNNNNNNNNNNNNNNNNNNNNNNNNNNNNNNNNNNNNNNNNNNNNNNNNNNNNNNNNNNNNNNNNNNNNNNNNNNNNNNNNNNNNNNNNNNNNNNNNNNNNNNNNNNNNNNNNNNNNNNNNNNNNNNNNNNNNNNNNNNNNNNNNNNNNNNNNNNNNNNNNNNNNNNNNNNNNNNNNNNNNNNNNNNNNNNNNNNNNNNNNNNNNNNNNNNNNNNNNNNNNNNNNNNNNNNNNNNNNNNNNNNNNNNNNNNNNNNNNNNNNNNNNNNNNNNNNNNNNNNNNNNNNNNNNNNNNNNNNNNNNNNNNNNNNNNNNNNNNNNNNNNNNNNNNNNNNNNNNNNNNNNNNNNNNNNNNNNNNNNNNNNNNNNNNNNNNNNNNNNNNNNNNNNNNNNNNNNNNNNNNNNNNNNNNNNNNNNNNNNNNNNNNNNNNNNNNNNNNNNNNNNNNNNNNNNNNNNNNNNNNNNNNNNNNNNNNNNNNNNNNNNNNNNNNNNNNNNNNNNNNNNNNNNNNNNNNNNNNNNNNNNNNNNNNNNNNNNNNNNNNNNNNNNNNNNNNNNNNNNNNNNNNNNNNNNNNNNNNNNNNNNNNNNNNNNNNNNNNNNNNNNNNNNNNNNNNNNNNNNNNNNNNNNNNNNNNNNNNNNNNNNNNNNNNNNNNNNNNNNNNNNNNNNNNNNNNNNNNNNNNNNNNNNNNNNNNNNNNNNNNNNNNNNNNNNNNNNNNNNNNNNNNNNNNNNNNNNNNNNNNNNNNNNNNNNNNNNNNNNNNNNNNNNNNNNNNNNNNNNNNNNNNNNNNNNNNNNNNNNNNNNNNNNNNNNNNNNNNNNNNNNNNNNNNNNNNNNNNNNNNNNNNNNNNNNNNNNNNNNNNNNNNNNNNNNNNNNNNNNNNNNNNNNNNNNNNNNNNNNNNNNNNNNNNNNNNNNNNNNNNNNNNNNNNNNNNNNNNNNNNNNNNNNNNNNNNNNNNNNNNNNNNNNNNNNNNNNNNNNNNNNNNNNNNNNNNNNNNNNNNNNNNNNNNNNNNNNNNNNNNNNNNNNNNNNNNNNNNNNNNNNNNNNNNNNNNNNNNNNNNNNNNNNNNNNNNNNNNNNNNNNNNNNNNNNNNNNNNNNNNNNNNNNNNNNNNNNNNNNNNNNNNNNNNNNNNNNNNNNNNNNNNNNNNNNNNNNNNNNNNNNNNNNNNNNNNNNNNNNNNNNNNNNNNNNNNNNNNNNNNNNNNNNNNNNNNNNNNNNNNNNNNNNNNNNNNNNNNNNNNNNNNNNNNNNNNNNNNNNNNNNNNNNNNNNNNNNNNNNNNNNNNNNNNNNNNNNNNNNNNNNNNNNNNNNNNNNNNNNNNNNNNNNNNNNNNNNNNNNNNNNNNNNNNNNNNNNNNNNNNNNNNNNNNNNNNNNNNNNNNNNNNNNNNNNNNNNNNNNNNNNNNNNNNNNNNNNNNNNNNNNNNNNNNNNNNNNNNNNNNNNNNNNNNNNNNNNNNNNNNNNNNNNNNNNNNNNNNNNNNNNNNNNNNNNNNNNNNNNNNNNNNNNNNNNNNNNNNNNNNNNNNNNNNNNNNNNNNNNNNNNNNNNNNNNNNNNNNNNNNNNNNNNNNNNNNNNNNNNNNNNNNNNNNNNNNNNNNNNNNNNNNNNNNNNNNNNNNNNNNNNNNNNNNNNNNNNNNNNNNNNNNNNNNNNNNNNNNNNNNNNNNNNNNNNNNNNNNNNNNNNNNNNNNNNNNNNNNNNNNNNNNNNNNNNNNNNNNNNNNNNNNNNNNNNNNNNNNNNNNNNNNNNNNNNNNNNNNNNNNNNNNNNNNNNNNNNNNNNNNNNNNNNNNNNNNNNNNNNNNNNNNNNNNNNNNNNNNNNNNNNNNNNNNNNNNNNNNNNNNNNNNNNNNNNNNNNNNNNNNNNNNNNNNNNNNNNNNNNNNNNNNNNNNNNNNNNNNNNNNNNNNNNNNNNNNNNNNNNNNNNNNNNNNNNNNNNNNNNNNNNNNNNNNNNNNNNNNNNNNNNNNNNNNNNNNNNNNNNNNNNNNNNNNNNNNNNNNNNNNNNNNNNNNNNNNNNNNNNNNNNNNNNNNNNNNNNNNNNNNNNNNNNNNNNNNNNNNNNNNNNNNNNNNNNNNNNNNNNNNNNNNNNNNNNNNNNNNNNNNNNNNNNNNNNNNNNNNNNNNNNNNNNNNNNNNNNNNNNNNNNNNNNNNNNNNNNNNNNNNNNNNNNNNNNNNNNNNNNNNNNNNNNNNNNNNNNNNNNNNNNNNNNNNNNNNNNNNNNNNNNNNNNNNNNNNNNNNNNNNNNNNNNNNNNNNNNNNNNNNNNNNNNNNNNNNNNNNNNNNNNNNNNNNNNNNNNNNNNNNNNNNNNNNNNNNNNNNNNNNNNNNNNNNNNNNNNNNNNNNNNNNNNNNNNNNNNNNNNNNNNNNNNNNNNNNNNNNNNNNNNNNNNNNNNNNNNNNNNNNNNNNNNNNNNNNNNNNNNNNNNNNNNNNNNNNNNNNNNNNNNNNNNNNNNNNNNNNNNNNNNNNNNNNNNNNNNNNNNNNNNNNNNNNNNNNNNNNNNNNNNNNNNNNNNNNNNNNNNNNNNNNNNNNNNNNNNNNNNNNNNNNNNNNNNNNNNNNNNNNNNNNNNNNNNNNNNNNNNNNNNNNNNNNNNNNNNNNNNNNNNNNNNNNNNNNNNNNNNNNNNNNNNNNNNNNNNNNNNNNNNNNNNNNNNNNNNNNNNNNNNNNNNNNNNNNNNNNNNNNNNNNNNNNNNNNNNNNNNNNNNNNNNNNNNNNNNNNNNNNNNNNNNNNNNNNNNNNNNNNNNNNNNNNNNNNNNNNNNNNNNNNNNNNNNNNNNNNNNNNNNNNNNNNNNNNNNNNNNNNNNNNNNNNNNNNNNNNNNNNNNNNNNNNNNNNNNNNNNNNNNNNNNNNNNNNNNNNNNNNNNNNNNNNNNNNNNNNNNNNNNNNNNNNNNNNNNNNNNNNNNNNNNNNNNNNNNNNNNNNNNNNNNNNNNNNNNNNNNNNNNNNNNNNNNNNNNNNNNNNNNNNNNNNNNNNNNNNNNNNNNNNNNNNNNNNNNNNNNNNNNNNNNNNNNNNNNNNNNNNNNNNNNNNNNNNNNNNNNNNNNNNNNNNNNNNNNNNNNNNNNNNNNNNNNNNNNNNNNNNNNNNNNNNNNNNNNNNNNNNNNNNNNNNNNNNNNNNNNNNNNNNNNNNNNNNNNNNNNNNNNNNNNNNNNNNNNNNNNNNNNNNNNNNNNNNNNNNNNNNNNNNNNNNNNNNNNNNNNNNNNNNNNNNNNNNNNNNNNNNNNNNNNNNNNNNNNNNNNNNNNNNNNNNNNNNNNNNNNNNNNNNNNNNNNNNNNNNNNNNNNNNNNNNNNNNNNNNNNNNNNNNNNNNNNNNNNNNNNNNNNNNNNNNNNNNNNNNNNNNNNNNNNNNNNNNNNNNNNNNNNNNNNNNNNNNNNNNNNNNNNNNNNNNNNNNNNNNNNNNNNNNNNNNNNNNNNNNNNNNNNNNNNNNNNNNNNNNNNNNNNNNNNNNNNNNNNNNNNNNNNNNNNNNNNNNNNNNNNNNNNNNNNNNNNNNNNNNNNNNNNNNNNNNNNNNNNNNNNNNNNNNNNNNNNNNNNNNNNNNNNNNNNNNNNNNNNNNNNNNNNNNNNNNNNNNNNNNNNNNNNNNNNNNNNNNNNNNNNNNNNNNNNNNNNNNNNNNNNNNNNNNNNNNNNNNNNNNNNNNNNNNNNNNNNNNNNNNNNNNNNNNNNNNNNNNNNNNNNNNNNNNNNNNNNNNNNNNNNNNNNNNNNNNNNNNNNNNNNNNNNNNNNNNNNNNNNNNNNNNNNNNNNNNNNNNNNNNNNNNNNNNNNNNNNNNNNNNNNNNNNNNNNNNNNNNNNNNNNNNNNNNNNNNNNNNNNNNNNNNNNNNNNNNNNNNNNNNNNNNNNNNNNNNNNNNNNNNNNNNNNNNNNNNNNNNNNNNNNNNNNNNNNNNNNNNNNNNNNNNNNNNNNNNNNNNNNNNNNNNNNNNNNNNNNNNNNNNNNNNNNNNNNNNNNNNNNNNNNNNNNNNNNNNNNNNNNNNNNNNNNNNNNNNNNNNNNNNNNNNNNNNNNNNNNNNNNNNNNNNNNNNNNNNNNNNNNNNNNNNNNNNNNNNNNNNNNNNNNNNNNNNNNNNNNNNNNNNNNNNNNNNNNNNNNNNNNNNNNNNNNNNNNNNNNNNNNNNNNNNNNNNNNNNNNNNNNNNNNNNNNNNNNNNNNNNNNNNNNNNNNNNNNNNNNNNNNNNNNNNNNNNNNNNNNNNNNNNNNNNNNNNNNNNNNNNNNNNNNNNNNNNNNNNNNNNNNNNNNNNNNNNNNNNNNNNNNNNNNNNNNNNNNNNNNNNNNNNNNNNNNNNNNNNNNNNNNNNNNNNNNNNNNNNNNNNNNNNNNNNNNNNNNNNNNNNNNNNNNNNNNNNNNNNNNNNNNNNNNNNNNNNNNNNNNNNNNNNNNNNNNNNNNNNNNNNNNNNNNNNNNNNNNNNNNNNNNNNNNNNNNNNNNNNNNNNNNNNNNNNNNNNNNNNNNNNNNNNNNNNNNNNNNNNNNNNNNNNNNNNNNNNNNNNNNNNNNNNNNNNNNNNNNNNNNNNNNNNNNNNNNNNNNNNNNNNNNNNNNNNNNNNNNNNNNNNNNNNNNNNNNNNNNNNNNNNNNNNNNNNNNNNNNNNNNNNNNNNNNNNNNNNNNNNNNNNNNNNNNNNNNNNNNNNNNNNNNNNNNNNNNNNNNNNNNNNNNNNNNNNNNNNNNNNNNNNNNNNNNNNNNNNNNNNNNNNNNNNNNNNNNNNNNNNNNNNNNNNNNNNNNNNNNNNNNNNNNNNNNNNNNNNNNNNNNNNNNNNNNNNNNNNNNNNNNNNNNNNNNNNNNNNNNNNNNNNNNNNNNNNNNNNNNNNNNNNNNNNNNNNNNNNNNNNNNNNNNNNNNNNNNNNNNNNNNNNNNNNNNNNNNNNNNNNNNNNNNNNNNNNNNNNNNNNNNNNNNNNNNNNNNNNNNNNNNNNNNNNNNNNNNNNNNNNNNNNNNNNNNNNNNNNNNNNNNNNNNNNNNNNNNNNNNNNNNNNNNNNNNNNNNNNNNNNNNNNNNNNNNNNNNNNNNNNNNNNNNNNNNNNNNNNNNNNNNNNNNNNNNNNNNNNNNNNNNNNNNNNNNNNNNNNNNNNNNNNNNNNNNNNNNNNNNNNNNNNNNNNNNNNNNNNNNNNNNNNNNNNNNNNNNNNNNNNNNNNNNNNNNNNNNNNNNNNNNNNNNNNNNNNNNNNNNNNNNNNNNNNNNNNNNNNNNNNNNNNNNNNNNNNNNNNNNNNNNNNNNNNNNNNNNNNNNNNNNNNNNNNNNNNNNNNNNNNNNNNNNNNNNNNNNNNNNNNNNNNNNNNNNNNNNNNNNNNNNNNNNNNNNNNNNNNNNNNNNNNNNNNNNNNNNNNNNNNNNNNNNNNNNNNNNNNNNNNNNNNNNNNNNNNNNNNNNNNNNNNNNNNNNNNNNNNNNNNNNNNNNNNNNNNNNNNNNNNNNNNNNNNNNNNNNNNNNNNNNNNNNNNNNNNNNNNNNNNNNNNNNNNNNNNNNNNNNNNNNNNNNNNNNNNNNNNNNNNNNNNNNNNNNNNNNNNNNNNNNNNNNNNNNNNNNNNNNNNNNNNNNNNNNNNNNNNNNNNNNNNNNNNNNNNNNNNNNNNNNNNNNNNNNNNNNNNNNNNNNNNNNNNNNNNNNNNNNNNNNNNNNNNNNNNNNNNNNNNNNNNNNNNNNNNNNNNNNNNNNNNNNNNNNNNNNNNNNNNNNNNNNNNNNNNNNNNNNNNNNNNNNNNNNNNNNNNNNNNNNNNNNNNNNNNNNNNNNNNNNNNNNNNNNNNNNNNNNNNNNNNNNNNNNNNNNNNNNNNNNNNNNNNNNNNNNNNNNNNNNNNNNNNNNNNNNNNNNNNNNNNNNNNNNNNNNNNNNNNNNNNNNNNNNNNNNNNNNNNNNNNNNNNNNNNNNNNNNNNNNNNNNNNNNNNNNNNNNNNNNNNNNNNNNNNNNNNNNNNNNNNNNNNNNNNNNNNNNNNNNNNNNNNNNNNNNNNNNNNNNNNNNNNNNNNNNNNNNNNNNNNNNNNNNNNNNNNNNNNNNNNNNNNNNNNNNNNNNNNNNNNNNNNNNNNNNNNNNNNNNNNNNNNNNNNNNNNNNNNNNNNNNNNNNNNNNNNNNNNNNNNNNNNNNNNNNNNNNNNNNNNNNNNNNNNNNNNNNNNNNNNNNNNNNNNNNNNNNNNNNNNNNNNNNNNNNNNNNNNNNNNNNNNNNNNNNNNNNNNNNNNNNNNNNNNNNNNNNNNNNNNNNNNNNNNNNNNNNNNNNNNNNNNNNNNNNNNNNNNNNNNNNNNNNNNNNNNNNNNNNNNNNNNNNNNNNNNNNNNNNNNNNNNNNNNNNNNNNNNNNNNNNNNNNNNNNNNNNNNNNNNNNNNNNNNNNNNNNNNNNNNNNNNNNNNNNNNNNNNNNNNNNNNNNNNNNNNNNNNNNNNNNNNNNNNNNNNNNNNNNNNNNNNNNNNNNNNNNNNNNNNNNNNNNNNNNNNNNNNNNNNNNNNNNNNNNNNNNNNNNNNNNNNNNNNNNNNNNNNNNNNNNNNNNNNNNNNNNNNNNNNNNNNNNNNNNNNNNNNNNNNNNNNNNNNNNNNNNNNNNNNNNNNNNNNNNNNNNNNNNNNNNNNNNNNNNNNNNNNNNNNNNNNNNNNNNNNNNNNNNNNNNNNNNNNNNNNNNNNNNNNNNNNNNNNNNNNNNNNNNNNNNNNNNNNNNNNNNNNNNNNNNNNNNNNNNNNNNNNNNNNNNGUUAUUUUUUUGAGCUCUUGCUAGAAAAUUAUAAGAUAAAUUAGAUGUUUCUUUUGAAGACAAAAAAUAAAGAAAAAAAAUGAUUGACAACAAAGUAAAAAGAUGUUGAAGAUGUUGUAGAAUUGAUUUCAUAUCAAGAAAUAAAAAAGAUAGGUUUAGUACUCAAAAAAUAAUAUAAAUAUUUAGAACCUAAGUACCUACUAUUUAAUUAACAAUGUCUAUUGUUCAACCACUAAUAGCUUUAUUAAAAGAAGAAGAUAUAGAAGUUGAGGAGAUUCUAUAUAGAAUGUGGGAUCUUCAAAUCAAACUUACUAAGCUUGAAAAGAAGACUUCUAUAAAUAAUUUAAAUACUAUUUUUAAAUAAAUACAUAUACAAAUAUAUAUUUGAUGCAAUGAUAUUUUUUACUUUUAAAAAGAUUGUGAUAAAUUUAAUGAUUUAUUAUGGCAAUGAAUUUUUUUUUCAAAGAAUACAAAAAUAAUAUUAAAAGAUAUAAAAAAUCUUCUUCAAACCAACUUUGAUAAAAAAUAUAAAAAAAUAUUGGUCUCAGAUUAUUUAAUAAUACAUGGACUUUUAGCAUUAGAGGCCAUAAAUUAUAGUAUCAAGGUGGAUAAUGACUUUAAUAAAAAUAUAGGAAUAAGGAAUUUUGAUCUUAUGCAAAAUCUACAAUGAAAAACAAAAAAAAAAAAAAAAAAAAAAAAAAUGGUGACGAGCAGCAUUGUUAAAAAUUGCUAUUACAAUAAGCUGUACUAUAGAUUGAAAAGAUUAUAUAAAGUUUUAUUUAAUCUAUGCAUAUAUUUCUAAGAGUAAACAAGAAGCUUUGAUGGAAGAAGAAAUGAAAUAAGAUUUUGAUAAUAUAAGAAAAGAAAAUUCUUCUAAGAGACAAAUUUGAGGAGACAAGGCUUAUAAGAUGGUUUCAAAAGAAUUAUCUACAAAAGAUGAUUUAAUAAAAUUGAAGGAGAAAGAAGAAGAAACAAAUAAAAAAAUAAAUCAACAGCUUAUGAUCUACUAUGUAAUCUUGAAGCAACAACAAAUUUAGAGAAGCUUAUUGAUAAAUAUGUAUUUUAUGCUAAAGUUGAAAUCACAUAAAAAGAGAUUUUUGAAAUUGUACUUGAGGUUCUUGUGAUUUGUAUACAUGGUGAUUGGACUUAAGGUGCCUCUAGAUAAUGAUACCAUUCUUAAAAUGAAUGUGCAAUUAUAAGAAGCUCUUUAUAAUAAAUCUCAUAAUUAAUCUUGGCUCUUGAAAAUUUCUUAGAAUAAAAAUCUACUAAGUAGAGCUUGUUAUUUGCACCCAUUUAUAACAAAACAACACUUAUAGCAAAGUUUGAUGCAUUUUUUUUAUUUUUAUUUUUAUUUUUAUUUUUAUAUUUUUAUAAAGAAUGCUUUGAAAAAAUCAACAUGAUACAAAGUUAGUAUAAAAAUAAAUGCUACUGUCAUGGCUAUAAUCAUGUAAGCUAAUAAUUACAUAUAGAAAUAGGUAGAAGUAAGUAAAAGUAGAUAAAAGUAAGUUAAUUCUAUAAUAUUUAAUAUGAAAGCUUCUUAGAAGCUUCCUAGACGCUGCUUUGACUUCAUAGGUGUCUUUAAUUGACUUUUAAGAUUAGAAACGUGGUCAACAAGUUGGCCAUGUGCCACACAUGUUGUUAGCUUGAAGAUCAAGCUAACUAUGUGGCCCACACGUAGAAAAACUUGCCUUGUAAGUCAAGGCAUGUGUCCUACAAAGUCAACACAUAUUGGAGGUCCUAUAGAACGUCGCCACGUAGCCCCUAGUUAGAUAGUAUAUAUACAGACAAGAGUGAAGGCUUCUUCACUCUUGUCAACUCCUUUCUUGCUUUUAGUCUAGUUCAAGGGAUCUCUAGUUUUCUUGUCUUUUGGCAAUAGCCAUUCCAGUUUCUCUUUCAAUAUAUAUACUUGUUUAUAUAUAUUUUGUUACUUUCUUAUGAGUGAAGGCUGACUUGUCUGAAUAGUUUAAUCAUCGAGUUCUUGUCCUUGACAAUAGUAUACAUAGAGACAAGAGUGAAGGCUUCUUCACUCUUGUCAACUCCUUUCUUGCUUCUAGUCUAGUUUCAAGGGUCUCUAGUUUUCUUGUCUUUUGGCAAUAGCCAUUCCAAUUUCUCUUUCAAUAUAUAUACUUGUUUAUAUAUAUUGUGUUACCUCUAUUUGAGUGAAGGCUCACUUGUCUGAAUUAUUUUUUCAACGAGUUCUUGUCCUUGACAGCUAUCUUCAAAGCUCCAAAAGAUGCUUUAGCUUCUUUGUUCCAUCCAAGUAAUCUUAACAUGUAAGAUGUAUAAAACAAUCUGCAACUCUCACAGAAAACUUAAUGAAGAUCUUAUAAUAAUUGAUAAAUUCCAAAAAAUAUGNNNNNNNNNNNNNNNNNNNNNNNNNNNNNNNNNNNNNNNNNNNNNNNNNNNNNNNNNNNNNNNNNNNNNNNNNNNNNNNNNNNNNNNNNNNNNNNNNNNNNNNNNNNNNNNNNNNNNNNNNNNNNNNNNNNNNNNNNNNNNNNNNNNNNNNNNNNNNNNNNNNNNNNNNNNNNNNNNNNNNNNNNNNNNNNNNNNNNNNNNNNNNNNNNNNNNNNNNNNNNNNNNNNNNNNNNNNNNNNNNNNNNNNNNNNNNNNNNNNNNNNNNNNNNNNNNNNNNNNNNNNNNNNNNNNNNNNNNNNNNNNNNNNNNNNNNNNNNNNNNNNNNNNNNNNNNNNNNNNNNNNNNNNNNNNNNNNNNNNNNNNNNNNNNNNNNNNNNNNNNNNNNNNNNNNNNNNNNNNNNNNNNNNNNNNNNNNNNNNNNNNNNNNNNNNNNNNNNNNNNNNNNNNNNNNNNNNNNNNNNNNNNNNNNNNNNNNNNNNNNNNNNNNNNNNNNNNNNNNNNNNNNNNNNNNNNNNNNNNNNNNNNNNNNNNNNNNNNNNNNNNNNNNNNNNNNNNNNNNNNNNNNNNNNNNNNNNNNNNNNNNNNNNNNNNNNNNNNNNNNNNNNNNNNNNNNNNNNNNNNNNNNNNNNNNNNNNNNNNNNNNNNNNNNNNNNNNNNNNNNNNNNNNNNNNNNNNNNNNNNNNNNNNNNNNNNNNNNNNNNNNNNNNNNNNNNNNNNNNNNNNNNNNNNNNNNNNNNNNNNNNNNNNNNNNNNNNNNNNNNNNNNNNNNNNNNNNNNNNNNNNNNNNNNNNNNNNNNNNNNNNNNNNNNNNNNNNNNNNNNNNNNNNNNNNNNNNNNNNNNNNNNNNNNNNNNNNNNNNNNNNNNNNNNNNNNNNNNNNNNNNNNNNNNNNNNNNNNNNNNNNNNNNNNNNNNNNNNNNNNNNNNNNNNNNNNNNNNNNNNNNNNNNNNNNNNNNNNNNNNNNNNNNNNNNNNNNNNNNNNNNNNNNNNNNNNNNNNNNNNNNNNNNNNNNNNNNNNNNNNNNNNNNNNNNNNNNNNNNNNNNNNNNNNNNNNNNNNNNNNNNNNNNNNNNNNNNNNNNNNNNNNNNNNNNNNNNNNNNNNNNNNNNNNNNNNNNNNNNNNNNNNNNNNNNNNNNNNNNNNNNNNNNNNNNNNNNNNNNNNNNNNNNNNNNNNNNNNNNNNNNNNNNNNNNNNNNNNNNNNNNNNNNNNNNNNNNNNNNNNNNNNNNNNNNNNNNNNNNNNNNNNNNNNNNNNNNNNNNNNNNNNNNNNNNNNNNNNNNNNNNNNNNNNNNNNNNNNNNNNNNNNNNNNNNNNNNNNNNNNNNNNNNNNNNNNNNNNNNNNNNNNNNNNNNNNNNNNNNNNNNNNNNNNNNNNNNNNNNNNNNNNNNNNNNNNNNNNNNNNNNNNNNNNNNNNNNNNNNNNNNNNNNNNNNNNNNNNNNNNNNNNNNNNNNNNNNNNNNNNNNNNNNNNNNNNNNNNNNNNNNNNNNNNNNNNNNNNNNNNNNNNNNNNNNNNNNNNNNNNNNNNNNNNNNNNNNNNNNNNNNNNNNNNNNNNNNNNNNNNNNNNNNNNNNNNNNNNNNNNNNNNNNNNNNNNNNNNNNNNNNNNNNNNNNNNNNNNNNNNNNNNNNNNNNNNNNNNNNNNNNNNNNNNNNNNNNNNNNNNNNNNNNNNNNNNNNNNNNNNNNNNNNNNNNNNNNNNNNNNNNNNNNNNNNNNNNNNNNNNNNNNNNNNNNNNNNNNNNNNNNNNNNNNNNNNNNNNNNNNNNNNNNNNNNNNNNNNNNNNNNNNNNNNNNNNNNNNNNNNNNNNNNNNNNNNNNNNNNNNNNNNNNNNNNNNNNNNNNNNNNNNNNNNNNNNNNNNNNNNNNNNNNNNNNNNNNNNNNNNNNNNNNNNNNNNNNNNNNNNNNNNNNNNNNNNNNNNNNNUAUAGCUCUUGAAUUGAAUCUGCUGAUUGUUUGUGCUCCAUCUCCUAAGUACUAAAAAAUCCAAAGAAAUAAUGAUAUAAGAUAGAAUAAAAUUUCUAUUGGGCUUGCUUUGCUUUAUAACAAAGAAUUUUUUGACUCUCCAUGUUAAUUUUGAUGGAUGUUGUUGAUGAAAAGCUUUAACUUUGGCUGAUGCAUUUACUUGAUUCAUGGAUGGCUCCCAUGUGUAUUCGUUAAUGUCAUAUCUAUGCCAAUGUACCAGAUAUUCUAACCUAUUUUGAUGCUACCUUGAAUCUAAGACUUCUUCUACCUCAAAUUCUUCAUUAUUGUCUACUUCUAUAGGAGAUGGUGGCAUUUGACUCCUUCCUUGUAUAUCCAUUGUCUUGUAUGGCUCAAAUAAAGACACAUAGAAUAAAAGGUGGAUUUUCAUAGACUCUAGCAGGUGUAAUCAAUAAGCAACUAGAUUGAUCUGUUCACAAAUAGCAAAUGGUCUAAGUUUACAAUAAUCCAGCUUAUCACAAGGACGAAUAGUUUUAAUAUUACAAUAAAGUAACCAUAUCUUAUCUCUCACAUGGAAUUGAGUUUGUUCUUUGCGAUAGACAUUUGUAUUGGCUUUUUAUCAUUCUUGAGUUUUCUUUAAUUAUGCCUUUAUUGUUACAUGUAGCUCUAACAAUUGAUUUGCCACAUCUUUUGUCACAAGAUUAUCAACUUUUGAAAAGUCAAAAGUAUCAAAUCGUAAAUGAUAACCAUAAUUGGCAAAGAAAGGUAUUUGUUGAGUAGAAGAAUGUACCAAAUUAUUGUAAGCAAAUUCUGCCAAUGGCAAAAGAGUUGUUUAAUCAUCUUGAUGAUAAUUGAUGGUAUACCUCAAACACUGCUCUAAAACUUGAUUUAUCUAUUUUGUUUGUCUAUUAGUUUGAGGGUGGAAAGCCAAAGAUAGUUUUAUAUCCACCUUCAAUAUCUUGAAAAGAGUUUUCUAAAUUCUCGAUAAAAAUUGUGUUCUUUUGUUUGAUAUAAUAUCCCUUCAUAAUCCAUGAUAGCGAUAGAUGUUUCCAAGGAAGAGUUUAGCUAUUCCUUCACUUGUGAUAGAUUUUGUACAUAAUACAAAAUGUGCCAUCUUAGUGAAACGAUCUGCAAUCAUGAAUAUAUAAUCAUUUAAACUUGAAAUUAGAAGAUCCGUGAUAAAAUCCAUAGAGAUAGAAGACCAUGAUUGUUCAAGUAUAGGUAAUGGUUGGGAGAGUCCAUAAGAUUGAUGAUGAAGAGUUUUUGAUCUUGAAUCAAGAUAAUAUGUUUACGCAAAUUCUUAAGCACCUUCUACAUUAGAGGCACUAAAAAUCUCUAGNNNNNNNNNNNNNNNNNNNNNNNNNNNNNNNNNNNNNNNNNNNNNNNNNNNNNNNNNNNNNNNNNNNNNNNNNNNNNNNNNNNNNNNNNNNNNNNNNNNNNNNNNNNNNNNNNNNNNNNNNNNNNNNNNNNNNNNNNNNNNNNNNNNNNNNNNNNNNNNNNNNNNNNNNNNNNNNNNNNNNNNNNNNNNNNNNNNNNNNNNNNNNNNNNNNNNNNNNNNNNNNNNNNNNNNNNNNNNNNNNNNNNNNNNNNNNNNNNNNNNNNNNNNNNNNNNNNNNNNNNNNNNNNNNNNNNNNNNNNNNNNNNNNNNNNNNNNNNNNNNNNNNNNNNNNNNNNNNNNNNNNNNNNNNNNNNNNNNNNNNNNNNNNNNNNNNNNNNNNNNNNNNNNNNNNNNNNNNNNNNNNNNNNNNNNNNNNNNNNNNNNNNNNNNNNNNNNNNNNNNNNNNNNNNNNNNNNNNNNNNNNNNNNNNNNNNNNNNNNNNNNNNNNNNNNNNNNNNNNNNNNNNNNNNNNNNNNNNNNNNNNNNNNNNNNNNNNNNNNNNNNNNNNNNNNNNNNNNNNNNNNNNNNNNNNNNNNNNNNNNNNNNNNNNNNNNNNNNNNNNNNNNNNNNNNNNNNNNNNNNNNNNNNNNNNNNNNNNNNNNNNNNNNNNNNNNNNNNNNNNNNNNNNNNNNNNNNNNNNNNNNNNNNNNNNNNNNNNNNNNNNNNNNNNNNNNNNNNNNNNNNNNNNNNNNNNNNNNNNNNNNNNNNNNNNNNNNNNNNNNNNNNNNNNNNNNNNNNNNNNNNNNNNNNNNNNNNNNNNNNNNNNNNNNNNNNNNNNNNNNNNNNNNNNNNNNNNNNNNNNNNNNNNNNNNNNNNNNNNNNNNNNNNNNNNNNNNNNNNNNNNNNNNNNNNNNNNNNNNNNNNNNNNNNNNNNNNNNNNNNNNNNNNNNNNNNNNNNNNNNNNNNNNNNNNNNNNNNNNNNNNNNNNNNNNNNNNNNNNNNNNNNNNNNNNNNNNNNNNNNNNNNNNNNNNNNNNNNNNNNNNNNNNNNNNNNNNNNNNNNNNNNNNNNNNNNNNNNNNNNNNNNNNNNNNNNNNNNNNNNNNNNNNNNNNNNNNNNNNNNNNNNNNNNNNNNNNNNNNNNNNNNNNNNNNNNNNNNNNNNNNNNNNNNNNNNNNNNNNNNNNNNNNNNNNNNNNNNNNNNNNNNNNNNNNNNNNNNNNNNNNNNNNNNNNNNNNNNNNNNNNNNNNNNNNNNNNNNNNNNNNNNNNNNNNNNNNNNNNNNNNNNNNNNNNNNNNNNNNNNNNNNNNNNNNNNNNNNNNNNNNNNNNNNNNNNNNNNNNNNNNNNNNNNNNNNNNNNNNNNNNNNNNNNNNNNNNNNNNNNNNNNNNNNNNNNNNNNNNNNNNNNNNNNNNNNNNNNNNNNNNNNNNNNNNNNNNNNNNNNNNNNNNNNNNNNNNNNNNNNNNNNNNNNNNNNNNNNNNNNNNNNNNNNNNNNNNNNNNNNNNNNNNNNNNNNNNNNNNNNNNNNNNNNNNNNNNNNNNNNNNNNNNNNNNNNNNNNNNNNNNNNNNNNNNNNNNNNNNNNNNNNNNNNNNNNNNNNNNNNNNNNNNNNNNNNNNNNNNNNNNNNNNNNNNNNNNNNNNNNNNNNNNNNNNNNNNNNNNNNNNNNNNNNNNNNNNNNNNNNNNNNNNNNNNNNNNNNNNNNNNNNNNNNNNNNNNNNNNNNNNNNNNNNNNNNNNNNNNNNNNNNNNNNNNNNNNNNNNNNNNNNNNNNNNNNNNNNNNNNNNNNNNNNNNNNNNNNNNNNNNNNNNNNNNNNNNNNNNNNNNNNNNNNNNNNNNNNNNNNNNNNNNNNNNNNNNNNNNNNNNNNNNNNNNNNNNNNNNNNNNNNNNNNNNNNNNNNNNNNNNNNNNNNNNNNNNNNNNNNNNNNNNNNNNNNNNNNNNNNNNNNNNNNNNNNNNNNNNNNNNNNNNNNNNNNNNNNNNNNNNNNNNNNNNNNNNNNNNNNNNNNNNNNNNNNNNNNNNNNNNNNNNNNNNNNNNNNNNNNNNNNNNNNNNNNNNNNNNNNNNNNNNNNNNNNNNNNNNNNNNNNNNNNNNNNNNNNNNNNNNNNNNNNNNNNNNNNNNNNNNNNNNNNNNNNNNNNNNNNNNNNNNNNNNNNNNNNNNNNNNNNNNNNNNNNNNNNNNNNNNNNNNNNNNNNNNNNNNNNNNNNNNNNNNNNNNNNNNNNNNNNNNNNNNNNNNNNNNNNNNNNNNNNNNNNNNNNNNNNNNNNNNNNNNNNNNNNNNNNNNNNNNNNNNNNNNNNNNNNNNNNNNNNNNNNNNNNNNNNNNNNNNNNNNNNNNNNNNNNNNNNNNNNNNNNNNNNNNNNNNNNNNNNNNNNNNNNNNNNNNNNNNNNNNNNNNNNNNNNNNNNNNNNNNNNNNNNNNNNNNNNNNNNNNNNNNNNNNNNNNNNNNNNNNNNNNNNNNNNNNNNNNNNNNNNNNNNNNNNNNNNNNNNNNNNNNNNNNNNNNNNNNNNNNNNNNNNNNNNNNNNNNNNNNNNNNNNNNNNNNNNNNNNNNNNNNNNNNNNNNNNNNNNNNNNNNNNNNNNNNNNNNNNNNNNNNNNNNNNNNNNNNNNNNNNNNNNNNNNNNNNNNNNNNNNNNNNNNNNNNNNNNNNNNNNNNNNNNNNNNNNNNNNNNNNNNNNNNNNNNNNNNNNNNNNNNNNNNNNNNNNNNNNNNNNNNNNNNNNNNNNNNNNNNNNNNNNNNNNNNNNNNNNNNNNNNNNNNNNNNNNNNNNNNNNNNNNNNNNNNNNNNNNNNNNNNNNNNNNNNNNNNNNNNNNNNNNNNNNNNNNNNNNNNNNNNNNNNNNNNNNNNNNNNNNNNNNNNNNNNNNNNNNNNNNNNNNNNNNNNNNNNNNNNNNNNNNNNNNNNNNNNNNNNNNNNNNNNNNNNNNNNNNNNNNNNNNNNNNNNNNNNNNNNNNNNNNNNNNNNNNNNNNNNNNNNNNNNNNNNNNNNNNNNNNNNNNNNNNNNNNNNNNNNNNNNNNNNNNNNNNNNNNNNNNNNNNNNNNNNNNNNNNNNNNNNNNNNNNNNNNNNNNNNNNNNNNNNNNNNNNNNNNNNNNNNNNNNNNNNNNNNNNNNNNNNNNNNNNNNNNNNNNNNNNNNNNNNNNNNNNNNNNNNNNNNNNNNNNNNNNNNNNNNNNNNNNNNNNNNNNNNNNNNNNNNNNNNNNNNNNNNNNNNNNNNNNNNNNNNNNNNNNNNNNNNNNNNNNNNNNNNNNNNNNNNNNNNNNNNNNNNNNNNNNNNNNNNNNNNNNNNNNNNNNNNNNNNNNNNNNNNNNNNNNNNNNNNNNNNNNNNNNNNNNNNNNNNNNNNNNNNNNNNNNNNNNNNNNNNNNNNNNNNNNNNNNNNNNNNNNNNNNNNNNNNNNNNNNNNNNNNNNNNNNNNNNNNNNNNNNNNNNNNNNNNNNNNNNNNNNNNNNNNNNNNNNNNNNNNNNNNNNNNNNNNNNNNNNNNNNNNNNNNNNNNNNNNNNNNNNNNNNNNNNNNNNNNNNNNNNNNNNNNNNNNNNNNNNNNNNNNNNNNNNNNNNNNNNNNNNNNNNNNNNNNNNNNNNNNNNNNNNNNNNNNNNNNNNNNNNNNNNNNNNNNNNNNNNUUCUGGGAGAGUUCCAUGAGGAGUAGUAAUUACCUGUUGAUGAAGUCUAAGAUGCGCCAAAUUAAAUUUGCCAUGUAUUCUAAUCUUUGUUCCCUUUAAAGGUAGUUGAUAUGUCUUUUCAACCAUCGAUAAUGUCCCAUACCAAGGUGAAAAGACUACCCUGAUAUUUGAUUAUUAUUGAUGCCUUCAUAACUUCCUUCAAACAAAACAUUAGUAAUACCAUUAGGAGUGGUUUUUAGCUCCAAAAGUAUCACUAAACAUCGAAAGUCCUUUCGAAGGUCAGUAAUAUUAAAUAAAAAUGGCUAUUACUAAAGACAAGAAAAUUAGAGACUCUUGAGACAAUACUAAAGACUAGAAAGACAAUAAAUAGAAUUAAGAAGGUUUUACUCUUGGCUUCAUAUAUUUUAUAUAACUUAGAGGUAUGCAACAACAUUCUAUAAGUCUAUUAAUAUAUAUUUAAUUUAUAAAUUUUUUAUAAAUAUAUAUAUUUAUUCCAAUAAUUACCUAUAUGAUUAGAUAAAAGUAAGUAAAUAUAGAUUAAUAUUAUAGUAUCUUCGAAAAGAACUUCCUAAAAGCUUUAUAGAUACAAUUUUGACUUUACACGUAUUUGUAGUUGAUUGAUAGGUUAAAAACUUGGUCAAUAAGUUAAUUAUGUUCCAUAUGUAUUGAUAGCUUAUAGAACAAGUUAAUUAUGUAAUGCACAUAUAGAGAACUUGCCUUGCAAAUUAAAAUACAUGACUUGCAAAGUCAAUAUGUGUUAGAAGUCCUAUAAAACAUUGUCAUGUAGCCCUUAAUUGGAUAGUAAAUAUGGAUGCAAGAGUGAAGCCUUUUUCACUCUUGUCAAUACCUUUCUAGUAUUUAGUCUUAUUUUAAGACUUUUUAAUUUUUUUGUCUUUGGCAAUAGCCAUUCUAGUUUAAUACUAUAUUAUCUUUGAAUGAUAUUCUAGUUUUUUUGAAUGAUACAAGAGUGUAUUAACCUUUUAAUUCUUUGAAGUUCAUGUCUUUGAUAGUUUGACAAGAAUUCUAAUUUAUUUUUCUUAUCUUAUUUUAGAAGUGAAAUAAUUAUUCUACUUAUAUUAUUAUAUUUUGAAUAUUAUAAACUAUCUAUCUUUAAAUAAAAAAUAUAAUUUUCUAAUACUAAUUCUUUUUUUCUUUAAAGAUAAUAAAUUAUUUUUUAUUAUAAAAAUUUUCAUUUUAUAUUAGAGAUUGUAAGAUAUCUUCCUCCAAGUUAAUUUUUUGAAUUUGUUUGAAUUAUCUAUAGAAAGAAAGAUUAUGGAUGCUACUUUUAUUUAAAGUAAAAAUAGAUUUGCAACUAUUAUAGAUCUUCAUAAGUUUAAUAAUAUUCUUAAAAUAGAAAUUUUAUAUAUUUUAAAUAUAAAUUAUAGAAGUACUAUUCCUACACAUAUACAAGAAGUCUAAAGUCUAUACUAAAAAGUUGUACAGUUGAAGGAAGCAAGUAGAUUAGCUUUACAAUCAAAUUCAAGAAGUCUUGCUUCUACAAGUACAAGGGAGGUAAGGAUUAAUAUGCUUGAAAAUUUUGAUGGAACAAGGUCAAAAUUUUGAGGAUUUCUACAUCAAGUUAAGAUCUAUUUAAGAUUAAAUCCUUUCCAAUCUCCUAAUGGAUUUAUUCAAGUUAGAUUCAUAAGUAUUUUUUUUGUUGAAAAAUAUCCUUACUUAAUUUGUAUCUUUGAUGGAAAAAGAUUCAAGACCAUUCUAUGUUUUGACUUCAUUCUUAGAAGUAUUUAUUGUUAUAUUUAAAAAAAUUAAUAGAGAAAGAGUAAUAGAAACCAAGGUUGUAUUACUACAACAAAGAUCACAUUCAACCACCACAUAUAUUAUUGAAUUCCAAAUUCUUGCUUGCAAUAUGGAUUGGAAUGAAAAAAUCUUUAUUAACUAGUUUUGAUAUGGAUAAAAAGAUAAUAUCAAAGCUUUAUUCUUUAUAAUGCCAAGAGUAGAUUCAUUGAAUCAUUUUAUUACUCAAGUCAUUGCAUGUAAUAGUUGACUCUUUGAAAGAUGUCAAGAACAAAGACUUGCUUAAAGAAGUAUAAAUCAAGCUAUAGCGACACCUUCUAAGUUUUUGGAAGCUUAUUUUUUCAAACUAGAGCCUAUGUAAAUUGAUAUAGUAUAUUUUGAACCUCUUACUGAAUAAAAAAAGAAUUAUUGUUAUUAAGAAGGUUUGUGCCUAUAUUCUAGAGAAUCUAAGUUCACUACUCAAAAUUAUCCAAAAAAGCAAUGCAAUCACAAAAUAAAGAGCAUGAUUGCCAAAAAAGACGAUGUGUUGAAAAAUAAGUUUUUCUAGUUAUAAUAGGAACUGUGCAACUAAAAUCUUGCAUAAUAUUUAGUAAAGAUUCUAUUCUUUCUUUAGAUCCAUUAUCUUAUUUUACAAUAGAAUUUUAUUUAGGACAAAAGAAUCAUAAAAAAUUAACCUUGUUAGAUUAAAGAGCAUCAACUUGUCAUGUAAAUGAAGACUUUGUCAAAAAAACUAGAGAUAUUAUUAGUCAAGAAAAUUAAAUCCGUAUGUGUAAAAGUUAUAGAUUUUUUGUUCAUAUAGAGAUGUUAUCUAUGAGAUUAUUUCUAUAGAUAUAGCAAUGAAAGUUCAUAAUAGCAUUAUAAUAUCUGAUAUAAUAUGUUCUCCUUUUAAUUUAAUUAUUUUUAGAUUAUUGUAUUUAAAAAAAUAUAGCCUUUAAAUAGAUUGGAUUUCUUAAUAUCUUAAUUUUUUUUGUAGUUUGAUUCAAAAUUUCUUUAGGCAAGUCGAAACACAUAAGUCUGAUACAUCUAAAUCUUUAGUGGUAGAUGUAAAAGCUUUCAUGUAUGUGGCAAAAGAAAGAUAAUUUUUGCUAUAUAUGCUAUAUUUAUUUUUAAUGGUGCGUAGAUGUCAAGUGAUAUUCUUAUUCCAUAUCAAUAUUCUUAAUAUUUUUUUCUAAAAAAAAUAAAAAUAUUCUUCCAAAGCAUUGAUCCUAUGAUUGUUCAAUUGAUUUGUAGGAAUGAAUUUAACCACCACUUAUUGCAAAAUGAAUUAGCUGUAAUAAAAGAAUACAUUAACAUGAACUCAGAUAAGAUCUUCAUAUGCCAUUCAAAAUCUCCAACAAGAUCUCAUUUUAUUUAUAAAGAAAAAUGAUGGAUCCUUGUAGAUGUGCAUAAACAAUCAAGGAUUUAAUAAGAUUACCAUCAAAAAUCGAUAUUCCUUACCUUUGAUUUAAUGAUUUCUUGACGAACUAGAUUAAGUAAAGAUCUAUAUAAAAAUAUAUUUAAAAAGAAUAUAAAACUUAAACUACAUUAAUAAAUAAAUGAAUAGAAGAUUGUUUUUUGAAUUAAUUAUGGACAUUUUGAAUAUAAUGUCAUGCCUUUUGGACUCACAAAUGCACCAAUUAUUUUUCAACAUCUCAUGAAGGAUGUUUUUGUGAAUUUUUUGAUAAUAUUAUUAUUUCCUACUUAAAUGACAUUCUAAUUUAUUCUAAGGAAACAAAAGAAUAUGAACUUCAUAUUUUUUUUGUAUUACAAAAAUUGAUAGAUAAAAGACUAUAUAUCAAGAUAAAAAAGUAUAUAUCUCACAUUACUCAAGUUGAAUUUUUAAAGUACAUCAUUUCUAAUAAAGGAUUAAUAAAAGAUUGAAGAAGGUUAGAUUAUUCCGAAUAUACAUAUUUAUCCUAAUAAUUAUCUAGAUAAUUGCCACAUGUCGACAUGUUCACCACUUGUAGUAUAAGUUGGACAUAUGGCACACACCUAGGGACUUACCUUGCAAACUUCUAUAAGAGCUUUGGGUGGAUCUUCAAGUAGAGCUUCUAGUGGUUUUUCUAUUGGAAUACAAGAUAUUUAUAUGACUAUAGUAACUUUGAAAAAUGAGUGAUGAGAUGUAAAUUUGUGAGUAGAUCUUUAUUGGAUUUGUAUUCAAAAUUUGAGAUUAUUUAAACAAUAAGACUAUCAAUUAUUGUAAUUGAAAUUAUUUUGGAUUCUAUACAAUGGAUAAUGAGAGGAAGUGAAUGUUUUUAUAUCUUUAAGCACUCUUUCAUCUAAAUUUAUAUAAUAUAUUAUUUUUUUUACUAAUUGAAUUAAUUUCAAAUAUCUAAGAAAAUUAAAAAAAGAAGUGACAAUACAAAACAAACUUUUUGAUACUUGAAGAUUGAUAAUAUGAUUGCUAAGGGAAGAGAGUCCACACCUAAGUAGAUUAGGAGUUUUUUCUUCUUAUCUAUAGGUUUUGUUUUUUAAAAUUUAGUCUAUUUCUUAUCAAUUAAUAGAUUGAAAAGCAAAAAAUUAUUAAAAAAGAUUAAAAAAAAAUUAUACCAAUAAUGAUUAUGAUUUAAAAUAAAUUAGAAUUUAUUUAGAAGUUUAUUCUAAUUUAUUAGAUUUGAUUUAGGAUUUUAUUAGAUUUAACUAUAGUUAUGCUUUCUUUAAGGCUCUUUGUGUUUUCAUUAGGAUUUCUUUAGGAUUCUUUUAUGAUUUAUUCAGAUAUUUUAAAGUUUUUUCUUAGAUUUUUUUAUAUUUUUUUUAUAAUUUAAUUAAAAUUAUUAAGAAUUAAAUGAUAUUUUUUCAAUAUUAUAAUAAUUUUAUUAACAUUAUUGAAUUUUUAUAUAAUAUUUUAUUAAUAUUGAAUUAAGAUUUAAUUAGAAUCAAUAAAAAAAAAUUAUUAGAAUUUUUAGGAUUUACUUUGGAUUCUUCAUGAUUCUUUGUGAUUUCUUUAGGAUUUAUUUAAGGUUUUAAAUAUUUAAUUAAGAUUUAUUGAUAGAUUAAAAAGAGUUUUUAGGUCCUUCUUUAGUUCCAAAAUACAAGUUUAUCUUCUAUAGCUAAAAGCAUGGUGUAUUUUAAAACAAUAUAAGAAAUAAUAUUAUUGCAUUAUUAAGUUUUAUAAAGUCUAGCUUAAAAUUUACUAAGCAUAUAAUUGCCAAAGGAGGUUAUUUAAACCUUAAAGAUUUAUUUUUUAUGCAAAAAUGACUGAUUGAUUUAAAUCUACUAAAAAACCCUUAUCUCAAUUUUAUCUAAUUAUAAUCAGCUCUAAAAUUUAAAUUUACAAAAUAAAAAAUAAUCCAUCUAAAAUCUUAAGAAAAUUCUUAUACAACCUAAUUAUAUUCUAAAAAUCCUAAAGAAAUAUUAAGUAUUUUUUAUCGAACCUAAAAAGUAAGUAUAAGUUCUUUUAAUAAAAUGGGCGUAAUAUACAAUAAAGUUUUUAUUUUAUCAUAACUUUUAUUUGUAAUUUCUAAAGAAAUUUUCUACUAAAAUUUUAAUUAAAAUAUUCUAAAAUAUUAGAAUUUAUUUAAUAAUUACUCAAUAUUUAUGUUAUAAUAUUAAAAAGUAAAAAUUUAAUAUCCUCAUAUAGACCUUAAUGAUAAUACUUAUUAUAACACUUUGCAAGUACAUAUCUUAAACACCUUAUAUAUGAAAUAUUUUAUGUCUUGUACAUGCUAAAUAAUCUAAAAGAUCUAAUAUGAAAAAAUCAACUUAUUGCUAAAUACCACAACAUUCAUUUAAAUUUUUUUAAAAAAAUUAUAAUCUCUACAUAUCAAGGAUAUGAAUUAUAGAAAAUCAAGAUAUCAAUAUAUUCUUAUAUCACUAUAAAAGAAUAGAAAAUUAUUCAAAGAUACUAUAAUAUCAAAUUAGAAUGGUUAUUACUAAAGAUAAGAAAAUUAGAGACUCUUGUGACAAUACUAAAGACUAGAAAGACAAUAAAUAGAAUUAAGAAGGCUUUAUUCUUGUCUUCAUAUAUUCUACAUAACUUAGAGCUACGUGUCAAUAUUCUAUAAGUCCAUUAAUACAUGUUUAACUUGUAAAACUUUCAUGGAUAUACAUAUUUAUUCCAAUAAUUACCUAUAUAAUUAGAUAGAAGUAAAUAAAUAUAGAUUAAUUUCAUAAUAUCUUCUAAAAGAACUUGUUAGAAGCUUCAUAGAUACAAUUUUGACUUUAUACGUAUUUGUAAUUGAUUGAUAGGUUAAAAACUUGGUCAACAAAUUAAUCAUAUUCCAUAUGUAUAGAUAGCUUAUAGAACAAGCUAACUAUGUAGUGCACAUAUAGAGAACUUGCCUUGCAAAUUAAAAUACAUGACUUGCAAAGUCAAUAUGUCUUGGAAGUCCUAUAGAAUAUUAUCAUGUAGCCCUUAAUUAGAUAAUAAAUAAGGAUCCAAGAGUGAAGCCUUCUUCAUUCUUGUGAAUGCCUUUCUAGUCUUUAGUCUUGUUUUAAGACUUUCUAUUUUUUUGUCUUUGGCAAUAGCCAUUCUAGUUUAAUACUAUAUCAUCUUUGAAUGAUACUUUAGUCUUUUUGAGAGACAUAAGAGUGUAUUGACCUUUUAAUUCUUUUGAUAGUUUGAAAAGAAUGCUAAUUUAUUGUUCUUAUCUUCUUUUAGAAGUGAAAGAAUUAUUCUACUUCUAUUAUCAUAUUUUUAAGGUUACAAACUAUCUAUAUUUAAAUAAAAAAAUAUAAUUUUAUAACACUAAUUUUUUUCUCAAAGACAAUAGAUUAUUUUUCAUUGUAAAAAAUUUCAUUUUAUAUUAGAGAUUGUAAGAUACUCCAUUCCAAUUUAGUUUUUUGAAUUUAUUUGAAUUAUUUAUAGAAAGAAAGAUUGUAGAUGACACUCUCAAUUGAAGUGAAGAUAGAUUUGUAACUAUUGUAGAUCUUCAUAAAUUUAAUAAUAUUCUAAAAAUAGAAAUUUUAUAUAUUUUUAAUAUAAAUUAUGGAGGUACUAUUCCUACACAUAUGUAAAAAUUCCAAAGUCUAUGCUAAGAAAUUGUGCAGUUGAAGGAAGUAAGUAGACUAGCUUUACAAUCAAAUUCAAGAAGUCUUGCUUCUACAAAUACAAGGGAGGCAAGGAUUAAUAUGCUUGAAAAUUUUGAUGGAACAAGAUCAAAAUUUUGAGGAUUUCUACAUCAAGUUAAGAUCUAUUUAAGAUUAAAUCCUUUCCAAUCUCCUAAUGGAUUUAUUCAAGUUGGAUUCAUAAGUGCACUUUUAUUGAAAAGUAUCAUCUCUUAGUUUGUACCUUUGAUGGAAAAAGAUGCAAGACCAUUCUUUGUUUUGACUUCAUUCUUAGGAGUAUUUAUGACUAUAUUUUAAAAGAAUUAUUUGAAAAAAAGUAAUAGAGACCAAACUUGUAUCACUACAAUAAAGAUCACGUUUAGCAACUACAUAUAUUGCUGAAUUCCGAAAUUUUGCUUGCGACAUGGUUUGGAAUGACAAAAUCCUUAUUAAUUAGUUUUGAUAUAGAUAAAAAAAUAAUAUCAAAGAUUUAUUCUUGACAAUUUCAAGAGUGGAUUCAUUGGAGCAAUUUAUUACUCAAAUCAUUGCAUUUAACAAUUAACUCUUUGAAAGAUGUUAAGAAUAACAAUUUGGUUGGAGAAGUAUAAGUCAAGCUAUAGCGACAUCUUCUAAGUUUUUGGAAGCUUAUUUUUCCAGACUAGAGCCUAUAUAAAUUGAUAUAGUAUAUUUUGAACUUCUUAUUGAGUAAAAAAAAAGUUGUUGUCAAGAAGGUUUGUGCCUAUAUUCUAGAGAAUCUAAGUUCACUACUCAAAAUUAUCCAAAAAAGCAAUGCAAUCACAAAAUAAGGAGCAUGGUUGCCAAAGAGGACGAUGUGUUGGAAAACAAGUUUUUUUAGCUAUAAUAGGGACCAUGCAACUAAAAUCUUAUAUAAUAUUUAAUAAAGAUUAUAUUCUUUCUUUAGAUCAAGUAUCUUGUUUUACAAUAGAAGUUUAUUUAGUACAAAAGAAUCAUAAAGUCUUAGCCCUAUUAGAUUCAAGAGCCUCAACUUGUUUUUAAAAGUGAAGACUUUAUCAAAAAGCAAGAGAUAUUGUUAGUCAAGAAAAUUAAAUCCAUAUAUAUAAAAGUCUUAGAUUUGUUUUCUUGUAGAGAUGUUAUCUAUGAGAUUAUUUCUAAAGAUGUACCACCUUCCCUUUUGUCUUUCCAUCUUCAUCGCACUCUCCACCCCUUCUCUAUAGGUAUUUACAUAUACCUACACCUAGUCCUAAUAUACUUAUUUACUCAUAGAUGCCUACAAAGUAAUACUCUAAGAUCUUGGACAUAAUAUAAAUGCACAAAUUCUCCUUAGUAAUCUACAUCCAAUAUUGAGAGGUUGGAAUUUCGGUGUAUUUUGAAGUUAAAUUUAUUAUAUAAGUGUUGUUAAUAUAUAAUUGCCUUUGUAGAUAUAUAACAAAGUAGAGUUAUUAAUACGUGUAUAAAUACAUUUUGUUACCUAAAUUAGUUAUGGAUAUAAUACUACAUAAGUUAUAAUUUUAAAAGAAAAGCUAAAUCAAACUAAACUGAAUUAAAACAAUUCUUUAAGGUAGUUUGUUGAUGAAUGAUCUUUAAAGUAGUAACUUCUAUAAGAAAAACUAGUCACCUUAUAGGUGUUAAAUAGACUUUGAAAUCAUUGUGCAUAAUCUACUGAAUGUUUCAAGUAUGCAAGACACUUGAACAUAAUAAUACAAGGUCAAACAAUAAUAAAAGUUUAAUUGACAAAAAGGCACCAAUUCAUGAAUACAAUGCCACUUUUUGCAUUAGUGAAAUUAUGUAUUUUCUUGCCAUUUGUGUAUUUAGUUGAGUUUUAAUUAAGAAACUUGUCAUAAAAAAAUCAAACAAUUGCUUAACAAUCUUUUAGAGUUCUAAAAGAUUUUGGACAGAAUGCAGAUGGUUCAGGAAGAUACUGCAGAUUGUGCAAGAAGUUAGCUUUCACAAGAAUGGAAUUGGCAUGAAGGCAAAUACAUUGUCAAAAUUAAAAUUUUCAGGCUACCACUUCUUAGUAGCUAGCGUCAGUAGAAUUUUAAUACAGUAAUAUUAACUUUCUUGGAGAGAAAAUUUGAUAGUCAAAAGUAGAACAACAAAGAAUAAAUCCCAGGCAUUAUAGAAUACAAGGAUACCUUAAAGUAUGGCCAAUCCAGUGUAGCCAAUCACCUAACAAUGAAAUGCGGGUUCGGAAGCAAAUGAUAACACACAUCUGUAUCAAGAAAUUAAUUAGAAAUGACAAACUCACAAACAUAUCGUGCGAUGGCUGAGUAUUGUCUCAUAAUUACCUUCCCCAGUAUCGCUCGGGACGGUAAAACAAGGUACAGACAGCAGAUAACUGUAUUAACUGAAAAUUGAUGAUUGCACAAAAGUCAGUGAAUUAUGCUGAAGUAUAAGUCGAAAUUCCCAUUUACAAUGCUUCCAAGUACAAAAUUUCAAAAGGUCAUACGGAGCCAUCUACAACACAAACAAACUGACACGACUAAUGGAUUAGGGCAAUGCGACAUGCACCGUUUACGAUAAGAACUAAAAACAUUGUUUUUAUCUUAAAAGAUCAACUACUAAAGAUUAUCAAUUAUCAUUCACGCGAGUGGUGAAGCAACAGGCCAUGCGAGUUACCAUGAACAAAUAAGAGCGAGGACCUUAUGUGAAGACUGGAACUAACAAAGCACGUACUCUAGAAAAGAACAUAUACAAACACUAAAUUCUAAGUCAAUUGGGAAUAUUGCGAUUCGAACGGCACGAAUGGAUAAUCCCAUCCAGAGAGGAGCUUCCUGAGUACUGACGAUAAAAAGUAACGUCAAAGUCUCAUAGAUAUACAUGCGUUUGAAGCCUUUCCAAUGGUACAUCACGUACCCAAAUCAGGAAGCACUGAGAACCCCUAAAUACCUUUACCGUUCUGAAGUACAAUAGAAUCGUAACCUUCACUACAGGAGAAUUGCCGUUCCUAAAAGUGGCAUGCUAAUCGUCUACUAAGUCUUCCUCCAAUCACAGCGAAAGCAGGGAUCCAUAGCAAAUUGGUUGACUUUACGUGUUUAAGCAAUGAUACAGAGUGCCUAUGAAGCCCUCCACAAAGCGGACCACUCCUCCAAACAGAGGAAAACCUUUCACGCAGUAGACUCUUCCGAUCUCUUUCCAGGCACCCCUCACAGCGCCAGCAUCGGAUUCUGCUUCCUCGCGUGCUCGGGUAUCAAACGCUGCAGAAUAUCAGGAGUUGCACCCUUCAACUCUGCUCCACCACCACAUCCAAACGCGUUACAUUUUCCACCACCUUCUCAUCCUUCCUUUGCAUCAUGAAAAUGUACAAUCCAAAACACUGGACACCAGAUCCCAACCACUCCCUGACAAUAAAUAACUCAACUGUCAUCUUCAGGAUGGCGACACGACUAUGCACCGCCACAAUGUCUCACCUUGGGUUUUGAAGUUGAACAGAGAGGGCAGUGGCCGCCCAUUCGGAAGCCGGCAGUUAGGAUCCCUUAGCUCAUCAAAGAACGGGUGCACACACGCUUCCAGCUGCAAACAGUACCCACCCAUUCAUCAUGUCAAUCAUUCCCGACUCACCAUCGCCAUAUUUCACGUCCACAGUAUUUCCUUCAUACUACUUCACACCUUGUCGCAAUGCCUCGUUGGCACCUCGCAGAACGCCACGACUCAACGCAGACCCACACAGCUCAACAUCACACCCGUACCAACAACACAGAAUAUGACGCUACUCACAGCGUUGCACCGCAGAUUUGGAGAGUACUGAAGGAGCCUUGACACCAAGUCAACUGCUUCAGGUGGCAUGCGUUUGUGGAAAACCUGCAAUUCCCACAUCGGCCAUACCAAACGCCGGUUACCGUCGUCAAAACCCAACAUCCAACAAACCACGACGCACGCAACUAACAAUGCCGCUACACGAGAAAGGCUGACCCACAUCCACUACCGCACUACAACCGCAACACCCAGGAUGACAUCAUAGCAUUCGCACAAAAAACAUACUUUGUGCCACGGGUGCGCCUUGAUUUGUGGAAACUUGAACUCUGUGUAGUUCGGAUUCAUGCACUUGAUCUCCUCACGAGUCGGUGUCCCCAAAACCUGCCACACGGAAACGUCUGGUCAACGCCAUACUCACAUCCAACACGAACAAGAUACCACAGCUACAAACCAAACCGCCAACCCAGAAGGCGACCCUUCCACACAAACAACGUGUACCACGUGUGUCCCACCUUGAUGAUUUCCACCAAUUGAUCCACUCCACUCUCUCCAGGAAACAAAGGCUGCAAUCCCAUCAAAAGCGUCGUCAAAACCCAGAUUACACAUAAAGCUCCCUCACCUCAACUUCAAACCUCUACACUUGCGCCACAGCAACAUAUCGUCAGAAACCGCCAUUAGCUUGCUACAAAACAAUCAACAGCCCCAGUCAACGACCCCCCGCGUCACUUGAAACAACUCUUCGAAGUGGAAGAGAGCCCAUCGGCGACCGAGUACCUGUCCUAGUAGAAGCUCUGCCAUCACGCAACCCAUCGACCAUAUAUCUAUGGCAGUCGUGUACUCCGUCGCUCCAAAAAUAAGCUCCGGAGCACGGUAGUACCGCGAACAAAUGUACGAGAUAUUGGGCUCCCCUUUCACCUGCACAACAAGCCCGUCUCGGUUACAUCACUAUUCACACGCACCCGCUUACUGAGACAUCCGCAUACCAGAAACGAAGUCUUCUCGAACAACUCGUCAGCUUUACAGCCUGUCACCGCAACGCACGCAUUUCCGAAACACAAAUUGCUUCGACGCUGUAAUGCGACUGCGCAACUCGAAAAUACUCACUAAUCCAGUAGAUACUCACCAGCACUUUCGCACUUCCAAAAUCACACAGUUUCAGCUGGUGCGUAUGAGGAUUCACCUGUGCCAUGCAAACACAAGUUUGUUACGACACCACGGCAACUCCUGUACUUUCCCGUGACUCAUACCAAACAUCUCAGUAACCAGCUUCCACCCAUGCCGAGCAACAAAUACGAGUGCUUAAACAGUCAGCAUCGUGUUUUCAAGAUACUUGAACACAUGACAAGAUUCGUCGGACACACGUACCAGCAGGUUCUGGGGCUUGAUGUCGCGGUGGCAGACACCGAUGCCAUUGUGGAUAUAUGCCAGUGAUCGGCAUAUCUGAUACGUGUACAGUUUCACGUAAACAAGGGGCAUUCGCUGAUUCAUGCGAUUGUAGUGCUUUGCAAUACGAUACACCGUCUCGGGUACAUACUCCAGCACCAGGUUUAAGUACAAUUCGUCUUUAUCCGUCGUCGAGAAGAAGCAAUGCUUCAAAGCUACAAUAUUCGGGUGGUCCAACAGUCGCAUGAUCUGCAGCUCUCGAUUCUUGUAUCUUUUGUCCUGCAACACUUUCUUUAUAGCCACCGUCUCCCCAGUUUCGAUGCAUUUUGCCUGGCAACACACAUUAACACGCAAAAAUCAUUCAGUUAUCUUUCCGUAUGAGCUAUUCCGAGAGGCGAACAAACAUGUGCGAAACCUCCAUCGCGGACCACACACCAGAUUCCAUACGAGGUCUGUCUGAGCGGAAAGGAGAAUUCGUUACAGCGCCAAAUUGAACAGAGCUUAAUCCUAACAAUCACCUGGAAGACAAUCCCGAAUGAUCCAGUGCCAACAACACGUUCUGCCGAAUAGCUGAUCGUCUGCACCAUUCAUGUCGUUUGUUCCAAAGAAAAUAAGUAGAUAAAAUAAGUAGCUGAUAGUCUGCACCAUUCAUGUCCUUUGGCAAGCUUCCAGGAAAAGGUAAGAUCAUCGAGCAAACACAGAGCGCAACAUUCAAGCCCAUGCUCAGCGUCGAGGACUAUCAGAUGAUUUUCGGUAUUGAUGUCUAAGCAAACGAGUAUAAAUUCUAGCUAUCAAGAGAUACAAAGCAGAAAAACGAAGAACUUACAGAUAUGCUUUUAAAGCUAAUUAGUUCACAGGACUAUGACUCUCAAAACUGCAGAGCCAGAUCGUAAAGAGUAAAUAGCUCCACUAAAUUACUAAUGCCUUCUCAGAAGUGUCAUUGGCAUACCUGCUUAGGUUGUCCAUUUCGCCCUCCAAUAGUAGUAGCUAUGAUGUGGCCAGUUUCGGUACCGUUUCCAUCUACUAUUGAAGCCUCAAUUUCCUACGUUCCGUACGAAACACCCAUUUAAUUCCAACUCAUUUCAAUCGAACAAAAUCAACUCGAAACAUUCAAGGCAGUAAAUGCUGACAUUUGAAAGAAACGACUUAAGUCGGAAGUAAAUUGAGAUUCCAAACUUGACUAUCGUCAGAAGACCAACAUCACAACCUCGAAAAAAUAAGAAACUAGCGGCACUCACCUUGUCGUCGCUGUGGUCAACCUUGUCAUCCCUGAGCUUCAUGUCGUGCAUUUCUUUCGGUAACAAUUCUACUCCGCUUGAGCCAGCUUUAGUUGGAGCUAUUCCUCCUCCGAUCAUGUUUGUGCUGUUGAUAAUACCCGCAGUCGCAGAUGCCAUAGAAGACUCGAAGUCCCCGAAACGUAAAUUUCUACUUUAGUACGUAUAAUUCUGGCAGAAUUCCCUGGCUGCAUGUCAAAGAAUCCGUCGUACACUUUAAUAAUUCAGAAAUACAACGUGAUAAUAGUAGCGCAGCCCAUAGGAAAACCAGCAUGAUACAUUCGAUUUAUCUGGAACUUAAAAAAGAACUGCUUCUGAGUUUGUAAAUAAACUAUGCUUACGCUGACUUAAACAAAAAAGCAAAAAGAUACACUAAUAGUUUGAAAUUUUUCAAAAAUUGCCCGAGCAACUGUGAACGUAAAUCCACAUCCGGAACCAAAACGAAAUAAACCUUGUUGCGAGGAACAAAAUGUCCAUAAUCUGUACGCUCACAAACCAAUAAUCAUGAAAAAUAGCACUAUUGACCGCGGUGACAUAAACAAAAGAUAACACGCUUACUGGAUCAAAAUGACGACGUGACAUUGAAUAGUCCACAUGUCAAUGAAUCAACUGAAGCGACUCGGUCACUCUACAAAACCACCAACGGCUUGAUGAUACAGUGGAUCACUUUAUGCUUGGCUUGAAGGGCCAUAAAUGAACCUUAGAAAUAAAUGAAUUAAAUGAAAGUGCAUAGAACUGAAAACGCAUAAAAGCUAAGAAAGCCGUCCAGAAACAUUAUUGCUGACUUUAAAUCGUCGGGAGAAAAUUAAAUUGGUCGACAGCCGCGGCAAAAGCACUUCCAAACCAAACAAAAUACCAGACCAAUAGGUAAGUAAUAUGCACUGGGUGCAAAAUAGGUUGCUAAUCGCAGAAGCAGUUAUGUGAGCAAGAACUCAAGACGUGUAAAAGUAAUCAAUGACUCAGCGGAGAAACAAAAUAAAAUAAUGAAAUGAACGGAAAAAACCAGAAUCGCAUUACACGUGAACAGCACUAAGUCGAUAGCCAACUAGAUAAGACAAGAUAGACAUGAAGGAGCUUGUGCUUUCUCAAAAACAAGAUCACAGGUAGUCAGGCCGGUCUAAUUACAACCACUGUGGCGGGUCGUAUGAGAAGAAGACCAGACAGUCACAGAGCAAGGAACAGCUAAUCCGUACAGGUUAAUGUUUGGUACAUCGCUUCAGCAAAGACAGGAAAGUACUUGCUCACAAAGCUAAACUUGCACAAAACUACCGGCCAAAACUCUUUGAUACAUAUGGUCUCUGACGAGCAAAAGGCCUUGACAGCAAUAACUUUCACUGCCGCCAACCAAGUACAAACCUACUCAAAAGAAUGAAAACACUACCGGACUCGAUCAGAAGGGGGAAAAACUUUACUGGUUCAAGCCAAUCAAUUUUUGGACAUUCCAAAAGCAAAAAACUAAAUUUCGGAAAUGUCGUGAUCACACAAACUACUCAAAAGAGAAUCGGCAUCUAAUUACAAGCGUUCAAACACCAAAGCAUAACAUCAGCGAGAAAACAAACAGCUAGCCAAGCGCACGAUGAGAAUGACUUUUUAAAGGACGGUAUGUGUAAGCAAGAGGAAGGUAUAUUGCAGAAAAAUGGCCAGCAAAAUAUACGACUUCACACCACAUUUCGCACAUACAUUCUCUUUACAUGAUGACACCUACUCCAAGCAACACUGCACUUCAGCAGUCACCGACGAAGUGGCUAUAUCCAGUACGCUGUGACUUCCUCUGGACAACAACACUGGUCUCUAUGGGCAGUAGUUUGUACUCAGCAACACAUGCCACUCACAAACUCCAGAGAAGAAGCUUACAUUUCCAGUUGCCCGUAGAAGCUAACUCCACCGACCACACAUCACAUGCCUCGCGAAGAUGAUACAAUCACCACCUGCUUUCCCAAUCCUCCCUCCUCACAUGCUCCACUCAUCUCCAUCUCAGCUACCUACCCCUUGGCUUCCAAAUCACUCACACCCGACCACUCCGCACCAAUCCUCUCUCUCUGCCGUGCCUUUAUUCACUACGCCUGUCCCAAGCAAUGUCAUACUUCAAGUGUGCCCCUCCGCACACCCGCAAUAUAUCUUUCCACCCCUUCGUACACACAGCCCCAAUGGCUUAGAUGCACCCCCGAGUAGAUCUUAGCAGAUGGUCCGGCACUGCGUCCCACUUCCACACAACCCGCGAAAGUCGAUUCCAAUAGCCAACGCCCCUAUCAACCCCCACAGCGCUGGAGCCAACCCCAGAGCCAGCACAACCGCACCCUCUUACUCUCUAAUCUGCGGGGCUUGCGACCACAACUCACCGCGCGAGAGUACCGAACGCCAAAGCAUCAGCGAGAGCACUUCCGCCCGGCCGAGGCAUGCCUGGGCAGGAAAUCGGGAGGUAGGGAAACAGCAGAUGGACUCGGAGUGUGAGGAAAGGGCGAGGCAGGCACUAACUAACUAACAAGAGAGAGACGGGGCGGGGACGAGGGAGAAGCGAGGAGGAGGAGGAGGCGGGGAGAGCGGGGGGGGCAUGGCCAUGGAGGAGGAGGAGGAAGAAGAAGGCCAUAGCCAUGGGCGGGCGGGGUGAGAAGAAAGGGGGAAAGGGAAAGGGCAAGGUGGGGAUGGGGACUGACUGCACUGGGGGGGGGGGGUGAUUGUUAUUCGCCUCUCUUUCUCUUUCUCGUUCUCACACACUCGGCUCUGCUCUGCUCUGCCUGCCAACGCUCUCUCUCUCUUUCUCUCUGGCUGGCCCUCUCUGUGUCUGACUCUGACUUCCUGGCUCUCUUGCGCUCUCUCUCGCGCUGUGUCUGUGUUGUUCGUUGAGGUCCUGGUCGUGGGGGUGGUGGUCCCGUGCUGGGAUGUGAGGUUGGGCUGAUGCUGUUGCUGCGGUUGCGGGGAGAGAGUGCGAGAGUGUGAGAGUGUAGUGUGGUGUAGUGUCGUAGCCUGCUGCGCUGCUUCGAUUUCGUGCCUUCCUUCUUCUCCAUUCCCCCGCCCUUGGCCGCGGUCUCAGGCCCGCUAUUGGUGAUUUAGUCGUGUGUCACUCUGGUUCCCGUGACCGCGUUCAUCUCUCGGUCAAAUCGCCUCGGUGCACCUCCAUCCCGUUGGCUAGUUACACCUCGUGGCUUUAAAGUCAUAAGGUAGCUUUUGUGGCUUGUGAUUGAGUGUGCUUCACCUCGCAGAGCUUAGUUCAUUCUGCCCACGGGCAGGCUACGUGGGCAGAAUUAUUUAAAAAAUUAAAAAUAUAUAUUUGUGAAUGUUUAAAUAAAACAAGAUGCAAGAUGGGAUUAGUUAGUGCUAUACAUGCAUAUCUAAAUUUUACAAUUUUGAAAUUCCCUGAAAGUUUGGUGUCCUAUCUACCAGUGAGAUCAUAAUAUAUGUGGUAUAAUAAAAUUAAAACCAUUCUUAUUUUGAGUAGAUAUGACAUUUCAGUUGAAUAAAUGAUAAUUAUUAAAAGUAAUGCAAUAUCGUUUUGCACAAUAGACAUUAUUGGGAUUACAUAUAGAACAUCAUAUGCAUAAUAUAUCACUGUCUGUACAUGUGCAAACAUCCUAUGGCAUUUAAAAAUAAAUGAUGUCAAUCAUACAAUCAAACCAUGUUAUGAAUUGGUACAUUAAUAAAUGCAUUAACAACUACUUACAUUGACUUCUUUUUUCUCUCUCUUUUUUUUUCUUUUUUCUUCUAUUUUCUUUUUGAUCUUUUACUUCUUCCUAAGCUCAACGAUGUCUUCCAAUUGUGUGACUGUAUUUCAGGUAAAUAUUUAAAACAAACAUUGAUUAUAUAUAUAAUAUUUGUGAUUUUAUUCAGGGUCGAUUAAAGCAUACAAUAGAUUUGAAGUAACCAUUAUUGUAUAAAAUAACUAUCUUUGUGUAAACAUCAGUGUUUACUUUGUAGGGACAGAGUUGUAUUCACAUUAAAUAUAGUUGAUGAUUAUCCAAAAAAUGUUGCACUCAAUCAAAAAGUGAAUUUAAAUUUGAAUUAUAUUUGAAUAGUGCAAACAUAUAUAAGAAAUAAUAUAUGUUAACACAGUAUCUAAUAAUAUAACGAAAAAAAUAAUAUCUGUUUGUAGUAGUUAUUCAAGAAUGGUAAAAUUAAAUAAGAAAAAGAAAACAAUAACAUCCAAAAAAAUGAUUAGAGUCAAAUAUGCAUAUAUGUUUUUAUUUACAUGAAAAUUCUUUACACAUGUAGAGGGAGAAAGAGAUGGAACAAAAGGGAGUUUUAUGAUAUUUUAGUUCAAAUAAAAUUUUGAAUCAUACAACGUUCUAAACUGAAGUGUAUUUUUUAUGAAUAUUUAUUAUUAAUUAACAUCUUACAUAUACUUUAAUCCGAUGGACAUAUUUAAUUAUUUGUUAUUUUUUCCAAGAUAAUGACUGAGUUUUUAUUUGGUUGUUUGUAAAUAGUAUCACAACAUUUAUCUAAAAAAGUUUUACACCAAUUUAUUUUGGAUAUGCCUUAACAAACUACCUUUUCAAAAUAUUCUACAUAUACAAUUAUAAAAACAAGGUAGGAAUUUCGUAUUCGGGCUUUUUAAUACAUGCACAAGUAUCAAGUUUCAAGUAUUUCAUGUUACAAUUAUUCUUCAUUCACAGAUUUUAUGUUAAAACUAUGUUAUUUAUUUAUGUAUUUAUUUUCAUCAUAAUUUCAUUCAUUCUUAUUGACUUUGUCCAGUUGCAUUCCAUUUAACUUGGGAGAUGAAUGCUUUUACCCAAAUUCAUUAAGUUAUUACUUUUUCCGGAAUAGUUUUACUUUUUCACAGACUUCUGCCCUGGCCACUUUCCACGUCAGCGAGCAGGGGAUCCGGGCAGAACGAGGGAUUCACACAAGCUGGAUUUCUGGUGGACUGGAUUAGUGAAGUCAAAAUUAGUAAUAGUCAGAAUUAGUGGCAGAAUUAGUGAUUGUCAGAAUUAGACUUAGCACCAUACAUUGCUUUGAAUUCGGUGCGGUUUCCGUCCUGCUGCAUUCAUCCUCGUCGUUGAAACUGUCGAUGAAUGUGGUAAUGGAUGAAUGUAUGACGUGGAACCUCCUUUGAGGCACUUGUUCCAAAGGACAUAAGAGGACCUUGGAGUGUUUGGGUCCAUUCACUGCAAAGUCGUUUUAUCCAACGUCUAUUCACAAACUAAUAUUUUUAAAGAUUUAAUAAACUAAUGGUAAUUAUUUAUAUAACGUUUGUACUUUAAUACUGCUAUAAAUUCUCCUUAUUGUUCAAUUUCCACAUAUAUAUAUUUAUAUAUAUACAUAUAUAUGAUUUAUACAUAUUAUUCGCCUGUUUGCUCUAAAAUGUAUUUGUUUCUUGAGUUUUUAAGAUUGAACUGUAGUGCAGUUUGACUUCUAUUCAUAGAAACACAUCCUUUGAUACUUGCCUUUGAAUUAUCAUUACAAAACUUUUAAUAUCAAUCAUUUGUAUGAUUUGCAUUUAUAAUUUCAAUCAGUGGGCUUGUUUUUCAGUAUCACUUAGCAACCACGUUGACUUGUUAACAACAAAAGCUGAGAAGUUAAUGUUGAAGUUAUUACAAUCUAUCUGAAUAUUAUCAAUGCGCUAUUAUUAGUGGCAAUGUCUCUCGAUUACCAUCCUAUAUUUGGCAGUAUAAGAAUGUUUGUAAGCUCGUAAAUGCGGAUAUUUAUAGUUCAACAAUUCAUUGAUUGUUUUAUCAAGCAUUUCAAAUGUAAAAUCGUUGAUAAAAAUUUCCAAGUUAAUAUCAUCUUGUACUUGAUAAUAUAAUAAGUAUUGAGAUGAUACCCAAUGUAUGCAUUACUAUAAACUAAUGUAAUGAAGUCAAUUCUACAAGUUAGAAAAAUAAAUAGUACUCAUGCAACAUCCACUAUUCUUUACUGUACCUCUAAGCAUCUGUUUGACUAUCACCACAAUACUCCACUUUUUUGUUAGACAGGUUUAUACUUUAAAAAAUAUAACACAGCAUUGCAUUACCAUUUGUUCUAAGGUCACAAAAGCAUCAAAGGUCAAAACACCACUAAUGUCCUCAUUUGAGAAUACUUCUUUUUAGUUGAAUUCAACACAUUUUUGUUGAAAAAAGGAUAACAUCUACAAUCUGUUAACUUAAUGUUUCAGAAGUGAACUUGCUGUAAAACAUUAUGGAGGUAAAAUCCAACAAUAUGCGUACAAAAUUAUAAUCCCAAGAUACUAACAUUUUCUUGCUCUGGAAACUUCUAACUCUUUCAUUAUAUUUGCAAUAUUAACAAAUAUAAGUAUUUGGUUCACACAAUUUGCAAAUAAAUAAAAAUAGUAAAAUUAUAACAUUUUUACAAAGUGCUAAGAAAAAAAAUACUUUAGUAGUAAGAUAUUGAUCUUAUAAUGUCAGAGUGGCAAUAUAAGUAUGUGUAGGUGUAUCAAGCUCAGUAUAAAAUUUAAUUCAAAAAUAUAUUUAAUCCAAUGCUGUUCUUAAAACAAAGUCUGGUGUUCUCAUACAACUAACUUUUAAAUUAAUGAUGCUAACAACCUUUUCACAUGACAUAUAUAUAUUCACACAUAACAUAAAAAGUGAAACAAAAUAACUUUUUUAUGAUAUUUGUGAUUAAAAACAAGUAUUGAAUUUUGCUCCCGAGAUUUUUAAUUUUCAUGUGUAUAUAUAAUUUUUUAAAUAUGAAAAAAACUAAAAUCAUCAAAUGUAUGUGAUUUUUUUUUUUUUUUUUUUUUUUCUCUCGUUAUGUGUUACUUUGAAAAAAAAAUUAUAUCUGUAAUUCUAUUUUUUAUCCAUGAUUUUUCUUUCUUUCUUAAUUUAUUUGUUUUUUUUGUAUAGUAUGGAUGGAAUUAACUUUUUAUGAUUUGUUGAUGAUUGUUUAAACUGUAGUUUUACGUUGCAUUCUAAACUACUAUACAUCAAUAACUUGCUUUGCAUAUUAUUUUUCAAGGAAAUCAAUGGCCCUUAAUGCUAGUCUAUGUUUAUUUUUGUAUCCUUAUUUAUACUACUUUAAUUAAUGGUUACAGGCUCCUAAAAUAAAUUUUCAAAUAAAACGAUUAAGAAUCUUUUGGGAUCUUGAAUUUUGAAAAAUAAAUGUAUACUUUUUCAUUCUUUUUCUUUUCUAUUAGAAGAAUAUUAAGAGGCAAGCUUAAGGCCCACUAUGGUUGUAUUUUUAUUAUUAUUUGUGUUUUAAAUUUAGAACGUCGACAUCCAACAAUUACAUGAAUGGAUUUGCCAGGAAUCCACACAAAAAUUAAUUUUGUUAAAUGAGUAACUUCUCCUUGCAAGUGACUUGGUUCCGGAAAACGAACCCAAAGUUAAUACAUAGCCGACAUUUGCAGUAACCGUUCUAUUUUAGAAAACAAGUUAAAAUCACAACAUGUUUCCCCAAUGAUUGUUAAGGGGGCUAAUGGAAACAUUUGCAUGCAAUUAUCCUUAGUUGGCAUCUAACAACAACCCACUUUAUUUCAUAUAUUAAUUAAGAAUCCUGCAAAUCUAAUGUUUGACGUGGGCAGUGAGUGAUGGAAUACAGUGUAGGAGCUAAUUCAACACUUCUAUAUAUAAAGUCUCAUUUAAGAACCCCUUGAAUCAACACACAAACUUAAAGGACAAGUUAUGGAAAGAGUCCGAUAUAUCCUACUUUUCACAACACAAAAUCCGGGACGAGCCUUGAAGCCUUAAAAAAAGUAAAAGUGUGAGAAAAGAAGGAGGCACGCUUUUCCCAGAACCCUAAAUGGACAACGAAGGGAGCGAGAGUCUCCAUGGAAGACUCUGACCAGUGCCCACGUUACCCACUCUCUCACUCUAGCAAAUCCAAAGCCACGUCAGAUGACACGUACGCAACGCUAACCAAUGGGUGGGAGUGGAGAGGGCGAGGAGGGUGGCGGUGGGAAUGGGGUUGCCUGGUGGAAGGGUGGGGGGGGGGGUCGACGGUGCUGACCAGCCAGCUAGGCAGAGGGCGACCAUAAUGACGACCGUCACGGCGAUCACUCUCAAGCUCUCUCUCUCUCACUUACUAUGUCUCUCUUUCUACUACUACUACGUCUCUCUCUUCUCAUGUGCGAGGGGGCUGGGCAGGACCAAUGGCAGUGCGGCUAUGAUCUCGAAGCUCAGGCUCAAGGGCAGCCAAGUCCCAUCGCCAGCCACCGAGGGGUGGGGAUGAGCUGGCAUUUCAUUACGUCACACGUCAGCCCUUGCAGUGGCAUCCUUUGGCGGGAAUGCUCGCAUUCUACUUUUUAUCUUUUCCUUUCACUUUUUUCUUUUUCUGUUUACAGUGCCCUAUACAGGGCGUUGGUGGUGGAGGAGGAGGAGGAGACCUGGUGGCUGAGGGGCAGAUUUGGCUUGGCUUGGCUUGUACACCAAGGAACUCUUUCUUCACUUUGGUCUCUCACGAAGCGUGUGAAAGUGUGUCAGAAGUUUCAAAUAUUCCGAGCAAUUGUGUGUGAGUGGGUGGGUGAGUUGGAUCUGAAAAAUAUCACUGGUCCCCCUGUAUAAGCGUGUGUGUGUGUAUAUGCUGGAGCGCCUUACAAGUUCGUUGGAUGGGUGGAUGGAUGGGAUCUUACUCGAUGGGGGGGGGGGGGGGUGGGUUGGAUAGAACUUACUGUGUGGCCAUUCUGUCAUCGGAGUGUUUGCUUUAUUUCUUCGUAUUGUAUUGUAUUAUAUAUGUAUACAUAUACAUAUGUGUAUUAUAUAUAUAUAUAUAUUUAUUUAUAUAUAAUAUGCACGUCAUUUAGUUGCUUGAAAUAAUACCUGAAAAAAAAGUAUGAAAAUCAUAUUUUAAAUUCUUAUAAUUAUUCUUGUUUUGAAAUUUUUAAAAAAUUGUUUUGAAAAAUGAUUAAGAAUAUAUUCAAAGAACCUACUGAUAUGUACUCUAAUUAAAUAGAUCACACGAGCAUGUUCAAAUUGUUUUAUGAAAACAGUUAGAAAGUUUUUUUUUUUUUUUUUUUUUUUUAAACAUAGUACAUUAAGUCAACGUUAGAAAUGUAGUUGUUACAAAUUAGAGAAACAAACCAAGUGCCUAAUUUAGAUGUGUAAGUUUAGAUUAGUGCCUUCAAUCUCAGAUUAGUGCCCACGUUUGCACAGUAGAGCACACACUUUGUACUCUAACUAUAAACCCAAUUGUUUUUUUUUUUAAUUUUUGUAUUCAAUAUAUAUAUAUAUAUAUAUAUAUAUUUCUUGCUUUGAAAUAUAUCACAACUUCAACAGUUUCAAAAUUAGGGAUUUGAGUCAUAUGUAGUAUUUAUGCUUUUAUGUUCAUGCACUAAAAAGACAACAUAGUUAAUCAAAAAACUAUAUGAACCCAUAUAUUGUUCAAUUGCCAUGUUUGAAAUAGUUUGUGCCAACAACAACAUAAGAAGACAGUAAAAAAAAAGCAAUAAUAAGGAUGUAACAACAUGCACUCAGACUCAAGUAUAACUAAUAAUUUUAAUAACAUGUUUUAUGUGUAUAACGUUUUAUGAAUUUAAAUUACAAUUUCUGCCCUAAGUAUCAAUUAUUUAGUGCUUGAAAAUUGCAAAAAAUUGAUUAUAAAAGAGAAUUAUUAAGCAGACACUUUUUUUUUAUUGCACGGACACACUUGGUAUUGUGCACGCUUGCAUGUACACAAUGAUGUUUAUAGUUAUUGAGGAUAUAUAUUAAAGAAAAAAGAAAAGAAAAAUAAAUAAUUAUUCUUCUUAUUAUCUUAUAUUUAUGAGUUCUAAGAUAUUGGUAAAUUUUACAUCUCAAUAUUUGCACAUAACAAGUAUGUUUAAAGUAAAUCAUGAAAUGUAUACUAUAUUGAAUACAUAAAUUAGGAUUUAAUAUAUUUCUAUAGUUAUUGGAUGAAAAGGUCAUAAUAUAUAAAAUAAUGAUGUGAUGAUGAUAUUUUGUGUUAGAUGGCAGGGAUACAUGGUAAAAGAGCUGUCAAAGCAAAAACAGGGGGUGUCCACCAAACAGUUCUAUAGUACAAUUGGAUUUGUGUUAAUUGAAUAACCAUAUUUUAAAAUUUUUAGCUUGUAUGGAAUAUCUUUUGAAUUUAUAAAAAAUAAUCUAAUAUAUAUAUAUAUAUAUAUAUAUAUAUGAUCAUUGUUUAUUCGUUGUUCUGAGAUAUAUUUUAAAUACAUUUGACAAAACAAAAGAUUUUGAUACUUUUUUUAGAUUAAAAAGACAUUUUUUUCAUACAUAAUAGAAUAAUGUGAAUGUUUUGCAUAUUUAAUUUUAUAUUUUAAAAAAUUAGAUUUGAUGUUUAUUCGUUAUCAUAGGAUAUACAAAUUUAUUUUUACAUUUUUAACUCCAUUGAAAAGGUAUAUUUUUUUGUCACAUAUAUAUGUAUAAAUGUGUGUAUUUUAAAAUUUUGAAAUGAACAAUAUAUUACUUAUCUUGAAAUUCUUAAGCUUUAAACAUUAAAAAUGUCAAUAUGAUACCGUGAAACAAAUACCCUACUUAUUCUUAGUAAUUACCUUUUUAUUUUUAUUAUUAAGUUUAUACUUCUGUUUUCUUUGCUCUUCAAAUUAUUUUUGUUUGAUUUGUUUUUACCACACAGAUGAUGUUCUUGCACAAUUUAUCCUAUUGUGGAGUUAAUAUUUGGCAUUCUAUAUGAGUUAGAUUGAUAUAUAUAUAUAUAUAUAUAUAUAUUAAAAUAUUUUAUAUUGUAUAAUUGUAAUCUACCAAAUGUCCGAAUAUACCUAAUCAUGAGAGAUGGCGUAUUGAAGGGAGAGUGACUUAAUCACUAACAAUUUAAAGGAAAAAAAGCACGAAUGAUAUCUGUCUUUUUUGCUCUUUGAAAGAAAAAGUAAGUAGAAAAAAGUGAAAGCCCUUGAGUGAACACCAGAAUCGCUCUGAAUUGUUGUUUUGGACCCCAUUUGCUUGCCCACGUCGAAGCUCCGCAUGUCCUUCAACUACGUUUUCGAAAUCUGAGCAUCGCUGAAUAUCAUUCGUGCUUGCAGAGUCGAUCGAAGGAUUGUAUUACAUCGGUUGUUGCUGUGAAAUUUCGACCUCUGGAAUCGAGCCUAGAAUUUUUACCUGAUCGCGAUGAUCCCAGUUCGUAGAGUUCCAAUGGCGUGAUGGUGCGGGAGUUGGUGGGUUGCUUGCGGCAAUUCGAUCAGCAGGUUGAAGGAUAUGUGUGAAAACUGUGUUGAGGGUAAAGGAAUUCGGUGAUGGAGUAGAGGAUCAGUUGUGGGCACCAGAAUUUUUGGUUUGAAGUAGUUGUAAUUUUAGGGUUUUUUAAAUUGCUUGACAUCAGUAUCUGACGUUUGGAAGCUCCGGGGCCUGUGUUGAAGCGUUAGACGAUGAUGGAAGGUGUCGAAGGAGGAGCAAUUUGGUGGGGUUAGGGUUUGUGGUAGCUCGUUGUGAGGAUGGGUACUGGAGGUGAUGGUGCAGGAGGGGAUGUGCUGCGGUUGGGAAACCUUUUGCGGAUGGGAGUUCUGUGGACCCUUUGUCUCAUUUACUCUCACCUCUGCCACAUCGUUCUUCGGUUGCGAUCGCGUUAUCAAUCGCAAGGUUUGAGACCUUUUGAGCUCUGUUCCCCCGCGGCAUGUCGUAAGCCAGCGUGCAUCGUUACUGGGGUAUGACUGCUCUCUGCAAAUUGUGCUUUCUGUACUCGAUACUACUGUUACCCCAAGGCGCGAAUUGGGUGGGAAUUGUCUAAAGCUUUGACUGUAUCCAGGUUUGCAUAGUCUGCAGCGGUUUUCAGAUGGUAGUUUUUAUUGAGCUGGUAUAUGUCACCUCAUUACAGUCUGGUGUCGUUUUUAUUUUUUGUAUAUCAUGUUUCCUGGAGUGUCUUCAAAUGCGUGGUGUAUAUCACUCAAUAUAUGACUACCCCCUGUCUCAAUAUGCCUCGCAUGUUCGUCUUCUAACAAUUUGCAUGAUCGUGUGCAAAGUUGUUGAUAAGGGUGCGGUUUAAUGUGUGUAGGCAUCCUCUGGGAUUGGCCGAGCAACGGCUUCAGCUCUUGCACUUCGGGGCUUUCACGUAAUUCUGGCUGGCCGCUCCUUAGAGCGUCUGCAGGUGGUUCGUGCUGAGAUUGAGGCACAUAGUCCCAGUGUAUCCUGCCAGACUUUGGCUUUGGACUUGUGCUCUGUGCCGUCCAUACUGAAUUUCACUCGAACUGUGAAGAAGCUCUUCGAGGCAGAUGGUGCGCCUGGCAAAUUACAUCUUCUUGUGAACAAUGCUGGCAAGACUCUUGCACCAGAAUGCUUUUCUUUUUGCAAUUUUUUUCAGUUUGCAGUUCAUUGUAACAUCUUGCUUGUUGGCGAGUAUUUAAUAAAUGCUAUAAAAGUUUUGUUUGGUUUUAUCAAUUUGUGAAGUUUUAAUUUUAAUCAGAGCGUUUGGGCAGAUGGUAGAAACUCGAACUUGUCCAGGUCGUUCAGUUGCCUCUCAAGGAUAAUUCAUGUUGGAUGCAUGUUGGCUAACUGAUGUGUCACAUGGUUUUGAAAUAGGGAUUCUGGCAACAUCUGAAAGGUGGACAGAGGAUGGUUUUGAUGUUAUGAUGGCAAGUAAUUAUCUUGGGCCUUAUAUUCUGACUCGCGAGCUUCUCCCACUGCUCCAAAAGAAUGCGCCACAGGCCCGCAUCGUCAAUUUGGUCUCUUUCACUCACCGUGCUGUUCAACGUGCACAAGUAAACGUGCGUCAACUGGGAAGUGGAGGCAUUCGGCGGAAGCACACUAGGAGCGACAUAUAUCAUUUGGCGCAAAUUUACGAGACUUCUAAGUUGUUCAUGAUCCUCUUUUCAUAUGAACUACACCGUCAAUUUUUUUCCAAUUUUGAGCCAGAGAGCCGCGUGUCAGUCAUUGCCGCCGAUCCUGGGGCUGUGAGCACCAAUAUCCUGAGAGAGGUUCCCUCCUGGCUAGCUCAUUUGAGCAGUAUUGUGUUGAGUCUACUUGGCUUGUUGCAGCCACCAAAGUCUGGCGCUUCCGCAGUAGUGGCUGCCGCGAUGGCACCCUGGGAGUUGUCCGGUAAGUACGUUUUUGGAAACGAUGGCCUAUGUUGCAAGUCUUCUUCCAUUACUUACGAUGAGAAACUUGGUUGUAGCCUCUGGAAUGCCUCAGAAAACAUUUACAAAGAAGCCCUUAGCAGACACUGAAGUAGGUUUGAUUUUGUGGUGUGAUUCCUAUAUUUAAUUUGCACACAGCUAUGUUGCUACAUUGUGGAACUUGAAAUCCUAAUCAACUCCCCGUCAUCGAAUAUCAUGCUUCUUUUCCAUACUGUAAUGGAUAUGAUGUCUAGUGCAACACUCGAAGAUCUAAUAGUUUCGGCCAUGUUGAUGACUUAUUCAUGGAACAGUCUGGUCUUUGGCCUCUCUUGUUGUUUGUUCCCAAUGUGACUGUUGACGCAAGGUGUCCCCAAUUCUGACAUUGGGGUGAACGAAAGUGGCAGUUGAUCAAGCUAUGACGUGAGUAGUCUGGUCUUAAUAUAUUCUCGAGACUUCGCUUGAUCUCCGCAUCAACCCCAAUCUUCCACAGAACCAACUCAACAUAGUCUUCCAUGAAUGAAGCUCCCCGAAGUCAGUUAAUUUUGAUACAGUACUAUCCAGUUUGGUACCACUUUGAAUCCCAGAAUUAGUUUGGUACCAGCUCUUUAUUUUACCAUCUUUGGCAGAUCUCCAUUUAUAACAUUGUCCGCCAUGAACAAACCAAGACAAGUCGCGUUGUGUUCGGAUGGUGGCAUGGAUGGUUGCAUUGAGUGGUUGUUGUUUUUCAAUCAGAUGCAUCUUGGCAACCAAAUAUGCUUAUGUAUAUUACUUCUACUUGUGUAUUGUUUCUGCUACAUAGCAAUGAAGUUGUUAUGUUACCUGACCUGCCAGAUGCAUGUCGACUUUCGAGCUUUACGAAUAAUUUAGUUUGAUCAAACUGGACUUGCAGGUGUAUGCUUUGGUUGCAGAAGUUUGCCAUUAAUGAAAUCAAUAAACCUUGGGAAUAGAAUGCGAGUGGGCUCUCAAGACACACGUGUUGGAAUCAACUUGAUCUCCGUGAAUAACUCGUCUGCAUUAAAUGAAACGUUCCGUUAAGUCCAUCAAAGGCUGCUGCAACAGGAAGUCCUUCUUAUACAAGUAUCGUUGCUGACGUUUGGUAGGAUCUCACUAAAAGUGAUGCAUCUGGAUGAAGAAAGUUCUUUAAAAAGCACGCAACUCAACUACAAUUUCGGCGGUCAAGUAGACUUCUAAUCCCUUUAACUAGCGAAGUUGACUUCUGUGGGCAUCGUCAAAGCCAUCUUGCGAACACACGCGCUGACCUGAAAUGCAAUUAUGCAACGGUGCAAUAUAGUUAAAUCCAGUAUUCGCUACGGACUGAAUGCUUUUGUGGAAUCCGUCUAUGCUUCUAGUGGGUUACGUCAGAAACUACUGGGAGAUGCCCGAUGGGAGCGAAUCUGGGGUACCUUGAUAUCGACGACCGAGUUGAGAAAUCUCUGCAACAGAAUGCUCUGCAGACAGGUUAAAUUGAGAGUAGAAUAUGCAAAUCAUCUGAAGAGUAAUGUAAACAAUUUCUCUGUCGCGAUGACAGAGAUCUGGACUUGAUCCAAAGUUUAACUUCCUGCAUAUCAUGUUACCCCAUAUCAUGAAAGCACUGGUGAGGGGUAGAGCUCCGCAAUUUACUUGAUAAAAACGAGAUCUCUUAGGGAAUGAUCUCGCAUAAGCGGAGCAAGCCGCACAUGUUUAAUACAAGGAUCACAAGAUUCGACAGAUUAGAAGAGGAGCGUAAAAUCGUGAUAAGUGAAAGGUACGCAUACUUGGUUUUUCGAGUUAGGGUUUUGGCAAGUAUGGAUUCAUAUGUUAAUAGAGUGAGAUAUGGAGUCACUACAUGUGAAGACUAGAUGGGAGGAGGUAGGAUAGAGGACAAAGUGAGAGAUUAUCAAGAAAGGCUUUAAACCAAAUUGGAAGAAUGUAUGCACUAAGUCGAGGACCAAAAAAGAAACAAUUCUUAUUUGGCUAACACAACAUUGAAGUGGUGUAGUAGUUAAUGUAUGGAGAGUUAAAACAAAUAGAAGAAAUGUCAAACAAAUGCCAACUAUGCCACUUACAACAAAAGAAUAAAAUGAUCAUCUAUAGAUUUUAGAAAUGUUGAGAAUUCAAACAUAUUAAGUAUUAAAAUAAUAUCACUUGUGUCUAAAAUGACUACAAAUCCUUAGAAUUUGAGACCAUAAAAAAUGUUUAUUAGACAUUAAGAAUACCAAAGCCUAGCAUGAUUAUAUGUAUAUAUAUAUAUAUAUAUAUAUAUAUAAGAAGUAAAUUAGACAAUAUAGACAAUGUAAUUAUACAAUAUAGCCUUAUAUAUAUAUCAAUUAAAUAUAAAAGAAUCUAGUCUAUCAUUUAUUAAAAAAAGGGUUAAGGACUACAAUAUAACUAUCCCUUUUAAAAUUAUGGAUAAAAACCAAGAAUUAUUGCUUAAUACAUGUUUGACAUAAUUAUUUUUUUAUAUUUAUUUGUUAUUGCUUUUUCACAUACAAAAUGAUUUACAUAGUUUUUGUCAAUAUCAUUAUUGUGAAACAUAUAAUGCCUUGUUAUUUAUUUAUUUAUUUAUUUAUUCAUUUAUUCAAUAUAUUAGUAUUUUAUUAGCAGAAUACUAUGGACGUACUACAGAUCCUAUUACAGAGAGUUAAAAUAAUAAUAAUAAAUUUUUAAAUAAUAUUAACAGUUUUGAAGACAAUGCACAUAAAAAAUAACAAAAAUAUUAUCAACAAAAAAAAAGAAUAAUAAAUAGUUGAAUAGUUCAUAAACCAGUUGGGUAUAAAAACCAUUGCAUGAAAAUUUAAUGGUCUAAAAUUCUACGAAUAUUAUUGAUCUAAAUAAUGUUAUUAAAAUUAAAAACUGUUGUUGUCAUAUAUAUAAACACAGUAUAAUAUUCAUAUAAAAUAAAUAAAAUUUUGACUAUAUAUAUACAUAUUUAGAGGUUUUAUUUAUAGUUUUAUUAUUUCUUUAAAUUGUUUUGUGUUUUGUUUCGUAUUUUGAUUGUUUUCUUUGCAUGUUAGCCAUAUUUUCAAGCACUCUAAUUUGAUUUUUCCAAUUGAGUAGGACGAAAUAAAAACACUUUGCAUAGAUAUACAAAUAAAUAGUAGAAGUUUGAACAUAAAGGUUGUCUUUAUGAUCAAUGAAUAACUUCUGUUCACCAACAUGCAAGCUUAAACCUAUUUAGCUCUAUUUGUAUGAAAUAUUAUAUCUAAUUGUAUUUUAAUAAAAUAAUAAAAUAUUUUAUAAAUUAAUCCAAAAUUUAUCAAUUAGUAGAGUUAUUGUUGAUCUUGAUUUUCAUUUUAGUUACAAUUGAUUCAACAUAAUCUGCUAUAUUAUCUCAAUUAGAAGAAUAACAUUAGAAUUUAGACCACCUAAUAAAAUUAUGAAUAUCUCAUUUUAUUUCUACUAAAUUGUACAUAUAACAACUCUAUCUAUAGUUUGUAAAUAAGUAUUAUCUCAGUAUGUUAUUAUUAGAAGUACUAGUAUUGUUGCUAUUAUUAUCUAAAAUGAUAAAACUUUUAAUCAAUAUUAUUCUAUAAAGGAUUUUGCACAUUGCAAUAUAUAGUCAAAUAACAUGUUACAUUCCAAUACUAGUAUCUAGUAUUUAACAAUAUCAUGUUUUAAUCUUUUAAGAGCUAAGUGAAUUUAUUUAUUUUUAAAAAUAGCUAUAUGAGGGCUUUGAGGUUAUUUGGACAAAUUAAACUAAAGUCAACCAUCCAAAAUUAAAGUGUAUAAAUUGUCUAAUUUUACUCAAUUAACAUUAAUAUUUGGAGUAGUUGCAAAAUGUAAUUUUUUUUUGUUUGAAGUUAAUAAAAUCCACCUUUGUGUUUUAGCCAUGUGUAAUAUAAUUACAUUUUAGUGAGUUAUUUAUAUAUGUUAUUUAUUCUCCAAAUAUUUUUGAUAACAACUUUUAAAAACAAUAUUGCUCUUAUGUUCAUUAGAUACUUUCAUUAGAUUUUUAGAUUCUACAAGUGCUUAACCAAUAAUCGUUCAUUAAAAAUACACAUAUAAUACAAUUAAAACUCUCUCAAAAACAAAUAAUUAAGGACACCAAUCCUCACACAUGAAAUCACACAUUACAUUUUUGGAGCCCUAGAUUAGGGUGUGAACAUGCAACCAAGCAUGCACACUAUACCAUGAUCACUAAUGGUUUACAAUCACCGAUAUUAUUGAAUACUAUUGAAAUUGCUUCCAAAAAGACAAAUUUAUGUGAGUAGAGAAUCUAGCGACAUUUGCAACAGAUGUCGAACUAGAAACAAGCUGAACCCAGAGGCGGCUGAAGCUGAGGUGGCAAUGAACGAGACCGUACGAAGCGGAAUGUACAAUAUCAGGGUCUAUUCCGACAGGAACCAGCCAGCGCAGCACUGCCAGCAAACCCAGAGCCUGUGUCAUUAUUGCCACGUAGGCCAGCUGCUCAAUCUGAGGUGGACUAGUCUAGACCCCACCCCUUGGACGGACCCGUGACGUGGCGUUCAGGCAAAGCGGUGAAGCCGAGCCUGUAGGUGUGGAUCCCUAGCUAUCGCCUCGGUCGUCUUCGUCUGGGUUGGGUGCGAUUCUCGUCCGUCCGUCCGUCCAUCCGCUCGUUCGUUCGUUCGUUCGUUCGUUCGUUCGUCUGUACGUGGAAGGGGGGGGGGUUUUUGAGGGUGGGCUUUGUCGUAGCGUAAGUACACUUUUUCGUGGGGAAUUGGAGGGAGGUCCGAUUCUUCUAUUCGCAGCUCGGACCAGGUCGUGAUGCACUUCGCGCUCUCCUGUGUCCGAAACUUUUGCUGAGGUUCGAGUAUCUAGCUGCCGCGAGUGUUCCUUUUUUUAUUUAUUUUUAUUUUUAUUUAUUUAUUUUUAUUUAUUUUUAUUAUUCCGUGGGGUGCUGCCUGUCCUUUCGUGAAGUUCGGGAAUCUGGUUUGAUUUUCACUGUUGCUAUGUCGGAGUCCUGUAAGCUCUCGCGGAGUUGUAGGGUUUAGUUGCCUGGAAGGUGUGAGGAGUGUAUGUUGCUGAGCUUGGGAGUGGAUGGGCGAUGACUAGGUCCAUUGUCAUUUCGUGACGUGAGAAGAGUGAUAUUCGUAUCACUGAUUGAGUUCUGAGAGAGUGCUGGGGGUGAGUAAGCAAAGCAGGGUUUUGGUUUACCCGUUUUGGGAUUGUUUUUGUCUCGUGGAGCACAUGGAUGGCAGAAGAGUUGUUGGUAGAACGAUGAGAUGUGGUUGAAUCGAUUGUGGCAGUGAAUGGCGGGAAUUCGUAGCAGUUGAAGGUUGCUUGUGGUAGUUCCGAGGCUUGGAAAGUCCGUGGGGCAGAUGUAGUGUGGAAAUUUUACCUGAAGUUGCGUGGAGAAUGGCAUGGUUUCGAAACUGUGGAGGGGCAUGGAUGAGAUUAGCUGGAAUUGUAUGAUAAUCAUGGGUGAAUUGAUACAACAGGGUCAAGAAGAAUAAGCCGAGGUUUAGGUGUAUUGCAGUUGAUGGUGUAGCCCGUGAAGCUGGUUCAUGAACCAUUAGUUUUGAAAACUGCAUGGGAUGCACUUGUUUUGUAUUUGAUCCAGUGCUGUUGGGUGCUAUUGAAUUAGUGGUAUCAUCUGCAGAGAUGAUUCUUCUGAGAGCUUGACUGUGCUUUUAAGGAUAUUGAAAACUAGUUGUGGCGUCAUGGGAAACGGAAUAUCUGUCGUCAGUUGGCCUUGAAUCACGCUUUAGCAAAGACCACCGCUAUAUGUAACAUGGCGAAGCUUGUUACUAGCGACUAAGCGCUUAAUGAAUUCCUAUGUACAGGCUAGUUAAAGAGCUUGCCAACGAAUAUAGAAGUUGCGCGUAAAUGAUGGUGAUCUUGGACAGAGUGCACAUCUUCCAGCCUGGGUUAUUGAGUUGAAUCGGAUUGCGGACCCAUUGGCGCGCCCUCCAAGAUUGCGGACUAGAAUUAGUGGUGUUGAGAUUAAGAGACAGAAGUGUCUUACAUUCCGUUUUUUUACUGAAUUCCGCGAGACUAUUUGAGGGGUUGCAUAUGAUUGCUUCAGCAGGACGUUCAACUCACAUGGAGUUCAAUUACCUUCAGGUACUGAGCUUUUGCCGCACGGCGGGUGGAUUGUGAUCUUCAACAUUAUUGUGUUCCCGUUUUUGAUAAGGGUGUUCAUGCAUCUGGAAAGGACGAACUUAAGUGUUUUGAUUUUAGAACUCACAUUCUUUUCCAUGAAAUAAGAAAGAAGAAGGUGACGUAGAAAGAGAAAGAAAGAAAGGAAUAGAAAAUUGAAACCAAACAAAAAAGCAAUGUUUGGCCGGAAGUUGAAAAAGCCUACACUCGCGUUUAUUAUUGCCGGCCUACCUUGUGUGUGAUGAAUGCUGGAAAUGUAUAUUGAACUUCCUGUGAUUGUAAAGCAAUUGAUGUCAAGCACUACAUGAAUACUUCUAAAGUAAGAUCGUCGAUCACAGAAUGUCAACUAGAACUGCAACCUGAGAAGGUGCAAAUUUAAUAGUUCAUGUUACAGUGAUGAUAAUGCUGAUUCCUGAACAAUUGCGACGCAUUUUUGAUGGUCGUUCUUGUACUUGUUCGCAGAGAGUGAAGGUUUACCGAUUGAAUGAUGAAGGUAAAUGGGAUGAUAGGGGCACAGGUCACGUGUCUGUCGAAUAUCUAGAGGUAAAUUCUUGACCUAAAAGUCAUCAGUUUAAUUUAACGAGGAUUUAAGCAAAUCUAAUGUCAAACAGCUGACGCCCUUAGUAAAAUCGAUAUUUACAGUCGGGUCUCACAGUUACUAGAAACUAUCCUACAUUUCAAAUGGGCCUGUUGCUUUCUGCCAGUAGGUUUCACGUGUACGAGCAGUAAAGUGAGCCUUAUAGUUCUGGAAUUACAAUUGGUCAUACUCGCACUUUUGGUCAGUGGCUAAAAUCCCGAAACCUAGGUGGCUUUGGAAUAUGCUUCAGAAUGCCAUCUUUGCUAAAUAUCGGAAUUUGUCUUGUGAUGCUUGAGUGCUUAGCUUCAACUUGAUAGAUAAAAUGAUAAUCGUACAAUGGUAUCAGAGGUACCGUGAUCUCUGAAACUAAAGUUUGAUAGGUGAAAGAUUGAAGGUUUGGAUAGACAUAUAUGCGUCAAAUAUGUAUGGUAUGGAUACGAAUUUCUGCAGUGGUUUGAAAGUGCAUUAUAUAUUGGAAGCCUUUCAGCACUGCGUAAGCUAAGCGCAUUGGUUGGUCUUUUUUCGAAUUCAAUAUAUUCCAGUAUACUUGCCUGGAGUAAUGGCACGGUACCGAGCAAUUUGUAGGACUUAUUGGGAUUUUAACAGUGAAAUAUGUAGGGCCUUCAUCAUAUUUUUAUGUUUAGGUCCAGUGAAUUUUUAAACAUGGACAUACUAUGACUAGGGUUUCUUGGAUGGCUGCAGCGUUCUGAUGCAGUAGGCUUAGUGGUCAUUGAUGAAGAGGACAAUCAAACACUUUUGGUCCAUCGAAUAUCAACUGAUGACAUUUACAGACGUCAAGAAGGUUAGUGAACAUAUGUUUUUCAAUACUUGUAUUCUUCUGUCUGAUCACACACUUCUGACGCUAGAGGUCCAGGGUGCAGGCUCUAAUAUCUGCCGAAAAUUAGUACUAUAAUCUGCCUUCAAAAUUUCUACCUAAUCAUAUCUUUGGUACUCCUGAUUUUAAUUCAGAUGAGUAGUCGAUAUUUGACAUUCUGUGAUCGAAGAAGUUGCUAAAUGAUGGGUCGCCUAGUUAGAAGGUUGAGACUAUUGUUGUAUGGGUCAGAGUAUUUGUUGGCACCGUUGUUACCAAGGUUAUAAACUCAAAGCUUGAAACCUCUUUGAUAUACUUGAGAUUAUUCUUCUGAGAGUGUAUAUAUAUAUAUAUAUAUAUAUAUAUGUGUGUGUGUGUGUGUGUGUGUGUGUGUGUUGCAGAUACAAUCAUAUCAUGGACAGACCCAGAAGUGGCAACAGACCUAGCACUCAGUUUUCAAGAGACGAUGGGUAGUACUUUCAUAUGGUAAGUUCAUUUACAAGAACUUCUUUCUUGAAGUAUGAAGGUUCUGUAGGACGUACGAGCUUAAUGUAUGCAGUUUCCAAGACGAGGGCUGUUACACUUUUCUUGUUAACCAAGCUUGGUCGUAAAUGUAUUCGAGGGUUUAAAGUUACAGCAGUCUGAACCGGGAGUCCGAUGUUAAUGAGUGUAAACGUAAGCUUCGGUUAAAGCCUGGGUAGAUAUUACGUUGGAUCUAGUGUCAAUUACUUUGAAACAUGUUGUUUCGCGUUUCUUUUAGCUGGAUCUUCGUGUUUAUUUCAUCCAGGGACCAGAUAAGCAGCGUGCAAAGAUCGAUACAUUCCCCCUCUGUGGCUGGUAUGGCUUGUGAACAGCUGUUGCGAUUUGAUUGAUUGGCUGUUCCAGAUAAUCAUUGAGUUAAGGAAUGCCAUAAGCUCGUAAUGUAUGGAUGUCUUUACAAGCGUGGUUGACGGUGAAACAGGGUUGGAUAGUGCCGGUCGGCCUGGCUGUGAUGAUUUGGAACACUCUGGAACUUCUCAAGAUGAUGGUAAGGUUAUGUCAUUUUACCAGUAAUUUUCAUAUCUAGGGAUCGGCAUGUUCUUGUGUACCUAUAUGCCAAUUGUUUGAUUGAGACCUUUGAGAAAUAACGCGAGACUUUUGAUAUAAUACAUCCUAUAAAAUCUUCACUAUUCGAACUGGUUUUGUCUUUUAGUGUCCCAACUGGUUCUUUAAGUCAUGUAUCUGAAACUGAGCUAUUUGCUGCAGUGAAUACAAAUACAGGAUUUGUAUCAUGUGGUUCUUUGAAAUGGGACCUAAUUUCUUACAAAGCACAUUUUGUGAAGGUGGAGGCAGCGAAGCACUUGAGCUUCCACCGGUUGAGCUUUUUAAUCUUUCUCAGAUCGCCAAGGUGUGUUUCAAGUAAUUUAUAGUAGUGGCAGAAUUUCGUGCACUUCGGUUUUGCUACGUGGAGUCAUAAUAGCGUAUGCAGUUUACUUAUCCUUUAUGCCAAUAGUAUCAUGGAACAACCAUAGAAUCUGAUCAUAUAUGUCAGUGAGAAGCUGCAAAUGAUUGUUGUGGCAAAUUCAAGUCGUUUUCGGGGAUAUUCUGUUUGGAACGAUCUUGAAGUCAUUUAGAGCUAUAAUUCUCUUUUGCUGUGCUGGCUGCAGGUUAUUGGAGAAGUACUACCUUUUGACAAAGAUAGGUUGGCUAGCAUUGUUGUACGUAAUGUAAGUCAUGGAUUCACAUUUUGUUCUUGAUAUCUAUUCUGCUCUUAUCUAACAAUGAGCCUUGGUGUGUGUGUGUGUGUGUGUGUGUAUGUGGUUUAUUUUGUUUUAUUUUAUUUCAUUUUUUAUACCCCUCUUCCCAGUUACAUAAGUAUAUUUUCAUUUUACGUAUGUUUUGCUUCCUGAUGGACGUACUGCACAUGAAAAAUAUGAUACUUUACAUUUGGAUGGGUUAUUUGUGUUUCAGCAAAACUAUAUCCGCAAGCUGGUAAAGUUAUUUCGCACUUGUGAAGAUUUGGAGAACGAUGAAGGUCUACAAUCGAUGUUCAGAAUUGUGAAGGGACUCAGUAAGUUCACCAUCCUGUCUGGUCCUUCGUCUGUACUUUUUAUCUCUAAAUUAAGUAUGAUUCCUGGAUAUUUCUUUGUGUGCUCUUAGGUUUGACAUCGUUUAUGGCUACUUAGUUUUUUGUAUUUCAUUAGUCUAAACUUUGUUAGCAAUUGAUUUGUCCGGAAUCCCUUUUCGAGUCUCAUGGUUCAAUCUCUAAACCUGUUUUUGUCUGCUUCUGGUUCUAGUUUCAGAAGGGUAGAUGAUCGAAUUGGAAGGUGGUCCUUAAGGUCGUAUUGUGCUGGUUCUACGUAUUGUUAGCGUGAUGGGUUUUGGAGUGCCAAAACUUCCGAAGUACAAAUACCUCGCAAUUGGUGUUCAGUUUCAAUCUGAGACAUUUAAGUUGAUCUGUGUAGGGCUCUAUGUUGUUUGCAGUUUCGCUCAAUGAUGGGCAUAUUUUUGAUAUCAUCUUCAGCGAUGAGUAUAUUAUGGACAUCGUUGGAGCCUUGGAGUGUGAGCACUUUUACUUUAGCUUCAUAAAUUAUUCAUGUAGCCUCUAUUUCAUAUACUCGAAUGAGUGCAAACAUAUACAUGUGCAUCGAUGCGAAUAUUUGCAAGUCGGUACAAAUGAAUCAUUUUUUACGACUGGGUGUAGAGGGUAAAUGAAGAAUGCAAUUUGCUACUUAACCUCUGCAUAAGAUCAACUUUUUGUAGAGAACCAAAUGGUAUGUUAGGAACAUAUUUUCUAUUCUCGACACACAAGAUUCUGGGUUCUACCUGUUCUCUCUAUUGAAAUUCAAACAUACUAAUGACAGUAUGGUAUUCUCAUAUGCUCAAAACGUUCUAGUUUACGAGUUGCAGUGAUUUGGUUCUCUAUCUUACUAAAUUACAGCACCAUCAUAACCAAAUAUUAUGAUCUUGAAGCGUCAAGAUCAUCGUAUGUGUUUACCGCAGGUUAUUACCAAAUGGCUUAUUAGAAUAGCACAUGUUGUUCAUUGCUAUCUAACAGCAUAGUUUUUUGAACGUGCUGUAUGCUUACAGAUGAUCCAGGAUUGCCAAUACGCCAAAAUCAUCGGACUUACCUUCUGGAGCACGUUAAUUUGAAAGAGGUAUAGAAGCAUUAUCUGUUAGAGCGUUGCUUAGCUCUUGACAAUUUCUCACGUUCGCGAUGUACCUGGAUUAUGACAUUCAAUUUUUUGAAUCAGAAAUAUGCAUAUUCUGCGGAAGAAAACGUAUUUUUCUUUUGAGGUGUUAUCUCUGCUCUGAGACAUGAGCAGACUCCAGGUUUAAUGGUUGAAAUACAAGUUGAUGUUAAACUAGAAGCUCACAAAAAGCGUUGUCUCUAUUGUGCACUUAGGUUGUUCCUAUCCAUGAUUCAGCAACAUUAUCAAAGAUUCAUCAGGCAUAUCGCAUUGGUUAUAUUAAGGUAAGUCGCUAUCUUUUCAACUUGUCUAAAGUGCUCCUUGUGAUGCUUCCACAUUAAAGGUGUUGUUCUAGUGCUGUAAAAGCUUCCCUUACUUUUCAGUUGGAUGCCAUGCGGGGACAGCUGUGCUUUAAUUUCCUUCCACUUGUUUUGUACCAAGAAAGAUGUUAAUGACAUAUGUGGUAAAUAUGUGAUGUAAUGUGCAUUCUCGAUCUGAGAAGUGUUACUAUGUUCUUGUCUUUUUAGUGCGAAGCUCUGGAGAAUGAUCCUAGUUUUCUCGCAAUUGUUAACACCUUUUUGGGGACUGGUCUUCUGUAUUGAGGUAGCGAUUUAAAACCAACAUAUUAUAUUUUGUGUAAAGGAUAUAAUUUUACCAAGGGCGCUGGAUGACCAGACAUUUGCGACGAUGAACUCCAUUAUUCUUUUCAACAAUGUUUCAGUAAGCUCGUUGUGUUUAAGCAAUGUUGUUGAUGAGGGCUUGCAAGUAGCUGGAGUGCAUACUUAGGUACUGUCAAAUGUAUUUACCGUUGCUUCAUCUUGUCCAUUUUAAGCUAUAGAGUUCCAAAUGGUUUCGGCUAGUUGUUUUCAAAAAGCUUUAAACACGGAUUAAGAUUAUUUUAAUUACUGUUUUUGAUCGUGUAGCUAAUCUACUUGGCAUUUCUCUAUGUAGAAGCAAAAACUUGCUGACACUAGAUAUUCAUACUCUAAUUUUAAUCAAGUUAAUUAGUUAGUGUUUUAAUUUUUAAUUUUUUUUGGUAUGUUUUUUUUGGUGAGGUUUAUGUCAUAGUGGUAGAAGUUUAGAAAUCCGUGUAGUCUUCUUCCAACCCAAGUGGUCUGUAACUUUGCUGUAACAUUUUGUGUGGGUUCUGUAUACUUAGGUGGUAUCAGCUCUCCAGAAUGACUUGGCCUUUCUUUCGGAACUCUUUUCAAGACUACGAUCACUUGAAACAUCUAAAAAGAACAGACGAGAUCUGGUAGGUUUGAUGUGCCGUUACUAUGCUCGCUGGUUGUUCAUGUAUUUGUCAAUGCUUGAGGAUCUUUAUACACGGUGUUUCCUUUUUUCACUUACUCUCACUUUAUAUCUUCUUGUUCAGGUGUUUUUUGUGCAAGAGUUGUGUAACUUGAAAAAACAUCCUCAACCAGCAGUUCGAAGCCAGCUCUUCAGGUGUACAGCUUCGUUUAGAAUCUGUGCCUCCUGGAGAUGUUGUAUAAGUGGCCAUGUUGCAAUUGGGUUAUAAGUGUAGUCAGGGACCAGGAUUGCAGAGCCGACUACUUCUUGUGGGCAUUUGCUAUAUUUUGUUGAUUACUAUUUGUUACUUUGAAUCCAAUUGAACUUGACAAAUUAUAUGUAAAUAUUGUGAGCUUUCACAAGAGCUUUGAAACAUCGCAGAAGUGUCUUGCGAGUUUUUUCAUCUAAUCAGCUGUUUAAUUCGAAUCAUUAUUUUCCUAUGUGGCAGUGCACUUGUCAAGGAAGGAUUGCUUGAUAUUAUGAAAGACAUACUUAAGGACACGGACGAAACUGUUCAAUUGAGUGGGUAAUUUUUUUGACAUAUCUGUCAGUUUCUGAGUGAGUUUGCGAGUAUUUUGUUCACAAGGAUUGACUUGUAUCCUUUCAAAGAUUUAUGUGUUCAACAAUUCAGAGUUCAUUGAUGAUUGCGAACCUUAUAAUACAGUCGUUUCUAUUCGGAAGGUGUUAAUUUCUCUUCGAAUUGUAACCUACUUGGUUAUUGUGUUUGGCAGAUGUGAUAUUUUAACUGUGAUUAUGAACAAUGACCCGGCACUACUGCGCGGCUUUUUAGUGCAACAAGCAGCUCACACCUUAUUCAGUGAGCUGGUGCGUAUUGCUUCGAAUACGAUUUAAUGCUGAACAUCACCUUAGCACUGGAACUUCCACAAGCCUAGAACACCAAUUAUACAAGUGCUGAGCUGAGUACUUAUUACAGUUAACGUAUUAUCAAAAUUAUUGUUCUUACAGGUUUCAGGUAUGGUCACUCAAAGUGAAGGUGGACUCCAAGCACAACUUUUGGAAAUCAUACGGAUGCUUUUGGACUCCGAAACCAUGGAAGCAGUAUGUAUUUAACAGUAUCUUUUGACUCUUUCACGUUCUUCUUUUACAUUAUCGCCCUUGUAUUUCUUGUUAUCUGACCUUUGCUCUUUUUAUUUGCCCUUGGUGAGUUUUUUAUUUUGUUUUAUUUUAUUUUUUGUGCUGUGUAUCUACUCCUUUAGAUUUUUACACUCAGUCUUUGCUGAGUUGAAUACAAUAAUUUGGACAUUUUGGUCAUCUAAAUUGCUUCCUGCGAAUCUUAAAGAAGAGCUGCUACAGUUAUUGAUUUCUUUGAUGUGACUAUGUGGGGUUUCAGUCGCAAGUCGAGAAAAGCCCGUUCUUGGAGGUUUUCUAUGAGAAGUAUAUGGAUCAGAUUGUUGAGGUCCUUAUUAGUGGUUGCCCACCCGAAGUGGGGGUUGUUGAAUCCUCCAAGCACGUUAAUCGUCAAUAUCAAAUCAAGCGACCUGUUUCUCCUGAAAUUCUUGGGAGUAUCUGCGAUCUUCUGUGCUUCUGUGUCCAACAUCAUCGUUUCAGAAUCAAGUAAGUUCAGAGGGCAUUCAUGACCUAUUUCGUUCUUUUACUAGCGUGAUUAAGAAAAGGGGCUGCUUCAUUUUUCUGCAUACUCUAAACGCAGAUUUUUAUGCUCUUAUUCUUUUGGCGCAGGUAUUACGUGAUUAGGAAGCAUGUGGUGGAGAAAGUUUUGCGAUUGACACGCAGAAAAGAAAAAUAUUUAGUUGUAGCAGCAGUGCGCUUUUUAAAAACCUGCAUUUUUUUGAAGGUUAGUUGUUUGGGCUUACUGCUUACUUUGCUUAUAGUGUGGUAUUCAUAUUGGUUUUGAAGAUGAUUUAUUGAGGAGCCGGGAUACAGUCAUUUACCUUGUUCGAUCAAGAUUUUACUUACUGGGUCUCUACAAAUUCAUAUCAUUAUCAACUCUAUGGUGUCGCCUUGGUAGUACCAGGAUUCUGAAAAGUUCAAACUACUAAUGGUUUCCCUGCUAUCAGGAAGAAUUUUAUCACCGAUAUAUUGUAAAGAAUAAUUGGUUUGAGCCUAUUAUUUCGGCUUUUGUUGCUAAUGGGACCCGCUAUAAUCUUCUGAAUUCAGCUGUUUUAGAGCUCAUUGAGCGCAUCCGAAAGGUUAGUUCAUUCAUCAAUGCUCCUUUUUUGUUUACUUUUAAAGUCAUGAUGUUCAUGGUUUGUACAUUGUACAUUAUUCCUGGCGUGGAUAGGAUUUCACUUCUAGAUAUCUCCUAGUUACGAUUAGCAUACAUGUCUGAAGGUUCACGCAACGUGGAUGUUUGAAAGCCCUGGAAAGAGUCAUUGCUUAUGAUUGCAUGUUAUUCGCAGGAUGGCAUCAAAAGUCUGAUUGUACAUUUGAUUGAAACAUACUCAUCGGAAUUGGGGACCAUUGAUUAUGUGAAUACGUUUCAGGCUUUGAAGUUGAAAUAUGACCAGGUGAAUAUGCGGUUUUAUUUAUGUACGAUCUAGUUCUGAAAUAAUGUGUCUAGUAUAAUUUACAAGUGUUUUUUGCUGUUCUCCAGCCACUGAGUGUACUGAAAUUGAAUGAUGGAUUGCAUUCGGUGCGUGGAGACUUGGACUGUUUAGAAUGUGGUACUCAUGUACUAGGAAAGUUUUGCUUGGUACUAGCUGAGUGACGAUCUAGUGCACUAUCUUGUAGCGCUGGGGACAUGUGUAUGGUUUUGUGAAGUGACCACUAAGUUCGAGGAGUGAUAUGGCUUUUCUUAAGUUGUAACACCCGUACUUUUAUAAGUUUAGUUAUUAUUUUAAGCCUUAAUGGGUCUACAUUUUGAAUUUCUAAUUUUGUAUUUGGAGAUUUUACAGAUGAUGGAAUCCCCGUCUGGUUUUCCAGGAGGUAGUGUGGUUAGCGAUGGAUGCGAACAUGGUUAUUCUAGUAACAGUGAAACAAUUGGCCAGGUUGGAUUAUCUGAAAGUCGUAAACGCAAAGUUGAAUGUGAUUUAGAUAAAGAUGAAGAGGAUCAUAUUAAUGAAGACAGGUACCUAUUGGGAUACACCCGUGCUUUGCUUCAUUAAAGGUUGCUUAAGAUGUUUUUUUGGUUGAGGCGCAACAUCGAAUCUUGGAAAUUUUGUCCUUCAAAUUUUGAGCAUUAAUUUUAGCUAAUCUCCACAGUUCCUGAUCUAUGAAAUACUCAGUUCUCUUUGUUGCCUUUUUCUACAGUGAUGACGAGGAGGACAAAACAGUUUCUAAAUUGAGGGCAUCCUCAAACUCGAAAUCGUUGAGUGCUGGAUCACUCAACAAAAGCGGUCUUCUGGACCAGAAAUCUCCCAGGUUAUCAUUAUUGACAUUCUCAUCACUUUGAGUGGUCGCUCCAUUGAAGUAUUGAUGGGAUCUUUUCUGUCUAAAAUAUGUUUGUUCAUUUUCUGUCAGGAGUGUGACGUACCCCAUGUUUUUAUUAUACACCGUCAACAUGCUAGGUGUAAUAAUCUGAACCGAUUAGUUCUUUUGAUGUUAACAGUAAUGUGGAGGAUACAACGACUGCAAAGCUUAGAACUGCUGGAAAUGAGCAGCCAACUAAGGCAGUGAUAUUAGUAAGCCAAAACCACGUACCGUUCAGGUUUGUGUUGUUGCUAACGUCAACCUUUGUCCUUUCUAGUUAAUCAUGGACGUGGAUCAUUUUCAUCUUUUGAUUGAUUUGAUUCAGUCACUUUAUUUAUAUUUAUAUUUAUAUUUAUUUAUUUGGAAUUAAAAAGAAAAUCCUAAGGUUCUCCUGACGCUGAUUGUAAACACAUUAAUAGUUGAAGUUUGGUCAUAGUUCUGGUUAUCGUCCUCAGGGGUGGAUAGUGUUUUUCUCGUUGUUUUUUAGGGGUAAGUUUGGCUUAGUAGAUUAUGAAGAUGAGGAGGAUGAGCUGCCUAUGAAUUUGGGCAGCAAGAGGAAAGAUGGAGACGGGGUACUUGUGAGCGAGUCUGACCGCCUGCUCGCGGCAGUCCCACUUUCAGAUCCUAUAUGGUCAAAUAUGGAAGAUGCAACAGUUGCUAAAAGAAAAUCACAUUCUGGACCAGAUUUGGACCAGAAUCAUGCAAAUUGUUUAAAGAAACAAAGAUCUGAAAUGGUUCAGGAAACUGGAGACUCGAAUGAUUCAAGUAAUGUGACUUGUAUUGAUGACUUAGACAAAUUAACACCCUCCGUGACGGGUGCUGAAACUCGAGGGGUAGCGGAGUCAACAAAUUGUUUUCAAGUAUCUGCUUCCUCUGAGAAUCCCGUAUCAAAACCUGACAGUGUGAAGAUAUUCCCCUUCGAAGAGCCAAGGAAUGGCUGUCAGGAGAUGUUAGCGCUGCCGGCAGGAAAUGCUAUUGUCGUUGACCGGAAAACUUUUGAUUCAGCUUCGGAGUCGGACACAACAACAAACCAUGUUGAUGGUGGAGAUUCUGGGAGCAUUGUUGAUACAGAUACUGCUGGAAGCGUCUUUAUUUCAAACGGCAAAGUGAGCACGUUUUCACGAAGUGCUAAUUGUGUAUUAACGGUGGCAAAGGACAAACAAAAUGUAAUGAAUGGGGCAGCAAACUCUUUGAUUGAGCAGUCCAGUAGCCAUAAGGAAGAAGUCUCAACAUCCCCAGGAUGACACGAGGACUCAUGUCUGCACAAUGAUUCCAGCAGCUUCUCAAGAGCAGUCGACGAGUGUGGGGGAGAGAGUCGAGUUAAACCAGAAGAGGUGGUCCGCAACUUGACUGCAGAGAGGUAUGCAGGUGAAGACGAUAAAGGCGAUUCGUUAGGUCAAGAUUGUAAUGGGACAGCCACUGAAUGUGUAGAGAGGGUAAAUCACGGGACUGAUUUCAUUAAGGAUUCUAUUGCUGGUAAUGGCGGCACCCAACAGCUUAAUAAUGGCAGUUUAGAUAGUGAAAAAAUAAAAUUGACUAGUUUGGGCACUGACCUUAUUAGGGCUGUGACACCGACGUCUCUAGGACCCUUCACAGUCCGAUAGGGUGGCCCGAUUUUCUCUACCUCAGGUACAAGGCUCCUCUGGAGCUUAAUCUCAAUUAUAAUCGCCUAUUGUCACUUUUACAGCCUCUAACAGCACUUUUCUGUCUUCCCAUCACAGAUUCUUUUUAGACAGGAAGCCACGGAGUAAAGUUGAGCAUCAUUGCAGCAAUCCUCUCAGAUUUUUUCUGGAUUCUUGAAUCUGGUUGUACCUAGCCCCCUUGUUCAACACUAUUGCCUGCUAUUCCACAGAUGCAAACCUGUAGUAUCGUGUGGCGUCAGAAUUUGUUCACCGUGCUCUCUCUGCCUCGCUUUGAUUCCUUCUGCCGUGCUUCAUUUUCUCUUAGUUCUGGUCUUUUAUUAACCAUCAAACUGCUCUUGUUCUGUCGUGGUCAAGCCAGUUGUAUCCUCCGGUAACUAGUGAGAAUGAUUCCGUCUACUUAUUUGCACCCAGCCCUUAAACCAUUAUUUUCCCUGAGUUAAUAUCCACAAAUAUAUGGGGAUGUCAUUGUCAACAAGAAGUGAGAUUUUUUCUCUUUGCAUGGUUGUGAAGCUACAUCCCAAAUAGUUUGUAUUUAAGCUUUACCAAGAUUCAAGAAUGAUCCUUUAAAUUAGAGGCAUUCUACACCAACUUAGAUUGUGUCAUAAGGGUGAUUCAUGAAAGGUGCUUCUAAUGGAGUGGUAGUUUGGUGACCUAGCUAUUUACUAUAACAUUUUAUUUAACUACAUAUGCAUCUCAUGUUGUGCUAAAUUUGAGUUGCUACUUUUUAAAAACAAAAAUUUGUAAGUUGGAUUAAAAAAUUAAGAAAUAAUUUCAUAUAUAUUCUUUAAAUAUCUUGGAAUAUCAAGAAUACUCCUCACAUUCUUAAUAACAGUAGAUGUAUCCCUUGUGGUUAUAUCCUACUAUAUAAUGAUUCAAAAAAUCGUUUCAAUGUUGAAAUAUUUUGGAAAGAAUGGUGUAUUAUAGAUGAAUUGUAGUGAAUAAUGACACGUGGUUUGUAUAGCAAAUAUAGUACUCCUUUACAAUUACCAAAUGAGUCGAGGUUGAAAAGAAUCCAUUAAGUAAUUGCGGAGCUAUGACCAAUCUAAUAUGGAGUAGUUUUGAAACAAUUUUUUGAGUGUGGUGUCUAAUUUUUGGAUUCUAUUAAUUAUUCAACAUUAUAACAUUCUAUCAUCAUCAAAUUUACUAUGACAAUAUUAUUACUAAUCCAAUGACAUCAUUAAUGCUUACUAGCAUCUAUAAAAAUACUAUUUUUAAUCACAAUUUCUAGAUACAAAUAUAUUCGAAAUUAUCACAUUCUAAGACCUUCUAAAAUCUUCUACAAAUUUCUAGAACCUUCUAGAUACUUGUAGAAUCUUCGAAAAUCUUUUAGAAAGUUCCAUACACUUAUAGAAGUCUCUUUAGACUUCUUGAAGCUUUUUUAGAUUUCUAAAAACUUCUAUAGAAAAUACCAUAGACUUUUGUAACUUUAAUUAUAGUAUAAAUAGGAGUCUUUGGAACCACUUUUGCUAUCAAUUUCAUUCUUUGUCUUUAAUCUUGACAUAUUUCUUUGUCACAUAUUUGUGUCCUUAACAAUUCCUUGAACAACUAUGAGAUCCAUUCUCCACUCUCUCUAAGAUAACAUCAUCUUUGUUCUUUUUCAUUCUCAGAAGUCUUAUGGCCAAUUUGCUUGUGAACUUGGGUGUAGUAAAAUUACUAUCUCUAAAAACCUUAAGAAUAUUAUCAGUAAUCUUGUGUCAAUCCAAACCAUUGAAAAUAUUCUAAGAAAUGGAAUAUGAAAACCAUGGUAAAGAAGAAAAAGCCACUACUAUCUACCCGCCAUCGAAAACAACACUUUGAUUUUACUUUGAAGUACAAGGAAUAGACUAUGGAAGAUUGGAAGAUGGUUAUUUGGUCAGAUGAGACAAAAAUCAAUAGAUUUGGGUCAUAUGGCAAAAAGUGGGUGUGGAAACAAAAGAAUCAGUCCUCACUUCACAAAAAGAUCCAAAAAAUAGUCAAGCAUGGGGGUAGAAAUAUAAUGGUAUGGAGUUGUAUGAGAUAGAAUGAAAUUGGAAAGAUGGCAGAGGUUGAGGGGAGUAUGAAUGCCAAGCAAUUUGUAGAAAUUCUUGAAAAAAACCUAUUCCUUAGCAUUGAAGAAUUUGGCAUUUCUGAAGAUGAGGUGAUUUUUUAGCAAAAUAACGACCUCAAGCAUAACUCAAAAGUAGCAUAGAAGUGGUUUGAUCAUCAUGGGAUUAAAGUAAUGGAUUGGCUUGCUCAAUCUCUAGAUCUUAAUCCCAUUGAACAUCUUUGGAAGCACUUUAAAUGCCAGCUCAAUAUCUAGAAGUUAAAACCAAAGGAAGUUUGGGAAUUAUGCAAAAGAAUAGGUGCAAAAUGAAAUAAUAUUGAAUCAAUUUUGUACCAAAAGUUAAUAGAAAAUAUGCCUAAGAGGUUGGAAGCAAUUAUCAAGGCCAAAGGAGGUCCUACAAAGCACUGAUAUGUAAUUAGAUACCACAUUCAAAAAAAUGUUUCAAUAUUAUUCUAAAUUAGAUUGAUCAUAGUUCCCCAAUUACUUGAUGGAUUUUUUUCAAUCUGAACUCAUUUGGUAGCUGUAAAAGAAUAAUUUAUUUGCUAUACAAACUAGGUGUCAUUAUUCACUAUAAUUUAUGUGUAAUACACCAUUCUUUCAAAAAUAUGUCAAUAUUGAAAUAAUUUUUUGAGUCACUAUAUAUAAAAGAUAUAUUUGAUAGAUGCAUUCUUGAUUUCUUAGAAGCUUCAUAGAUACGUAUUUGACUUUAGACGUGUUUGUAGUUGAUUGAUAUGUUAGAAACUUGGCCAACAAAUUAGCCACGUAUUGCAUAUGUUAGUAGCUUGUAGAACAAGCUAAUUACAUGGCAAAUAUAUAUAUAAAACAUGUCUUGUAAAUUAGAUAUGUUGUCAUGUGGUAAUACAAUUAUAUAGUGAAAAAUAAAAAUAUGGAUGUUAUUAUAAAAGAACCUAAUAAAAAGAUGUAGUAGAAAAAUAAGAAUAAAUAAUAGAAAAGUAAUAAAAAGUUUAUUUUUAAUAUUAUUUUUUAUAGAGGGAACUUCUAUUCACUUUAUAGAGGCAUAAAUGAGCUAAAUCAAAAUAAAUGAGCUAAGAAAUUGAUAUAAGCAUAUUUAGAAGAGAGUUAAUAAUAUGUUAAAGCAAAAAUUACCUCAAAUUAUCAAAAAUUCAUUCUAAAGAAGACUAAUUGUCAAGUUAGGUUGAAAUCAUAUCAUGAGGCACAAAACUACUUAUCUACGGCAAUUCUAGGGUUUUUUUAGCAAAUCAAAGAGUAGGAUUUGAUAGAGAUUUAAGUUUUUUUUUUGUUUUUUUUUGUUUGUUUGUUUUUUUUGUUUUUUUUGUUUUUUUUAAAGAAUUGGUUUCAUGUCAUUUGAAUUUAUACUCAGGUUUUGAAGGAUUUUCAAAAUUAGUGAUGUACUUGUUGGAUUUAGAUUUUUAAAAAGAGCCAAAAUCAAGGUUUUGUGAGUUUCAUAGGAUGUUUAUGGAUGAAAAUUUGAUAAUUUGUUGUUGUACUUGUCAUAAAUGUGUAUGAGAAAUUUGAAGCCAAUCGAUGAGUUAAAUUGAUGCACAUGAGGAUUUUCAGGAUUAUAGUCUUGAAAAUAGGAAUUUAGAGUAUUUGUGAGUAUUUUUAAGAUAUUAGUCAAAACUACAUACCUACGGCGACUCUAGGGUUCUUUAGAUUGAAAUACAAUUUUACUCAAAGAUAGUUAGCUUGAUUUUCAAUAAUUGCAAAAAGUUUGAAAUAAAUUGAAUGGUAAAAUUAAGAGAAUUUGGUUUGAGAAUAUCAACAUAAAAGUUGGAGAAGAAGGCUAGCCAAUCCUUGAGCAAAGUUUUGGAAUUAUUGUCUAUUUGAUAUAAUCAAUCUUCUUAAAAUUUUUUAAGCUUCUUUCUAAUGUAGUUAUUGCAUGGUAUGCAAAUUUUGAUUCAAAAUCAAAAGUUCAAUCAUUAGCUAUUAAAUUUCUUAAUUUGUUGUAGGAUUUAUUUAGAGUUUAUUUAAGAUUUAGAAUUUGAUUAAAGUUUGAUUAGGAUUGAUUUAGAGACUAGGAUUUGAUUAGGAUUUCAUAAAAAUUUAGAAUUUGUCUAGGAUUUGGUUAGGAUUUAGAAUUUUGUUUGAAUUUGAUUAAGAUUUGUCUAGAUUUAAUUAGAAUUUGACUAGAAUUUUAUUAGAGUUUGUCUAGAAUUUUAUUAAAAUUUUAUUAAGAUUGAUUUAAGAUUUUAGGUUUCAUUAGGAUUUGAUUUAGAGUUUGAUUAAGGUUUAUUAGGAUUUCAAUUAGGAUUUUAUUAGGAUUUGACCUAAGAUUUGAUUAAGGUUCAUUAAGAUUUCAAUUAAGGUUCCAAUUAGGAUUUGAUAUUGGAUAUGAUUAAAGUUCAUUAAUAUUUGAUUAAAAUUUAUUUAAAAUUUAUUUAAAAUUUUUAUUUUAAUAUUUUUUUAGGAUUUUUUUUAUUUUUUAAGGUUUAUUUUUAUAUUUCUUUAGGAUUUUUUUUAAAAUAUUUUUUCUUGACAUUAAUUUAUGACUUCUUUAUAUUUAUUUUGUAACUUCUUUUAAAUUUAGUUUGAAUUGAUUAAAUUUUAAUUAGAAUUAUUAAAGAUUAUUUAUAAUUUAUUUAAAACUCUAAUAGACUUCGUAGGAUUAUUGUUGUAUUUUUACUUAUCUUCUACAACUAAGUGCUUGGUGCAUUCUCAAGAAAGAAUAUACAUAAUACGACAAUGUGUUUUGCAAGUUGGAUACAUAUCAAAGGACCUGUAGAAUGUUGCUACAUAGCUCUUAGUUAGAUAGUAUAUAUGGAGGCAAAAGUGAAGCCUUCUUCAUUUUUAUUAAUAUCUUUCUUCUUCUUAAAAUUAGUCUCAAGAAUCUAUAUUCUUCUUAUCUUUGAUAAUAGUUAUUUUAGUCUUAAUACUAUAAUAUUUUUGGAGUGAAUAUUUAUUCUUCUUGAAUUACACAAGAGUGUUGUGAAAUUUUUCUUGUUUUGAUUCAUGUUCUUGAUACAUUUAGAUAUAUUAGACUCAUGGAUUUAUAUUUGAUUACCAAAAUUCUUGGCUAAAUUAAGGAAAAAAUUAAGAUUAUAAGAUAUCUAGUCUAUUUGAAGGUUACACUUUUUUAGCUACAAUAAUCUUCAAUUAAAUUGAUUAAAAUGAGAUCUAAUUAUAUUAAAUAUUAUUAAACUAUUGUUAUUUUUAUUUGCUACAUUCAAAUAAACUAUUUUAUAGAUAAUGUCUCUAGAAGACAACAAACAAUCAUCUAUGACUUCUACUUGCAUGGAUUUUUUCUUUUUUAACUAAAGCUAUUUUUUAUUUUUUUACAAAGACUUUGUCUUUAAAAUAAGCUAAGGUUUUUGAAUCUAAUAAGAUAAAGAUUUUGUAAUUUUCAAGCCCUAAAUAAACUUCUAUAGUAAAACAAGAUGAGAGAUCUAAGAAAAGAAUAUGACCUUUCUUAGGUAUUAUGUAAGAUUUCAACCACACAUUCCCUAUUGUUAGUGGAGAAACUCGUUUUUUGACACAUUGUCUUUUUUGGCAACUAUACUCAUGAUUUUGUGAUUAUGUUGCUUCUUUGGAAAAUAUUGAGAAGUAUGUUUAGAUUCUCUACAAUAUAAGCACAAUAUUUCUUAACAACAUCAAGUCUUUUCUUGCUCAAUAAGAGGUUUGAAACAUAUUGUGUGAAUUUGCAUAGGUUCCAAAUUUAAUGAAUAAGCUUUUGUAAGUUUAGAAGUUGUUACAAUCACUUGACUUGUAUCUCUCUAACCAAAAUUUUAUUCUUGAUGUAUUUCAAAGAAUAAAUUAUUAUAUACAAUGUCAAAAAUAAGAACUCCAAGAAGAUAUAUAAAUAAGUGAAAAAUGAAUAUAAAAAAUGAAAAAAAAAUAUAUAUAUAUAUAUAUAUAUAUAUAUAUAUAUAUAUUUAAUAAAAAAUUAGAAUAGCUAAUAUCAAAGACUAAAAAGUUAAAGACUCUUAAAACUAGAUUGGAAAUAAGAAAGGAAUUGAUAAGAAAGAAGAAGGCAUCACUCUUACUUCUAUAUAUGCUAUCUACUUAUGAGAUAUGUGGCAACGUUCUAUAAGACCUACAAUGUGUUGUUAUAUUUUGUGAAGUUUGCUUGAGAAUAUAUGGUGAAAAAAAAAAUAUGAAUGUUGUUAUAGAAGCGCCUAGUAGAAAGAUGUAGUAGAAAAACAAGGAUAAAUGAUAGAGAGGUAAUAAAAGAUUUAGUCUUAAUGCUACUUUUUAGAGAAUAAGAUUCUAUUUACUUUGUAAAAACAUAAAUGCCUCAAAUCAAAGUAAAUGAGAUAAGUAAUUAAUAUAGACAUAUUUAGAAGAGAGUUACUAAUAGGUUCAAGUAAAAAUUACCUCAAAUUACCAAAUAUUGAUAUCCAAAGAGGACCGGUGUCAUGAUGUAACACAAUUAAUAGGUGAAAGAGUGUCGAGAUUAUUAUAAUUUAGGAGAUCUUAGUUCAAAGUAUUAGAACAAAUUAUCAUAAAAAUAUAGUUAAUAGUCAAAAGUGUAGAAAAAUUAAAAGGUAUCAAUACUGCCUUUUAGAAAGGUGACUUCUACUUACUUUGUAAUACCAUUAGUAAGGCAAAUCAAAGUAGAUUGGAAAAAUAAAUGAUAUAUGCAUCUUCAAAAGGAAGUUAAAAGUAAAUUCUAGAAAAAAGUUACUUAGAAAAACUACAUAUUGAUACCUGGAGAGGGCUAGUUAUGAACAAGGGUCGAAAUCAAACCCUGGGGCACAAAACCAAGUCUCGACGACGACUCCAGGAUUCUUUUGGAGAUCGAAUAAUAAGGUUUGAUAGCAGACUAAAUAGGCUUUCUAUAAGUGUCAAUUUUGGGUGAUUUGAAGUUGAUAUGACUUUAUAAAAGCUUUGCAAAGUCAAGGUUUGUUUCAGAUGACUUGGGUUUUAUGGAAUAAAAUAGGGUUUAUGUUUUGGGUGAUUUCAAGAGUUUUGUAAUAGAUCUACAAGUGAAAUUUUGUGAGUUUAUGGUUAUAGUUCUGUGUAAUAUGUGUCGUGAAUUUGAGCUUGAUCUAAUGGUUGAAUUGAGGAAUAUUGAGGUUUAAGUUGGUCAAGAUUUCAGAAAGUAGAAUUUUAGGUCUAGUAGGGGAUUUUGAAAUUUCUUGCAAUCUACUAGUUGGAUUGGAGUAAAAUUUAUGUGAGAGGAUAUUAGACUUAUUUUUCUAUAUAUAUGAGAAUUUUGAGAUCAAUCGAACGGUGCAAAAGAGAGAUAUUGGCUUUGGAAGAUUGGCAUCAAGUUUGGAGAAGGAGGCCAGCCAAUACCCGAACACAUUUUUGAGGUUAUCGUCAAUUUGGUAACUUCGAUCCUUUUGAAUUUUUUUUUGCUUGUUUUCAACUUAUUUUUUUAGAAGUGUGAAAAAUUUGAGUUAAGAUCAACGGUUUAUUCAUUAAUUAUUGAGGUUUAAAUCUGUUGUAGGAAUUACUAGGAUUUGAUUUAGGGUUUGGUUAGGGUUUGGUUUAGGAUUUGAUUGGGGUUUAUUUCGGAUUUAGGGUUUGAUUAGGAUUUGGUUUAGGAUUUAGGGUUUAAAUUAGGAUUUGGUUAGGAUUUGAUUUAGGGUUUAUGGUUUAGUUAGGAUUUGAUUUAGGGUUUAGGGUUUGGUUAGGGUUUGAUUUAGGAUUUAGGAUUUGGAUUAGGAUUUGGUUUAGGGUUUAGGAUUUAGAUUAGGGUUUGAUUUAGGAUUGGGCUAGGAUUUGGUUUAGGAUUUGAUUGAGAUAUGGUUUAAGGUUUGUUUAGGGUUUGAUUCAAGGUUUAGGAUUUUAUUAGGAUUUAAGAUUCAAUUAGUUUUGGCCUAAAGUUUGAAUGAAGUUCAAUAGGAUUUUAACUAGAAUUAAAUUAAGAUUGAAUUGAGAUGUAUUUGAGUGAUAUUUGUGAUCCUUCUAAUAUUUCUUUAAGAAUUCUUAUUGUUUGUUUGAAAUUUUUUUGAGGUUUUUUUUGAAUUUGAUUAAGCUUGCUUAGCAUUAUUAUGGUCUAAUUAGAGCAUAGCUAGUAUUCUAUUAGAAUUAAGAUUUUGUUAUUGCAAUUUACAUUCUUCCUUCCACAGCUAAGUUCUCGGAGCAUUCUUAAGCAAGACUUCACGUAUCAUGACACCGGUUGUCAACUUGGAUCAAAAUCAGAUCCCAAGGCACAAAACUAUGUACUUAUGGCAAUUCUAAGAUUCUUUGAUAGAUUGAAGAGCAAGGUUUGAGAGCAGACUUGUAAAAACUUUUUUAUGCAUUAUUUUUACAUCAAUUGAGUUAAUACUCAAUUUUGGAGAGAUUUUUAAAAUUAGUGAUGUUCUUGGUUGGUUUAGAUUUUGAAAAAUAAAACUAUGUUUAUACAUUUGAGGGUUUCUUAAGUUUUGUGGUAUGUGUAAAAAUAAAUUUUGGAUAAAGUGUUGGUGUACUAGUUAUAAAUGUGUGUGCAAAUUUUGAAGUCAAUUGAAUAGUUAGAUCAAAGUAAGUGAAGGUUUUUGUAGGUUGAGGUCUCCGAAAUUGAAAUUUGAAGGACAGUGAGUAAUUUUAAGAUCUUUAGCAAUCUAUUGAUUGGAUUGAAGUAAUUUUUUUUGUGUACAAACUAGACUUGAUUCUCUUCUACUUUCCAUAGCAAGAUGUCUGGUGCAUUUUCAAGCAAGACUUCAUGUAAUAUGACAAUACUAAGCAUUAGCUAUAGAAGGUAAAAUAAAAUUUACAACAAGAUGAUCUUAAUAAUUCUAAUAGAAUCCUUAACAAAUUCUAAUUAAAUUAUGAAAAUAUUAAUAAUUUUUUAAUUAAACUCUAAAAGAAGUCUUAAGAAUUUACAAUAAAAACAUAAAGAUAUUAUUAAAUUAAUCUACUUAUAUCUAAUUCUAUCUAUUCAUAUUACCUAGAUAACUAUUAGGGUUAAUAUGUCUAUGAUAUGCAAUAGCUUGAAUAAUGAAUUAUUCCAAUGAAUUAGCUCUCAAUAUUAUUAAUAAUAUAUCUUCAACAUUAUCUUUCAAUCUAUAUUGAAAUUGAUAAAUAAAGGCUUUGUCAUUUUAAUCUACAUUGUAAGAAAGGUUUUGGAAUUUUGAAACAUAUAAAGUAGUUAAACGUGAUCUUUUUUGUAAAGAUAGAACUUUGGUCUUUGUUAUCUUUUCUUGAUCAUUUUCUUCAAACAUAGUUGUAUAUGUUUCUAAGAUUGAAUUUAGAUUGUAAAAGAAUCAUGAAUCCUUUUCCAUUUAAGGUGCAAAUUAAAAGAGAUCACUCUUAAAAAAAACAACAUUUAUGAAUCCAACUUGAGUAAAUCUAUCAAUGUAUUAGAAUCUAAGAAAGAACUUCACUUGUUGUAAAAAUCUUCAAAACUUUGACCUUAUUUUGUCAAACUUCUUUAGCACAUUUAUCCUUAGCUUUUGUAUAUUUGUAGAAAUAAGGCUUUUUACAUUCAAUUAUAAACUUAAUCUACUUGCUUUUCUUAAUUAUAUAACUUCUUGAUAUAGAGUCUAAAUCUUAUUGUUAACUUCUUUCAUGGAUACAAAAAUAAUAUCUCUAUAGUUUAUAUUAGAAAUAUGUGAGAUUUGGCUCUAAAAGUAUUGACAAGCUUGUAAAGAUUUGCAAUAGUUGCAAAUCUAUUCUCAUUUCUACCAUAAGUAGCAUCUAUAAUUUUUUCUUUAUAGACAAUUCAAAUAAACUCAUAAGUCAAACUAGAGAAUGGUAAUCUGCAGCCUCUAAUAUCAAAUGAAAAUUUCUAUAAAGAGAGGUAGUCUACUCUCUUUAAAGAAAAAAAUUAGUAUUUAAAAAACUAAAAAUUAAUUUAAAAGUAGAUAGUCCACAACUUUCAAAAUACAAGAGUAGAAGUGGAUUAAUUUACUUACUUCUCAAACAAAAAUAGGAUAAAAAGUUAGUACUUUUGUCAAAUUGUCAAGUAUAUUAAUUUCAAAGAACCAAAUGAUUAAUAAAUUUUAAUGUUAAUAAAAAAGACUAGAAAACCAUUCAAAGAUGGUAUAAUAUUAAAUUUGAAUGGCGAUUGCUAAAGACAAGAAGAUUAGAAAGUCUUGAAAUAAGACUAAAGAUUGGAAAGGCAUUGACAAGAGUGAAGAAGAUUUUAUUCUUGCCUCCAUAUAUACUAUCUAACUAAGAGUUAUGUGAAAAUGUUCUAUAGGACAUUCAACAUGUGUUUAAUUUGCAAGACAUGUGAUUUAACUUGCAAGGUAAGUUUCCUAUAUUUGUGCCACAUUGUUAGCUUGUACCACGAGCUAUCCGCAUAUGCGACACAUAACUAAUUUGUUAGCUAAAUUUUUAAUCUAUCAAUCAACUAUAAUUAUGUAUAAAGUCAAAAACACAUCUAUGAAGCUUUUAAGAAGCUUUGCCACAAAAUAAUAUCAAAUCUACCUACAUUUAUCUUCUACCUAAUACUUCUUAACUGAGUAAAUAUAUAUUUCUAUGACAAAUAAUUACUAAAGGUGUUAGUUGUAUUUUUACAUCCUUUGAUGCAUUUUGAAUUUUAAAUUUUUACUAGAUUGCAUAUUAAUAAUUUUAAAGUCGAGGUAUUUAUUUCUAAAUUUUAUAAAUAUUUUAACAACCAUCAUAUAUUUUAGUUGAUCAUGCUUGAUUAUGGAAGAAAAAAAAUAAAAGCUAAAUAUUCAAUAAAAAUUUUAAAAAUACUAUGAUAAUAUAUAAAAUUUUAAAAAUAAAAAUUAAUUUACUAAAAAUUUGAUUAUAUUUUGAAGAAUAAAUAUUCUAUAAAUAGACUUAAAUUCAAUUAGUAUUUACAUAAAAACAUAUUGUAUAAAUUCAUAUAAAAGGUAUUAUUUGUGAUUUAAUUUAGCUAAUAUUUUCUUAUAUAAAAUAUAAUUGAUAUUAAAUGAAUUGAAUAUAGCUACAAUAUUUAUAAAUAAAAUCUAGAAAAUAAUUUCUAUUAAAUUUCUAAAAACUAUAAUUAUUUUAGUUUUGUAAAAGACAAUGUAUUACUAAUCAUAUUUUAAAUAAGAAAACAACUUUUUUUGAUAUCAAUUAAAAAUAUUAUAAUUUUUUAUUUAUAUAAUAUAUCAAAAAUUAUUUUUUAAUAAAAAGAAUAAAAAAAUAUUAUUUUUAUAUAAAAUUUAUCUUUGUAUGUAAUAUUUCUUCUUUACAUUAAAUGUGAUUUUCAUCUCUAAUGAUAAAGUUCCAUUUAGUUUUCCAUUUGAUAUAAAAUAUAUUUACUUCCUAUAUUUAGCUGCACAAAGAAAUGUGAAUUUUGAAAAAAGAAGAAUAGAAGUGGUUUUCCAAAGGCAAUCAAGAUGUUUCUAUUAAAAAUAAAAAUAAAAAUACAUAUCAAUAUUAUAUAUCAAAUAAUUGUUGGGAGAAGGGUAGAUUCUCAAGGCAAGGGGAAUAAUUUCCAUUUAUUUAUUUAUUUUAUUGCAUGCGCCCAUUACCCAUUGAAAUGGGGCUUUUGUGUCCCAUUGGAACUCUACACAUCCACCCAGGAACAUGCGAUCUCCAUUACAAGUAAAACCUGGUUUAUUGCUAAUAAAACCCUAAUUGGGUUUGCCUACCAUCUAUCGGGGAACUUCACAAAAUGGGGAACAGAAUAAUGGGCACAAGGGGGAGCACAACAAGAUCAGUAUACACACACAUUCAGCCUCCAAAUUAGUCUUUAUGCCGGUUUGGAUAUCCUUUAUCCUUUUUGACCCAUUCAAACCCCAUAAGAGCUGCCACUAACACUGUAAAGUGUGGAAAAGAAAAAUAGUGUGUUGGGGGGGGGGGUUUACUGGUUCGCACGGGCUACGACGGGCGGGGGAUACAAGGAGUGAAUCUGCACAACGUCGCCAGACUCAGAGGAUCAGACGCCCGACAGUGUGAACGCGGUAGUCGUGGAACUGGAUAGGAAAUAGACUCUCGUCGUCUCGUGUGAACGCCACACGCGGUGGCGAAGUGGUUUCACGCCCGACUCGGAGGCAAGGCGCGGGGCAAGUUGCAAUGAAGCUUCAUGUCCAAUAGUAUCCCCGCCCCCGUCCGCCUCGCUCUAGAGCGCGUGCCGAUGAGGGUAACGCAUCGCGAAGGGGGGAGACGAAUAAGCAAGCACUGAGGAGGAAGGGGAGCAGAGAGAGAUCACGAUAGAAUUAAUAGGGUUGAGGUGGGGUGGUGUUUCGCCUCUUAGUUCGGAGGUGUGAUCAAUCCACAAUUCCACAGUGCGGGGGGGGUUUUUGCGAAGGGGCACUUUGGGGAGGGUUGCGAGGGAGCGCCAGGCCAACACCACCACACUCAGAUUCCAAGGGUGCAGCGAAAUAUACCCUCCCCUCCCCCCACCCCAUACACACCUUCGCACCGGAAUAAGCCAGCGGGCAAGACCGAGAAACUUCCUGGAUCAGAAUCCCGUGAAGGGCCAAUUUCAGCAAGGGUGCUGCUGGCCUGACCCUUGCCAGGAUUAGGACACGCAAGGAUGCCCUGUAUUGUUCCUUUUGUCCCUUGGCUUGCGCGCGCGAACCUUCGACCCCGUUUCGCGCAGUCCUCGAUCGAUCGUCAUCAUUCCAGGAUUCGGAUGGGGUUCGUUCUCAAGGGGGCUUCGAGGCGAUCGGGCGGUAACCAGCGGAUUCUCUGGAAGGUCAAUGCUACGUCAAGGUCCACGGCUGCCUCGCGGGCGGACUUGCUGGGUGGUGAUUGGAUUGCGGCAAUUGAACGUGCGCAGCUGAGGCUUUAGAGGAUGGGGAGCCUUCCCAGCAAGUUUGGCAGGAAGGAAAGUUUGAGAACUCGGAGUUUGUGGCGGAUGUGGAACCGGCAAGGUUGGAGAAUAUUGUCGCGGUCCCUAGUUUAAUCUGCAGGUAUGGACAAAACGUGCUUUUGAAACGACAGCUUGGCGGUGAAUCCGUUUUCUAUUUUUUACAGUCACUGGGAAUAUUUUAAUUUUUAAUUUUCAGUCGGAUGAUUACACCAAUUGUUCUCUCUCAGUGACGCACUCACCUCGGUGUCGUCGUCGUGCAGUGAUGAAAUGAGAAAGAUUUGAAAUUGGAGUUGGUACCAAACCUCAUGCAUAAACAUGAAGUCACGGGAGAGUUUUGACGCACAGUAAGAACCUGAACAGCUGGCGGAGUUUUUUUUCCCUUGACAGUUGAAAUUGGUCCUUGUCCUUGUCAAUUGGUUCUUUCUCUUACAUUUACAAGAGAAAGAACACUAAGAAUGAUAAAAUAACUUGAAGUAUAUUAAUAAAAAUGACUUGAUUAUAUUGCAAUAAUAAGAGCUUUAAAUAUUGACUUGUGGAGAGUGGUUAUAACUUCUUCAUAACUACUUUGUAACUAUCUAAUAGUAAUUUAUUAUUUACUAACAUGUAUUAAUUAAUCUAAUAUGUAUUAGUGAAUUUAACACCCCCCCUCUUUAACCAUCAUAGAUUAAAUUAUAUUUGAAUUGUCAAUGUUGAUUAAAUAUUUUAUGAAGUUGUUAUGCUUGGGCUUUGGGAGUGACUUUGUCAUUAUAUCUCCCUUUGUAUCAUUUGUAAGUAAAAAUUUCAAGAUAACUUCAUUUGUCUUUACUUUUUCUUGAAUGUAAUGAUACUUGAUAUCAAUAUGUUUUGUGCAAUCAUAGAAACUUAGAUUUUGUGUCAUCACAAUACAUGAUUGAUUAUCAUAAUAAAUUAUACUUGGUAAAGUUACUUAAUGUUUGAUUUUUUUGAAAAGAGUUUGAAGCCAGAUUAAUUCUUUUAAAGAUGUUGUUAUUGCAAUGUAUUCUACUUUUGUACUUGAUUGUGCUACCACAACUUGUUUUUUAGAAUACCAACUCAAAUGAAAUGAGUUGAGAUAAAACAAAUAUCUAGAAGUAGAUUUUCAAGCAUUUAAAUCUUUCAUAUAAUCCACAUGACUCCAACCAUAAAGUUGAGGUAGAGAUGUGGAAGAACUUGAAUGAGAUAGUCCAAAAUUUUGAGUUUUUUUUUAAAUAACAUAAUAUGGGCUUUAAAGUUGUCCAAUAUAUUAGAUUAGGCUUAGCCAUAAAUUGUGCUAUAUGAUGUACAACAAAAGCUAAGUCAUACCUAGUACAAGUGACAAGGUAUUAUAGACUUUCAAUAAUGUGUGCAUAUAGAAUAGAUACCAUAAAUUCAAUGGUUCUCCUCCCCCUUCUUUGAGGUUAGGACCUUGAAAAAAGUGAAUACUAGCCUCAAAAAGAGUAGAAAUGGCAUAGCAAUUGUUCAUAAAAAAAAGAUUUAAUGUAUUCAAUACAUAUUUGACUUGAGAGAGAAUUAGAAUGUAGAUAGUACAAUUAUGACGAAUUUGAAUACCUAAGAUGUAUUCAAUUUUGUUGCUAUUUAUCAUAGAGAAAUAAGAAGAGAAGAGUUUUUUAAUCAAAAUGAAAUAAGAUAAAUCAUUUGAGAUUAAAACUAUAUCAUCAAUGUAAAAUGCAAAGUAAAUAAUAAAUAUAGAUAAUCAUUUAUAAUAAACAUUAAUAUCAAAUACAUUUUAAAAAUCUAUUAGUAAUAACAAAGUCAUUAAAGAUAUCAUUUCAUGAUUUAGGCCAAGCAAGCUUAUGCUACAUUAGAGCUAUUAUAGAACUAUGUUGCAAUAAGGCUAUUGCUAGCUAUGAAAUUGCCUUUGCAAUAGAAAAUUGAUAGUCAUUGUCAUGUCUAUUACCGCAUUAGAGUUAAACAAUGCAAAUAAAGAAUGGUUGGAGGUCAGAGUGUUCAUUUGAUACCAUGAAUUCAAUAAUAGGAAUGUUGCAAGAGACUCAUUAGUUUGUAGAGAGUUGUUGGUAUUCUAAUGGGAUCACAAGUUUAAUGCUUGAUGUUAUCCAUAAUAGAUACGUAAAACUCUAGUAGUGUAGCUCUGGCAAAUGCCAAGAUUGUAAUGAAAAGGACACUCAAACGUGCAGUCAAGUUAUUAUAUUAAAUCAACAUAAUUGAACUUGGCAAGAUAGUUACUUAUAAUCAAGGCAAGUUGGCACAUUUGUUGUUUAGCAAAUGUGGUGCAAUAAUUGUGACUUACAAUUGAUCUUGAUUGCAUUAGUAAAAAAAACUACAACAAGCCAUGGCCUUAUCAGGGCAAAGUUGCUCCUCCAAGGCGAGGGACUAUGAGGCCUAAAGUUGUUACUUUGAAUCUUAGCAAAUGUUGAAGGAAUAUAGUUUGGCCAUUGGUUGGUGAGUAUAAAAUUGUCAAUAAGUAUUGGUAGCAAUUGUCUUAUAUGUUAGGUGAAGAUAGUAUUAAUAAAACUCCUUCAUCUAAGGAAUAUAGAUUAUCAUGUUUGGAGAUUGAAAAAUAAUUAAUUUCACUAGUCUAAGAUGAUUUAUUAUUAAUUACAUAUGUAUUAUUUGUAAACUUAAAUUUUAUGUGUCGAAUUUUAGUUAUUUGAGAUACUAAUAAUAUUUUUUUCUAAUCUUAGAAUAUAUAAAAUUUCUAAAAUUUAUAUAUGUUAAUUAGGUUUAAGGUAUAAGUUGACAAAUCUAAUGUCUUGAGCAAUAUGUAAACUAUUAUCUCUUAAUAAAAUAAAUUUUGGUAGAAUUAGUGGAGUAUAAUUGUUGAAAAGGUGUUUCAAAGGAGACAUGUGGAUGUUGGCUUCAAAAUCUAAAUACCACAAUUGAUCAAAAAUAUCAAUGGAUAUUGCCAUAAAUAGGUAUAAUGGUGCCUCAACAACAUAAAAACUUGCAGAUUUUGAUUUUUUUAUUUAAUCUCUUUGUUUCUUGUGACAUUUUUGGAAUUUAUGUCUUUGCUUCUUAUAAUAAUAAUAAUAAUAAAUAAUAUUUUUGAUUGGUUGAUUGAAAUGUGAAGAAAAGGUUGGUUUAAAAUAAUGUUGUUGAGAGGAGGCAUCAUUCAAUCUUAGAAUGUUUGUGGAUUUAUUAUGCUUAACAAAUUUUUCUUUUACAUAAAUGCACUUGUUUUUGAAUUGUCACAUUUUGAACAAUUAAUAGUUGUUUGUUGUAAGAUAUUAGAUAUUAAUGUUGAAAUUUUUAAGUCAUUAAUUCCAACUUAGGUGGUAAUAAAUACACUACAUGAAUCAAGUAAAGCAUCUAUUAAUAAAUUUACUCAUUUUGAUUCAAUGAAAAUACAAUCAGCAUUGGCAGUUUCCUCAAGGAUAUAUUCCUAAUUUUCAAUGAAUACAUAAACAUCUUCAUUUAUGUCCAUUGUUAAGUUGCAAAGCUUCUUAUGGAAAUGUAUCCAAGAAGCUUGAUUUUAUUGUUUGUAUAAAUGCUUGAUAUGAUCCCAAAUUGCCUUUGAUGUAGGUAGUUUGUUUAAUGUUAUGAAUUAUUUACAUCCACAAUAGAAAAGUAUAUCUAUAUGAGCUUUUACUUACUUCAAACUCCAAGCAUGAUAUUACAUUGAGUUGCUUGCAUCAGAUAUAGCUUCAAUGCCAUUAACCACUUUCCAUAAUUCCACUUGACUCAAAAGAGCCUCCAAGUACAAUAAUUAUUUGCAAACAAUGAAGAUAUUAAUGGAGAGUGAGAAGUGUUAUGAGAAGACAUAGUAGGUAGAGUUUUUCACUUACACUAAAGAGAAUGAAGGAAAAUUAGUACUUUGAUAUCACACAAGAGAAAGAACACUAAGAAUGAGAAAAUAAUAAAUAAAAUAUAUUAAUAAAAAUAAUUGGAUUACAUUGGAAUAAUAAGAGCCUUAUAUAUUGUCAUGUGGAGAGAAGUAGUUAUAACUUCUUCAUAACUACUUUGUAACUACCUAAUAGUAAUUCUAUAUUUACUAACAUGUAUUAAUUAAUCUAACAGGUAUUAGUAAUUCUAGCAGAAGCAUUUAGAUACGCCACCACGUGCUAAUGCAUGUCGCUUUGGGACACCUCUACAGUGUAUAAUAUACGCCAUUGUGUAGAUUUCAUGUGCCGUACUUUGCGGGUGAAGGGAUGGUGGGAUGCUUGGAUUCGAAGCAGCCAGGAUGCAUCACAAGUUUCCGCAUGGUGGGAAAGCGAUCACUAUACCCCUUGUGCUCCUUUCUCAAAGCAUGCCUCCGGAAGAUUGGGCUCGCAGGAGGAAAUCCGGAACCUGCAUCGUGUCUAAUCUACCUCAGUUGCAGAUAGAUCCCCAAGCUUAUCUUUGCUCGCAUGUGACCCCCAAUCGGCGUGUUUUCGAUAUCAGUUUCAUUGCCAUGCCUUGCCCGAUGAUGAGAGCGUCGUGAUAGAUUGCUGCAGUCCAGGGGGGUGGAGCUAGCGAUAAGCACUGCGUCCUUGUUUCUGGGCCUUCUCAGCCUGAGAAUCCGGGAGAAUCGCGUUGGAAGGGAAAAAUUACACUAUGAUCGGUUCCGUUGAUGAAAGAUAGCAAGGAGGUGAAGACGUAAGUAUGAUUGUUGCGAGUAGAGGUAGGUAGAGAACGGAGGGGUAAGAAAGUAUGUUCGAGACCUCACGGUUUGUUUCUUUUUGGGGAUCAGUUUGAGUCUUCGGGAGAAUUUGUGUGGUUUCGUAGUCAUAUCUGGAUCCUGCGAGAGAAGUGGGAGAUUAGAGGACCAGGAGUUACAUGUUGCGGCGGGUUCUUACGUGUUGAGAAUUUGUUAAGCGGCUGCGGCCUGGUUGUUUAGAAAAAAAAGGCCGAGUUUCCGGCUAUGGUGGCGGUGACGGUGGAUUCCAUGCUGGGUUUGCACUUUACUAACUGGUUUCCUCCUUUCAGAGUUCAUUGCUCAGCCGAUUCAGGAGCAUAGGUUUACGAUUUGUUGAGGAGGUUGUUGCAACGACGGUUAUGCUUUAAAGGCUUGCUAGUGGAAGUAGUUCUAUUGAAGUUUCAAGGUAGAACAGAAGAAAUUAAUUGUUGUAUGGGAGACUGAAUUGAGCGUCUGCCAAACGAUAGGACCAACGUAGGAAGGGGUCAAGCUAUUGGAAAAGCUGAAGCUAGCAUUUUCAAUGCGACAUCUACAGUUGCUCUGGCUAGAUUCUGGAAUUUAAAUGGUUCUUUCGCCGCUUCAAAUCGAGCAAACAGGCAAGUGCACGAUUGCCGCAUAUAAUACCUGGUUACCGACGUUCUGGCGAAGUUUCUUGUCCCCUUCUUUCCUCUUUCUUCUGUCCCAUGCCAAACUCUCAAUGCCUUCUCAAAUGACACCGUCGCUCACAACUCUAUCUGCGCACCAACGAGGUGGCAGCAACAUGAGUCCCCGGGCGUCGCCAGGAUUCCCCCAAACUCUUGCGUCGCCGGAUACACGUAUGCCUUUUAUCUCACAGGGCUUUGCGGCAUCUUCAUCAAUUCCAGGAGCUCUAGCUUGCGGUAGCCAGCCAGGGGGAGAAGCCAAUCAACAUCAACAGCUAAGGUUCUCUUCUACGGGAGCAUCAGGAUCAUCGUCCUCCUCAUGGCAAACACAGUCCCCAUAUGGUCAAUAUCAAGGCACCACCCCGAGCAUGAGCACACAGAUGUCACGCAUUCAUCACGAAUCGGGACACGGGAACUUGGCAGGGGGCGAGCAAACGGCGUCCUCGUCGUCGUUCCAGAUGCCUUACAACAUCUCCACAUCGUUCUCACAGCAGUGGCGGAGCACUAGUGGACAGUGGGAUUGCACAGGCUCCCCGCAGUCGGGUGAGCAUUGGCCAGUAGGUGGGAUGACGACCGGGGUGUUGAGCGGACCAGGCGGGGGGAGCAGACCAGCGCAUGCGCAUCUUAGUGUUCUUGUGCCGCCGAACAGAAGCGGGAUCAGUCUGGAUUCUCCACGGGGUGGGAUGCAUCCGCCGGGGGCUGGAGAUAGUGGAGGAUUUUCCAUGGAGUCUGGACCGCAAAUGCCAUUCCCUAAGCUGGGGUCUGGGAGAGAGGCUAGAUCCGCGACUCAGUUGAGGCAGUAUCCAUCUGAAGCAGGGCUUUUGAUUACUCCUAAGACAGAUGGAGCAGGUGCUAUUCUUUGCGAUCCGUUACAGGUUUGUUGAACUCUCAACUUGAAACAUCUCCUGUUCUUUUCUCUUUUUUUUUUUUUUUUUUUUUUUUUUUUUGUGUUUGGAUAUUAUCACCUGAUCGGGUUCAAGACUUGGCUUUUAUCUAGCACCUGGAGAUUGAUAAUUGAGAGUGUUCGUCCUGAUGUAAGGAAAAUCUUUCAAGGUUUACAUUGGCUUGGCAGCAUAUUUGCAUUAUGUCCUCUCUACGGAGAAGGCAGUGUCGCCUCGUGUGAUUAAGCCAUAAUUUGCGCUGCAGUGUCUGGUGGUCGGCAUCUUUAUCCACGACUGAUGGUUGUAUGGAGAAUCACAGUUUUUGGAUUCAUGCUGGAUACGGUUUUUGGCAAUGUUAAUAAGUGUUAGCUUCGUCAUUCGAUGGCAGGAUGCAUGUGGAAUCUAUGGUUAUACAAAGCCACUAUUCCAGGGAAUCUGUGGAUUCUUGCCUAGGUUUUACAAGUGUAGGCCUCUAUCAUGCUUAUUGCAUUGCAUUGCAUUGCAUGUAUCGAAACAAGUGGCUUAGAAUCCUUCGAUCGUUACUGCAGGCUUUAUUGGAUGGCUCUUCGGAGCAGCGUUUACCCCACAGCGGUGAGUGCACCUCCUCGCCGACAGGAGAGGCAUCAUCAAACCUCCCUGAAUGGGAAAAGAAUUGGAUGGAAAACUUUCCAGACUCGUACAAUGAGGGCAGAUCCCUAGAUCCUAACAAUGCACGAGUAAGCCUUUGCUGUUUUCACGAUUGUCUGGAAUGUACAUCAAUUUCCUCGUUUGUGAGAUCCUGAUUUCUGUCCAGUUAUAGGAAUCUUGCUGCUACGCAAUUUCAACGUCCAACUACAACUUUUGGAAGCUCCCUGAUGUUUUAGACUCUUCUUACUACAGGGAUUUCAGCAGCCAGAAAAGUUCUACUUAGUGGCGCCUCCUCAACCCAUUGCCAUGAGAGACCCGGGUACCGAGCAGCAACAGCCAGGUGUGCGAAGUGCUUGGUUUGCCUGCCUCGGAUUCCUUUACUGCCGAAGUUAUCAGAUAUUUGUUUUUUUACUUUUGGGCCUGGUUAAUAGUUGAUGUGGAAUCUGAACUCGGUAUCGGGUUGGCUUACUGUAGGGACUGCUUCAGGGAGCAGUCCGGUACCUCCAGCAGCUUUUUCAUCAGCUGCAGAGCACGUCAAAACACGCCUUCGAUGGACUCCAGAACUUCACGAGAAAUUUGUGGACGCUGUUGCGCAGUUGGGCGGCCCUGAACGUACGCAGCUAGUUUUUCUCUUAUCAUGCUUCUUGUUUUCCAAAAGAUAAAUCCACAACAUUGUUGUCGUUCUUCGUCCUUUUAUUUUUCUUCUUCUUCUUUUUCAAUGUGUUUGUCGUUUUUGCAACACAUGCAGGCGCAACACCAAAAGCAGUACUGCGGGUAAUGGGAGUUGAAGGGAUCACUAUCUACCAUGUCAAGAGUCAUUUGCAGGUCAGUGACGUGGGUAUUAUUCUCAGUGCCAAGUUCUUGUGGGUUUUCCGUUGUUUACUCGACCUUCAUUUUUCACCCAUCCUGUCGUUCGCAUUCUAUUCUAACCAGGCAUCUACUGUGGUUUCUGUAGUUAGCUCUGGUAACCUAGAUCGAAGUUAUGGUAUGUAGAUCAGCAUGUUAGGUUUUGGGUGAAUAGUUUGUUGCGUUAUUUCUGCUGAGCUAUUGAAGGUGCACCUUUGCACUGCUUGCCUCUGACAAUUAGUGUCAAUCUUGGGAUGGUUUUGUUGUUUCAUGCAGAAGUAUAGGCUUAUUCCCGAAGUUUCUUCCGAAGGUACAAGCUUGUAUACUCUGACUUGUGAUGUUCUUCUAAAUCCAGCGAUUAACAGUGCUUGCAAGAUGUUGUGUUUUAGUAAGAUCCUUGCUGAUAUUAUUUAUCAGACCUCGCUUCGCUCUGCGAUCUGGUCUCAGUAUUCCCGAUUACGGAUUUCUGGUGUGCAGAUUCUAGGAAUGAUCGAAGACGGAAUGACAGUUCUCUGAGCCCGAUGGAUAUACAUUCGUAAGUUUUCAAGGGGCCUGUAUUCUUAGGGGUGCUAAUGCUAGUGUUCUAUCAAUGUGGCACUGAGCUUUAGAAAAACUCGUCAUUGUAGUAUGUCGACUAUGGAUCAUCUGAUGAAUGAAUUUGAAGAUUGAUCCAAUGUUUUAAAGACGAUGGAGCCCUAUCUGACUCUUGGCCGUUGCCGAUUAUUUUUGCAGGAGCCUUCAAAUGACACAAGCCUUGCAGAUGCAAAUGGAGGUGCAGAAGCGGCUUCAUGAGCAAUUGGAGGUGCGGAGCCUCCGCCAUUUAGUUACUUCAUUGAUACCGCCAGUUUCACACUCAUCAAACAUUCUUACUCGCUUUAAAGCCAACUUUGUUCGUUCUCGCAAACUAGAUUCUUACGAAACUUUCGCGUGUCUACACAGAUCCAACGAGAACUUCAAUUGCGAAUCGAGGCUCAGGGACAAAGUUUGAAGAUGAUGCUUGAAGCUCAGGCAAAAGCUAGUGGAGUUUUCGGUGUUCGCAGUGACCGUGCCGGCAAGGAGCUCAUCCCUCCCGCGACUGACGCGAUUGCUGACCGAGAUUUUCCAACGCAAUCCUCUCCAGCACCUGAGAGUGCUGCAGCUGGCGCACGCACGAGCUCUCCUGGUUACGAGCAGUCCACAAAACGAGCUCGGGUGGAGGUCCCCAACUUGGUUAUCGUUCCGCAAGAGCCUUACAGGUCAGAAGCGUACAGACAUCAAGGCAAUAACAAGAUGGGGCUUCUUCAUGAUCGCUCCUCUUCCGCUUGGAAUUCCUCAAGCUCGUUGCAGGGAAGCUUACCGUCCCGGUUGGGUAGAUCCAGCUCCACUGAUCAGGUUGAAGGUGCAUUGGCCAUGUCCGCCGUGAGUGAUGGAGGUGGUGGAACGCCACAACGGCACACUGCCUCCCAAGGUUGCAUGCCACAGCAACCCGGGAACAUGACGUCGAAAUCGUUGCAAGCCUCUGUGUGAUCUGUACAUUGGUGUCCACACAACCUUGAAAUUGUUCUCUGAAAAAAAAAGUCCUUGAGUUGGAUUGUUGGUAGUCGCAAAGGUUUAACUCUUGCCUAUUUGAUCUGUCGAACGACUUUACGCUGAACGAAGUGGGCACGUUUCUUCUCGGUGGGCAAGCUCCACGACUGCCUUGAUCUUUAGUGGCAAGUUCUCAAGGCAGCGUAUGACGUUGGGCAAUUGAUCUUCUGUUUAGAUAUCCAGAACAAGAAACAGUGAAGUCGCCGAUUUGUUGGUUAAAUCCCUGCUGCAGGGUGUUUAUACAUUUGUUUUCGGUCACAUGCUCAGGUAUCGAGAUCUCCCAGCACUUGGUUUGAUCAGGUGGUUUACGCAGCCGUAGGUUUUAUCCGAGGACAAAAAAAAUACAUGGUUGAGAAGUAGAUGAAGUUAAGGCAAAGUGGUUCCUUAGGAGCACGCUGCGCAGGGUUAUCAACGUGGAACGUUCAAACCCGUUCUAUCUCCACUAUACCAAGCGGAAAGUGAGGUUGCGUGGUCGCUUGCCAGAAUUAGUGGUCUCCUCUCCAGCACCUGUGCAAUCCAGCCCUGCGGAAGACUCCAUGUUUGUAUUGGACAGGCCAUUCACACGCCGCCUCUGACCUUUAUUCGGCGCCCCAAGUCCGCUCCAUGAUUUCCCUACUGGAGUCACAGAUGGCCGCAGCACAGCCCAUAUGAAGUUAUAAUGGGGAUUGUAGCGCAUUCCACAUGAUCUAGUAGUGACAUCAUUCUUCAACGACACCGAUGUGUUUUGAGGGUCUGGUCUGUGUUGUGUAAGUAGAGCUACUACAUCCCUCACAACUGCAGCAUUGUUGUGAGCGAUUGUGGAAUUGGUUGAGAUGAGGACCGUUGUUGGCGCUCAAUAUGAAGGAAACUGUUUUCAAAGUCCCUCGCGGGAUAGAAAUCUGUUGUUUAUUAAAAGUUCCCAAAUUUAAGUGUGAAUGGUUGUUUCUUCCAUGUGAGAGGGUCGGUGAUUGUUGCAAAUGUCAAAGUCCAGUUGAGGUGAUGCUCCAUCCUAUCGGUGACGACACCAAUAGACGCAGAGAGCUUCGCCACAUAGGUAAGUUUUUUCGGAAUAACCAAAUUACUCGGCGCAAGAGACAACUGAGCGCCAUGAGCGCGUCGCAGUAACGGAUGGUGGUUAAUAAUUGAGUGCUUCGCCAGUUGUCCUGUGACAAGCCACCAUUAAUAGCCACUCUUCUCUUCACAUGUAUACGCCACUUAGUGGAUAAUUGAUCAAACCUCAUGAAUGGGAUCACUUUCAGCGAAUAGUACUAUCUUUAGGAAAUGAGCUUAGCGUUCCAGGGCUUUCGCAUCCGUUUGACUCGAGGCUCUUGCAUUCUCUGUGCAGUAAAUAAUGGUUUGGAGAAGAGCGCCGAGUAGUAACGUUUUACAUGGAAAUUUGUGGCCAAAACUGGACAGUGAGAUACUCGGAGACCGUUUUCAUAACAAUCUGGGAUGCGGUGUCCAGAACAGAACUUGAAACAGGAAAAAAAAGGUUCCAAUUAGGCUCUUGGCAGUAAAGAGCGUCUGUAUCUAUUGACAGUCAACAUUCAACCCAAUGCUAACGAAGCAGUAGGCAAACAUUUCCACAAUCAAUGCGACGGGAAUACCCCAGUUGUUUUAAAAAAGAAAAGAAAACACUAAGCACAAAUUGAUUGAUACGAAGAUGGUUUUAUGUGGGGUUUGUACCUCUUUUUUAGGAGCAGCUGCUCCUGUCGCUCGAGAUUGCACAAUUUAUCCACCUCUCACUUUCAUCUUCACCACCUGUGCCAGCAUACAACGGUUUGCACUGGCAGCAUUAAAUUGAAAUCUGCAUUUCUUCAAUAAUGCCUUUCCAGCGGGACAUGGGUGCAGAUAAGUAAUACUCAUAGUUAUUAAGCUCGUAAUUCCUGAAUGUGAUUUCAGCUCCCCAUUAACUCAUGCAGAAGGGAUAUGAGUAAAUGUUCUGAGAGCUAUCAACUUGUGUCACCCUGAUUGCCAACGCCACGGAGCUAUUUGCAUGUCCACCAGUUUUAGUCCACGACUGACUGUGUCCAAUUGCUGCUUGAAGAUGACUGCCCUGCAAAUCACUGUACAUCAGGGAUCAUAUAGACCUCGUAUGGAGAGUAAAUAGAGGCAAUCCACAACAGACGGCUAAGCUUUUUCAACAUCUUUCUUUGAUCCUUAUUAGCUUCUCAAAAGUGGAAGGUCCAUUAGUUGAAGGUCCAUGAAUAGAAGGCGCAUCUUUUCUGCCUGCAGUUGUGUGGUGUAUGCUCAAGUUUAAGUCCAGCGCUGAUCAAUUCAUCAUUCCAACCACAGAUUUGGAUCAGUCCCCAGCAGGUACGUAGAUUGGUGCACGUCUAGUUUCUUACAGGGGAGCAUGCAUACAACUCAUUUAGCAUUCAAUGGAUGCAUAUUAUUUCGUCGGCAUUAAAUAGCCCUGGUUCCAAUGUUCCUUGAUAAAGAGCGUCUUUGAGAGAGGUCAAUCAUGUGAUUCUACUCGCUGGUAUCCGAGUGGGUGAAAACUAUUUAAGCUCCGCAAGGAGGCGUUAGAGUAGCAGAAGCUGAUGCACCGACUGUACAACGAGUGCCCUUCCCCUCCCUUAGCUCCCACAUCACUGUCACUAGCUUCCAUUGUGUCUGGUGAUCUCUAAUGCUUUUUCUAGGCUCAGAGGUUUUGAUCCAAAUCGAACCAUCAUCGGUCUUCUGAGAUCCACAAUUUCAGACCUCUAGUAAUAUUUACAUCAAUAGCAAUUGGUAGAAUAUAAAUCAGGCCUAAGGGCCAAGCUUGACUCACUGCAUUGUCUUCAAGAAGUUAUGGCGCUAUCAUCAAGAGCUGCCUUGAUGAUACGCAGCUUUUUGGUGCUUCUGAGCUCAGUCGCAGUUCUGGGAACGAGGAGAGCUGGAUUCUUUAACAACACAAAGAUACCAGAUAAUUACCGGCAGUAUACAGCGGGGGUGGUGAUCUUCGGAGACUCCACAGUGGAUGUCGGCAACAACAACCAUCUAGUCACCGUGGUGAAGAGCAACUUCAAGCCGUAUGGCAGGUCGUUUCAAGGGGGCAAAUCCACUGGCCGGUUCUGCGAUGGGAAGAUAACCAGUGAUAGGAUCAGUAAGUCACUUCCAUCUGAUAAAAAAUGGCCGGGUCGUUUGAAUUAUUAGGAGUAGGAACUUUGUGAAGUGUUGGAACACUAUACUGAUUGAAACUUGUCUGGUAUGGGUGCGACCCUGAAGCCGAGAUAAUCGGCUACCCAUACGGGCUACCAUACUUGUCGCCGGAAGCUCACGGCCCCGCCAUUCUCACUGGCAUCAACUUCGCAUCCUCGGCAUCCGGCUGGUACGAUGGCACGGCACGAAACUUCGUAAGUCUACGCCUCAUACCAGUCUCUUGAUGACUGGUUGUUCUCUUCUGAUCAAUGCACACUUACAUUUUGGAAAUUGCAAUUGGGUGACAGAAGGUCGAUGUGAGGGAUUGUGGUGAUAGCAGAUAGCCUCGUGUGGAGGUCGGUGAUUAUAAACACUGGUGAUGGAGUUGUGCAGAAUGUGAAAGGGUUGACGGAUCAGUUCGUGUGGUACAAGAACUGGAAGGCCGAGGUGCUGUCGUUGGUUGGUCCGGAGAAGGGGAACUUUAUCAUUAGCACCUCGCUGUACAUCUUCAGCACAGGUGCCAAUGACUGGGUUAACAAUUACUACUUGAACCCGGUUCUGAUGAAGAAAUACAACACAGAUGAGUACAUCACUUUUCUAAUCGGCCUUGCCCGUGGUUACAUUCAGGUACAGCCUCUCACCACUAUAUGGUAAAGUCUGCAGUUGAUUUCAUGAACUGUUUUGUGCGGAUAUCAUUCGGAGAGAUAGACUAACUGUGUUUUGUGAAUGUAUGACUGAAUGGAUCCGAUGAAUCAAUAACUAGGAGCUCUACGAUUUGGGUGGCCGCAACAUUGCGGUGCUGGGUCUACCGCCUUUGGGGUGCCUGCCCUCGCAGAUCACCCUCCACGGCAAAGGGAACCAAGGUUGCGUCGAGGACUACAACGCCGUUUCGCGUAAAUUCAAUGACCAGUUAAAAAAUGUUAUAAACAAUGAAUUGAAGCCGAAGUUCAGUGGAGGCCGUCUCAUAUACAUCGACAUCUACACAACGCUCUACGCGAUAAGGACAAACUCGAGCGCAUAUGGUAUGGAACAAGCUUGACCCGCCAUUGCUUUGCUGGACAGCUCUGUUCGGUCAAAUCGGUUAGAAUACAAAUCACUGCUUGUACACGAAUCGAUUUCAUGGGCAACUAUUUGCAGUUGAUAUUAUCAGCUCAUUUCAUCUGCGCAGGAAUUACUGAGGUCAGAACCGGAUGCUGCGGCACUGGUGUGAUCGAGACGGCAAUUGCGUGCAACCAAGCCUCGAUAGGCACUUGCGAAGAUGCUAAUUCAUAUCUGUGGUGGGAUAGUUUCCAUCCUACCGAGCAUGCGUAUAACAUUCUGGCGGAUGAUUUGUUCAACCAGGCUGAGGCGACUCUCAGGGGUCCAGCACAUCCUUGAAUUGGAAAACAAAAUAGAGCUCCUCUGAAUUCUAUUUUCAAUCGAAAUAACCACAUAAUAGUCGGCGACUUGCCGACCCAGAUAAGUAACGCCAUAUCCAUCUAUGGCAGCUGGAACUUCUGCAUAGGGUAGGCUCCGAAGUUCUAACAGCUCGUAGAUAUGAGAAAUUACAGUUGUCAGUACAUGUAAUAAGCAUAAUCUUAUGCUGUCCGUUGGUAGCGCGCGAAACAGAUUAAGAGAAUUUUGAUCUACUUAAUGCCCAGAGAAUAGGAGAAUUAAGUCGACGGACAAUCCGUGCUCUUUGAAGGUGGCAGCAAAGACUGUGGGUAAAUCAAUUUUUUUACCAUGAAAGCGACUGGAAUAAGAGCACCAGCAACUGGUUGAAAAAGUUCAAAAUCGAAAAAUAUCAUGAUUCAUUGCAAAGGUUUCAGCUGGUACCAUUUGAAUGUGACGUAUAUUAUGACUUCACAUGUAUCUCCUUAUGACCCUGAAUCGAACCCGACCCAAACCUCGACACAUAAAUGUGUCACAAAGCUGCCAGGAUUGUCAGGAGGAGCAUUCCUCUCGGGCCACAAAAACUCGAAGUUGGUAAACUCCAACUCUGCUCACAAAAGCAGAAGCUCGGCGUGGCUUCUAUAUGUAUGCUGACAAUGUUAGACACUUUCAUUGCAACGAAGGCUGGUUCCUACCCUGGAACGUAACUCAGUAAUAUGAACUCUAAACUGAAACUAUGGAUAUUAAACUGAAAGAUCAAGACGAUAAUCUGUCAGGGCGAAGUGUUUGCAUCUAAAAACGACUGAUCACAGUGGAUUAAAAAAAUCAAACCAAGUACCCUUGCUGCAGAUUGUUAUGAACCAAGUUAUUUGGCUGAACUUUUGAUGAGUAAUUAAAAGCAUGCAUCUGGAUCAAUUCGGGGAACUUCGUUAUAAGGACGAUAAGCGGAAGUCCAGAUGUCUCGGAAGAUUCAGAAGUUGCUGACACCACAAUUCAAUGCAUACAAUGCCAAAAGAACUUCAGAACCGCUGAGAUUCCAGGGUAAGUCGUGCGGGUUAAUCUGCAAUGAUUUUAACACAAUGAUGCAAUAGCAUUGAACUUUACAUUUGGGUACUUUGUGACGCUGCCGCCUUCCGCUUAUCGUCUCUCUGGAUGCUGAUCCAGAUCCCCGAUGAAGAAAAAAUAUGGAUGUAUGUAUGUAUGUAUGUAUGUAUGUAUGUGUGUGUAUGUGUGUAUGCACUUUCGUCAUUUUAGAUUAGCAAGUUUCUGAAGUUUGAGUGUUCAUCAUGGUUCCAGAGACUGAUAACAAUACUUUAAUGCUUCAUUAUAUUUCUUUUUGUUCGGUAUCUAGCAAUUCAAGCUAGUUGCCUCUCGGGUACUAGAUCUAUUGAUGACCUUCGAUCGAAGUUCAUCUGAAGAUAGAUACUGAAUCCACCACGACUCACUGAAGAGGCUAGUAGGUACCCAGCAUCUCCACAUGUGCAGAGAGUGCUAUUGUUCAGAUAGCAAACGGCCAACCCCUUCCGAUUCUGGGAAAAGGGACAGUUUACUUGCCUCUUCCAAAUGGGGAAUGUAAUUUUGAAUGAUUAGCACGUUAGGGGGAAAAUAAAAAACUAGUUUUGGUAGACCACAUUAAUGUCACUUUACGUUAUCCUGAAUUCUCCUUCUCAAAAUGCCUAAUCAUAACCAGAACCAUAGCACCAAAAAUCAUUGUGGUUGCAACCUUGGAUGCAAAUAGGAUUUCCUCGAUGUGGGGCUCAUGGACAACCCACCUUUGAAUUUUAACGUCUCCCUUUAUACCUAAAUUGCUGCUUAGAAAUAUUCCCCUGUCCUUGAUAUUUAACACAAACUAGUAACCAAGUCUGGCAUAGUCGAUUUGGUCAUGUGAGCCACCUAUGACAAGCAUCUUGAGUACAGGAAAAGACACCGAAGGAAUCACUCUCAUUGAGCUUGCAUAUUUUAUAAAGUUGUGUGCACGAAAAGAAGUAUGCAGAGAGAAUUUUACCCCCCCUAGCACUGGCAGAGACACUAAAAUUUUGGAGUCUUUUCAUGCAGAUUGUAUGGUGCUUUGCUCGUUGAUCCCUACCGACGGUUUAAAUAUUUCCUAAACCUUGAAGACGAGUUUUUUUUCUUUAAAUCGAGUCUUCUUCCAUUCAGAGAAAAUUAAUGUCUUCCACAUUAAUAACAAUAAUAUUAAGGAUAAUCCAAAAGAUUGACUUAAACCUAGACUAAAGUUCCUACAAAACUCUGCAGAGUGAAAUUUCUAGACGUAAAAGUAGAACUAUAUUUGACUAGGAAAGGAAUAUGCGUAUGAUUAUCAACGAUCCUCUCAAACUAUGACCAGUGUGAGGCAGGCGCCACAGACUUGAACCGAGCAUCCCAAUUCACUGGUUCUUGAACAUGGGGACCUGAAAACAUCGAAGCCUUUAGCUAGAUGUCCCACCUGCUGAACCGAAGCCCAUUUAUGAAGGAUUAGUACCAUUAUCCUCCGCACUCUUACAGAUCGCCCUAAUGAACGGGUCAACUGCAAUGAAUCCAUGUUGCGGAGUGCCAGCUUACCAUCUGAUCCCGUAUAGAAUCCAACGUCGUGACUGUGGGACCAAACUUUUCCAUUCAAUUGCUCAACACUACUAACCGAGACGGUUUCCGCUUUGGUCGUAAUUGUAUCGCAGCUUUCAUCUACAACCAUGAAUCGUCCAUCCCAGUCCAGGGAACAACCUCGGUGGUUCCAGGACUAUGAGGCGAUUCUAGUGUCACUACGUAUAGUGCCCAAGUCUUAGAAACAAGCUUCUCAAAAUCCGUUAUGCGCCCCAGCAAUGUAAGAUAAACAACUAUCCAGAGAAGAAUGCUCAUUCCAUCUAACAGAUGUUCGAAGUGAAGAAAAAGUUAAAUGCUUCUCAAGGAAAUAGCAAUCCCUGUGCAGUGCCGAUAGCCUAAGAAUAGUAACCUUGAGAACCUUUCCCUCCCACGGUGAUCAGGAUGCACCUAUCAACCCAUCGUUGCUGCAGUGGCACUUUCAUAUUUCUCACUUUUUCACGUCGAUGUGAAGGCAACCUUCACGAAUGGAGACCCCAAAGCGGUUAAAACUCAUGAUCCACAAGGCCAUGAAGUGGUAGUGUGUGAAAACACACAUUAUCCGAAGCUCUCUAUGGUCUUGAGUAUAGAAAACAAUUGGUCCGUGACACUGCAGUCAGGAGUUAAAACGUGAUCAGUGCGAGCAAAUGUUUUUCAGCAACUCCAAAAUCGUGAUUCUGGCAUCGAGUGUAUGCUUCUAAAAUGGGUGCAUAUCGUUGGCUUGAACGAUUCGAUUGGAAUCACAUUUUGGACAUCAAACGCUUAGUCUCUAUCACCUCCAAUGGAAUCAUAUCAUCUCUUCUUCCAAAGGUGAAUUCUUUCACUUAACAUGCAUAAUUUUUAUUAAAAUUCUGAAAAAAAUUAAGAAUAAAUAAAAGAAUCUAUAUAUAUAUAUAUAUAUAUAUAUAUAUAUAUUUUAUUAAAGUAACCACUACCCCUAAUUACGUAUGAAAUUUUUUUUCAUCUAAGGGCAGCCUUGGUCAUACCAAAUUAAGCUUAGAUUUAUUUUAUUAUUUUAGAUUUAAAAAAUUUAAAGACCAUGUUAUAUCUCCACAAAUUAUUGCUAUUAUUUCAACGUUCAAAAAAAAGCACUCAGUGGAUAAAAAAUCAAAUAGUUAUACUAAAAAAAUAUUUGAUUUGUUAUCAAAUUAUGCAAAGAAUGCUAUAAUAGUAUUUGAAUAUCAAUACAAAAAAAUUGCAAAAGGCUAUUGGUAGAAGCUUACAUACAUACACAUAUAGUAUUAAAAUGUCUUUGAGUAUUAUUAUAGUAUAUGUUAAGACAUCAAUAGAGUAUGUAAUAUUAUAUUAUAUUAUAUUUUGUUAAUUUUAGCAUUUUUUUCAAGAAUUUAUAUAAUUCUUUUAAUUACUGUAAUUCUACUAUAUUUAAAACUUUAAAUGAUUAAUUUUUUACAUAAAUAUUACAUACACCAUAAAUAUAUGGAAAGAUAAAAAAAAAAAAUGAAAAAAUGUAUACAUGAUUAAAUUUUAGAACUUUAUUUUAUAUGAAUUUAACAUAAUCUAUUCUCACUCAUAAAAAUAUUUUGGAUGAGAAAAUUUUAUAAAGGAAUUCAAAUGUAUAUUUUUUAUGAUAUGGGCAUGCAUUUUAUACUUAAAAAGUUGUUAAAUAGUUGUAAUACAUUGAAAGUGACAUUUGGAGGAAGUUUUAAUAAAAAUAAAAUUAUCAAAGUCUAAUGAUAUUGUAAAAAUAAAGAAAAACAUAUAUGUGUAUGUGUGUAAUAUUUUGAUUCAAUCCACUUAUUAAAAAAUAAAAAUAAGAUAAAAUAAAAUAAAUCAUAAGGAUUUAAUUUUAUAUUUUAUACUAUAAUAUAAUAUAAUUAUUUCAUAAUUUUUUGAAGCUUGAGAUUGAUUGAAAUUUAAAAGUCUCAUGUGGUCAUACUUCAAAAUAUCUUCUAAAUAGCCAUAAGAGGGAAAAAUAAGAUAGAAUGCAUCUUCUUCAUACAUGGCAUAAGUGGUGUUGUCAUUGAGAAUUUGAAGUAGAUCCACCUCAAAGAUAUGGUUCUUACAAAAACUCAAUAAGUUUUGUUAAAAUUGCUAAAAUAAUUAUUAUAAAUUUUUAAAUUUAUAGUACUAAAAUUAAGAAGUGAAUUGUUAUAUUUUUUAUAUACUAAAAAAUAAGUUUUUCUAUUUCAUGGCCUCAUCUCACUUUAAAGUAUCCUUCAAAGUCAAAGAUUUCAAAUAAAAUUUUCUUACACCAAAUAGAAAAUCUUUGUAAGGCUUUUGUAUCAUGGACUUUUAGAAUAGGCUUUUAGAUAUAAAGACCCCUUAACUUAAAAAUCUAACAUUGCUAACAUCGUAGUUACAUUAAACAGCACAAAAACUCCUCUAUAAAUGUAUAUCUUGUAUUGUAUUCUUAUUUUAAAUCUUGAUAUGUAAUAUCUAGUCAAAAAGACCAAAUGAGAGAGAGAUAAACUAGAUUUACACAAACUUUUUAAAAAUUAAGAAUUUGUUUUGUUCUAUGUUCCAAACUUCACUUUCCAAAAUAUUAAAAAAGUAAAUAAGUAAAUAAAUAAAACAUAAAGAGAACCACUUGCACCUCCCACAUAAGUUUGUAUUGCAAUAUUAUUUAGGUAAAAAAUAACCCAAAUGAUUUGUUAAAGAUAAUAAUAUUCAAAGUGAAACUCUAAAAUUUUGAAGAGAACAUGACAUAAUGUUUUAAAAUGUAUGUUGCAGAAAUUGGGUAUUGCAUUGAAUAAAUUUAUAUCUGUCAUAAACUCUAAUCAUUUUACAAUUUGUUAUUUGUGCAUCAUGUCAAAAGACUUCAAACAACAACAGUUAUCAAAUACUGAGUGGAUUUUUUUCUUUUUUGUUCAAACAAUGUUUUUCCACAAGAAUUCAAUCUGAUCAUCCGCAUGAUAUUUAUUUCUGGGUUUUAUACAAAGAAAACUUCCACAUAAUUAUUCCAGAUUACACAUUUGUAGCUGAAGCUACAAUCCCUCUUCAUGUAUUGCUGUUUUUGUUGCAACCAUUGAUGAUCACGUCGUCAAAUUGCUUCAUCAGUGGAUAAAUUCAUGAUAAGAGGAAUUACUUUGAAUGUUUCAAGCAUGGAAACACUGAAUGCUUGCGUCGGAUCCCUAUGACAUAGUUUGAAUGAUUCUUUAUCUUCCCAGAAGAUGAUAUUGCUUGGUUUGCGAAUAAUCUGUACACACAUUUUGAAAGUGUGAUUGUUUGCAAUAAGUUGAAUACGUUGCGAGAUGAUCCACCACAUACAGAGAGGUUCAGAAGUGUGCAACUGUUAAAAGUUGUUAAAAGAUCUCACUUAUUCGAUCACAUAAAAUGGUCUCAAAUUCACCAGUGCUAAUAAAUACACAGAUGGGUACGCAUUUCUCUGUUAGUGAUUCAUUAGCUAAGCUACGUCGAGCUGUGUCCUCACCAUGUGUUGGCAAAAUAUCAAAACUGGUAGAAUAACAUGCUGUGAGCUUCCAGCUAAGAAAGCAUUAUUACUUUUCUGACGUAAAACUGAACACCAUUUGCACCACUGGUUGUUGAAGCAAAUAGUACAAGACACUCGGGAUCAAUGGUCAAAUCCUUUCAUAGGACACUUAUCAAAUAAUUGUGUAGGAUUUCAUUGACAGCUCAUCAUAAAGCAGUUCACAUUAGCAGUACUAUCUUGAUGCUGGAUAAAAAAUAAUAAUAUAAAAAAUAAUAUAAACAAUAAUAUAAAUAAAGAAAACUGUCGUACAAUUGUCACAAUCGUAUGGCAUGGACUGGUGUUUUACUCAAAAAGGAAGAAAAAAUAAGACAAACCAACAAACAAACAAGCAAACAGAAGAUAUCAUGCAAAAUUAUGUGGUUAGAACUGCGAAGGUUCUAGAGGGACGAGUGUUACAAGAAAAAUCCCCGUGUAAACGAUCCAAUUGGGUGUUCGAAAUAAUCCUCGCCUCAAUAACCUAAGAAGAUAACAUUAAGGAAAUAUCUAAAAUAAAAAUCGGUCUAAGUACUAUGGGAAGCAUCUAUCACGGUUUCAGGCAACCGCUUUCAGAUAAUUCAGAUGGUUGUUAAAAGUGUGAGAACGAUGCUGCUAUGCUGGAUUAUAAUCCUGGAGUGAGCAUCAAUCCUAAUCACAAUUGCACAGGAGAAGAGCAACUGAUUAAGUAGAUAAACUCUGACACGACCUGAUUCUGUUUUAUAGCCUUUGCUCAAAAAAAUGAUCAACGCUAACCCACUGUGUAAACUUCCACACUAGAAAGAGUUUCGGUUGGCAAGUAGCGUAACCGUUGCGGCACUAAUUUUAAAUCAAACUUGUCAAAGUAGAUCCCAUGUAUUGACCAUUAUCCAUACAAAUACACAAAAGGAUUGACUCCAGAGCCUGACCUGUCGUAGUGGGCAUACGGGUGAACUGCAUUAACAGCCCUUUGUAGGAAUAAAGUAUUUAUAUUGAAAUUUACAUUCCGUGCUUUCCUUAAGAAGCAACAAACACACUCUCGCACUUAAGGAAGUCAAUAAGUUACAUGCAAAACAACUAUCAACUAUCGCAGAUCUCUCUGAACACGUGGAUUCGGUAGCUUGUGUCACAGGUGUGUCACUGUAUCGCCUUCCUUGGUCGAGAAGUCAUAAAUUCAGCCUGCUUAACAGUCAAAUACUAAACUCAAACAAUUGACAUAAUGAACUUGAUAACUGGAAUACCCGCAGUUAUUAUCGAAAACGAAAGAGAGGCACGCACAGAGACAGAGAGGCAGAUAUGUCUCCUAUAAUUUUUGGACAUGACCUGAUCUCCAAUUACUUAACAAACUGUGAAAAAGAAAAGCAAGCUUAAGCCAUCAGAUCCUAAAAUAAGUAGACAUCGAAACAUCUAAAAAGAUGAUCUACUAGCGUCACAACGUUGAACCAGACCCAUGCGAACAAUAUUAACAAGACUACUUAAAACCGCCCAAACCCGGUUGAAAAGUUCAUCAACAUUGUGAAGUGGGACUAUCUAAAUGUCUAGAUUUCGGGUCCUAUGUUAUGAAAAUUUAUGCACAUAUACUGUGCAAACGCAAUUUCAGGAUCAAGUGAAAGAAAUAGAGGUCGCCUCAAAACCUACACCAGAAUGUUGAUUGUGGUUUCAGGUCGGGAAGAACUUACCAAAUUGGGGACGUGGAUACCGGUAUCAACGCCAUGGGAGGAGCACCUUGGAGGUGUCUCGAAUAUGGCAAUCGAAAGUCGCUUUGUCAACACACCGACCUCGAAGUAGAUGUAGGGUGUGGCUGGAAUAUCCACAUAGAUUCCUGUCACUGGCAACCAAACGAACAGCUGCUUUGUCUGGAUUCCGCUCAGGUUGCUGAUGGAGCCAUACUUAAGCUUUCCCGUGAUAUGCUUGCUGUAAUAUGCCGGCUGAGGAUUAAUUGAACAAGAGAACCAUCACACAAAUCCGUGUUAGUAUCAAUUAAGUUUGUGAAGACAAACUCACAAACGUAAAGGCAGGUAUCCGAAUUUCCAGAUAAUCGAAAGCAAAGUGCCUGAAGAAGAGUUGAGAAAAUUUUAGUUACGUAGCCAUAUUCGUUACAGGUUCCCGACACAUUUGCUUGUCCAGGAGUUCUUGCUCGAGCAAAUGAAUAAUGUGCAUCCGCCACACAUUCAGAUGCUUGAUUGCUUCAGCUCGAAAUGAGAAAUUACUUUGUCUAAGAUUAAUAUCGCAGAGUCACUGUGUGCCUACUAAUAAGCUGAAGAGUGACUAGGAAUCAGCUCUAAGAGCUCUACUAUGUACAACCUGGACUGUUUAGGAGUGCAGGGGCGGAACCGAGGACAUAGAAUCAUUCAUUAGGAGCAUGACCAAUCCUCAACGUCGUCCACGUACCAAAGCGACGAUACUAAAGGAUGAAAAGUGGCAUCAACUGCUACCUCUGCGAAAUCUAAUCAUGAGAGUCCAAAAUAAACUGGACAAUUAUCUGGCCAAAUUAUGGUUCAAGUGCUAGCAGAUCAUGAACGAAGACAUUAGGUUGCAACAUAUAUGAUCGUCAAUGUAAGGACAGCAUAUUAAAGCAUCCUAGAGGACUAAUACUUCAAACGAACCUGACGACAGUUUCGCCCACCCUUACCCACAGCCUUUUAAUGCGGCAUUGCAGGACUGACUCUGACCAGCAGGGACAAAAUUCUGAUACAUGAUUGUACAGUCGAAAGUACCGCGAACCAGAUGCCCUACCAUCUCUGAAGGAUUUCAAGUAUUCGAUGAACUACACUUCUAAAUUCUCCCUCUAAUCCUGGUUAGCAGGUAAAUGAAUCUCUUCAAAGGCAGCCUCGCGAAGACAGAUAAGAAAUGGGUAAAUUCUUAAUCGACUAAUCACAUGAUCAAUUAAUUAUUAUGAAAGAAAAAGAAGAAAAAACAAAAAAAAAAAAAAAAAAAAAAAAAAAAAAAAAAGAGAGAAAAAAAGCACGGAACCGAAAUCCAACAAAACAUAAGAUUCACCGCAAAUCAAUCUUCAACAGAUAGGGGGCUUCCAAAGACACAUAUAUAAUAGAGAUCGAGCGACUUCCCAAGACGAGGGAGGAGAUUAAAUCCACUCACGUCAGACAAUGUGGACACUCUCGCAGUCAAAAAAACUCGAGGAGAAAAUAACUGUCCUAGACAAUCAACCAAUCAAUCCCAAUCUCUCAAAAUACCACAAACAAACAAACAAGAAAGUAAUAAUAUAAAAAAGCAACAAAAACAACAACAACAACAACAACAACAAUCCAUCCCAAAUCCAACACCCACAGCCUCACCAACAUCAACCCAAAAGGUCCACCAUGUACUUCCCAAACAACAGAAUGCCUCAAGAUAACCCAACAAUCACUAAACCUCCAUCACCACCAUUACAACCAUCGAAACCAUCCCAUCCCAUCCCAACCCAACUGCAAUAAAAUCAUCAUCCCCAAGUACCUGGUCUUCAAUCUUGGCAUAGCAAGGCGCCUCCAGUGACACCGAGAAAUCGCCCUUCGCCCCAAUCGAGUAACUCUGAACGGAGCUCGGGAGCAGCCCCACAGGCAGGCCGUUCUUCUCCAGCUCAUCGAUGACCGAAUCCGCGGCAACCAUCACCACCACCCCGAGCGCCAGAAACACGAACGAAACCGCACGCGCCAUCGCACAAGGCUUCAUGCGUUCCUGUCCUGCCUUCCUCACUCAACCCCUGUUAUCGUAAUUCGAUCCCCCAGCUUCGCAAUAUCGCAUUCACACACCCCCAAAAUCUAUUAAAAAAAAUUACAAAAAAAAACGCAAGCGGAUCACGUCGAAAAGCUUCGAAAGCAGGUCCGCGACGAGGAAGCCAGGUUUGCAGGCUCAGAGCGAAACUCCAGGGCUCAUUCGGGGUCCUUUUCUUAUAGAAGAAUCUCGUUUGGGACGUCAAUUCGCUGCCGUGUGAACGGGAAUGAUGGAGGAUCAAGAAAUGGGACCGUGUUUGCCACGUGGGAUACAUAUCCAGGGGUGAGCAAACUAUUUUGACUGAGGUGGCUUACACGUGGACCAAAGGGGGUCGGUAGCGUGAGUGGGUUAAGCCGCGGAUGGCCUAUUAUAGUAGUUUCCCUAUUAGCAAAGUCUGAAAUAGGCACAGCCCCCGUCAUUUUUGGCAUCGAUCUGGAUGGAGUAAUACAUCUACAAUUGCAUACCUUUCGUCUAGUUUAAUUCAUCCAUAUUAACGAACAUCAUCCACAUAUCAAUUAGAGGGUGUUGCUUGUCCCACAAACUACUGGGUCCUUUAGUAAUAUAAAUAUACACAUACACCUGUAAACGUAUGUAUGUAUGUAUGUAUGUAUAUGUGUUUGUGGGUGGGUAUGUAAACAAUUUAUAAAAAAUCUUUUAGGAUUUUUAAUGCACUUGUGUUGUGGAUUGAGAAUUCGGUGAUGGUGAAGUCCUAAACCCUAAACCCUAAAUAUGGCGAACGGGGUGGGUCGAUGGAACUCAACCGACAAGACGGACUGUGGAAGCAAGGCAUGGCGUUUUUUCUGUUUCUGGGUGUCCUUACCGGUGAGGGUUCAACAUCGUGGUGAUGGUGAGAGUGGCUGCGACCUACCUGCAAAGGAAUGAGCGCGAGUACACACCUCCACCACCACCAACUGCACGACUGGGACUCGUGUGAGAGCUUGUGGGCUGCAGUCUGACAAGUUUCGCAACAAAGUCCUGGAAUCAGUGGAGUUUCUGGCAACAGGGAUGGCCUACCCCACCAUGCCCACAACCCCACCAGCUCUGAAACUCUGCGCAUGAGCUAGCUCCCAGUCCCUUCAAACGCGUGGUCGGCACUUCAUCGAUACUGCAGCGGUUGAGUUGAAGGCAGGGUCAGAGAAUGGUGCCAGGCGGGAGGAGGGCUCACCAGGCCUGGCGGUUUCGGGGUGAGAGAGAGAGAGAGAGAGAGAGAGAUCGGCGUGAUCCAGGGUGCGUUGUAUCCGAUCCUUCCGCAAGGCGCAAGGAUUUGUUCGAUCCAUGAAAGGGAAAGCUUCGGACCUCCUCCACUUGGGUUUUACGACGAUGUUAUCCAGCUGCCGAAUCGAAAGCCAUAUCUCUCUCUCUCUCUCUCUCUCUCUCUCUCUCCCUUAAGUUUCGUGAUGCAACGUUAACAGUUGAAAGUCGUUCUGUAAUUGUUGAGUAGGUUCUCAUCCUCAAGAGGGCUGAUUAUCAAUCACAUCACCACAAGUGGUUGUUGAGAGGUGGCUCCUGACAUACUAGAAUUUCUUGAGCUGGCGAAUUGGACAGCUAUGAAUAUUGCAUGCUAGUCGAACACACGAUUACUGUUAGUUGGGUUAGUUGCUGAUCAGUGGUAAGAUUUGAGGGGUAAGUCGUUGUGGGGGAUUAGAGUAAAGCUCAGUGACCAUCACAUAAAAACUCACUUGAGCACGCCCCUUGAGUGGAAGAGCAUCAAAACCUCAGGCUCUUUGCUCUUGUACGUGAGAGGGGAGUCAGAACUUUAAUUGCGAUGACUACUAAAGUGCAUUCCUCUAACUACUUCACAAUGAUCGUGUCACGUACAUGGACUUAAAAGUAUUGGUCAAGCUUCAGGACGUAGUGAACAUGAAGGACUACUACUUUUCAAGAAUUCAAUGACUGUUUUCAAAUAGGCACGAGUAACAUGUGUAGCUGGAGAGCUUGCGUUGUCUGUGGAGAACCAUACUGGUGAGGUCCGCGAUGACCUCAUGAAAAGCACUUACUUCGGUCAGAAUAUUUCGGAGCCAUUCGGUGAAUGGAAUUCAUGUAUAGCGCACAAAAAUACGCAGGGACUACACACUGCGGUAAUUCGUUGAAAGCAACGAUGUCCUGUGCUGCACUGUGGAGGGUAGAGCUUUACAACACAGAGAGUAGGUCUGCCCUGAUGAGGAUGAGGCUCCAAGAAAUGACUACUGACCCACCAAGCACCAACCAAACUAACCGCAGUCUAUGGGCACUGCUGACCUAUGUUGAUGAUCAAAAGCAGAAAUUUCAGACGCUAGUCUCCAAACGUUUGCUGGGCUGUCAAUUUGAUUGAAACGACCCACAAGAACAGGCUGAGGCUAUCCAUUAAAAUGGACAAUAAAGAACAGCUCCAGCAUUUGUGAGCAGAGACGCCCUAGCAAACGAUAAGAGGAUUUGGAAUCAUGAGGAAUGAAAAUUGGAUGAACAGUACACGCUUUGAUCUCUCCUAGGAAAAUUACAAUGUGAUUCUACCCCACACUUGGAUUCCGUUACAUUUUUUUUGUUUUUAUGGUUUUUUUCAUUGUUAAAUCGACUUUCAAGCACUCGGAAGGCCCCUAUAUGUCACAAGACCAACUGAGGCUCCCGAAGUUACUAUCUCCGCUCUUUGACCAUUUCAAGUGGCCGGCAAUUCAGUGCAUGCCCAAACUAGUGAAGAUGCACGUAGCUAUAGGAAUCUCGUAGAUUUGUAUGCAGGAAGAGACCGCAAAAGCACAUCACCCGCCUAUGUUGGAGAACGCUAACUCCUCCAAACAUCUACUCCUCCGAGUCCAUGAAACCCAUUAAUAGCCCAGAGAAUCACAAGCCUCAUAUCAGCAAAGCCUUCGCUACCAGAAGGUUGCCAUUCCUGAAAGUGGCAUGCUAAAAAUCUAUUGAGUUCCCUCCAACGACAGAGAAAAACCUGGGGUUCAAAACACACUGGGUGACUUAACGUGUUUAAGCAAUGAUACAGAGUGCCUAUGAAGCCCUCCACAGAGCGGACCACUCCUCCAAACAGAGGAAAAUCUCUCACGCAGUGGACUCUUCCGUUCUCUUCCCAGGCACCCCUCACAGCGCCAGCAUCGGAUUCUGCUUCCUCGCGUGCUCGGGUAUCAAACGCUGCAGAAUAUCAGGAGUUGCACCCUUCAACUCUGCUCCACCACCACAUCCAAACGCGUUACAUUUUCCACCACCUUCUCAUCCUUCCUUUGCAUCAUGAAAAUGUACAAUCCAAAACACUGGACACCAGAUCCCAACCACUCCCUGACAAUAAAUAACUCAACUGUCAUCUUCAGGAUGGCGACACGACUAUGCACCGCCACAAUGUCUCACCUUGGGUUUUGAAGUUGAACAGAGAGGGCAGUGGCCGCCCAUUCGGAAGCCGGCAGUUAGGAUCCCUUAGCUCAUCAAAGAACGGGUGCACACACGCUUCCAGCUGCAAACAGUACCCACCCAUUCAUCAUGUCAAUCAUUCCCGACUCACCAUCGCCAUAUUUCACGUCCACAGUAUUUCCUUCAUACUACUUCACACCUUGUCGCAAUGCCUCGUUGGCACCUCGCAGAACGCCACGACUCAACGCAGACCCACACAGCUCAACAUCACACCCGUACCAACAACACAGAAUAUGACGCUACUCACAGCGUUGCACCGCAGAUUUGGAGAGUACUGAAGGAGCCUUGACACCAAGUCAACUGCUUCAGGUGGCAUGCGUUUGUGGAAAACCUGCAAUUCCCACAUCGGCCAUACCAAACGCCGGUUACCGUCGUCAAAACCCAACAUCCAACAAACCACGACGCACGCAACUAACAAUGCCGCUACACGAGAAAGGCUGACCCACAUCCACUACCGCACUACAACCGCAACACCCAGGAUGACAUCAUAGCAUUCGCACAAAAAACAUACUUUGUGCCACGGGUGCGCCUUGAUUUGUGGAAACUUGAACUCUGUGUAGUUCGGAUUCAUGCACUUGAUCUCCUCACGAGUCGGUGUCCCCAAAACCUGCCACACGGAAACGUCUGGUCAACGCCAUACUCACAUCCAACACGAACAAGAUACCACAGCUACAAACCAAACCGCCAACCCAGAAGGCGACCCUUCCACACAAACAACGUGUACCACGUGUGUCCCACCUUGAUGAUUUCCACCAAUUGAUCCACUCCACUCUCUCCAGGAAACAAAGGCUGCAAUCCCAUCAAAAGCGUCGUCAAAACCCAGAUUACACAUAAAGCUCCCUCACCUCAACUUCAAACCUCUACACUUGCGCCACAGCAACAUAUCGUCAGAAACCGCCAUUAGCUUGCUACAAAACAAUCAACAGCCCCAGUCAACGACCCCCCGCGUCACUUGAAACAACUCUUCGAAGUGGAAGAGAGCCCAUCGGCGACCGAGUACCUGUCCUAGUAGAAGCUCUGCCAUCACGCAACCCAUCGACCAUAUAUCUAUGGCAGUCGUGUACUCCGUCGCUCCAAAAAUAAGCUCCGGAGCACGGUAGUACCGCGAACAAAUGUACGAGAUAUUGGGCUCCCCUUUCACCUGCACAACAAGCCCGUCUCGGUUACAUCACUAUUCACACGCACCCGCUUACUGAGACAUCCGCAUACCAGAAACGAAGUCUUCUCGAACAACUCGUCAGCUUUACAGCCUGUCACCGCAACGCACGCAUUUCCGAAACACAAAUUGCUUCGACGCUGUAAUGCGACUGCGCAACUCGAAAAUACUCACUAAUCCAGUAGAUACUCACCAGCACUUUCGCACUUCCAAAAUCACACAGUUUCAGCUGGUGCGUAUGAGGAUUCACCUGUGCCAUGCAAACACAAGUUUGUUACGACACCACGGCAACUCCUGUACUUUCCCGUGACUCAUACCAAACAUCUCAGUAACCAGCUUCCACCCAUGCCGAGCAACAAAUACGAGUGCUUAAACAGUCAGCAUCGUGUUUUCAAGAUACUUGAACACAUGACAAGAUUCGUCGGACACACGUACCAGCAGGUUCUGGGGCUUGAUGUCGCGGUGGCAGACACCGAUGCCAUUGUGGAUAUAUGCCAGUGAUCGGCAUAUCUGAUACGUGUACAGUUUCACGUAAACAAGGGGCAUUCGCUGAUUCAUGCGAUUGUAGUGCUUUGCAAUACGAUACACCGUCUCGGGUACAUACUCCAGCACCAGGUUUAAGUACAAUUCGUCUUUAUCCGUCGUCGAGAAGAAGCAAUGCUUCAAAGCUACAAUAUUCGGGUGGUCCAACAGUCGCAUGAUCUGCAGCUCUCGAUUCUUGUAUCUUUUGUCCUGCAGCACUUUCUUUAUAGCCACCGUCUCCCCAGUUUCGAUGCAUUUUGCCUGGCAACACACAUUAACACGCAAGUCAGACACAGCUAUCCCUCUACCAGCAUGAGGUUAGGGUAAACAUAUAACCAUUUGGACUUUCCUCCGCAACGUAAGCAGGGAAGCAAGCGCGGUAAUAUGCAUCUCAGAUCUCAUUAUUUGCGAACAGCAACAGAUUUCGCUCAAUGUAGCACACAUACGUAACAUGAAAGUGCUAGACAAUACUUGAAAUAGUUGCCAAAGGAGACCAAACUUGACAAUUACCUGGAAGACAAUCCCAAAAGACCCGGUUCCAACAACACGUUCUGCUGAAUAGCUGAUAGUCUGGACCAUCCAUGCAAAUUGUGACAAAACUAUUAGUCCACUCUCCCUCCGUUUGCUAUAGUACAGAAAUAAACGUCAUGAUAGUAGUAUUUUAGAUUGAUGGUGGUAUAGAGAUUGUGUACGACGUUGAUGUUCAUACACCAUUGCUACUGUUCAUGAACUUUCAAUUGACAAAAAGAAUACCAAACAGCCAUUAGAAGCUAUAAUGUUAUCAAUGAUGUGUUCCUUUGGGCGGCCUGCAAGGUGGAGAGGGUAAGCAAUGUCAUGCCAAGUUGCUUCAGUCAUUAUUUCAUCAGGAAGACGCCAUCACCGCACCUGCUUGGGUUGCCCAUUUUUCCCCCCAAUAGUGGUAGCAAUGAUGUGACCCGUCUCGGUGCCAUUCCCAUCUACUACUGACGCUUCAAUUUCCUGCACGCCUCAGAAGGGAAUCAUGAUUAUGACUGUUAACACGUUACCAAAACUUAGCCAAGUUCAAUCAGAGCAGAGAUUAACAAAACUGACAAUAAUCUUUAUCUAGAAGGAAGAUGAGGCUGCUUCAAAACCAGAGUUUGUCCAUCAUCAGAAGGCCUACAACGAAACUUGAACGAACAAAACCAGUUGCAGUUUCAGCAACGCAGACCUUAUCAUCACUGUGAUCAACCUUGUCAUCUCUGAGCUUCAUGCCGUGCAUUUCUUUGGGUAACGAUUCCACGCCACUAGAGCCUGGUUUGGUUGGGGCAGCCCCCCCUCCGAUCAUGUUCGUGCUACCAAUAAUUCCACCAGUUGCAGAUGCCAUGGAAGGGUCAAAAUACCCUCGAAUAAGGUGACUAAAUCAAUUUCCUACUUCCAGUUCUAUAAUCUCUGUUUGUUGAGCAGCAUCCUUUAGCUACAGGUACUGGUAUCCGUGUUCAGUUGAAAAGCGCGUUGACACUGGGCAACACUACUCGCUGAUCAAUUACUGCCACAGUCCAAUUAAUAACGACACAUCACAUGUCAUUACAUGACAAAUGAGGAAGCAAAUCCUCGCGAGUUGAUGAUAAGAAAUUUGAAUAACCGUACAGUAACAUGCGCGCGCGCGAGCACGCAACAAAAAAUAUCAAAACCAAAAAUAGAAGAGGAAGAAAGAAAGAAAGGAGCAUAAAACAACUGGACGGUUGAUACAUUCUAUAAUUAUUUGAGGUUGGAUUGCGUCUUCAGUGCAUAAGCAACCAAGUACAAAUUAUGCGCUGAAUAGAAAAGCUUGGAAAUUUCCGUUUCAAGCCUACCUAUCUUCUGCCUUACACGAUCUCAAGACUAAAUUAUAUCGACGCCAUCAACUCACAAACUACUCAUACGAGAAGCUGUGUUCCAACCACAACCGUUUGAACACCAUACCAUGGCAUCGGCGAGUCAGUAAUCAGCCACCCAAUGAUGUGAUGGGAGUGGCUUACUUACAAUAUCGUAUAAAUAAGCAGGAGGGAGGUAUAUCGCAGAAAAAUGGCCAGCAAAAUAUACGACUUCAAAUCACAAUUCUCAUAUACAUUCUCUUUACAUGUUGCCACCUACUCCAAGCAACACUGCACUUUAGCAGUCGCCAACGAAGUGUCUAUAUCCAGUACGCUGUGACUUCCUCUGGACAACAACACUGGUCUCUAUGGGCAGUAGUUUGUACUCAGCAACACAUGCCACUCACAAACUCCAGAGAAGAAGCUUACAUUUCCAGUUGCCCGUAGAAGCUAACUCCACCGACCACACAUCACAUGCCUCGCGAAGAUGAUACAAUCACCACCUGCUUUCCCAAUCCUCCCUCCUCACAUGCUCCACUCAUCUCCAUCUCAGCUACCUACCCCUUGGCUUCCAAAUCACUCACACCCGACCACUCCGCACCAAUCCUCUCUCUCUGCCGUGCCUUUAUUCACUACGCCUGUCCCAAGCAAUGUCAUACUUCAAGUGUGCCCCUCCGCACACCCGCAAUAUAUCUUUCCACCCCUUCGUACACACAGCCCCAAUGGCUUAGAUGCACCCCCGAGUAGAUCUUAGCAGAUGGUCCGGCACUGCGUCCCACUUCCACACAACCCGCGAAAGUCGAUUCCAAUAGCCAACGCCCCUAUCAACCCCCACAGCGCUGGAGCCAACCCCAGAGCCAGCACAACCGCACCCUCUUACUCUCUAAUCUGCGGGGCUUGCGACCACAACUCACCGCGCGAGAGUACCGAACGCCAAAGCAUCAGCGAGAGCACUUCCGCCCGGCCGAGGCAUGCCUGGGCAGGAAAUCGGGAGGUAGGGAAACAGCAGAUGGACUCGGAGUGUGAGGAAAGGGCGAGGCAGGCACUAACUAACUAACAAGAGAGAGACGGGGCGGGGACGAGGGAGAAGCGAGGAGGAGGAGGAGGCGGGGAGAGCGGGGGGGGCAUGGCCAUGGAGGAGGAGGAGGAAGAAGAAGGCCAUAGCCAUGGGCGGGCGGGGUGAGAAGAAAGGGGGAAAGGGAAAGGGCAAGGUGGGGAUGGGGACUGACUGCACGGGGGGGGGGGGGUGAUUGUUAUUCGCCUCUCUUUCUCUUUCUCGUUCUCACACACUCGGCUCUGCUCUGCUCUGCCUGCCAACGCUCUCUCUCUCUUUCUCUCUGGCUGGCCCUCUCUGUGUCUGACUCUGACUUCCUGGCUCUCUUGCGCUCUCUCUCGCGCUGUGUCUGUGUUGUUCGUUGAGGUCCUGGUCGUGGGGGUGGUGGUCCCGUGCUGGGAUGUGAGGUUGGGCUGAUGCUGUUGCUGCGGUUGCGGGGAGAGAGUGCGAGAGUGUGAGAGUGUAGUGUGGUGUAGUGUCGUAGCCUGCUGCGCUGCUUCGAUUUCGUGCCUUCCUUCUUCUCCAUUCCCCCGCCCUUGGCCGCGGUCUCAGGCCCGCUAUUGGUGAUUUAGUCGUGUGUCACUCUGGUUCCCGUGACCGCGUUCAUCUCUCGGUCAAAUCGCCUCGGUGCACCUCCAUCCCGUUGGCUUUUUAGCAAAAUGGCCUUCGUGAAUUUUUCAGCCUGAAGUCUUGACGAGGGUUACUGUAUUAUUUCCACUUAAAAUCUACUUUGGACAGGGAAGUCCACUCAUCGAAUUCUAACUUAAUCAUGUUGUUCUGUUCGAGUGAGGAAUUUUAUAGUAGAGGUUUUCGUAAACCUUAGUUAUACUCCUGCUGAAUGUAAAGUAGUUGAGGAUUAUUAUUUAGAUACAUCUCGUCGUGACUCUUGUCGUGUAAGAGUCAUUUCUUUGUGAACAUGUUGGUAUUGAUCUGACAACUUUUUGAAAGCUUAACAUCGAAAUGACAUGUUAAAUUUUAUACCACACGGAUUUUGCUUUCUUUAACUUUUGGAGCAUAAUAGUUUAACACUGGGCUUGUCAGAUUUUUUAUUAUUAAAUUAUUACCUUGAAUAACCACCAAGUUUUGUUGUAAUGAGGGAAAAGUCAAAAGCAGGGCAACCUGAAUUUGACUUCUGUGAAAUGAAGACAAAAUUGAGCCUAAUAAAACAAAAUUGAAAAGAAAAGAGAAGUAAACAAGCAACUGAUAAGCAUGUUGAAAAUUGUAAAAUUACUCAGGAGACACCCUCUUGACUACGAAUCCAAAAGAAUUUGCACCAUUUUAAUCCAGUUCAAACCCCCAUUUCAUUCUUAACUGCGCGACACCAACUCAGGGUGGAAGAGUUCAGACGGAAUCAGCUAAUUUUUCCACGUAGGCAGAGACACACCUGGGUAUAUCUGCUGAUGUGGCAGUGUGUGGACAGGUGGACUGGGUUGGGAUUGGAAUCGUAGGACUUUGUCACAACACACACCACAACGUUGUUGCUUUUGUAAUAAAAUUUUGUGACUCUCUAUUUUUGGGACAUUUUUUUGCUAGCAUUUGCAAUGUAUUUCAGAACUAAAAAAACAUAGGACAAGGAACAAAAUGUAUGUGGAUUGCUCACGUAGAUGAAUAAAUUAUAUCUUCAUCCUAAGAUUGUGUGUUUAUGUAUAAAAAACAAAUAGUGGUUUUUAUAUACUUUUUCAUGUUGUUUUUUUCAUAACAGGUUUAGAGGUCAAUCAAUAACAUAUAUUUAAAUCAGUUAUAGCAAGAUUCUCCCAAUUUUUGCUUCUAUUGAAGUUUUACACACAAAUUAUAUAUAUAUAUAUAUAUAUAUUCACACACAUACGCACACAAUUGUGUUUCAUGGUAUACAUUUGUAAAAAUUAAUUUGCUUGUAUACUUAAUUAAACAUAUUUAUACUCAUAUAUAUAUAUAUAUAUAUAUAUACAUAAACAUUUAUUUAUUGUAUCAAUCAUGUGAAGUUUAUCUUAUUUUAUAAAAAAGACAAACCACCAUGUGAUUUUCUGGAGAUUUUUUUUUAUGAAAGUACAAAAAAUAAAUUACUUGAUGGACAAGAUCUUCAAAAUUUUAAAAAUAUCUUUACAGCGACAGUGAAAAAUAAAAUUGUAUAAUUCACAAAUGAUCCACAUAUCAUUUGCAAUUUAUAAAUAACCAAACACCAACACGAUUGACAUUCCAGAAUGCCAAUUAUAAUUUAGAGGUAAUUCGUAUAUUUGAAGUCAAUGAAGAAAAUUGGACAAAUUGUGCAAGUUGGUAUUAUUUUUGAAUUAACGGUAACAUCAAUAAAAAUGGCAAUGUCUGAUUCAAAUAUUACUCAAAAUAAUAGACUUUUUAUUUUAGUGUUAACUUCAUAACACCCAAUUGUGCAUUCUGUCGUAGCUUCAAAAAAUUUUAGAUGCGAUGCAAUUCAGGGUUCUAAAUGUACUCUGAUUAGCAGUUCUACACACACCGGUUUUCAUCACAAUACUUGAUUCUUCGUUUAAAACAAUUUUAGAUUUUCAUACUUUUACUUUAAAAGAUAAUUUCAAAAAAAAUUAAAAUUUUCAAAUGAAAGGCGGGAAGAGAAAAUCGUCACAAAAAGAGUCGUGGCCAUUGGAAUCGGUCAACGGGCGUUGACGAGAGUAAUCAUCUCUCGAAGCUUCCACCGUGCGCGGCGAUCGUGGAGGCUUUUUUUGUUGCACUUGUCUGCGCACCGAAGUGCUGCUGCAAAAUUUCGAAUUGCUAUUUGCUGGGCUGUAGAGCGGCAUUACGAGCUCAGGAAGCUUGUUUUCGACUGCGUGAGUUUAGCGAGACUUUCUCCUAGCGCUUGUUUGUGCUUCGCGAGAGUUUGCAUCGUUCAUCAUGUACAGACUACGUACACGUAGUGAAAUCUAACCAAGUAAUUUGAAGCCGAUUUUAAACUCGACUAUUUCGGGCCUUGCUUGGUGCCGUAUCGCCCUUGUCCCUGAGGCCUACUGCUGCUUUUUUGACAGUUUCCUGUGGAAUUUCGUUGGAGGACGUUCGAAGACCUGGACCUAGAGUAAUCAUGUGCUGGUCUCAAGGCAUGAGCUGCAAAUUAGACCGCGUUGCAGAAGAUAGGUGAUGCGUGUUACUGCAGUGGCCAAUUGCGUCUGCUGAGUUUCUACAUUAAUCAAUCGUAACACAUCUCAAGCCAAUUGGUUCUUCCCGAGACGUUCUUGAGCGACUCAUCCGCUGCGAUUUCUAAGAAGACCCAGACUGCAAUCUAAUUUUACAGAAUAAAGAACUGCAUAUUUCUUGGAGGAAUUGGUACUUCAGUCAGACAACUAGACCGGCGGAGCUAUCCUUGCCAUGCAACAUCCCUACCAUGAUUGAGCUAUCACUAAGUUAAGAAAACACCACUUUAAAAUUCUUUUGGUGCUCUUUGUCAGGUUGGAUUCCUCUCUAAUCCACCUUAAUCGAUGAGGAGAAUGAAAAACUGCUGCAUAGUUCGAUUUCCUUAAUAGAUUAAUUCUGAAGGUGCUGCAUGAAUGAUGGCUUGAAAUUAAGUGCUGCAGAGUUCGUCAGGCAAAUCUGACGGCAUCCGGAGGCAAUAGAGAGUUCAGAUGGAAUAAACUUGGAAAUUGGAAGAGACGUGCUAAAAAGCACUCAUGCAAGAAAACCUGGCACACGCCGACGUUUUAUCGCGGAAAAAUAGACCCACAGUUCACAGCGCCACGGUCAGGACCUCCAAUUACACUUGGAAAAUUAACCAUCUUUACUUCAGUAUUCGAAAUAUCCCCUUAAAAUCACGGAACAUGCUCGAUGUUUAAAGAAGUUCGAUUCGCACAAAGAGAGUGUGUCCCCGUAUGGUCUCGAGUUCACGCCCCAAUGGGAUGCUUCAGUAGGAGUUUCUGAAGCAACAUUAAAAGUUCUUACUACCCAAAACUACGCAACAUGCAUGCACAGGACUGAUCACGAAGGUGGUUCAUGUGGGUGUUAGUAACUUGUUCCUCUCCGAAAGAUGCCUACAUUGCUGGCACUGAGUUACUAUCACUAUCAAUUUCGUUGACAUCGUCGAAAGGAUCUCUCCCAAGAUCAGUGAUUUCUGUGCAACUAGACCUGUUCAUCCCGGAAGAAGAUAUUUUGUCUUAAAAAUCUGAUCUAGGAGCAUGGAACCAGAUCAAAUUCGAUGUUCAAUACCCUCAAAGCAACACAUACAUUGUUUCUCAGAGAACAAUAGCUGGACACUGUUCUUGAGACCUCCCAUACUGUAAGUUGUCUCUUUUGGUCUCCUUUUUCUUCGGUACACACAGUAGCACUCUUCCUACAUAAGUGAACAUCUGUCGUCUUCUUAUCCAUCAUUUAAAAAAAUUCCUCUCCGACAAGGUCGAAGCAUCUAAAACAGAUAGAAUAAUUGCUACUGCACCCACCUAAGCUUAGAUUUGUUUUUAUAUUAUUUUCAUUCAAUGAACUUGUGUGAAGCAAACUCCAAAAACCAAUACAAAAAACAAAAAUAACUGAGGACCUCUUUCAUGGACAUACUUUCAAACCUAAUUGUCAGAAUCGGGACAGUAGAGACAGAGAGCAACAGAGGAGACUUGACUAAGAAUCGAGGCAUCCAUGAAGACCAGUUGACCGGAGCAGAACGGGUGGGCGAUGGCAGCUUUGCAUGUCCCGUUUGCAUGAUCCAUAAAGCAAACUAGAGAACAGCAGGGUGUUCACACGCUGGUGAAGAGAGCACAGCAGCAGGAACUCACACAAAGGAAACUAGAUUGGAGGCACACAUCCCGCAGAACUCGAACUGAGCAAGUCAGGAAGCCAGUAUGGUCUUCAGAUCCCAGUGGAAUUUAACAGCUGUGAAGUUCAAAUCGGAAGAGUAUGGAGCAGUCAUGGAAAGCUAACGUUCUCAAAAACGUCGUGGACUGCCUCUACGGGUUUUUAUACAUACAUAACGUUAGAACCCUAAUCGUCUUCUCAAGAGCAAAACCCCAAACGAUAGAUAUUUGGUAUUCAAGUGGCACACGUGCUUGCAUGCAUAGAUAGCGAUUCCAGGACGGAACGUAGAUCGGUACACAGUGAAGAAACCCUAAAAUCCCAAAAGCAGUCACCGGAAACAAACUUCGGUUGCUGCAUGUUGCACUUUGUGCAGAGUUAUGCGCUGCCUGGAAUCUUAGCUUGUGUUGAGGCUUCAGGCCAGGCUGCGGUGCAUGAGCCAGGGAUCUUAGAUUUCCUACUUUUUGCUGGUCCAGGAUGGUACGGACUCCAACUCCGAGGCUUGACUUGGAUGAUGAUGCUGCUCGGCAACGACGACGACGAUGAAACCUAUCAAGCUCCAGGCGUGGAUUCCAAUGUUCGCAGGCGUUGUCUCAGGCAAUGCCAUUUCUCCCUGUGCAAGGAGCCAUAUCUGUUGCAUGAGCCCAGCAUUAAGAUUCUGGUGAGGAACAGACUUAGAAAACUGUGCUCGUGUGCUCUGGCAAUCUGCACCACUCAGGAAUGUCUCUUAUGUCUGGUCACCUGGUCAAAACCAGUGCCAGGGUUUGUGCUUCCCCUCGCAUUCGCAUAUUCUAAGCGCACAGCUUUCACAGAGAUCGACCCAGCUUCCACAUCGUCUGUAAGUUUUCUCAUGAAUUCUCGACCGAAUUGUAAACCCAUCGUACACGCAAUGCUCUCGACCUUCUAACAAAGAGAACCUUAUUCUUAGAUUCUUUGAUUUUUUUAUUUUUAUUUUUUGAAGCAUUUGUUGAAAUCUGUGAAAUGAGAAUUUACUGAUGCAAUAUCGCGUCGUAUCUUGCGUGCACCUCAUGAAGGUUCCAUAACUCAAAUCAAUCAAUCUUCUUGUGAUCUUGCAGAGCCUCGAUCAGGUAAAUUGGAACUAUCUAUGCAAGGUGUUGUGAAUGAUGUGAGGUGGCAACUCCCCAGAGCCCUUCCCUCCUGCCACUCGUCACUCUGUGCAGGGGUUGAUUUCAAUGCAGAAGCUAAAAUAUGGGGACAGAUUUCUGUAUAUUCAUGGGAUGCGAAUUUAAUUGUAGAUGUAGUGGGGCUGUGGCAUUGAGCAGGCCCAUGUUACAAGAAUAGGUUACAAGAGAGUGAAGAAAGAGUUGUUCAUCGUUCCUCGCUGUACUAGAAAGUCUAAUAAGUUCAUUGUCCAAGGCAUGACCUGGACACAGCUCACCUGACUUGCAGAGAUCUGGGGGAACCAAGCUGCAGGAGUAGCCUCCCAAGUUAUGCUGAUAAAGCAUUUUUAGAAUGCCUUCUGUUCUUCUGAUAAACAAACAACCCAUUACCACUCCAGUCCAAGUCAUGAAAAAUUCUAAAGCCAGAAACCUGCUCAACUUUUUACCUUGUAUCGUUUUCCUUCUUAUACUAGCCCAAGAGAUAUUUCACGAUUCCACGUGAAGUACAACUGGGUCUCCGAAAAUGGCAGUCUUCGUACUCUUGUUCCUUUCGUCUGAGCUCCAUGCUUUAGCUUACAGAGUCAGAGAAAUUCUCUUGUCCCGUUUUGAUACAGCAGGCAGCCUGUUUCUAUUCAACUGUAUCCUCUCUCCCCAGUGUAAAAACAUACAACUCUGGAUUUUUAUUCCAGGUGCUGAAUCCUACUUACAUGAUUUGGAAAGAGGUGGGUUGAAGUUUUCCUGUACCCAUAUUCCACCAUGCAGUUAACAUCCCCUGAUUGCUGGAACAAAACUUCUAUUCACAGUCUAAAUGAACGCAACAAAAUAUCUUCAAUGAAAAGAUAUUUUCGACAUUGUUCACCGCGGCGCUGUGGAGAAUAAGGGCUACGUUCCAAGCCCACCUUGAAGAACUCAAAGAGCACCAAAUACAUCGACGGAAACAGCAACGAGGGAGAUGUUUAUUUAAACAAAAUCCCAGUUCUUCCACCGCUUUUGGUCCAAUACUUUAAUUCCUCUCGGCAACACUUCGCGGCUCGAUAUAUUUAACCCUUGUUGCAAAUGCAGGUACCUCUAUUAUAAAUAAGGAUCACUUUCGAAGUACUAUUUCCGAAGAUAAAACCAUCGAUUUGCAGCGCACUGGAAUUUGAGGAAAUGGAAGUGUAUAUUAAAACAAACUGGAGCGCUCCGAGGUGGGUUCAGAGGAGGUUUAUUUUGGGCAUCUCACAUACAGAUUUCAGCUCUAUUGAAAGCAAUUUCUGGCGCUGAAGCGGAUUUGUCGUGUGGGUGCCUUGUCCUCAUCAGCUUGUCGAAGCCAUAACCUUCCAAAUCGCUGCUAUUCUGGGUAGAUUCCUUCUAAAAUUCGCAUGAUUGGAAGGUCUCUCAACAUUCAGGUUGAAAACAACGAUGCUUCUGCUGCUGAUUAACUGAGGAGCUGCAAUGAAGAGCUGCAGAUUGUGAUGCGGCAGGCGCUGUGUUGGGUCACAAACGAGGAAGACGACUCUCUCACCUCGCCUUAGAAACCGAAUUUAGGGUUUCAGUUGUGACAUAUAUAUGUAUAUAUAUAUCUUAUUUCAUGAACCCUGUUUACUGGAAAUCAGCCAUGUAGCAACCCUAACACUGCAAUGAAUGUGGAUACUUAAUGUUUAUCCAAAUCAAAGAUUCAAAUUGCCUCAGAAAUAGCAUAUAAGUAGAAUAGCAAACUACAAGUGCAAUUUUGAACUCAAUUAGUAAACAUUGAGGGACAAAAAUAAGGCCAAGAAAGAAUCUACCUUGGAUGAAUAUGGCAUAUGGGAUUAGUUGAUAAUGCUUUGAGCAUCAAAAUAGGUUAUGGCGUGCAGGAUGGAUACCAUGUAUGCCACCUAGUAGCUGAGAAUACAAUAUUUUUAUAGACUUUUGGAAAUGCUUAAUAGUCAAAAUGACACAUUGUGGGACUUGAGACUUCUUUGUCAACUCGAUCAAACAUGGCUUUAAAAUGAAAGUGGGCUUGCAUUUAACAUUAGAGCAACCAAUUCUUGGUGAAGUAGUAAAUUAAUUUGAGGACAUGGAAAUCGUAUACAUUUAAAACCCAUUAUCUCAAAACAUUGUGCUGGAUUUUUUAAUGAGAUAUAGUCAAAUUUAGAAUUAGAUUUUUAUAUUUAUUGAAGAAAACAAAGAUAAAAUAGUAAAAAAAUGAAAUACAAAAAUAGGAAUAGAAAAAAGAAAAAAGAAAACAAACAAACAAAAUGCAAGGUGGACACUUCAUUUUUGGUCUUGCAUAGACACCCUUGCAAAAAUUAACUAAGUUCCAUUUUAAAUGAGUGUUUUCUAAGCUUGACUUGACAUUGAUAAGUAAAAAUAAUAACAAAAUAGAUUUUUCUUUUUAAAUUAUUGUGCAAAGAAUUAAUUUCACAAAGAUUUGCAAGGAUAAAAGAAUUGAAAACUAAGAUAAUAUAGAGCCAUAAAUCUGGAAUAAAUAAGGUUAUAUGAAAUUUUAUUAUCAAAGUGAUAAAUAUAACAAGAAUCAUUGUUUAAAAUUAUAAUUAUUUGUUUUUAACUGAGAUAUGUAUACAUGGGAUAAACUCGCAAUAAAAAUGAUGUUUACUUGGUGGUUUCCAAAACAAAUACAAUAAAAGAUUUUAGCUAUUUAAGUGAAUAUAACAAAAAUAUAUACUAAAUAUAUAUAUAUAUAUAUAUACAUGUAUAAAUUUAUAUUUUUUGAUAUUAAAUUUUACUAAAUUCUUGUUGGUAUUCAAUUGAAAACUACCACGUCAUUUGAUUAAUAAUAUAAAUAAGAAAUAAAUUCCAAUUAAAAUUAUAUAUAUGAUAUUUAAGUGAUUUAAUAAAUAUAUUAUAUUGUAACAUAUAUAAAAAUGGAUAUUUUUUAAUAUAUAUCUUUUCAAUACCUAUAAUAUAAUUAUGGAUGAAUUUAUAGAAGUAAAAUUUGAAUUUACCAUUUUUUAAUGAAUAAUCUUGUGAAAGAUUAGUACAUAAUUAAUAUAUGUCUUUAUAUAUCACUAAUAAAACAAAAUUUUAUAUUAUAACAUACUAUUAAAGAAACGUUAAUAUUCUAAUCAAUUGUAUAUAUAACUUAUUGAAAUUUUAAAAAUACUUUAGAAAUUAAAUACAUUUAAAUUGUCAAAUUUCUUAAUGUCUAGUGAUAAUUCUAGAUUAUUUAUGCAAAUUUAUUAUUUAAUUUUUUUAAAAUUAGAAAAAAAUCAUUGCUGAUUUUAUUUAUCAUUUUUUAUGGAAAAUAUUUAUAUUAAAUCAAAAUCUAGGAUUUUAUUGGAUUAAUAAUAUAUAAUGAAUUUAUUAUUUUAAAUAAUGUUAAAAACACAAAAUAAAUACUAACAAGGGUUUUGUUUUAAUUUUAAAACUUUCAAUUAUGAUUAUUAAAUUUUAAAUUAAAAUUCCAAGUUUUGGUAGGGAUGUCUUUGACAAUGUGUGAUUGACCUAUUAAAGUUUGAAUAACAUAUAUACACAUAAAUAUUAAAAUAACAGAAUUUCUUUAAAAUAAAAUAAAUAUUAAAACAUAAUUAUUAUAAAAGAGUAUGAUGUCUUUUUAUAUGUGUUAUUAUAAACUAUUUAUUCUAUAACAAGUAUGUUAUUUAUUAUGAAAUAGAGAUUAUCUCCUUAUUUUCACAUAUAUAUAUAUAUAUAUAUAUAUAUAUAUGAUAUUUAGUUUUCUGCUUUAUAUUUAUUUAUUUUUAGCUAUUUUAAAAGGAAAAAGAAAAUGAAAUCCAAACUUUGAGAGAUAGAAAAGUUAUGGCUGAAUUAAAGGAUCUGAAGUUAUAUCCUUACAUAAGUGAUAGUCUAGUAUAUUUCAAGUUUAUUAUAUUAAUUAUUUGGUUUAUAAUAGUUUAAAACCUUAUUUCUCUAUACCAAGGAAGAAAAUUUAAAUUCUAUUUGAUAAUAAUUUUAUAAAAUUAAUAAGAAUAUAAUAGACACGUCAUGUAUUUUAUAUAUGAGGUACUCACUAUUCGUUACUAGUUUUUACAUAUAAGUUAUAUAUAUUUAUUUCAAACUGGGUGAAAAUUAUUUAAAAAUAUGUUUGGUAGAUUUUGCAAUUUUGAUUUUUACAAUUUUAUUUAUUUAUUUAUUUUUAUCUCUAUACUAGCGAGGCUAUGGCAUUUUGGAUUAGAGAAAAUGAAACAUGAAUUAUUAUGACAAGGAAAAUUACUUUUUUAUCAAUGUUUUGUACAAGAAUGAAAUAAGUUAAUUUUUUUUACACAUUGUACUUAAAAGAAUGAAAUUCUGUAGUUGUUUUAAAGUUAAAAAAUAGAACAAGUUAGAGUAUUGUAUCUACAAAAUAAUAAUAAUAAAAAAAAUAUGUGAUGUGAAUGCAAAAAAUUAUCAUAAUAAUUUUAGAAAAUAAAAAUUAGUAUAAACUUAAGAAUUUUAAGAUAUAAAGUUGAUUAUUAAAAAAAUCUAUAUUCAAAUUACAUAAGUAGAUUUUAGUUCUUAAUAUGUUGUUCAAAGUAAAAAUAUGAUAUAUUUGGUGAAUUAUACAGUUAUUAGGUUUUUUAAUAGAUUUUUUUUUAUAAUGGUGUAUAAUUCUUAAAAUAUUUAUGUUUACUUAAUAAAUUUAUUGAUUAUUAUUAAAUUAUUAAAAUAAUUAAAAUAUUAUUCAAGGAUUUUUUUAUGUUGAAAAAUAAUAAUUGAUAAAGUGAGAUUGCAAUGCAAUAAGUUCACUUAUUAUCAGUAUCUAAGCAUUAAUAGAUGCUUAAACUUUAAAUAUUUGUUGUGAUUUGUUUUUGAAGAGAUGGUAAAUAUUUUUUUGGACAUAUCUACAAAGAUCGAAUUUGACAUGUUAAAAUUUGUAUUUAGACAUAUUUGAUAAAGAAAUGUAACAAUUUUUGUCUAAAACAUGGUAGCAAUAAUCUCAUUUUAAUAUUACCUAGCAAGAAUUUUUGAGAUUGUUCUCAAUACUAUCUCAACUGCAUAAUUUUUACAUACUAUAAUUGCUACAACUAAUGAAAAAGAAGAUUGUCUCAACAAUGAAAAAUAAUUUUGUAACUAAAUAAUACUAUUUAUAAUAUGUAUUAUGGAAAUUAUUAUAUUUUCUAUUUUUUUAGAGCAUUGUAGGUUAUUAAUAAAAAUCACUUUUGAAAAAUCAUUUUUUAAUUAAAAACCUUUGAAUAUGAUGUAUCAAAACUUUUAGACUAUCCAAAUUUUACAAUAGACAUCUUUAUUAAAACAAAUUCAGAAAAUAUCAACAUUCUGCUACCUAAUCAUCUAAGUAGUGUGAAUGUUUGUGUGUGUGUAUAUAUAUAUACAUAUAUAUAUAUAUAUAUAUAUAUAUAUAUGUUAAAUUAUUUGUAAUUUUAAAAAUAAAAUUAUGAGUUAAAAUAGUUAAAACAACAAGUUGAUUCUUUCAUAAUCAUACUAUGAUUUUAAAAAAAUCAAAAAUUUCUUUAUUCUAUAAAAAAUAUAUAUAUAUCAUAUGGCCGUAAUAAAAAUAUUUUGAACAUUCAAUUUGUGAAAAAAAAUCGACACAUUUUUAUAAAAAUAAUUGAUUAUAAUUUAUUCAAGUUAUAAACUUUAACAUAAUUAGUUUUGUGACCAAAAUCCAAAAUACCAUGCUUAAAAGGCAUUUUGAAAAAACAAUUUACUUUGAAGCUUUAGAUUGUUAGAUUUAUAAUUUUUCUGCUACUAAAAAAUCCUUAGAACGAAAUAUUAUAUUUUUUAAUUAAUUAAUUUAAAAAUACUAACUCACUUUAUAUUUUUAAUGUGUGCAUAUAUAUAUAUAUAUAUAUAUAUAUAUAUAUAUAUAUAUAAUCAAUCUAAAAAUAUUGAAGUUUUAGUUAAUUUUUUUAACAAAGUUGUAAAAUAAAAUAAAAUCAAAUAAAAGAAGAAAUAUUAUAUGUUUAAAUAUUAAAAAUAUAAAUUUGAUUAGCCAAGUGAAUCUUUUGAUAUGCCAUCUCAUAAAUCUCAAAUAUUUUUGAAUCAUUGUGUAUCAUAGACAUACAUACAAAUUCUAAUAUUUACUUAUAUGAUUAAGUAGAAGUAAAUAAAAGUAGAUUUAUUUCAUGAUAUUUUUUUGAAAAGCUUCCUAGAAGCUUUAUAGAUGUUAUUUUGACUUUAUUUAUAUUUGUAAUUGAUUAAUAGGUUAAAAACUUGGUCAACAAGUUAACUGUGUAUUGAUAGCUUGCAGAACAAAGUAAUCAUCUGACACUCAUGUAGAAAACUUGCCUUGCAAGUUAAAAUAUGUGUCUUACAAAGUCAACACAAUUUGGAGGUCCUAUAGGAUAUUACUACAUAGUUUCUAGUUAAUAGUAUAUAUAGAGGCAAGAGUGAAGCCUUCUUUACUCUUAUCAAUACCUUUCUAGUCCUUAGUCUUAUUUCAAGACUUUCUAAUCUUCUUGUCUUUGACAAUAGCCAUUCUAGUUUAAUAUACUAUCUUCUUUAGUGAAUUUUUAAUCUUUUUGAGUGACACAAGAGUAUAUUGAGGAUUUUUUUCUUUAAGAUUCAUAUCUUUUAUAAUUUAAUAAAACUGCUAAUUUAUUGUUAUUGUCUUGUUUUAAAAAUGAGUGGAUUAUCUCACUUCUAUUAUAAUAUUUUGAAGGUUGUGGAUCAUCCACCUUUAAAUAUUUUUUUUAGUUUUUUGGCAUUGAUUUUUUCUUUAAAAAGAGCAAAUUACUUCUCUUUGUAGAAAUUUUCAUUCAAUAUUAGAGGUUGUCAAUUUAUCUUCUAUUAAUUUGACUUGUGGAUUUGUUAAGUUAUUUGAAAUAGAAGAAAAAAUCAUGGAUACUAUACUUCAUAGAAGUGAGAAUAGAUUUGCAAUUAUUAUAAAUCUUUACAAACUUGUUAAUAUUUUUAGAAUAGAAAUUUUAUGCAUUACUAGUGCCAACCAUAGAAACACUAAUUCUAUGCCUAUGGAAGAAGUUCAAAAUCUACGUCAAAAAAUUGUAUAGUUGAAAGAAGCAAGUAGAUCGACCUCACGACUAAAUCUAAGAAGUUUUGCUUCUAUAAGUACAAUAAGGAAAUAGAUUAGUAUAUUUGAUAAGUUUAAUGGAACAAGAUCAAAAUUUUGAGGAUUUCUACAACAAGUCAAGCUCUAUCUGAGAUUGCAUUUCUUCGAAUACUUUGAUGGAUUUACUCAAGCUACAUUCAUAGGUGCACUUUUAUUUGGAAUUUUUUUUUUUUUUUUUUUUUUUUUUUUUUUUUUUAUAUAUUAUUAUUUGCACUAUUAAUGAAAAAUGAUUCAUAACUCUUUUAUGAUUUGAAUUCAUUCUUAGAAGUAUUUUUAGCUAUAUUUGGAGAUAGUGAUUGAAAAAAAAUAGCAAAGACCAAACUCUUAUCUUUAUGACAAGAAUCAUAGUCAGCUACUAUAUGUGCUACUAAAUUCAAAAACCUCACUUGUAAUGUGCAUUGGAAUGAUAAAACCUUCAUCAAUCAAUUUCAAUGUGUGUUGAAGGAUAAUGUCAAAGAUUUAUUAUUGAUAAUGCUAAAAGCAAAAUCUUUAGAACAAUUUAUUAUUCAAGCCAUUACAUAUAAAAAUUGAUUAUUUAAAAAGUAUUAAAAACAAAGACUUGACUAAAGAGGAAUAAACUAAGUAAUAACAAUAACUUAUAAGUUUUUUAAAAAUGAUUUAUCAAUGCCAAAACCAAUGCAAAUUGAUAUAAUACAUUUUGAAUUCUUCAUUCAAUUAAAAAAGAUUCAACAUUGUCAAACGGAUUUAUACUUAUAUUAUAGAGAAGCUAAGCACAUUGCUCAACAUUAUUCCAAAAAGCAACACAAUCACUAAAUAAAGAGCAUGAUUGCUAAAGAAGAUAAUGUAUCAAAAAAUGAGUUUCUCCAACUACAAUAAGAAACAUGUCGCUAGAGUCAUGUAUAAUACCUAAUAAAGGUCUUAUUCUCUUGUCAAAUCUCUUACCUUAUUUUACAAUAAAUAUAUGUUUAGGACCUAAAAAUCACAAAGUCUUUGUAUUAUUAGAUUUAGGAGCCUUAGCAUUUUUUUUAUAGACAAAGACUUUGUUAAGAAAUAAGAAAUACCUUUAAUUAAGAAACUUAAAUUUAUACAUAUAGAAGUCAUAGAUAGUUGUUUAUUCUUUUUUAGAGAUGUUAUUCAUGAGAUUAUUCAUUUAGACAUAAUAAUUAAAGAUAAAAAUAUGAAAUAAUAUUUAAUAUAAUAAGAUCUUUUUUAUUCUAAUUAUUUUAGGAUUAUUGCUAUUAAAAAAAUAUAACCUUCAAAUAAAUUAGAUUUUUUGUAAUCUUAAUUUUUUUAAUAUUUUAAUCUAAAAUUUCAAUAAUUAACUAGGAUUAGAUUAGCUUAAUAUAUCCAAACUCUUAAUGAUAGGUACAAAAGCUUUCAUGUAUGCAAUAAAAAAAAGGUCAUCUUUUCUUAUGUAUUCCACAUCUAUUUCUAAUGGUAAAAAAACAUUGAGUGAUAUUCUUAACUAGUAUCAAGAUUUUUAGGAUGUUUUUGAAAAGAAAAAUACACAUAUUCUUCUAGAUCAUUAACCUUAUGAUUAUUUAAUUGAUCUAUAAGAAAGAGCUCAACUACCAUUCUGACUGAUUUAUAACUUAUUAGAAAAUGAGUUGGCUAGACCAAAGAAGUAUAUUGACAAGAACUUAGCUAAAAACUUCAUACACCAUUUGAAAUAUCUAGUAGGAGCUCCUAUCUUAUUUGUGAAGAAAAAAGAUGGAUCUCUACAGAUGUGCGUAGAUUAUCAAAGAUUUAAUAAGAUCACCAUUAAAAAAAUGAUAUUUCCUACUUUUGAUUUCACCACUUCUCGACCAAUUCAAUUAAGCAAAGAUCUAUAUAAAAAUAAAUAUAUGAAGAGUAUACAACUUGGUGUGCAUGAAUAAAGGAGAUGAAUAGAAGACUAUUUUUUAAACUAAGUAUGAACAUUUUGAAUGUAAUGUCAUGUCUUUUGGACUCACAAAUGUAUCAGCUACUUUUUAAUAUUUCAUGAAUGAUGUCUUUUUUGAGUUUUUUUGAUGAUUUUAUUGUUUUUUAUUUAGACAACAUUUUAAUCUACUCUAAGAAUAUAGAAGAACAUGAACUUCAUGUUUGUCAUGUGUUACAAAAACUUAGAGAUGCAAGAUUAUAUGCCAAGAUGAAAAAGUGUAUAUUCUAUAAUAUUCUAGUUGAUUUCUCAAGAUACAUCAUUUCUAAUGAAGGAUCAAUGAUAGAUCCUAAGAAAUUCUUAACUAUCAUGGAUUGGAAGGUCUCAAAAAUAAUCAAAGAUGUAUAAUAUUUUUUGAGUUUUGUCAAUUAUUAUUGAAUCUUCAUUAAGAAAUUUUAUCAAAUUGUUGUUCUUCUUACACGUGUGACAUAUAAAGACAAACUUAAGUGGGGUAAAGAAUCUAAAACAUCUUUUGAAGCUAACAUUUAUUCUUGCACCAAUUUUAUAUUGUACCAAUUUUCUGAAGGCAUUCUUCAUAGAAACAAAUGCAUCAGACUUUGCUAUAAAUAUUGUUUUAUCACAAAUAUAGCGUACAUAUAGAAAACUUACUUUGUAAGUUAAGAUACAUGUCUUGCAAAGUCAACGCGUUGUGGAGGUCUUAUAGGACAUUACCACAUAGUUCCUAGUUAAGAGUAUUUUUGGAGGCAAGAGUGAAGCCUUCUUUAUUGUUGUCAAUACCUAUUUAGUCUUUAAUCUUGUUUCAAGACUUUUUAGUCUUUUUAUCUUUUUCAAUAGCCAUUCUAAUUCAAUAUAUUACUCUCUUUAGUAAAUUCUUAGUCUUUUUGAAUAACACAAUGGUAUAUUGAAGAUUACUUUCUUUAAAAUUCAUGUCCUUAACAUAAUGUCUUAUUGUCAAGGAUGUAAAUCUCAAAGAAGAAAACUCAAUAUACUCUAAUGUUACUCAAAAAGAUUAAAAAGUCAUUCAAAGAUAGUAAUAUAUUGAACUAAAAUGGCUAUUACUAAAGAUAAGAAGAUUAGAAAGUCUUGAAAGAAGACUAAAGACUAAAAACAAAUUAACAAGAGUGAAGAAGGCUUCACUCUUGUUUCCAUAUAUACUAUAUAACUAAGAGCUAAGUAAUGAUGUACUAUAGGACCUCUAACACGUAUUGACUUUAUAAGACAUAUAUCUUAACUUACAAGGAUUUUUUUUAAUAUAUUUAGCACAUAGUUAACUUAUUCUAAAAGCUAUUAACAUGUUUGGCAUAUAUUUAAUUUAUUGACAAAGUUUCUAAUCUAUCAAUCAACUACAAAUACAUUGUCGUAUUGUGAUUCAGCUACCAUGUAAAAAUUAUCUAUAUAUAUAUUUAUUAUAUAAUUUACUAUACAAUAUAGUAAAAGCCAUAUUAUUAGAUUAUAAUUCGUUACAAAAUAUGUUUAGAUUACUACUUUGAAAUAAUUAGUUUAAAAAGACUAUUAUUAAAGUUGAUUUUAUGUUAAUAAUUUUUUUUAUAAAUUUAGAGCCAACUUUAUUAGACAUUGGUGACUCUUGAAAUCUUAUUUUGUUUAUUUUAUUUGGUGUUCAGGACACAUAUUAUAUAAAACUUAUUAAAAAAAUAUUAGAGAAGGAUUUUUGUAUAAAAUAGAAUAGUUAGGCCAAUCAUAUGGAUCAAUGGAGAUGGAUGAUGAAAAUCUCCAUUCUUAUUUGCCAAAAGUCAUGUCCAAUUGGGCUUCAAAGAGGCUGCUUGAGGCCUUAUUAGGAGUUAAGAUUAUUCUUUCAAGGCUAUUUAAACAUCAAAGGUUAUGAUCAUUAAGUUUAGGAUUUUUGAUAUGAUUUUAGUAAAGCUUUUGUAUAAUUUGAAGUUUUUAUGAAGAAGAUAUAGGCACUUAAAGUUAAGGUAUCAAUUUUGUUCCUAUUGCCAUUCUUUGGGGCAUAGUACACAUGUAUGAAGGGCUUUUGAAGAUUGAAUUGUUUGGUUGAUAAUUUGGUUUAAAUACUUGUAUUUUUCAUGUAAAAAAAUAAAAGGUUUGGAAUUUAUUUAGAAAAGCAAUGAUUGCUUGAAUACAGCGCUUUCAAAUUAACAUUUGUAUAUAAACCAAUUUCAUGAGGGAUUUGGUCCUAGCCAUAUCUUAGAUAUUUAGACGAAUAUUUUGCUAUUUUUUUAUAAAUAUAUAUAUAUAUAUAUAUAUAUAUAUAUAUUAUUAUAUUAUUAUAUUAUUAAACUAUAUACCAAAUUUUAUAGCAUUUAAAUUUUGGAUUUUUAAGAUAUGAAGAAAAUAGUAUUUACGUAUUUGUAAAGUAGGAUUUAAAGCACUUGCCAGGAUUUCUAAGAUGCCAAACAAUCUUUUGUAGAUUUAUGGUUAAUUUAUUUUUCUAAUAAAGCUUCAAGAUAAAUGCUAAAUUAUCUAGAAAUUUGAGAAAAAUUGAAUGGUUUGAUCAAGAGAUAUGAUAUUCUAAAAUUUAGAGAGAAAAAAUCUUUAAAAAGAGGAAAUUAUUUUGAAAGGAUUUUGCUACAAUUUGAGCAUUUUAUGCAAAGUAAAGGGAUUUUUAGGAGCCAAGACUUUAUAAAUAUGUUAAAAAUGGAGAUAUGGAGCUAUGACAAAAUUAUAAUAUAUAGAUGGAUUUUUAUGAGAAGAUUAUAGAUUUUUUUUGAUGUUAUAGAAAAUCUAACUUACAAGCAAAUAAUUAAUUAUGAUUUGGUAUAAAAAAAGAUGUUAGGAUAUUUUUAAAUAAUUUAAAAAGCCUUGUAUAUAAAACUUCUUAAAUAUAAAAAAAUUUAAUUAUUAGAAUAUAUUUUUAUAUUGCUUCAUUUAUUUAUCUUCUAUCGUAAGAAUAAAUUAUUUAUUGGAGCUUAGCUAAUAAGUUAAAGCUAAAUUCUCUAUAAUUAGGUAUUUAAUAUAUUUUUAGAUAAAAAAUCACAUCAUAUGACAAUAUGUAAAGUCAAAAUUGUAUCUAUGAAGCUUCUAAAAAGCUUUUCUAGAAGAUAUUAUGAAUUUAAUGUACUUUUACCUACUUCUAUCUAAUCACAUAGGUAAUUAUUGGAGUAAAUAUGUAUGUACGUGACACUUAUAUUUGUUUAAUGGAAACCUAUGUUAUUAGGCACUACAAUCGUUGGCACAUCUAUCAAUUUUCUUAUUCAUCCAUGCUUCUUUGAAACCUUUUUCCUUGCUUCACUUAUUAUCAUAUUCUUUCAUUUGCAUGUUUUUCAAAUUCCUAGCAUUUUCUUUAUGAAAGUCAGAUAAAAGACUUCUUUGUCUCUUUGUGUUGUAUCCAAGCUAUCUUAUAUAAUAGAUAUAUAAUCAAGUCUCUUUUACUUUUCUAAUUUCAUUUAUGUCUUGACCUUCAAAUUAAUCCUUCAUCUUAUUAUUUUUCUUUUCAAGCCAUUGAUUUGACUAAUCAUCUUUAAUCUUACUUGUCAUUUAUACCAAAUUAACAAAAAAAAAAUUUUGCAUCAAAUUUUUAUAAAUCUUUGUGUCAUAACCUAAAAUGUGUAUAAUAAUCUAUUUAAUAUUUAUGAUCAUAGUUACAAUUUAUAAUAAUAUAUAAAUUUGAUUAUUAAAUUCUAUAUAAAAAAAUAUUAGACAUAAAUUGGCACAUAGUCAUUAAUUCAUCAGAUAUUCAAUUAAUUCCAGAUAUCAAUUAGAAGAAUAAAAAAAAUUACUUUUAAAAAAAUAUGAUUUUAUAUAAUAAACCACCAUGAAACUAAAUUUGAUAACUUCAAAAGAAGAACUAUUUUCUUAAUGAGCUUAUUUUACAAUUGUUUAAAUGAUAUAGGUUGUAUUUUCUAACUAUAUUGUAUAUAACAAAGACUUUUACAAAAUAGUAGUAGUACAAGUUUCUCUAAUUAGAAUUAAUAUGAGUCUCUUUUGUAAGUUUUUUUUUUCUUGAAAAUAUAAUUAGAUAUGAGAUCUAAUUUGAAACAAUUUAUAUAGAUUUGAAAGAUGUAUGCCAAAAAAUUCUUAUGCAUCCUAGUGUUUUUCUUUUACAACAACAUUUUAAAGUAUGUAUAUGUAUAUGUAUAUUUAUAUCAAAUUGAUGCUUUUAAAAUAAAAAAUAGAAUUAUUUAAUAGAUUUGACAAAAUAUUUGGAGAUAAAAAUGUGCUUUUGUAUAAAUGUUAUACUAAUGCUUCAAAAACAGUAAGCCAAAAACAGGAAUAAUAAAACAUGUACAAAGUUAUCCUCCUUUGAUAUCAUAUGAGAAAUCUUCAUACUAUGUCACCACUUUUUAUUUACAUGUAUAGUAGCAUUGGAUGCCAUUGCUUUGGAAGUUAUAACAUCUCACAAAAAACUAUUAACAUAUAAUGAUAUAAAAUAUGAUGAUUAAUUAAAAUUUUAAAAAUAAUUAUAUAUAAAUGGUAUAAAAAAAAGACAAAAACAUAACAAAGAAAUUUACAAUAUCAAUAGAAAACUUGGUCAUUAAUAUCUUCUUUAUGAAUUUUAUUGAAACUAUAAAAGGCAAUAAAAAAGGGUUUCAAAUAAAGAAAAAGUAAAUAACUUAAAGUAUAUAUUUUUUUUAAAAAUGUAAUUUUUUUGUGGAAUUCCAAGAAGUAAGUAUAAUUCAUUAAAAAAAUCAUGAUACUCAGCAACAUUCUAUUUUCAUAGUAUUGAAAAGUAAGACAAUUAAGAAUUGUCGCACCUUACCAGAUAAAUAUGGAAACAAAUAGUUUACAUCUUAAAAUAAUAUUAAAAAAAAAGAGUAGCAAGGAGAUAUUACUCUUGUGUUAGCCGGACAUCAUUCAUUAUUUUUAGUAUAAGUAGAAAAUCUUCCAUCUUCAUGUAAAGACCAUGUUCAAGAAAAUCCCACAUUCUUGCAAUAAAAUGCUAUCACAAACCUCAUAUCCCACUCCUUAUACAAUAUUUAAAGAAGCUCAAAAAACAUAGAAAUAAUUUGCAAAAGCUAAAAGUAUAUGGUCCAAAACAAACAAUAUGUGAAGAAGGAUAAUUGUCCAAUUAAAGAAUUGAAAUGGAUCAAUCUUAUCUACAUCCACAAUGGAAAACCUCCAAUUAGAGCAACAAGUGUGCAAUCAUUAGUCAUUAAAUAAGACAAUGAUUAUAAGAUAAUAAAUUAAUGUAACUCAUAUCGUAGUGCUAAAUAUUCAAAAGAAUAUAUCUUUUUUUUUUUAUAGAUAAUUUUAAAAUAGUAAAUAAAUAAUAUACUAGGAUCUAAGAAACAUAUGUAUAUAUAUAUAGUAAUUAUCAAUAAUCAUUGUACUAAAAAAAAUGAACUUGAAUUUUUUUAAUUAAACUUCUAUAAAUGUGUCUAUAUAUAUAUAUAUAUAUAUAUAUAUACACACACAUACAUAUAUGAACUUAUCUAGUAUAUAGUGAUUAUAAAAUAAUUGUAUAAGCUUAAAAAAAUAUACUAUAUAAAAAUGGCUUUAUCUUAAUAUUUUAUAAUAUUCUUAUUUAAAUCCCAAUUACUUUACAAGAUGAAUAAUAAGUAUUUUUUAGAAAUUAUAGAUUUAUAAAGAAUAUUAAGUACUAAGUUAGCAAAAAAAUUAAGGAUAAUUAGAAUUAAAAUUAUUUGAUAUUGAUUCUUGACUCUCGUUACAAAUAGAUUUUUUGUUCUUGAAAUUUAGCAAUUAAAUUAGAUUUUUUUUUAAAAAAAAUAUUUUGAAAACAUAUAUGAUGAAAACUUAAAAAAACCUAUUUACAAUAUAAGUUUUAAAAUAUAUUAAUAUAUAAUUUUUAAUUAUAUUUUUUAAAUAAAUAUCAAUUGUAUAUUUAUUAUUACAUAUGUUGAAUUAUAUUUUGAUACUUUAAUUUUAAUCUCUAAAUAUAUUAAUUAUAAUAUUAAAUACAUAUUAGUAGUAUUAAUAUGCGUAUAGAAAAAUAUUUUAAUAUUUGAUUUUUAUUUAUAAUUUUCUAUUUUAAUAUUAUUUAAUUAUUUAAUAAUUUAUUAUUAUUUUAAAUCAAGAAUUUCAUCAAUUUAUUUAAUUGUAUUAUAAAAUAGUUUAUAACAUUUGUCUUGACUGGAUAUUUAUAUUUAUAUAAUUAAAAAUAAGUAAUUAAUAGAAGUGAAUAUUUAUUAUUAUUAUUUUUUAAAUAAUCAUUUUUUAUACGUAAUUUCUCUUGGUUUCUUAAAAAUAUUUAUUUUUUAGAAGAAUAUAAGAUUUCAUUUUUUUUAAUUUGGUGUUUAAAUUAAAUGCACAUGAAAUAUCUUGUAAAUUUUUUAAUAUUAUAAAAUAUAUCCAAAUGUUAUAAACAAGGCUAAAUAUAAUUUUGAAUCUUAUUUGUUUUUUUAACUUAAAAUUAGUAAAUAAUAGGUAUUUUGUAUUUAAAAAUAAAAAUUUUACCGCAUUAUUUUGAUAUAUAUUAGUAAUUCAAUUUGCAACUUCUAAUAAAGUAAUAUAUCUUUUAUUAUAUUUUAUAUGAUUUUAGGUAGCAAUAUUUUAUUUUAUUUUAAAAUAUAAUUUUGGUACAAUUGUUUUUAAUUGUAAUAGUGAUUCAUUAAAAUUAGACUAUUUUAUGCUAAUUAUUGCAAAUAGAUCUUUUUUUACACACAUUCAUAUUUUUUUUAUAAGCCCAUUCUUAUUAAAUAAGGUUAUUUUAUUUUUAAAUUAUAUCCAAAUCUAUUAAAAUUUAUUAUUUGGAUUUAAUUUAUGUAGAGAAUUUAAAAUGUGAUAGUAGUAAAAAAUUCAAUUACAAUCAAUCUCUUAAUUGUGCCUUAUAUUUUUAUAGAGUUGUUUAAAAGAUAUAUGAAAUCUUCCAGAACUAAGUUUAUCUUGAUAAUCCUAUUCUAAUUUACUAAGCAUUUUUUAUUCUUGAUUUUUUCAACCAAAUACUAAAAGAUUAAUGACUUUAUUUCUUUAAAACAAAAAGGUCAUUGAAACAAAUAGAGUAUCUUGUUAUGGUAUUGAUUUUAGUUACUAUAUGAAUUAUAAAUUAGUUUUAUAAUUUAACAAUCAGAUAUAUAUAUAUAUAUUAUUUAUUUAUUUAUUUAUUUAUUUAUUUCUAAAUUUGAUAAAAUUCUACUUUGGUAUCUUAGUAUCUUAGAUAAUAAUGGCAUCUUAAUACAUAAUAACUAUUAUGAAUAUAUUAUUUUAAAAAAUCCUUAUAAACAAAAUUAAAAAGUUUUUUUUUGUAAAUCAAAUUUAUCAUUUAAGAAAUAAGAUCCACAAUUUUUUUAAAAAAAUGAAUGCCAUUAAAAAUAGUCACUAAAUUAUACAAACACACAAUCUUUGUGCAUAACAACAAUUGUACUACCCCUCUUACAACAUAAUAUCUAUGUGAGUGAAGCAUUUUAGACCUUGACAAUUCAAUAUCAAAACAAGUUCACUAGCUUACAAUCUCAAAAUUGUUAAUAUUGAUUCACUCCUUGUCUAAUCCAUGAACUAUUAUGGAUUUUUAUAUUAUGGCAUCCCAACAUAUUUUCACCCCUAUUCCAAAAAUACCAAUUACAAAUUCAACCAUCCAUGCAUAGAUUUGUCCCACCUCCAAAACAACCCUUUCCCAACUCACACUUUUAACCACAAAAUGAAGUGAAAAGUGGGGAACAUACCUUUCCCCCCCAACUAAACUACUGAGAUUAGGGAGUGUGGGUGGUUGAUUUCCUUUUGUCUUGUGGUUUGAUUGAGUUUGCUUCCCUUGUCCAUUUCCUUUGCAGCCCAGUUAGUUUGAGAUUUAUUUCCAAACUUACGGGUUCCUGUUACUGUGAAUAAUUAUAAAGCAGAAUAAGUAUAAGCACAGCGAGUUGCAAAUUCAUCCUCCCCCCCACCACAGAUAUCGGCGUUUGUUAAGGCGUCUCAGAAAGGGGAAUGGUCGUGGAUCCCACGCCUUGCGGUGCCUUUAGGUGGGUGUUGUCUUAUACUCUCUCUUACUUACACACAGACAGACACACCCACAGACACAGACACAUACACACACCACCACCAUUCACUGAUCGAUCUGCAAGACUAGACACUUCUAGAUCACUCAACACCGGCGAGAUAUCUUCGACUCAUUCCAACGAGGUUUAGUCGAUUCAGGUUUGUUCGGAUUAAUGGAUCUGCGCUACAGCAUGUUUACCUGAUCGAAAGCCUGCAGGACGGAGAGUUUGAGAGCCCUGCAUUGGCAUCGGUAUUUUCACCGCAUUUGGCAUCGAACUAGAUUGUCACGGUUGAUGAUAUUGUUGUUGUUGUUUUUUUUUUUUUUUAUGAGUUAUGUUCGAGCUGGGGUUUGUUUAGAUUCUCACCUGAAUGGAAGAAAAAAAAGACAAAAAAAGAAAAAAACGAUAGGAAGGAUCUUACUGAGACUGCUGAAUUCCCUGACGGAAGUGAGCAGAUGGGCCUUAGAGGCGUCGAAAGUACCGCCUAGUUUGUGGGAGGAGUUCGGGGACUCGGUGCCGGAUCGUUGGUACGAUUGCGGUAGGUUGAAUUAGUUGCGGCAUCAUUAGGGAGUACUGGGACUGUAGCAUGUUCUGAAGAGCUGUGGAUGGUUAGGGUGUUGCGGAGCUGAGGGAGGUUGGCGGGGAAGUUAGACUGGUUUAUAGAAUGAGCGGCAGAUUGGGUUUGGAACUUGUGGAGAGGAGACUUAAGUUUGGAGAGUUAGAGGGAAGGACUUGCAUUCAGUGAUUUGAGAGUUGGGUUUUACACUUUAUCACCACACUAUUGUUGACAGCUGCUGAAGGGUUCCCUUGAUGAGCGAGGGAGCAGCCUUGUAGUGCACAUCGCGGCCCUGCAGAAAAAGAAGUGCCGUGAGUUCGUUGUAGACAUUUCAGUAGAGCGGGUUGGUGUAAAAUUUUCGGAUCUGAUCCAACCCAGGCUUCAGGUUAAAUGUAUAGACGCUCACCGUUCAUAGAACUUAUCAUCAAUCUAACUUGAGCUGCACGGGUGCUGCACUUCUCCUCCCCGGGCUGCUGUGUUGGUUCUGAAAGGUUGCCUUGAUUCAGCCAUCCAGAGCUAGCGUCACGGCGAGAUAUGUGCUCUGAGCAGAUUCAACGCAUCAACUAUACUAUUUUUGGCACAACUGAAUCGCCCAUUUUGCCGUCGCAGCCAUUUUCUUACAUUCUCGACUACUAGACUUAUCAGACCUUGAGAUAGUGGUUUGUUUACACCUAUCCACAUUAGCAAGGGUGGCUCUUCGCACGAACUCAAACCUGCAGGUGUUUACGAAGCUCGAUAAAAGAAACGGAGACUAGAUUGGGGGAGACGUUUCGAGAAGGUGAAUCUUGUUUCACCGCCAAGAAUACCGAAGUCUAAAGGAUCCCGACUCUUGUCGAAGAUGCACAUAGAUUGUCUGAUCUUCAUCUGAAUUCUGGAUCGGAUCACUUUGGAGUUUGAUUCCAGGGCUGGACUUCCACCAUCCUUCAAGUUGUAGAUAGGUCUAUCUGCAACCCCAAUAGUUUCAGAGUCCCGUCCGACAGUGCUAAUCUGAUCGAGUGCAAGUGGACUGGCUCGCACAAUCUGAUACCUUUUAAUUCACUCUUCAUUUCACUGACUCUGACCACGACUUAGCCGCGUCAUCAGAAUGGACACCAACCAACAGGGAUUGCCGUCUCUGAACCAUCUUCUCCAGCAUGCGCUUCGCAGGUUAUGCACCGAAUCGGAAUGGGUUUAUGCUGUCUUCUGGCGCAUUCUGCCGCGCAAUUACCCUCCCCCACAGUGCGUUCCUCCCACUAACCUCCUCACAACUCCUCAGUUGGAUUUUAUCAAGUGAGCCAUCUCAUGUGUAGUAUAGCCUUUACCAGCUCCAACCGUGUCCUGCAGUAAGUUUAUAGUGGUUAAUUCUACCCAAAUGAAGUCAGUACUCAAUGCUUCGAUAUCUGUCUCACUUUUAUUCUCUUUUCAUCACUUACGAAUGCUUCUAGCUCUUCUGAUACUAUCCAUUCAAUUCCGUCUUUGUUUGCCAUCUUCAUUGUCCAAGUGCAAGAUUGGAAUCUCAAAUUUCGAUUUUCACUGCCAUACUACUUGUGGCUGACUUGACUUGGAUAUGAAAAGAACCCCGAGCUGCGAAUCAUGUAUCAGUAGAUUUCGUUGAUUGCGUAAGAAUAAUGCUUUUUCGCAAGCACGAUGCAUUCCCACGCUUGCAUUUGAAUUUGAUUCUCAUUCGAAGUGUACUCUCCCUGUACAAGUCUUUUCCUCGAUCCUAGUUCCUGAGUAUGCUGAGAAACACCUUGCUAAUGGAAUUAAACGUGUGUUUUAGGUGGGACACAGAAGUCGACAUGAUGGACCGAUCGAAGAGCAACAAGCGUAACUGGUUAGUUCCCUGUGCACAUUGUGCGACUGUUAUCCUAUGAAAAAUAAUUUGCUCUAGCUGAUGAUCAUUUCUGAUUGCUAGUCUCGGAGCCUCAUUUGUAUGGAAGAGAGACGAGGCGUGUUAAAAAGAGAGUUUGAAAUUUAUCGGAUGCACUCUGGACCGGACAACGAAAUUACUAAUCUGUCUUGCAUUGACAUGACGUGCAGGAUUUUGGUAUGGGAAGGUGGGUUUUGCAACUUCUCUGCCUGCGCCACUGGCUUAGGGAAUGAUGGCAGACCAGGAUCCUUGUGCUUUCAAGGUCGGCAGCAGCCACAAGGUAGUGACGAACCUUGUGAAGCCAUGAGUCCUGAGCUUUUCUUCAAAAUGUCCCACGAAGUUUACAACUAUGGAGAAGGGUACUGCCUUCUAUUCCUUCAUCAUACAAUCCACGCUCUGGAAACGUUCUCAUGACGCUUGACGUUUGCGCUUCGCUACACACGACUUCUGUAGCUUUUAAGUUACAUCAUCUGUGGAUUCCUUCGUCUGUGCGAAACUCCGAGUAUUAAGUGAUUCGUGGAUAAUGACGUUUGACAGUUUGUUGGGAAAAGUAGCUGCUGAUAACGGGCACAAGUGGGUGUAUCGAGAACCUGUAGAGUACGAUAUUAGUUUUCUCUCUCCAUGGCACGGCUCCCUGGAACCUGUAAGUUUCUCUUCUUUUUCACCUUCCCUUUUCCAAUUCAAAAAUUAAAAUGCUCCCUGCAAUCUUGUUGUGACAACAGUGUGUGGAAAAGCUCUGUUAAGUUGCAUAUCUCGCCUAUCCUGGCUUUGGCCUCCGCCACAUAUCUAUGCAGUGGGUUCAGGACCCUGGCAUGCUCUGCUUAAGGAUACUGAUCUAGGGUGUGCUUGAAGUUUUCUUUUUGGCUGAUAUGCAAGGGCUUGGUACGUGCAGCAUCCAUGCACAUGGGAAGCACAGUUCAAGUCGGGAAUUCAGACCAUUGCAGUGAUGGCAGUACAGGAAGGCGUUAUUCAGCUAGGAUCCACGAAGAGGGUGCUUCCUUCUCCCACACUUAUGUUUUUAAUAAACUUUUCCAAGGACCUGUUUCUGCUACGGUUACCCGAAGUGGAACACAUUUAUCUAUGUGGAUGAUGAUAACUCGAGCGACCAGAUGAGUAUAGGACUGCAACACAGGCACCCUGGCGAGCAUCAUUGAACAAUGUUCUUAGUCAGACAUUUUACGAGUUUAAGUAGCAGAGUGUGAGAGUAUUCCAACCAUGAAUGAUGGCGUUUGUCCAAGUUGUGAUGGUUUGCUGGUGGAUUGAUUGUGCAACAGAUAGUGGAGGAGUUGAACUUCAUACUCCACUUGCAAAGGAGAUUCAAUUACCUGCAAUCCAUCCCCGGUGUGUUAGUCCCUCACCCUUUUUCGUGCGCAAGCAGGAAGAGGUUGAUCGGCAAUGGUCCUCCGCCCGCUGGCCGUGGCCACAGGAUGGCAAUCCCAGAUUACGACAAGCCCACGUCAAAUCUCAACUUGCCAGUACGCUCAGUCGACCAGUUCAUGUCGUCACGUAUCGGCCCGCAGCUGUGGCGGUCGUCCAGCGACACCACUGUCCUUGGAUUGAAGCGGCCGCUUGAUUCAGACCCAUUACCGUUAUGUACGGAUCAUCCCUACAUGAAUACCGGCGAGGGAUUCCACCAUCAGCGAGAAAGCCCGUCUCCUAUGAAGUCUUUGAACACCGGACUCACAAGUGCGCAGGGUGGGGCGAGUCCUACCAUUCCAAACCUGCUUUCAUCCAUGUCAAGCCUGCAAGCGCUGUUGUCGAAGUUGCCAAGCGUGAAGCCAACGGAGAUGGACAGCAACAACUGCACCAGCGUUGUCACGGCAACUAGCAGCGGCUUCGAUGCCACUGCAGGAAUAAGCGGCCGACCUCCUGUCAGCCGCUCAGUCGUUAACAAAAUGGCCAAGGAAAGGGCCGCUUCUUCGAAAGAGACCGCUGCAGCUGAGAACGGUUACGUGCCUGGGGACUCGCAAACGCACCUGAACCCGGCGUCUAAGACGAAAGCCGAGCCAGUGCAAGAUCAGAACAUCGACAUCGCUGGUGCGGCAACAACAUCGACAAGCUCCCCGAGCUCAGGAAACUCGGAUGUGGUCUCGGCUGAGCACGCGUCGGACGUUGACACCGAGGUACAUCAGACCGGGACUUCUGAAUGCAAAUCUGACAGCCAGAAGGCUUUCUGCAGCUCGACGUUCCUGGACACUUUCGAUAACCUCGCGGACUUCGGCACCCUUGCUGAGGCCGGAGACUCUUAUAACUUAUUCUUGAGUGAGAUGUACAGCGGAUGAUUUCAACUACACAGAUUAAUCAAUUCCUGGCCAUCCAGUUUCACGAUCCGCACAAUCUGUCCUAGGGUGCAACUGAUCCAAGUGAUAGCAUCUCAUACCGAUAUCGAGCCUGCAUUUUUCUUUUACAUUACGAGUUACCCCCGAGUGCUUGGAUUUGCUUACUUUCGUCUAUUAAGAAAGUACAAUCUUAUCUGGAGUUGUCAGAUUUAAAUUAAUCCUGGCCGUUCUUACCGUGGUGGUCAACUGAAAGGGAAACGUGAUUACUUGUGGUAACCGUUUAAUUAAUAUUACUUAAACCUAGAUAAUGGGGAGUAAUUUAUUGUACAGCUUUAGAGGUAUUAAUGGAACACCAUUGACUGCUCUUGCGAACAGAUUCAUGUACUUCUUAAUGUGAAGUGAUAACCAAUAUACAGUUGAUUGGGAAUUUGUGGAAUUGUGCGGAUGACCUACAAAGCACACAAUAAUGAUACAACUCAUUAGUAUCAACAUUUUGCACUUCUCUCUAAGCCUCGACUCUCGUUGAUGUAUCAUACACGUGCAAGAAUUCCCCCGAGAAAAAAUUCGCUAGAACUGCCGAAUGAGGAGCAGUACUAAAUUCCGAUCAUCAUUGCGCUACCGCUCAAGAACCAUAUCACACUUAUGUCAGGAUGGUGAAAAAUUCCUUGUCCUGUAUGUCUAAUCUAGACUCGAGUGGAGACAACAAUGUUUAGACAAGCCCUGGUUAAAGAUGCAACUCAGAGUCUGCAAGUAGCUCUGUGCUGGAGGCAUAUCUUGCUUGUGUUGAGCAUCAAGCAAUAGCUACGAGCAACUCUGAGGUUCCUAUCAAUCUGAGCUCAUGGCUGAUCUUUCCAGCACUGUCCAAGUUCUCGCAAAACCUUUUCAUAACAUAUCAAUAAAUUCUUGGUAAAUUGCAUUCCAACUAUGAAAAUAUAAGCGCCUCAUUCUGAAUCAAAAAAUUGACACAAUUUUCACUGUUUAUUCAAUUUACAGGGACUCACUUUGUACAUUGCUUUUCGUGCAAGACGGAUUCCUCUAUUUGGUCUCAGCAUUCCUAAAACGAUCCCUCAACAUUUCACAUGUUGAACAAGUUUUUACCAGCAUGAAUAGACUACAAGAGUACACGAAAAUAUCAGAAUUUCAUCUCGACAUGAAGAGGAUGAGACAGUCACUCAAGUUGAACGAACAUGUCCAAUUCAAACUUAGAAGCACCAGGAUAUCACAGAGUAAAGCCACAACUUAGCUGCUGUAGUCAUAAUCUCGUAGUCACAGAAUCUCCUCCACAAGCUGAGUUCUCCCAGGAUGUUAAACUGAAAGUGGAGUCAUUCUAUCCUUCAACCAGCUCUUCUAAUAUUCAAGAAUGUCCUUGAUGCUCCACCAAGGCAUACUUUGAUUGCCAACUCCACAAGGUAAGAAAGCCACUUCUGUUUGCCUGUGACAUCUCCUUCAUGUGAACAGUCCCUGUGACAGCACGUCUCUUACACUUAAGUUCAUGUGCUUCCCAGCAUAAGUUUCGUAAACUGGAAGUCCAUCAAAGUCCACCUCCUCCAUCAGCAAGGAUGCUUCUCCCAACGGGUGUGCAGGUAAGACAUCCACGGCACCGUUCACCGCGUUGUAGGUUAUCACCUUCCCUGACACAUUCGAUACCAAGAUGAUAGAGCUGCAAAGGCCGUUCGAAUCAACACAUGGGAUUCCAUACGCAAUGUCCACAGGUUCCUCAUCGAAGUAACUCUGAAGGUGAGCGGAUGUAAUUUGCAGCACUCUCUUACUUGCGUUCCAGUCGACCAGAACCUCGUUCACCUCAAAUGAUGAGCUGGAGCCCCGCUCACGACUGCGGAUGAACGACCACACCAACAGAAACAACCGGUUGUCUCUCACCACGAGUUGUGGGUUUGAUGGCUUAUCAGGGAAUCUCACGCUAAUUUCUCUCCACAUAUCCUCUUGCAUGUUGUAGCUCAGAACCACGUAUUUGUUCCAAGCAUCCGUUUGGAAAAUCAUGUACAAAGCCUCCCGGAAGUAGACGGCGGACAGUGCAGCUGAAACCCCAAGCCUCUCUGGAGCGUUUCUUAGCCCACGCCAUUUGUUUGUGGCUGAUUCAUACACAAAUAUUCGCGUGUCUGCCCUCGCGCGGUUGUUUACAAAGAAUACUCUGUAGGUGCGAGCAACGCUGUCUACAGCCAUAACGAUAAUGGGUAGGGCCUCGUCGGCAGGGCAAGAGAGAGCGGGGAGGUGGUUGCUCAUCUGCGCAAUUGGGUCGGAGACGACUAAAACAGUUAAUGUAUCGUACUUUCUGAUCAAAUCACAGACGAGACCGUCGUCCAUAGCCACGAUUCGGGUGUCGUAAACGACAGGAGGCACGUCAUCUUCUAAGUCAUCGUAGAGCCCACGAUGCUCGUCGGCCUUGAUGGAAUACCACCGCCUCGCAUCCAGGUCAAGAAAGCACAUCGUUCGAAUGAAAGUAGGGUCAACAUAGCACCAAUCGCUGUAAAUGAGAUAUCGCGUGACGAACAAGUAGGUCUCUUUUCUACCAUUGAGAUCGCAUAGGUCAUGAAAGCUUGGCUUUGAAAUAAGCACGUUCCAUCUUCUACACACGCAUCGAAAUCUGCACAGAACGGGCACUGGCAAGAAAGACAGCACACGAUCGAUAAUCUCGAGCGGAAGACGACUCCACAGCCCCUCCGUCAAAAUCAUGGUUACCUACACCCUGCACCACUCCAAGGGAAUAAUGUCCCAAUGUAAUUGUCAAGAGGUAGCUAUGUCUCCGCUCUCUCUUCCGAUGGGCAAAUACCUCAGUAUCGAAGCUCCCAAAAUUCACGGACAAUUCAUAUCCAGCAAGAGGAAUGAUUACAAUCACCGAAAUAAACGUCGCCCCGACACAAACACUAGCCCUUGCGAUGCUCGCUGGCACUACCUCUCAAACAACGAACUCAUUAAAAACAGAAAUACACGAAGGCAAAAAUAAGAAAAUAAGAAAGAAAAGAGGUGGUACCUCACAAUCAAUCCUUAGACUUGCAGGGGACGACUAACCCAACAUGAAUUGCCAACAAGACUACCCCAACAAUGCACAGAAGCGAGAAGAACGAUCUUCUAGGACAAUUCGCUAGGAAUUGAAUGCGAAUUGGAGAGACAUCGCUGGGUAUGCUCUUUUGCUUGCACACCACGCCAUCCGUACCAAAGGUGUAAAGCAGUAUGAUAGCGACUCGCUCAUUAACGAGCUCCAAAGACCUUGACGGAAAUUGUGGGUUCAAAUUUUUGAACCUCGAAGACAAUCAUAUUGCAGAGGCUCUUCCACCACAUGAGUCGCAAUCAAUUCAAACAGAGCGACGUUAACAUCAAGCGUAGAUAACGCUCCAUAAUUUGUGAAGUAUUUGUCUCCUUGACUGUUUGACGUCAAUGUUGCCAUAAAGUACGUGGAAUUUUGAAACGCAGGGGAGAAUUGCUGCUUUACUUCUCGAUGUUGGUUCAACCCUUCGAUGGACUCUAAAUUAUCACGGUUGGAAUUACAGCCAUGAUAGUCAUUGUUUGUGGGGCACAACCGCACGUACUUUGAGACUGAAACUCUUGUAGGUGGCGAUGCACACAACUGUUUCUGAAGAGCGGUGCAGGUUAACCUCGCUAUCACCAUCGAAGUCGUCAAUACUCGAAAGCAAGCGCGCGCAUCAGCCCUACCUCACGAUCGUAAAACUCCCAAACCCCACUGUACAAUGACGAAAAACAUGUCACUCUCCCAUCGCAUACUGCCCAACACACGAAUCCCUGCAACUGCUGGACUAGAAAUUGGCACAAAUCAAAAACCAAGCAAGCUUGACAUGAUGCACGCUCCCCUCCCCAUGUCACUCACCUCCACACGAAAUCAUGCACUCUUCUUCUGCGAUAUGAUCGUCGGCAUGGGUGAGUAAGUGUGUGUGCGCUGGCCAAUUCCUUCCUCCCACAGUAACCAUUCCAGCAACAAACUCAUCUACGGUAUUUCCAAAAACCCACAAAAACCCAAAUGUCAUCAAAAUUCACUCGCUCACUCCCAAUUCGUCAAGUGUUGCAGGAAAUCUAGCUUUUCGCUUCAGAGAUAUCCCAGGAGGAGGCAAACCCUGCACCGCCCCUCCAUUGUAUACACGGCAAACAGGCGAUUGCGACGUCAAGUAACGACAUGGGUACUUGCAAUCCACGACCUGAGUCCCAGUUACACUGUCAGCACGUCACGUUCCCACUACGCCAUGCGAUGCGACAGCUGCAAAAGCUGCAGCCAACACACAACUCUUGGACAAUUUUGAGCAGGGAGCUGGCGCCGCCGCCGCCGCCGCCCAUCAACAUGGUUUCGAUGUCGUGCCGUGACGUGACGCGCCAUGCCGUGACGCACCGUCGCGUCCAUUUCUGAAUGUCAACUCUUAUUGCAGGAAAAUAGGCUUCACAGCUACCUCCAAAAUAUUAAUGAAUAUUUUCGUCAAUAUUUUUACAUUAACAUCUGAAAAAUGAUUUGGUAUUCGUUGAUGCUGAGAUAAUAAUUGAUUUUAAAAAUUAACAUAUUAGUUAUUACUAAUGUAUGAUUAUAUGUAUGUGUGAUUACAUAUAUGAAGCAACAACAUUAGCAAAAUAUCUUGUUUUUUUCUACUUUUUAUACUAUGGAUUAUUUAUCCGUACAUUUUUUAAGUGACUCUAUUACAAAUUAUGUCAACCACUUUGAUUAUAGCUUUCCAACCUUGCCACUUUCUUUAUUGUCAAAAUAAAAUAAAAUAAACCUUGAUAUAUAUUAAAUAAAAUUAUAUAUAUAUAUAUAUUUAAAUUUUAUAAAUAAAAAUAAUAAAAAUUCUAAAAUAUGCAUAGAAUAUUUCUUUAAUACCAAAUAAAUAAAUAAAUAAAAUCAAAGUAGUAAUAUAAAACCAAAGACUCAUCAUUUGUAUAAGCAUAUUAUAAAUUAUUAAGUACUCUUUUUUUACUUCUACUUCUACUUUAGAUUAGAGAAAUGUUUAUAAAAUCCAAUAAUUUUUUUUUUAAAUAAAAUUUAACUUAGUUAUGUGGUACAAAAAAAAAACUACAAAUAUGUUCAGGUAGGAGAAAUAUUUACCAUAAUUUUGGUACAAUUGCAACUUAUCUAUUUGGUACUUGUAAAAUCUAUUAUCAAUGAUUUUUGGUCUUAUCCUAGUGCACAAAGGACCUGUAAUUAGUGCUCUUUGUUUCUUUAACUAGUUUUGUCUUAAAUAUUUAUUUACAAUCACAUUUUUUUUGUAAAUAAACUAUACCUCAAACAAACCAUCUUUGAUAAAAAAUUCUUUCAAAAGUUCAAAACUCUAAAGAAAACACAAUCUCUUAUUUACAAUAACUACUUUUGGAUCCUGAUCUUUACAAGUAAUGAUGUAGACUUUUACAAUUUAACUUGAUUAUCAGAGAAAGUUAUUCCUAGAAUGUAUUUUAUUAUAUUGAAGUGCACCAAAAGAGGAAGAUAAGUAUAAGAAUGUUUUAUAGGAAAUUGGUUAGAUCAAUGAUUCACUUAAGAAUUUGGAUGCAAUUGACAAAGUUUAAAUUUGAAGAUAUAAGUUGAGUUUUUAAAAUGGACAGAUUUCAAUUUAGAUAUUAUGGAUUCAAAUAUCCAUUUGUUUUACAUUUUCUUCUAAAUCCCAAAUCCCGUAGCUUUUAAAGAAGACAAAAACCAAUUGAUGUUUUAAAAAAGACAUAUAAACAAGACAUAGGCCCUUACAUCACUAAACAACUCCAGUCUACCAUAAAGAUCUUGCCAUAUAUCCUUCCAAAAACAGUAAAAGAAAAACACUUCUAUCCCAUGAGAGAGUUGCACUCGCUAAUAACUGUAUACCCAAAAACCCUGACCUAAAUUUUAAACCCUUUACAAUUCAUUCUCAGCCUCUGCCUUCUCCUCUUAAAAAGAAAAAAGAAAAUAACAUAGUAUAAAAGUGUACUACCUCAAAACUCAAGAAAAAGAUAAUCAAAUGCUCCAAAAAACACUGCAAUCUUAGACACAAGCAACCAUAAAUUAGUGCCACAGGCCUCCGACAACCGACCUAGACCCACAGGCCAGCAUGAUUCCUAGUUGACCUAAAUAACUCAUCACUUCAAAUUAUAACCAAAUUAUAGCAUCCCAUUUUCAAUUUUACAUUUUAUAUUAUUAUAUCAUCAUCUCGGAAGGGUAAAUAUCUUCAUCGCUUUUGGAAAAUAAAAAACAAACAAACAAAUUUUCUUUUGUAAAAGUGGAGGCCCCACGCAGACUUUCAGAUCCAUCAGGAAGUUUAUAAAUCAGGGUUCGGAAUACCGACAAGCAGGAAGAUGUAUCACAAAUAUCUUUAAUCGUAUCCUCGAAUCAGAAAUCGAAGCUAUUUUUCGGUAUGUGUCGCUUCCAAGGUGCGAGUUCUAGCUUCUCGCCAAGUGUGAUCUUAGUCGAGGUCGAACAUUCCUGCUUCAUUUUAUACUGUUUUGUUUAUUUUUUAAUAUCUAGAACUUGUCUGCUUGGAUAGUUCUUUUGGAAGCGUUCAAAAGGGGCGAGGCUCUUUUCAUGUGUUCCAAUUCCGAAUUUGUGAUCCCUUUUCUGUGUGCGUUUGUGAGCAACCCAUCGAUCUUUGCUGAUGUUUACCAAGCUUUCGGAGGCAUAGAACUGGGUUUAAUUCUUAAGUGGCAGGCAUGAUGCUGUUUUGGUGAAACAGUUUGCCGCAAACUGUUGUGCAGCGUUGUUUCUGUUUCGUGGAGGGUGGUUAUUUUUUCGUGUGUUGUAGACGGUUUUGAUCUUUCUUCGCAUCAUGCCUCGCCUGGACCGUGUCGGGGCAGCGCUCUGGGCGGUUGGGAGCUCUGCCGUCGAAACUUACAGAACCCGAUCCGUGGGUGCCGAGGUGAGUCGGGAUGGUAUUGCAGUUGGCACCUCGGCGGAUGGGAGAUCAGGGAGGAAAUUGCCCGGUGAGCAGACUGAGCUUCACGAGGUUCUCUCUUCUCUCAUCCAAGGAGUAUAUGCGACUGACCGUGGCUUAAAAGACGCUCAUCUCUUCUACGAGGCCUUAGGGUAUGAGCAGGAAACCUUGGAAGACGAGCACCCUGACGACGAUAUUGCCAAAGUUGGUAACCCGAGUUGCAAGAUCCGACUCAUGGUCUUCCGGCGACGAGACCUAGCACAGCUCCAAGACCAGGCGGGUGCUGCUCAUAACGACACUGUCGAAUCCAAAGUUUCGUUGAAAAUGGCUCGUGAAAGCGAAGCCCAAGCUUGUCAUUCAAACUCAACGCCGAAAGCAGAGUUUUUGCCAAAGUAUGUGGUGGCGAUCCGCGGCACUCGGAAGUACUGCCAACGAGACAUCAAAGCCGACCUCCAGAUCAUGUUGGAGACGUUGCACCACAACACUCUGUAUGACAUCGUGAAGAGCAUGACCAGGCGCGUCGUGGAGAAGCACCCCCACGACAGCGUUUGGGUGGCAGGUCACUCGCUAGGCGCCGCAAUCGGGCUCAUCGUCACUCGGGAGCUCGCGCUCGAAAACAUGCCCGUCGAGACUCAUCUCUUCAAUCCUCCGUUCCUGUCCUUGGAAACUCUACUUGAAAAGGCUACUCUCCUCGCAUCUAAGGGCCUCAACAAGCUAAACCGGGCCUUCAAAGCAGGCACCGAGGGGAUGCCAGCCAACCUGCAGUCAGCGCAUGACUAUGCACGCUCGAGCCGCAUCAUGAAGCUCGCGAGGGAGAAGAAGGCGAAACUAGACGCGAAGUACCUCGAAACCAUGACACCCGACUUCAUCAAGCUGGAGAAAUGGUCACCGCACUUGUACGUGAACCCGUAUGAUCCCAUCUGUAAUGGCUACAUCCACUACUUCCGCAAACAAAACCUAUUCUAUGGCGGUUUAGAAACACAAGCCAUAUCUCUCACUUCCGGAACGUUGCGGAGGUUCUUUACCUUGGACUCCCACUCCUAUCACUUGAUCCCUUCGGCGAUUCUCCACAUCAAUCACCGAGGAGACACAAACGUGCUAGAGUCCCAUCCGCUUCACCAGUGGCACGAGUAUCCAACCAUCAAUCUACAGCACGAGAAGCACGAUCUCCUGGACGAAUUAGCAUCCGAGGAUCACGAUCACGGUAAUAUAGCAUCUCACAUCGAUGAACUCCGCGUUACAACCACAGUUUCAUCAACUGUACAGACUCCAAUCCUCGUUCCCGAUUGACGAGUCACCCUGCAGCUCGGCGAAUGAAUAUUGCACAAAUAUUUGUGUAAAUACGUAGCCACACAUGCUGAUCCUUACAAGCCAGAUUCCUAAAGAUGCACACUUGGACUGUGUAUUCCAGUCUGCGCACUAGGUCAAGCCCAGCAAGCACCAGUUUGUGGUAUUGGGAGAAUUAUUCCGUAUAGUACACUAGUCUCUUACAUAGAAUACAAUCUACUAAAUAUUGACCUUAAACGAACAGUUGUGACUCUUGGUGUCUUGGUGUCACUCAUGUGCGCACAAUAUACUGUAUAACAUUGAUCAUAUAUUAAUACAUAUAAUGUUUCCAACAUGGUAUCAAAGCUAUAGAAAUAUUUGAUCCCUAAAAACUAUACGAGGAGAUGACUGUUUCAAUCUAAAAAAGAAUUGUUGAAAUUACAAUUUCAACAAUGAUAACAAUAAACAAUGAUAAAAAUAAUGAUAAAUAAUGAUAACAAUAAAAUAAUCCAUUGUAAUAGGAAAGAUUGAUGAAGAGCUUGAAGUUCUUCAAACCAUGAAAAGCAUUUUUAAACUUGAAAAUGACAACAAACAAACCAUAAAUAAAGAUAAAAUUGAAUUGAUGAAGAAUAAAUUUAUAAAUAAUUUCAAUUCAAUUUCAAAUUAAGAAUAUUAAAGAUGACACAAAAAGUGGACAUUAAUCAUGUUCCAAAAUUUGAUGGUUCAUAUUUUAAUAUAUGAAAACAUAGAAUAAUAUUAGUUUUCAAGACUAAAAAGUUAUGGUCCAUAGUAAAAGGUGAAGAAUAUUUAGUAGUAGAAGCAAUGGUAGUUGAAAUUGCUACCAAAAUCUCAACUUUACUUGCCAUAGCAGUAGGAAGUAUAUGCAUAUGGGUAGACAUGACUAAUAAUUUAGUCAUAUAUGUAGGUAAGUAAUUUUAGAAUAACAACAAGAAAUCUUAUAUUAAUAAAAAAAAUUAGAAGGAAUUCAUAAGAAGAGAGUAAUACCUCCAAGGUACAUGAAAAGAGUAAUUUUUCUAUUAAUAAAAAGUAUUUUUUUAAUAAGAAAUUAUAUCACUUGAUCAAAGAUUAAAAAAUAAAAAUAGCGACUAAAAAUUAUAAUAAUAAAAAAGAAACAAAUAUUGUUAUAAAAUUAAAUAAUUUAUAUAUAGCAAUACUUAUAAUUUUAAAAAAUAAUAAUUCAAUAAGGCAUGUAGACUCAAGAGCAACUCAACAUAUAUAUCAUGACUUAAAAGGAUUUCUCAAAUAUAUCAAAAAUAAAGACAAAGAAGUUAUUUACUUAAGAGAUGAUAUUAUAUCAUACAUAAUGAAAGGACAUGGUGAUAUAAAUAUCAAACUUACAAAUAGCAAUGAAAAGAUUGUAUCUAAUAUAUUAUAUAUACCAAUACUCACAAAGAAUUUGUUCUUUAUCAGACAAUUAAAUAAGACAAGAGGAGAAAUUUUCAUAAGAGCUGGAGAAACUACACUAAAAAAUAAAUUCAGUCAAACCAUUGCAAUAAGAAAAUUAAAUUCUAAUUUAUAUGAAUCAUAUACAACAAUCCUUUUAAUUAAGCCUCAAAUUGCUAUUCCAACAAUAAUACAAUUUAACAAAGCUGAUUUAUAGUAUGUGAGACUAUGAUACAUAAAUUUAUAAAGAUUCAAACAAAUAUAAACAAUAGCAAAGAAGAUUGACCUCUUUGAUGAAAAUAAAAUUAUCUUAUAUCAACCUUGCAUAGAAGAUAAACAAUAUAAUGAAAAAUUUCCUACAUAAGAUGCACAAUAAGCUAUCUAAUUAUUAGAACUUGUACAUUUUGACAUUUGUGGUCUUAUCUAAAUAGGUACACAUUCAAGAUGUAUUCACUUUAUCACAUUUAUUGAUGAUCUAAUAAGAUAUUGUCAUGUGUAUUUGAUGAAAUACAAAUCUAAAGAAUUUGAAAAUUUUACCUUAUAUAAAAAAUUUGUGGAAAAACAAAAAAGUUUCAAAAUCAAAACCUUAAGAUCUAAUCAUGGAGGUGAAUAUAAAUCAAUUAAAUUUAAAGAUUUAAGUAAGAAAAAAAAUAAUAUAAUUUAAAUAUUCCAAUAAAUUGGUAUUUUUGAAAAAAUAAAAUAAAUAAAUAAAACACUAUUAGGAGUAAUUCUUGCAAUACUAUCAUAUUUAAACUUACUUAAAUUAUUUUUGAGGUAAUCACUCCAAAAAACCAAUUACCUUCAAAAUAGGAACCUUAUAAAAUCUAUACAAGAUAUUAAAAUAACAUUUGAAUUAUGGUAUAAAACACAACCAAAUUUAUCCUACCUUAAAAUAUUCGAUUACAAAGCUCAUGUAUUCAUUCCUAAAGAAACAAGAAAGAAGUUAGACUCUCAUUCAUAGGAGGCUACCUUUUUAUGCUAUAGUAAAGAAUCUUAAGUCUAGAGACUUAUGAAUAUACAAAAUCAGUAAAAUUUUAUUUCAAGAAAUAUUCUCUUCAAUGAGAAUUUACAUGAUCAAAAAGCAAUAAUAUACUUGCAAAAAGACAAUGAAGAGUUCUUAAUAGAUCUAAAAUUAUUUAAGAACCCUUCAAAAACUAUAAGGUCUAAUGAAAAAAACAUAUCUCACAUUCAAAGAAUGUCUUUACCAUCGAUGCUACUACCAAAGCUACCACCACAAGAAACUUAUAUAUUUGAUCAUCAACAAAUACAUAAUACUUCUCAAAAUGUGAGAGAACUAUCUCCUUCUUAUAUUGAUGUUAUUGAAGCCUUCUCUCAAUUAUCAUUAUCAAAUGAUUAAGCAAUCUUACUUCUUGACAUGAUGAAGUCUUUUUUACAUUAGAAGAUCCAAGUCUUUCUUUUAGUUCUUGACCAAGAAGAAUUAUUAAACCAACUAUAAGAUUGUUAAAGUCUAUAUAAGAAAGAAAAGAAUAUAAAUGCCAUUCUAAUCGACCUCUUCAAGCCCACCUUAUUUCUACCAAUAUAGAAGCUCCAAUCUCCAUUCAAGAAGUAAUGAAAAGGGCUCAUGGUUAAGAAUGGCAAAAGGCAAUCAAUGCUGAAAUUAUAACUUCAAAUAAAAACAAUACAUGGAAAAUGACGAAUUUUCCUCAUAAUAAAAAAUCAAUCAAUUUAAAAUGGAAUUUUAAAAUAAAAACUAAAGCUAAUGGAAGUAUUAAUAAGUAUAAAAGAAGGCUAGUUGCAAGAGGUUUCAUCCAAGUUUAAGGUAUUUAUAACACAAAGAUAUAUUCUUCCAUGGUCAUACUUAAUUCUAUUAAAAUUAUUCUUACCUUGGAUAUUCAAUAUAAACUAAAAAUAUAUAAGUUAGAUGUUAAAAUAUUAUUUUAAAAUAAUUAUGUUAAUAAAAUAUAUCAAUAUGAUUAUUCCAAAAGAAUUAUCUUAUACACAUUCUAAUAAGGUAUCACAAAUAUACAUAGGUAUUCUAAUAAAUAUAUAUAUGAUAGGGUAGAAAUAGAUAAAAGUAGAUAAAAGUAGGUUAAUUUCAUAAUACCUUCUAGGGAAGCUUCUUAAAGCUUCAUAGACAAUGAUUUGACUUUAUAUGUAUUUAUAGUUGAUUGAUUGGUUAGAAACUUGGUCAAUAAGUUAACCACGUGUUGAUAGCUUGCAAAAAAAAGUUAAUUGUAUAGUGCACAUAUAAAAAACUUGCCUUACAAAUUAAGAUAUGUAUCUUACAAAAUCAACAUAUUUUGGAGAUCUUAUACGACAUUGCCAUGUAACUCCUAAUUAAGAGUAUAUAUAGAGGCAAGAGUGAAGCCUUCUUCACUCUUCUCAAUGCCUUUCUAGUCCUUAGUCUUAUUUCAAGACUUUUUAGUCUUCUUAUUUUUAGCAAUAGCCAUUAUAGUUCAAUAUUAUAUCAUCUUUGAGGUACUUUGAAGUUCCUCUCAAUGACAUAAGAGUGUAUUAAAGAUUUUUUUCCUUCAAGAUUCAUGUCCUUGAUAAUUUGAUAAAAGUUCUAACUUAUUAUUUUUGUCUUGUUUUAAAGGUGAGUAGAUUAUUCUAUUUUUAUUCUUGUAUUUUGAAGGUUGUAGAUUUCUUACCCUUAAAUAAAAAAAAACUUAUUUUCUAACAUUAAUCUUUUUUUUUGAAGAAAGUAGAUUAUUUCUCUUUGUAGAAAUUUUCAUUUUAUAUUAGAGAUUGCAAAUUAUCAUCUUCUAAUUUAACUUUUUGAAUUUGCUUGAAUUAUUUAUGGAAGGAAAGACUAUGUAUGCUACUCUCAAUGGAAGUGAGAAUAGAUUUGUAACUAUUGCAGAUCUUCAUGAGCUUGUUCAUAUUCUAAGAGUAGAAAUCUCAUGAAUUAUCAAAGUAAAUCAUGAAAGUACUAUGCCUAUGCCUAUGGAAGAAAUUUAGAGUCUGCAGCAAGAAGUUGUAUAGUUGAAAAUAACAAGUAGAUAGACCUCACAACCAAAUCUAAAAAGUUUUGCUUCUUUAAGAAUAAUAUAGAUAAGGAUUAAUAUACCUGAGAAGUUUGAUGGAACAUGUAGAAUAGAUAUUACUUUAUUUUUGUAAGAUAUUGGUAAAAUAGACUAAUAGUCUAUAGAAUAGUCAGUUCAGGAAGGCAGAUGGUUAAUUAAGUUAUUAAAAGUGAUUAAUUAUAAGUUUAUGGUUAGAGUUUGAAAAUAGAGAGUAAGUAUAUAGAAGUUGUAGAAGUUAGUCUCAGGGCCAAACUGUGAUAGUUAUGAGCCAGGGUAAGCUUGAUACUACCUCUUUGUUUCUUUGUUGUUGAAAAGUAAUCGAUAGUUUUUGAAUAUUGAGAAGUGAGUCUGUGGAAUAAAUCAGAGAUUGAUUUUUGAGUUAUUGAUUAUGUAAUUGGAGUACUGUGUGGUUGAAUUAUAUGAGAAGUUAUUAGAUGAUUGAUUAUGGAUGGAUGAUUAUGAUUGUUAUUUAUUGAGAGUUGUGUAUUUCGACAGAGGAAGUUGGUGAUUAUUGAAAUUGUGUGAAUCUAAAUUGGUUAGAAUGAAGUCUGUUAAUUCUGGUAUUGGAUGGAAUUUAUGUAUUUUGAGUGGUCUUUUGAGAGUGCAGAGUUGCACAUUAUUGUUAUCAAUUGAUGAAGGAGUAUUGAUAUUGAGAAAAAAUAUUUUAGUGUUUCUUGGUAUUUUAGUGAUUUGGAUUACGGUUAAUUGUGUGACCUUAAUGCGUAAGCUCAUGCGAUAGUCUUUCCCUGUGUUCGAAUUUCCUUCUAUGGAUUUAUUCUGAAAGGAAUUUGUAGAAUAAGUAAAACAACAAUUAUAUUUUGGUGCUGCUGUUGAGGAUUGACAAUAGCAUUGAGUAUUAGGAAUUAACUGCCGCAUGAGUAGAUAGGAAAUAAAAAGCAGAAUCAGUAGAAUAUAAUGAUAGAAUAUAUUUUUUAAGAGUGAGAACUUAAUAGUAAAGAGAAUACGGUAGUCAAAAGAAAGAAUAGAGAGAUUGCAAGCAAGAAAUUUGUUGCGUAACAAACAAGAACAAAAGUUAAAAAGGAAACAUCGAUAGAGUUGGAUUAAGCCACGGUUGCAUGCCUAUUGGCACAUCCGAGUGUACCUAUAAGCUGAUUGACAUUUAAUAUUUCAAAACUAUAUGCCGUUAGAGAAAUUGCCAAGAGUACUCGCAGAGAAUUGAGUCAAUAGAUUAGUAUUUUUAAUGAGGCCAUUAACUGUGAGUGGAAGAAUUACACAAAAAUUGGAUACUCCCUUGGAUAUGUUUUCAAUAAUGGAAGCUGUCAAUUCUGUCAAAACUGGUUCCGUAGAGUGGCAUACAUUAUUAAUUAAUAAAGGCCAAUUCAAAGUAUUUUAAAAUUCAUUGUUUUUACCUCCAUUUUGAUCAAAUAAUUUAUUAAGAGAUAAUAAUAGUAAAUUGAGGAAACUUGAAAUUUUAGAACAAUCAAUUGGAGAAGGUGCCUGUUAUUUUAAUGAAAGAUUAAGUGGUAUAUUAUUUUCUUCAAUGGCAAUGAAUAGUCUAGCAGUUCCAAUAGUAGUACAAAUGAAUGAUGUAAGCGAUCGCACAACGAGCGUGGGUCCAUUACCUACUUUUAGGAAUUUUUCGGGUGCGGAUCCCGAUCAAUAUUUGUCUCAGUUUCUGAUAGGAUGUAUAGCUUUCAAGGACAUGAAUCUCGAAGAAAGGGAAUCCUCAAUACACUCUUCUAUUACUGAAGAGAACUAUAAAGUCACUCAAAAGAUGAUGUAAUAUUAACUAGAAUGGCUAUUGUCAAAAUCAAGAAGACUAUAAAGUCUUGAAACAAGACUAAGACUAGAAAGGCAUUGAUAAGAGUGAAGAAGGCUUCACUCUUGCCUCCAUAUAUACUAUCUAACUAAGAGCCACAUGGUGAUAUCCUAUAGGACCUCCAACAUGUGUUGACUUUGCUAAUCACCUGUCUUAUCUUGCAAGGCAAGUUAUCUAUAUAUACGCCACAUAGUUGGCUUAUUCCACAAGCUAUUACACAGAGGUAACUUGUUCCUUAAGCUACCAAUAUAUAGUUAGCUUUUUGGCCAAGUUUCUAACCUACGAAUAUAUCUAAAGUCAAAACCGCAUCUAUGAAGCUUCUAGGAAGCUUCUCUAGAAGAUUUUAUGAAAUUAUUCUAUUUUAUCUACUUCUACUUAAUAAUAUAAGUAACUAUUGAAGUAAAUAUAUAUAUAUCUAUGACAUCAUCCACUCUUCUAGGGAGGAGUUCCACGAGGACUGGUCUUCAUAUGUUGAAGAAGUCCAAGAUACGGCAAAUUAUAUUUGCUACAUACUCUGAUCUUUGCUCUCUUCGAAGAUGGUUGAUAGGUCCUUUCAACCAUCUAUAGUGUCCUAUACAAGGACGAGAAGACCACCCUGUUAUUUGGUCAUUGUUAAGGCCUUCAUAACUUCCUUCAAAUAAAAUAUUUGGAACACCGUCAGGAUUAGUUCCUACCUAUAAUAAAAUCACUAAACAUCGAGAUUCUUUGAUAAAUUAUUAAGCCAAUCGUCUCUAUCCAUGAUAUUGCUACGGAUCCUAAAAAAGUGAAGCAUAUAAUGAACUUAUCCAUAUCAGAGAUAGUCUCAGGGGUUUGAAGAUUCGUUAACCAUGUCAGAUAUUAUUGAUAAUUUAUUCAUUCAUUUGCUAUUAUUUGUCGACCUUUAACAAACUUACUGAAGAAACCUCCGUCAGAUGGAACUAGUUCCAUUUGGAUGAUAGAGUGGCCUUUGAAGCAUUAAAGUCAAAAUUAGUCUUUACUCCAAUAUUAGUGCCUUCUCGUUGGACGGAGCCCUUUUAUAUGUACGUUGAUGCAUCCAAUGUGGCUAUUAGAUCAGUAUUUAGUCAAAAAGAUGACAAAGAUUUGGAUCAUCUUAUGUAUUAUGCCAGUUGGCAAUUGGUGGUGGCCGAACGCAAUUAUACUACUACUGAAUGAGAAGUGUUGGAUAUGAUCUACCCCGUUCAAAAAUUUUGGCACUAUUUGCUUCGGUAUCUAUUUGUCUUUUAUGUAGAUCAUGAUGCCUUCAAAUACAUGAUUAAUAAGCUUCAAUUGAGUGGACGUAUUACCCAAUGGAUAUUACUCCUACAAGAGUUUAAUUUUACAAUUGUCAUAUGACCGGGGAAGAAACAUGUAAAUGCUAAUCAUUUAUCCCGUUUGACUAAUAUUCUCGACAAUGAGCUUAUCCUUGAUGCUCUUCCGGACGCUAAAUUAUUUGUAGUGGAUGUGAUUUCUACCAAAUAUAAUGAAAUAAUUCAAUUUUUGACCUUCCAUACUUUUUUGCCUAUUUUCACUCAUAAACUUAAGAACUGCUUCAUUUUGAAGAGUGUUCCGUAUCCGAUGAUUUGCGAUGCUUUGUAUAAACAAGGCAAAGAUGGCAUUUUGAGAUGUUAUAUCUUUCCAAGUGAAGUACAAUUGAUACUGGAGAGUUGCCAUUUGGAUAGGUGUGGUGGUCAUUUUGUGGGAGACAAUACUACUUACAAGGCUUUAAUGGCCAAAUAUUGGUGGCUCACAAUGUUUUCCAAAUGCGCACCAAUUUGUUCAUUGUUGUAAUCCUUGUCAACGAAUUGGUCGAUCUACAGGCACUUUAGCCAUGCCAUUAGUACUAAUCUUGGCACAAGCACUAUUUAAAAAAUAGGAUAUUGAUUUAUUUGGUCCCAUCGCCUCAGCGUCAAAAUCUGGCCAAAAGCGGUAUAUUUUAGUCGCCAUAGACUAUGUAACAAAAUGAAUAGAGGCUAUUGCUACUCGCAACAAUAAUGCUAGUACAAUGGCUACUUUUCUAUACAAGAAUAUUAUAACUUGAUUUGGAUGUUCAAAAGAAUUGAUUAGCGAUUGCGCCAUCCACUUCAUAAAUGCUACCAUAGCAACCUUGACAAACAUGUUGUCGUGUUGUAACACGAGUAUACCGUGAAAAUAUAAAGAAAAGGGACUUUUAUUAAUGUUCAAUUACCUCGAAUAUUGGAAGCAACGACCGAUUCCAGUGCCAGUAUUUAGGGGUCAGUUUCAGACACCCCGUCACAAUCGGUCAGGGCAUACUUAUCAGUAACGAAAUGCUCUAUUUGAGUCCAAUAGUAGGAGUCAACAGAAUCGAUAGGAUUAAAUCAAUGAUUGAGCGAGCCUGACGUGAAGGACCAAUUUGACCCAAUUGCGGGAACAUCCAAGUCUUACUACGGGCCUCUUAGCUAAUAUGAGACCUGAUUUGGUCUGGUGAUUCAAUGUGGUCCCGAUUACGGGGGUUUCGAUUUCGUUUCAGGCUGUCCUGUUCUCUGUGUCAUUUCAGGGAAUGUUGUUUUCGGAAAAAGAACCUUUUAAAAGGUAGAAAAUAUAGAAGAAAGCUCUGACGGCGAAGCCAAUUUCGAAUCAAAGACGAAAGAUUGAAGAAAUUCAGAGGCUAGGAUUUGAAAGAAGGAAGAAUUAGGGUUUUAAGGAUUGGAGAGCUAGCUUCAUGCUUUGGGGGGGGGAAAAAAAAAGGCAGAGAAUUAGGAUUUUUUUUUUCUUCAUAGGGUUUUGGGAAGAUUGAGGCAAUCAUUGUGGAAAGUCAAUGUUGUACUGGUGAAUCGGGAUUUUAAUGAAGUGGGUGUGAUUACUCUUGACUGUUUUGUGAAAUGGAAGUUACAUCUGUGAUUGAAGAAUUAAAAGGGUGUCUAUAGGAUUGAGUAUGCAGAGUGAAUGAAAAUUUUUGGGUUAAUCUAACAAGACAGUCAGUGGAUACAAGGUCGUGAGUAUAAAGCGGUAUCGAAGAUUAGCAGAUUAGGUUGUUCGGAGUUCUCUGUAACGUCUAGCGACCUACCGAUUGGAGCAAAAAGGAUUUCAGUGAGUAGUCGAAGGACAUCUGUAUAGAUUUAUGGUAUAUUCUUACAAUCGUUUAUAUUCCAAGAGUCAAAAACCGAUAGACUACUUGAAUAUUAGCGAAUCUCCAUACUACCUCCUACAACCAGACGCCCGACGUGUUCUCAAGCAAGAUAGCACGUAAUAUGACAACGUACAAAAUCAAGCAUCGAAAAACCACUCUAUAUCAUCCUCGUGCUAAUGGGCAAACGAAAAAGACCAACAAAAUUUUGUGCAAGGCCUUGAGUAAGACAAUUUUGGAGGUAGGUACCGAUUGGAAGAUCAAACUCUUUGCAACUUUAUAGGCGUAUCGUACUACAUAUAAAGUAACUACCAACUCUACUCCAUUGCAACUCGUUUAUGAGCAAGAAACCAUUUAAUCCAUCGAGUUGGAGGUUCAAAGUUUACAGAUUGCCUUAAGUGAAAGACUCAGUGACAAAGAGCCAUUACAAUCUCGCUUGGUGAAAUUGGAGAAAUUAGAUGGAAUAUGGGCUACAGCUUUGUUCAAUAUGGAAGCAACUCAAAAACGGAAGAAGAGUUACUAUGAUAGUAAACUACGUCCAAAGAAUUUUAUGCCCAAUGAUUUGGUAUUCUUAAAUGAUAACCGGUUUAAUCAUUUUCCGGACAAACUUCAAGUGUACUGACAUGGGCCGUAUCGAGUGAUUGAAGGAUUCUCCAAUGGAUCUGUUCAAUUAGAGGAUUCCAUGGGCCAUCGAUUCAGUAUCCACAUUAAUGGAAAUCAAUUACAGUUAUAUAAUACAUAAAACUUGGGACGGAUUUUUAUUUUUUAUGGAAGAGGUGACUUCGAAUGGACUUAGAAUAGACCUAAUUACGGUAUAAGUGCAUUAGGAUGUAGAGGCAGUUGAAAGGAUAGUUAGUAAUUAUUAAUGUGUCAAAUGGGAUGGAGGUGAGAAACGGACAAUAUGGGUAAUAUGUUGUCAUGAUCACCUGUAGUAAGAGAAUAGGAGUGGGACAUCAAUUAGAUGUCAUUUUAUAUUGUCAUUUUUGGUUGUUUUUCUGAGAUUGUCAUUUCUUAUAUUGCUUGCAUAUUCAAGAGUAAUAGUUCCAAUUAAGAGAUUAAGAGCUUGAAAAGGAGUAUCAUGGCGAUUGAAAGUGUAAAGCAAACUACAGAUAAAUAGGACACUGGUUGAAAUGUGAAAGCUAAACGCACGUCAAAACCACCAUCUAUGAUAAUCGUUACAAAUAUGGAGCCGAUGAAGUUAGAUAUCUGCUGGACAUCGAGAAGAAUAAGAGACUUUUAAAAUACACAGUUGUUCCAAUUUUUGCACCAGUCCGAUUGCUUACCAUUAAUCAAUAUGGCAUUAGUGGAGGAAUACAUCACAAAUUAUGACCCCGAAGAAGAAUCAAGUGUCAUACAAGGGAGAAUUAUCAGGAUUGAUGAAACAAUCCUGAAAAAGAUGUUAUUUUUGCCUAUUAGAGAGAUUGCGGUAGGAGCCAAUGAGUCAAGCAAUUUUAGCCCCGAAAGAUUUUUCAAAGGAGAUAUGUCAUCCUUUGAGAGGAGCCAAGGUUGGCAGACUGCUAAAGCACUUUCACCAAAACUUGCAAAAUGGUUUCGCUUUGUGGUGAGGCGGUUAGGAUUAUACCAACAUCCCACAUAUAUAUCCAAACAGUUAUUAUAUGUAGCGAUAGGAGCGCUAGAAGGGAUGGUGUUCAAUUAGGUAGCUUAUGUAGCUACUCAUAUUCAUGUGGAGAUAGGAACUAAGUGGAAAUUAGAGAAGUUCAUAUAUUUUUUUUGUUUCAACUAUGUAUUUGUUGUAAUUAUAUACACAUUACGUCAAACAUUGCCAGUUAAGAAAAGUCCUAUAUUAGUACUAGUGCCUCUACAAAAAGAACGGAAUUUGGUGGCCUAGAAUGUCAACACAGCGGAUAUAAUUCAUGAAACUGGAGAGUCAAGUCAUGGAGUGGCACAAGGGAUUGUUCCAGAUAUUGAAUCGAAGCAGAUUUCAAUUUAUUUUGUGGUGGAAGAGGAGAAUGAAGUCCCAGUUACAAUGGAUAACAAUCAGUUGGCGUUUCCAAAGGAUCAAUUGUGUGAAGGAUUACCUCUUAAGAAUGCUCUAUUGAAGCAUAUUUCACAAAUACAUUGUAUGGUGCGAGCAUUGGAUGUAGAAGACAGUAGCAAAUAGAAACUAGAGGCGAGCAAGAAGGUAAUAUUAGAGCAAACUAAAAAAUUAUAGAGAAAGAACGGAUCUUCCAAGAGAAUGCAGAAUUGAAGUUGACAUUGGAGAAGGGAUUUUUAAAGAAACAAGAAGCUUAGACAUAAGAAAAAGAACAUAUAUUAUGGAUUGUAGAAGAACAAUGGGAUAAAUUAAUCGAGACUUGCAAGAUAUGAAAUUUAAAAUAAGAUAAAUUCAAAUGCCAAUUAUAAAUGGAACGAAAAAAAGCCAAAGUUAUUGACAAAAGAGAAAGCAGCAUUGAGUGACUAAUCCAAAUUCAAAAUGGAGAAGUUGAGGUCUGAAAUUGAAGUUUUAUAAGUUGAAGUGGCAAAAUUGAUAGAAGAAUUAAUUGUGAAGAGCCAGUUUUAAGCAUCAAUUGAAAAUGUUCUAGAAUAGAUGAGUCAACAGCAGCAUCACUUCGAACUCCGUGAUACCCAGAUCUUGAAACUAGAGGCUCAAGUCCAUAAAUUAGGAGAAUAUAAUGAAGAUCUCUCAAUCCAAUUGAGAAAAGAAUUGAUGGAUGGAUUGGAAGAAAAGGAAGAUUUGUAAUUAGAACCAGAAUCAAUGGAACCAACAAUGGCUACUGUGGCAAGUGAUCAAUUGGGUAGGCCAGACGAAAUAAUAAUUUUGUAGAGUUUUGUUAAGUAGUUUUUAGAAAGUAACAAUUGUGUGUUUGCGAGGAUGCUGCAUAAAUAGGAGUGGCUCUAUUUAAAAUAGAUAUUAGUUCAUUUUUGUAAGAUAUUGGUAAAAUAGACUAAUAAUCCAUAGAAUAGUCAGUUCAGGAGGACAAAUAGUUAACAUGGUUAUUAAAAGUGAUUAAUUAUAAGAUUGCGGUUAAAAUUUGAGAAUAGAGAGUAAGUAUAUAGAAGUUGUAGAAGUUAGUCUAAGGGCCAAACUGUGAUAGUCAUAAGUCGGGGUAAGCUUGGUGCUACCUCUUUGUUUCUUUGUUGUUGAAAAGUAAUGGAUAAUUUUUGAAUACUGAGAAGUGAGUUUGUGGAAUAAACCAGAGACUGAUUUAUGAGUUAUUGAUUAUAUAAUUGGAGUACUGUGUGAUUGAAUUAUAUAAGAAGUUAUUAGAUGAUUGAUUAUGGAUGGAUGAUUAUGAUUGUUAUUUAUUGAGAGCUAUAUGUUUUGAAAAAAGAAGUUGGUAAUUAUUGAAAUUAUGUGAAUCUAGAUUGCUUAGAGUGAAGUCUGUUAUUUUUGGUGUUGGAUGGAAUUUAUGUGUUUUGAGCAGUCUUUUGAGAGUGCAAGAUUGCACAUUGUUGUUAUCAAUUGAUAAAAGAGUAUUGUAACUGAGAAAAAGCAUUUUAGUGUUUCUUAGUAUUUUAGUGGUUUGGAUUAUGAUUAAUUGUGUAACCUUAACGGGUAAGCUCAUAUGAUAGUCUUUUCUAUAUUUGGAUUUUUUUUACGGAUUUAUUCUCAAAGGAAUUUGUAGAAUAAAUAAAACGAUAAUUUACAGAAUAAAAUGAAAAUUUUGGAGAAUUUUACAAUAAACCAAGCUCUAUCUAAGAUUGCAUCUUUUUUAAUAAUGAUGGAUUUACUUAAGUUAGAUUCAUAGGCACACUUCUAUUAGGAAGUGCUCUCUUUUGGUUUGCAUCUUUAAUGAAAAAGAAUUUGCAACUCCUUAACAAUUUGAAUUCAUUCAUAGAAGUAUUUACAGCCACAUUUUAAAAAAGUGAUUGAGAAAGAGUAGUAGAAACGAAGCUCUUAUCUUUGCAACAAAUCAUGGUCAGCUAUCAUAUAUGUUGUUGAAUUCCAAAACCUUGCUUGCAACAUAGACUACAAUGACAAAGCCCUUAUCAAUCAAUUUCAAUAUAGGUUGAAGAAUAAUGCCAAAGAUUUAUUACUAACAAUACCAAAGGUAGAAAUCUUUGAAACAAUUUAUUACUCUAGCUAUUGUAUGUGAUAAUUAAUUAUUUAAAAGACAUCAAAAAUAAAGAAUUGAUUAGAGAGGAAUAAAUCAAAUAAUGGCGAAAAUUGCCAAGUUUUCAAAAACUUAUUCAUUGAGGCCAAAAUCAAUGCAAAUUGAUAUGAUACAUUUGAAACCUUUGACAAAGUAAGAAAAGACUUGAUAAUAUCAAGAGGAUUUAUGCUUAUAAUAUAAAGAAACUAAAUAUACUGCUUAAUAUUGUCUAAAGACUCAAUAUUGUCUAAAGACAAAGAUUUUGUCAAAAAAUAAGAGAUAUUAUUAGUCAAAAAAACUAAAAUUAUACAUGUAGAAGUCAUAGAUUAUUAUUUGCUAUCUUUUGGAGAUGUUACGCUUGAGACUAUUUCUUUAGAUGUAGCAAUUAAAUAUCAUAAUAGUAUAAUAAUAUUUAAUGUAAUAAGAUCUCUAUCUAAUUUAAUUAUUUUAUGAUUAUCUUAUUUAAAAAAAUAUCGUUCUUAUGAUUGUUCUAUCGAUCCUCACAAAAGAACUCAACCACCAUUUGGACCAAUCUAUAGCCUAUCAUAAAAUGAAUUGAUUGUACUCAAGGAGUCUAUUGAUGAGAAUUUGGCUAAAAAUUUUAUAUGUCAUUUUCAAUCUCUAGCAAAAGCUCCUAUCUUAUUUGUGAAGAAAAAAGAUGGAUCUUUGUAAAUGUGUGUGGACUAUCAAAGACUCAACAAGAUUACUAUCAAGAAUAGGUAUCCUCUAUCUUUGAUUUCAAGAUUUUUUGAUUAAUUAAAUCAAACAAAGAUCUAUAUAAAAACAGAUCUACAAGGAGCAUAUAAUCCAGUAUUCAUUAAAGAAAAAAAAAUGAAUGGAAAACUAUGUUUUGAACUAGAUAUGGGCAUUUUGAAUAUAAUGUCAUGCCUUUUGGAUUCAAAAAUGUAUGAGUUAUUUUUCAACAUCUAAUGAAUUAUGUCUUUUGAGAGUUUUUUGAUGAUUUUAUCGUUUAUUAUUUGGAUGACAUCUUAAUCUACUCCAAGUAUAUAGAAGAGCAUGAAAUUCAUGUUUGUUGUGUGUUAUAAAAAUUUAGAGAUGCCAGAUUAUAUACAAAGUUAAAAAAGUGUGUAUUCUACACUACUCAAGUUGACUUCUUAAGAUAUAUCAUUUCUAAUGAAGGGCUAAUGAUGGAUCCAAAGAAGGUCCAAACUAUCAUGUAUUGAAAGAUUUCAAGAAUAAUAAAAGACGUGCAAUGCUUUUUGAGCUUUGCCAAUUACUAUCAAAUCUUCAUUAAGAAUUUUUUUAAAAUUUGUUGCUUCAUUUAUACGUUUGACUUGUAAAGACAAACUUGAGUGGAAUAAAGAAGCCAAAGCAUCAUUUGAUGCUUUUAAAAAAAAGUUUAUUUUUGUACCAAUCUUAUAUCAUGUUGACUUCUCCAGAGCAUUUUUUAUAGAAAUAGAUGCAUCAGACUUUGCCUUAGAUGCAAUAUUAUUACAAAUAAGAACAAAUGACAAACUCCAUCUAAUAGCUUUUUAUUCCAAAAACUUUUCAACAGCCAAGAUUAAUUAUGAGAUCUAUGACAAAGAACUCCUUACAAUCGUGGAUUCAUUUCAAGAAUGACAUCAUUAUUUACAAGGCACCUUGAUCCUAAUCACAAUAUAUAUUAAUGACAAGAAUCUUGAGUAUUUCAUGUCAAUACGUGUUUUAAAUUUUUGCUAAGUUCAUUGAAGCAUGUCUUUAUUAAGAUUUGAUUUCAAGAUCACUUAUCGACUCUAAAAAAAAACAAGAUUUCUUGGCUACCUUUUCUAAACAUUCUUGUCUUGCACCAAAAAAAAAAAAAAAAAAAAAAAAAAAAAAAGAUUUUCUGAAAGCCAAAACUUUUUCACCUUCAAGAAACAAAUUAGCAUUGAUUUUUGAUUCAAUAUUUAUCAAGCAAAUUCAACCAAGUAUAUCUUUUGACCCUCUUGUCGAUGAUAUCAAGAGUAAUUCUUUUAAGUCUUGUGAUACUUCCAAAUUUGAAUUCAAAAAUAACCUACUCUAUUUCAAGGGGCAAUUAUAUACUCUAGAAGAUGGGACACAAUUACAUGUUUUUCAAACUCAUUAUGAUUUUUUAACAGCUAGACAUUCUAAAUACAAUAAGACUUUGGAACUAAUAUCAAGAGAUUUUUAGUGGCCUCAAAUAUGGAAGGCAGUCAAAGACUUUGUACAAUCAUGUGAUAUUUGUUCAAGGUCCAAAAUUCUUCACCAUCAAUUUUAUGGACUUUUUCAGCUAUUACUUAUUCUAAAACAAUCAUGGUCUUUUGUUUCUAUGGAUUUUAUUAUGGAUCUUCUAAUCUCAAGUUUGUAAGAUUCUGUAUUCAUAGUAGUGGAUCAUUUUAAUAAAAUGGUAUAUUUUGUACUAUAUACAAAAUCUAUUAUAGAUAAAGAAAUAGCUAAGUUUUUUUUUAAUAACAUUUAUUGCUAUUAUAGAUUGCCUAAAGAUAUUAUAUUGAAUAAAAAGACCCAAUUUAUAUCAAGAUUUUGAAGAAUCUUUUGGAAGAUUUUAAAGAUGGAUAUAAAGCUCUCUUUAGCUUUUCAUCCUCAAACUAAUGGCCAAAUAGAAUAAAUAAAUCAAGUUUUGGAGCAGUACUUGAAGUGUAUUAUUAACUAUCAUCAAUAUAGUUGGACAAUUUUUUUAUCAUUGGCAGAUUUUGCAUAAAAUAUUUUGGUAUAUUCUUCCACUCAAAAAACAUCCUUUUUUACCAAUUAUAUAUAUCAUCUAUGACUUGAUACUUUUGACUUUUUAAAAAUUGAUAAUCUUGUGGCAAGAGAAUUAUCAAAUCAUUAGUCAGAGCUACAUAUAAUAAUGAAGGCGGAAUUAAAGAGAGCUCAAGGAUGAAAAAAAUUAAUGUAGAUACCUAUUGCAAGAAAUAAUCAUAAUUUAACAUAAGUGAUAAGAUAUGGUUACUUUGUGGCAAUAUCAAGACUACUCGUCCUUGUGACAAGUUGGACUAUUGUAGGCUUAGACCUUUUUUUAUUAGUGAACAAAUAAAUCUUAUUACUUAUCAAUUAUAUCUACCAAAGUCUAUGAAGAUCCACCUCAUAUUUCAUAUAUUCUUUCUUGAGCCAUAUAGCACAACAAAUAUCUCCAAAAAAAAACAAAUGCCACCUCCUCCUAUAAAAGUCAAUAAUAAUUAGGAAAUUGAAGUGGAAGAAGUUUUAGAUUCAAGGUGGUUCCAAAAUAGGUUAGAAUAUCUUGUUCAUUGGCGUGGAUAUGAUAUUAAAGAAUGUACAUGAAAGUCAACAAAGAAUCUUGAAAAUGCAACAAAGACAGUUGAAGCUUUUUAUUGACAACAUCCAUCAAAAGCAAGAUAAAGAAUAACAAAUCUUUGCAAUAAAAGAAACAAGAUCAAGAGAAGAUAAUAUUCUAUUUUCUAUUAUUUUAUGUAGUUUUUGUGUAUUUGUAAAGCUAAGGAGAUGGAAAAUCAACAACCAACAAAUUCAACCUAAAAGCUUUCAUUUGCUAAUUUAUUAGAUAAGACAUUAUAAUUAUCACAAUCUUCAAGACGAUAUAAUCGAGAUGAAGAUCCUCAAGAAUAAUAUGUCCUUUCUCAAAUAGAUGGUGAAAUAAAAAAUUUUUAGUAUUACAACUUUGGAAGAGACUCUCAAUGUUUGGUGAUUUUAUUAGAAGUAGGAAUAAUUCUUGACAGUGUUUCAAAUAUUUUAUUUGAAAGAAGUUACUAAGGCCUCAACAAUGACUAAAUAACAAGGUGGUCUUCUCUCCUUGAUAUGAAACACCAUCAAUGGCUAAGAGGACCUAACAACCAUCAUUGAAGAGAACAAAGAUUAGAGUAUGUAGCAAAUAUAAUUUCCCACAUCUAAGAUUUUUUCAACCAAUGAAGACCACUCCUAGUAGAACUCAUCCCUAGAAGGAAAGAUAAUGUCAUAGAUAUAUAUAGGUAUUAUAUUGAAUACCUAUAUAAUUAAGUAGAAAUAAAUAAAAGUAGAUAAACGUAGGUUAAUUUCAUAAUAAUUUCUAGAGAAGCUUUCAAAAAGCUUCAUAGAUGUUGAUUUGACUUUAUAUAUAUUUAUAGUUGAUUGAUAGGUUAGGAACUUGGUCAAUAAAUUAAUCACCUAUUGAUAGCUUGCAAAACAAAUUAACUAUGUAGUGCACAUAUAAAAAACUUGUCUGGCAUGUUAAAAUAUGUAUCUUACAAAGUCAACAUAUUUUGGAGGUCUCAUAAGACAUUGCCACGUAACUCCUAGUUAAGAGUAUUUAUGGAAGUAAGAAUAAAGCCUUCUUUACUCUUGUCAAUGCCUUUCUAGUCUUUAGUCUUAUUUUAAGACUUUUUAGUCUUCUUGUUUUUGGCAAUAGCCAUUCAAAUUUAAUAUUAUAUCAUCUUUGAGUUACUUUCUAGUUCCUUUCAGUGAUACAAGAGUAUAUCAAGGAUUUUCUUUCUUUAAGAUUUCUAUCUUUGAUACAAGGUAUAUAAGUUAAAUAAAUCUCUAUAUGAUCUUAAAAAAUUAUUUAAAACAUAGUAUCAAAGAUUAGAUCAAUAUUUAAUUCUUUAAAAAUAUUAAUAUUUAAAAUAAAAUAUAAACAUAUACAUCAAAAGAAAAAUGAUAAGGAUUUUAUUAUAAUUACAAUCUAUGUUGAUGAUUGUAUUAUUAUUAGUAAUAAGACAUUCUACAAUAAGAAUUUGACAUGUCAAAUAAAAAAUAAAUUUAUUACAUUUUAGGCAAUGCCAUCUUAAAAAAUUAAAAAAAAAGAUGGAUAAUCCUCCAUUAAGCAAAAUAUUUAAUAAAUAAACUUAAUAAAUUUAACAUGUUGAAUUUCAAUCCAUGAAGUAUUCCAAUUCAACCAAGAAUUUGUUUAAGAUUACUUAUAUUCUUAAAUUAUUAGUAAUUUAAUACAUACUAUUAUUAAUUAUAGAUUAAAUUAUCUUUAUAUUAUUUGUAGUUGAGUAUAAUAUCUCUCUAAAUACUGAUCUACAUAUAUUCAAACUUUAAAAAGAACUAUAAGAUAUAUAAAAGGCACAUUCAAUUUUAGAAUAAAAUAUCAACACUUACCUCAAGGUGAUAUUCUACAUGAUUAUUUUGAUAUUGACUAGGUAGGUGACAAAAACAUCUAUUGCUCUAUUUCUAGAUUUUGUUUCUUACUAGUUUGAGGAAUUAUCUUUUAAAAUAGCAAGAAAUAAUAAUUUGUUGUUUUAUCAUCUACAAAAUCAAAAUACAAGGUUUUAACAAAAGUAACAAUUGAAACCAUAUAGUUGAAAAAUUUAUGAUAUGAACUUAGAUUUCUUCAACAUAAACUAACCACCAUAUAUUUAAAUAGUCAAAGUACCAUUUUUUUAUUGAAAAUUCCAAAUAUUAUCUCAAAAGUAAAUAUGUGGACAUAAAAUAAUAUUGUGUUAAACAGAAGACGUAUCCCAAGGAAAUCAAAUUGCAAUAUGUGCCAACCACAUAUGUGAUUGCAGAUGUAUUUACAAAGUAUCUUUUUAAAGAAAAAUACUUUCAAUAUUUAUUUCAACUAGGCCUGUAUCAACUUCCUUUAAAUAUAGAAUAAGCAAAUUGUUUAACAAUCAUUUAAGCCUUGUUGGUCUACUCACAAUAACAAGACUUUAUACAACAUCUACAUUUUGAUACAUCAUGGAACGAGAGACAAUCUAGUAAGAUAACUUAUUUCAAAUCCAUAACAUAUCAAAAUACAAAAAAAACCUAUCUAUUAAAAUUACCAAAAGAAAAUAAAGUAAGGCAUGCUACAACAGCCACAACAAUGCCUAUUGCAAAGCCUACUAUAGAGCUUACCAUCACUUUGCUACGGAGCUCAUCAUUGAAGCGAUUACAUCUAUUGCAAAGCUUGUAUGGAUACUUAUUUUAGAACUCAUAAUUGCAAUGGUAUUUACAAUGUCUCUUUCAAUAACAACACUACUUCUUUCAAGAAUAAAAUAAGAAAUGUGCAAACAACAAAUAAAAAGCAACAAAAAAAUACAAAGCAAUAGAAGAAGUUAUAUACCUUCUUAGAAUCGAAGAAGCAAUAGGAAAACUUUGCGAGAGUUCUCCGACAUCACAACACCAAAAAAGAAAUUGAAAACCUAUAUUUCUCAUAUAUAUAUAUAUAUAUAUAUAUGUGUGUGUGUGUGUGUGUGUGUGUGUUUUAAAAAUAGUUAAAUUUGUAUUGUAUGUAAAAUUCAAUUUGAGGAUGAAGAUUAAUAUUUUAAUGGGAGUAUGAAGAUAAUUAUUUUAUAUAAUAUAUUAGUUUUUUAUAUAAAAUAUUUUCUACUAAAUAUUGAUCUUACACUUCUUAUAUAUAUAAUAUAUUAUAUAACAUUGAUCAUAUAUUAAUAUAUAAAAUAUUUUCAAUAUAUAGAAAUGAUCUUAAUGUGGAAUGCUAUAUUGGCACCUAUCCUAUCACACUUCAACCUGGUUUGAUUAUAAGUUAGAUCAAAAAAGAUGUUUUUUUGUAACUAUGUUUAGAUUACGGAUGCAUUAAUCUAUAAUGAAUAGAAUUGAAGAAGCAAACCUACAUCGGCAAUAUUGUAUAUAUAUAUUAUUGCUUAGCUCCAAAGCGACAUGGUCUUCACAAAUAGUGCUAUAAAAGAAGUUUGUGUCAGUGAAAAAGCAAUGCUUGUGCAUGAAAUCUCAAAGGCCUUGCUGAUGUGUGACAUCAAAAGAAAGCCACAUGUUUCUAAUUAUGGCAAUGAAUGCAAAUAUUUUAUUUUAUUUUAUUUAUCUAUUUAUCAUUUUUGAUAUUGCUUUUCUUUUGAUAUGGCAGGGUUAAGUGAGGUUGAAAUUUUGUAGUUGGAUUUUGAACAUCAACCUUUAUUUCUAUGUUUUCUAAAUAUUUGCAAUAGUGAUUUUUUAAUUAUGAUUUUUUAUUAUAAAUUUUGUAUUAAAAAAUGCAUUCUCUCUUUCUAUAUGUAUAUGUGUUUAUAUAUAUAUAUAUAUAUAUAUAUAUAUAAAUUCAUUAAAAUCCAAAACCUAUGUAAAAAACAUACUAUAAAAUAAUUAUUAAAUUUUAAUAGUAAAAUAAAAAAAAAUAUGUAUUAUAAUAAUUUCAGUGAUAAAUGAUAUCAAAAUGCAGCCCCAUUCACACUACACUAGAAGGACAGAGUUCUAUGAAAGGGGCUCCGUCGGUGUUAUCGGGCCCUAUUCACACUGCAACUUCAUGCUGGAGAAAACGAACUCCCUUCAUGGAGUUUCCUUGUUCACACGAGGACCGCUUUCACACCACAGCGUCAUGCUCAACACACUCCGUGUUCAUAUUUGAGGAGUAAUAGAAAAAAAAAAAAAAAAAAAAAAAAUCAUUAAUAUAACAUCAUUAUUUUUUAUAAAAAUAGAAAAAAAUGAAAUUUCUAAAAUAUGUAUAUAUUUAGUAUUAUUUAAAUAAAAAAAGGAAGAAAAAUGCCUAAGCAAAGUUAAGUUGUUAAUUUAGUUUAAAAAAAAAAAAAAAAAAAAAAAAAAAAAAAAAUUGACUUAGAGAUAUUAGUAUCAACUACUGACUAUAUUUAAAUAAUUUCUUUACAAAACAGUUAUGUUAUGAUUUAAAUUUAUAUUUGUACCAUUAUUUUUUUAAUAAAAUAUUUUUAUUUGCUACGUCUAGGGAACUACUUUCUUUUUGAAGCAUGUUUAUUUUAAAAUACGUUCUAUUUUUAGGUCUGUAUAUUUCUUUGCAUAUUUUUAUAUUUUUUUUCUACUUAAAGUUUUUAUUUUUUACUGUAAUUCUGACCAAUCAAUUAAAUUUAUUUGUAAAAUUAUGCCUACAAAUUUUUAAUCCAUAUUAAAAAUAUAUAUAUAUAUUUAUUUAUUUAAUUAUUUAUAUAUUUUAAAAGCUAUAAAAUACUUAAAAUUCUAUUAAUAAACCACUUUUAUGCAUUUAUAGUUUUUUCUUUACUUUUUUAAACGAGACAAUGAUUUAUGAUUCUAGCAUAGACAUGAUGUAAUUAACUUCUGCUAGUCUACAGAUUUUGAUUUACAGAGACUAAAAACACUUUUUAUUUUUGGUAUUCUUCAUCUAAUGUAAAUAUCUUCUAUAUUUUUUUAUUUGUAUGUUAUACAGUAAUAAAAUUGAAAUAAAUCUUAAAUUUACUUUAUUAUGCCUUUGCUAUCUACUAAAAUGAACUUGUUAUUAUGUAUUGAUUUUACAUAUUUUAUAAGUGUAAAUUCUCUAACAUAAAAAUCUCAAUAAUCAUUUAACUUUUAUAGUUCAUUUUAAUUUUAAAUAGAGUAAAAAUCUAACAUUGAUGUUAUAAUAUUAUAAUUUAAUAAAUUAUAAUUCAUGUUGAUAUAUAUAUAUAUAUAUAUAUAUAUAUAUAUAUAUAUACACAUAUAUGCUAAUACAUAUAAAUCUUUUGCAAAUAUAUAUAUAUAUAUAUAUAUAUAUAUAUACACAUUAAAGACAAAUGUGUGUGUUGCACAUCUAUCUAAAGGGCAUUAUAUCUCUUCAUGCAUCCAUUUUUUCAAUGAAUUUAUUUCAAAAUUUUAAUCAAUUCUUGCCUUAUUUAAGUACCCAAUAAAUGAAAAAAGAUUAAAAGACUCAAUAUCCAAGAUUGAUACCAAGAGCCUCACUCCAUGGGCUUCAACCAUAUUGUAUCUUGACAAAGUUCCAAGAAACUAAUAGAGUUCUUUCAUUUAAAAUACAAUUAAAAAUCAAUUGUGUGCUUUGAAGUUAGGAAAUCACUGGUGUAUUGGAUUUAGAAUAACACAAGAAUGUUCCACACAAUAUAAUCAUCUGUUAUUUUCAUUUAGAAAUCAAUUGAACACCUCAAAUGCAAUCCAUUUAAAGACUUCAUUAAUUACACAUUAUUUCUAUAUAAAAACAGAUUAUCCCACCAUUUUCGUGGGAUGUUCGAGGAAUCUCACUCCUCAAACGCACGACACCAGACGACCUGUGACCGCGGGGUUCCAAGACCGUGGGAUUUUAGGGAGCGGUCACAGCUGACCGUGGAGAGAAUUGGUCGGCGUGGAGCGGCAGCGUUGCGUCUCCGGCUUGCGAAAGCGGAAGGCAGAGUUGCCUCGCGGCCUUCAAUCGGUGCAUCGAACCCUACAGGUAACAAUGCAUGCAUGGCCCUUUCUGCGCCGAUCAUUUCCACACCCUGACGACAAACCCACAUCACAAAUUUCCAUCGGCAUCGUCGCCUACGGAACCCAUAUUAAGCAACGCUCUGCAGUUUCCGCAGCGCGGACUUCCCCACCUCGCGUCCUAUUCCUGUCGUUAACUGGAUUUUGACCCUCCAUCUGAGCCUGCCGUUGGUUUUCCUUAACCCCGAAAGCAUUUAUCUUCUCACCCAAUUUGAGAACCAUCGUUGGGUGGACAAUUUCGAAAAAUAUGAGGGCCUGUCGUUUCGUCCUGGCCUAGCUAGUCUGGAUGCUCGAGUCCUAAUCGCGGGUCCUUGGUGGGUUUCGAUUUGUGGGUUCGGAGGGUGGAGGAGGAAGAGGGUUGGAGCGCUACAUUCCACAUGGGGUUUAGGGGAGUUCGUGUGGGACAGUAGAUGGCGAAUGAUUGGCGAUGCCUUAUUGCGGCAGAAUUCGCGGAGUUGAAUCGGCUGUGGGGGUCGUGAUAUAGGGCUUUGUUCCGAAGUUGAGGAUUGCUUCAGGAAAUUUUCGUGGAUUUACAGGUUCCUGAGCUGGAGCAUUUUAUUUUUAUUUUUUAUUUGUUAUUUUUCUCAUAGGGAGUUGCGACCGGGGCUUUUGUGAUGGCUGCACGAUUACUGAAACACCCAGCUGCGCCUGGAGCUUGUGCACAUCGCAACGUCGGCAGGCGUGGUGAACAUGAUGUCGCUGGUCAGGGGAUCCAUCGUGUAGGGAAAUUGAAACUAGGAGGGAGAGAGUGGUUGGGUGAAGUAAAUGUUGCGAAUGCGAGGUUGCAAAUAAAGCAAAGAAGAAGAGGGGAUCUGCGAAUGCAAUUCAGAGCUGGACUUGAAGAACUGGCAUCGAAUCAGGUAAUAAUUCCAGUGAUUUAUCUAUCUCUAAACCUUGAAUGAAUAAGUGAGAAAUUAGGAAAUUACGAUCGGAGGUUGUGUUCUAAAUUAAAGAUGUCUCAUCAACUCUUUGAUACUUUGAAGUUCUGCACUAAUUUAUGCCAUGUUUGAGCAUUUUUCUAAGCGUAGAUUAACGCGCAUUAUGUUUUAAUUAUUAUGCAACCUCUUCUACGGAUUUCGUGUCAUAUAUAUAAACAAACGAAACAGUCUAAUCUGUGUUUCUCCCUUAGAAUCAGGCCCGAAUUUUUGUUUAUUGAGAAAAGGCACCGUGAAUUUGUGACUAGGUAUUGAUUUCGGCAGCUACAGCAAGUACGCUUGGCCAACUCGCGAAACCUUUUGCAGCAGCUUUGGCUGGUAAAGGCUUCAACUGGAAGUUGGUCAUCAAGUCUGGUGGCAUGCCCUCCUCUCAUGCCGCUGUAAGCAUCUCUACCUACACUGUUCCUCCAUUAAGAUGACUUACUGAUUCGAUCUGAUAUUUUUUUGUUUUUCAGUGUGAUGGUAUGUGUCAGGUGCUGGCCACCUGACGGUCCGUUCCUUAGGACAUGUGGAGGCAUGGUAGUUGGAUUUUCUAAUUUAAUUUUUGGAAAGAAAGAAGGGUUGAAAAAUGGGUGUAGAAAACUAAAAAGUGCAACCCUGAAAUUGUGCAACAGUCUGUCACAGCAGCUGCAACAGCUCUAGCUUUUGAAAGGUGAGAAUCACAACUGCAAACCGGUCUCUUGCGUUGCUGGACUGAAGAUCUAGUCCCGUUGAGCCCUGGAAAAAGACUGGCUGAAUUAUGGCUCUAUUAGUAAAAUCUCUUGUGGGUUCUACAAAUCUGCUCUUGUGACUGGACUGAUGUGCUUGUUUGUGCUCCCCUGCACUAGCGGGAUUAAUAGUGGUGUUUCUUUGCAUGCAGAGGAUUAUCUGAUGGAGUAUUUGGAUUAUCUGUUAUCAUAGCAGGCAUCGUGAUGUAUGAUGCCCAGGUGCACUACCGACGACACAACCCUGUUGGAAAUCUUUGUGCAUAAAUGUGCUUGUUUCUUAGCAGUAUCUCAUUCCAACGAAUACAAUCACGUACUCAUACUCAGUAAUAGAAACACGGUAUUAAUGUUCCUGCAAUGCCGCUUGAUUGAGAUCAUAAAAAUCUAGAGCGAUCCCCGUUUUCGUUUUUCUUUUGCUUUUAUGACGCUAUUCUUCUAGUCGGUCAUAUUAAUCCAUUUAUAUCAUGCUAAACAGCACUCUAUGACUUGUCUCAGGGCGUAAGAAAUGCCGUUGGGAAGCAGGCCAAAGUCAUAAAUACCAUGGUGGUAUCAUACGUGCCUCUUCCUCAAUCUCAAGAGGAAGAAUCUCUCUCGGCUGCCACCCCUUCAUCUGCGGCAAUCGGUGCUGCACUCGCUCGGGACCCCAUUGAAGCCGAACUUGCUUUCAUGGAUAAUACUUAUACUCCCUCUUCAUCAGCCACGCAAACGCAGUCCUCUUUAGCAACUCUGGAAGCUGGUUCACCCAAUGCGAGCAAGUCGCCCGUUGGGGCAGCUGCGGAUAUGAAUAAUGGAGCUUACACAAGGUCUUCACGAUUCUUCGAAUUAGCUGGGCAGUUGCCAUCAAUGAGGGUGGGCGAAGUAGACAUCCAAGAGCUCGGAAAUCAAGAUGGAUGGCGACUUUUACCUUUGAAAGAAUCAAUCGGGCAUACCAAAAUUGAAGUUCUUGUAGGAGGCAUUUGGGGGAUAGUGAUUACUUGUAUAUUUCAUUCCCUCUAUAACUCUUAAAGGCUUAAAGUUCAGUGCAUACAUAUACUUCUGAUGUACGGGACAGCGAGUGUAUUUUGUACAUUUCAUAGGAAGUUUGGGAGACACAGGCCCCUUCCAACUAUUCUUCUAGCUGACAUUAUGCAUCAACUUUUCAAAAAAAUAUUCUGCACCUCUCUUGUGGUUGUCGCUUUCAGAAUACUUUUGCAUGCACACUUCUAUACCAACUUAAGCGCUGGUAUUGCAAGGACAGUGAAGUGCUGGUACAAAAUGCUGCCAUUUAUUGAGCCUGCAUAACUCGGUCACACAUAGAGGACUUAAUUAUGCAAUUCGAAUUGCUACCCAACCUGAUGGGCACCAACACAGGACGUCAUCACAUGAACAACCAUCCUAAAAUACAGGCAUAACAAGUUAUAAGACAGACGGAGAAGUGCCGCUAAUGGAAACGAAUAGAGACUUAAUCUACAAUGUCUUUUGGGCCAAUGAGGGUCGGAAAAAGGAGGCACUACGUAAGCAGGCGAUAAUUCACGGAUUGAGCAGCCAUAAUCUAAGUCUCCCACUCGCUGCCGCAAGUGAAUUUUUAAAUAAAGACACAUGAGACCAGAUUCCCGAAAUAAGAGCAGUCUAGAUGGCUUCAAGUAAUUAGAUAAGAAAAACUAAUCUCACUCGUAGUUGCUAUUCACAACAAGUAAACUUCGGCCCAAUAACUGCACGUGUAACUAUGUACAACAUCCAAGCUUUAUUACAAUAAUUUAUACCAAAACCUCAGCACUGCAGUCAAACGUAAGUUGCACUGGCGCUGGAGGGUUCGACAAGCAGGAAAUCUAAUAAGAUAACACAACACCAGAGCGAUCUUGAUAGUAGUAGGUUUCCAUUAAGACCCAUCCGUAUCUACAAAGCAUGGCAACAAUGGCUAUCACAGUUUACAAACUUUGCAAGCACCGUGUCUUACAGAAAGUGACGCUACCCACGGCAGUACCAUUUUUACUCGGUGUGUGGGUUCUCUUCAACCCGUGGUUUUUGCGAUAUAGACUUGACAAGCUCCGAGUUCACAAGCUUCUCGAAAGCCUCAGGCCCUUUCACUUGGACAUACUUGGCAAUUGCAGUGCGCGUUUCCGGUUUGAUGCUACCAAGCCACUUCCGUUGCCCGCUGGAGAGGCUUGAACUGUCGGCUGAACCCCCAAGCGCAGCAUAGAAGUGAGGCUUCACAAACUUCUCAUACAAGAUAACACCACCGCGGAACUGAGGCAACACCAGCCAUGCAGCGAUAGCCAGCUUGAUGGUAGAAUACAAAGGGAUCCACGCAAACACGGGCGCAGCGGCCAUUUCCAACAGAGACACAAACGAGUAGAGCACCCAAUACGUGAGCCAUUGCUGGUCAUCCUCCUUGAACGGGCUCUCGAUAGCCAUCACCGACGCAUACAACGGAUACAACAGCAUCACAAUUGGCCCUGCCACAGCAUUCGACCUCGCCACGAGCGUCCAAAACCACCCCAUGCUGUGUAAACUCCCAAAGCCAAACCUCAAAAAACAAACCGCGACAAAAAUCUCUCUCUCUCUCUCUCUCUCUCUCUCUAACAAACCCUAACUCCUCUUCACCCACAAAAACUACACCCUCUGAAACGAAACAAACAAACAAACAAACAACCUCCGGAAACCAAACCACACAAGCUCACUCACUCACUCACGAUCCCUCCGACCCACAUAAAAAUAAAAACAAAACACAAAAACAGGAAAAUAAGAAAAACUCAGUAAAAAUUGAACGCUAUAUAACACACACAGGUUAAAUUUCGCAGUGGGUUUGCAUUGGCAGAGGCAAUGGAGAAGACAACGGCGGUGCGAGGGGAGGUGGAGCUUCCACACAGCGCCAGCGCUGGUCCCUCCCUCCCAAUGUCUCCACUACCACAAGAUGGACUUCAUAGGGACCACAAGAUGGUGUCGAAAUUCGCACUUGCUCGAUACAUGUAGGAUUCAGAUCCUCUACUCCACGUGUCACCCCUUUUUAUUGAGCUCUGCAUGAAGUGUUGGAAAAUCCCCCAAAAUGGCUUUAGUUCUGCAUAAAGCGACGGCUACAAUAGAAUACUGGUUUUUUCAUUUACAUGAAAUGAAGUGUUGACACCAUUAGUUUUAGAUUAUGCACAAAGAGUUGGCGCAACUGGAAAAAAAAAAAAAAAAAAAAAAAAAAGGUUUUAGUUUAUUACAUUGUGUGUUGUUUUCUUUGAGAAAGCAAGUAGAUAAGUUAUUAAAAAUAUAUAGUAUAUUUUAAGAGUAUGUAGUGUGAUAAAUUGAGAUUUUGUUGUUUUAAGUGCUAAUAAUUGGAUAUGAAAUUUUUUGCAUUACAAUUACUUUACUUGGAUGGUUUACUAUACAAAAUUAUUUGAAAUAAAUUGAUUUUAUUGAGGAAAUUUUAUUCAAAAUAAAAUUUUAGACUAUAAAGUAUUAAUUUUAGUUAUAAUUUUUAAAUUCUCUGUAUUUUUUUUUCUAUUUUUAUAGAGAAUUGAAAAAUUAUAGUUUUCAAUUAUAAUUUUUUUUAAAAGUAUAAUUUUUUUUAUAAUAUUGAAUUCUAUCAGUUACGUUUAAAUUAUAAAAACUAACUCUAAAAUUCCAAAAAAAAAAUUAACUGUAAAUACAGAUCAGUCUAAUUUUUAAAAUAGUUUAUAUCUUUGAAAAAUUACAAUAUUGAACUGUGUUUUGCUAUGUAGUAGUAUUGACUUCUUUGUCAAAUUUUAGAGAUUGAAAAUUAUUUUAGUAUUUAUCAAACUCUCCUCAAUUUUCAUCCAAAGCAAGAAUUUAUGUUUGUAGUAAUUACCUACAAACUCCUUUAUAGAUUAUAUUAAGAAAAUAAGUAACUAAAUUAAUAAGGAAAUACAAUUAAAAAUAUUUUAAAAGUAUUUAUUUUAGCUUUCUUUUAAAAUGGAAGAAUAUAAUAUUUAAACUUUGCAAAAAUAUUCUAAAAGCUUCUUUCACUUUAACAUUAAGGGACUUGAAAUAAGGAUAAACGGUGGGUGGAAAUUCUAUUGAGAAAUGAGAAAACAAUAACACAAAACCACUCCAAAUUCCACCAAAGAUAUAACUUACUAACAAAGAAGGGAAAGAUCAAGCACCAUUUAUAGAUUUUGUAUUGAAGAGAGGCAAACUAAGCCAAGCAAGUCUAUCUCAUUUCUUGUCCCAACUUCAAAAUUAGCAACGGUCAUUACAGAUUCUUUAAUGAAACUAAUUCUUAUCAACUGCUCACUCAAUCAAUGUCUUCCUAUUGGCCCAAAUUAGUUUUAUGGGAAAGUAUGGUAGUCCUCGUGUUAAGCCCAGACGUAAUGUUGGACUCCCUUUGCAUGGGAGCAGAGCGGGUCGGGUCGGGUUGGGUCGGGUGGGAUUCGUUGGCCACCGGGAUCGUCCGGCAGACCGCGAAUCGAAAAGAAGGUUCUAGAGGAACGGGCGUGGCGGGAGAGUGGCUUACAAGUGGACGUUAGGGAUCUGCGAGAGAGAAUUAGGUCCUGGCGAAGGGAUCGAGAAUCCCACUUCCCGCGGAGGGGCGAGCCCAUCAUCCAAGAGGCGAUAUCUCCACACAAUGCACUGCGAUUUCAGGUGGGUUUUCCACGAAUCGCUUCGUAGAAUCUUGGGUCGUCUUGGAAACCACAUAGCUUGGACGGCGCCCAGACUGGGCUGCGAAUGAGGGCGUCCCGAAACCCUUUUUGACUCCUCACCUGGCCCGGGAGUUUCAGUGUAGUUGCAGCUGCACUUUUUGAGUAGUUUCACUGAAAUUUGUGCAGUGGGGUGUUACUUUUGGUUCAAGAGAGCCUGGUUUGGAUUUUGAAACAGAGUUUGUGUGUUGGGUUCGUGAGCAUCGAGGCUUUCACCGUGAGAGAAAUGUGUGUGCCUUGACUGCGAUUGUGGGUAGUGUCUGGCUGCUUUCAAGGUUUCAUGUUAGAAUCUAUCGUGUGGUGUAAAACUUCGAGCGGGUGAUGGAAGAGAGGCAUUUACUGUGCUGUUUGUAUCUGCUGCUCUGGUUUGUCGAUUGAGAGGAUGAGCCGAUGGCGUCGUAGCCAAUGAUAAUAUUGUCUGUGCUCACAAUAUGACUCUGCAUUUGGCUGCUCGUUGUAUUUAGCACCACUUUGAUGCUGCAUGUUAACAUAGCAUUUCGACAUGUCUCACGUCCUUGAACCACACAAAUGGAACUGGAUCCUAGCCACGAUUCCCAAUAACAUCCUUACGUAUUUCGCAUGAUGGAGAAUUCCUACAAGGUGAAAAUUAAUAGAUGAAGAUCGAUAUGGAUGGGAAAGCUAUCUCUGAAAGGUCGAUGAAGCCCGCAAUCCUGAAAACCCAAAUAAUCAUGCACGAUUGCUAAGGAAGCACAGUUUCUUAGGUGCGAUAGUGUAGAUGAAACCAGCGUACGAGAACAGAAGGGCGUGAUCAGCUACGGGCUCAAGUGUGGCAGCAGCGUCUCCGAAACAUUUCCUGACACUUGUUGUCAAGUUUCCACAAGUACAACUAAGGACAAAGUACAUCUGUCAAGUCAGCAGAGGAAGCAAAAUAAUGCAUUGAAAUGCAGACGACCGCGCAGAAGGAAAGUCUUGAGCAGUAUGAGACUUUGGUUUCCGUUUUUUAACUGAUGUGAGAUUGUUGAGACGAACGGCAGCUAAAUUUACGAAACGAAUGGACUUGACAUUGAUACUAGUUUUAGAGUCACAACGAGGAACACUGCAUUCGUGUACAAUUAAUAUUUAACUGAGAAAGAAGAAAGAAACACACGUCAAACAACAACAGCAACAAAACAAAUAAAAUAAAAUACAGCAGCAGCAACAAAACGCCAUUGUCGUGGUAAAAUGCUAGUACGCAAUUGAUAUUACAAGUGUCAAAGAGAGUGUAUAAACAACGUUUUUCAGUCAAGGUCAUGUGCAUGAGCUUUCAAAUUGCACGGGCCUAACUAACACGGCCACAAUGUCAUCGAACUUCAAAUAAACAGCCCUGCCUAAACAUAUAAAUCGACCAGCGAAAUAGAAAUAUCUCUUUUCCCUCCUAACCAAUUUCUACUCAGGAUCCGAAGAACUAUAACCAUCGUGCUUCUUCUCCUCCGCUACUUUCUCAUCAUGCAUAUUCGCGGUUUCCCUUCGCAUCAACUCGUCAAAAGAACCUGGUCCGUUCUCCUUUAUGUAAGCAGCGACCGAGGCCUGUGCAUCAGGGCUGAUGGAACCCAACACCUUCCGCUGCGAGUGGGUAAGCUUCUGGUCCGUCUGGCCAGUGGCAGCGUUCAAGUAAGGGCUCACAAACUUCUCAUACAAUAUGAUUCCGCCUCGGAACUGCGGCAACACAAGCCACGACGCGAUCACCAGCUUUGUCGUCGAGUAAAACGGGAUCCAGGCGAUCACAGGCCCAGCAGCCAUCUCCAAAAGAGACACCACAGAGUACAACACCCAGUAAGUCAGCCAUUGCUGGUCAUCUUCCUUGUCUGCGCUCUCAAUCGCUAUAAUCGAAGCGUACAAGGGGUACAACAGCAUCAUGACGGGUCCUGCCAAGGCAUAACCGCGCAGCACUGCCACGGACAGCCAACCCAUCUCGAAACUCGAGCUCAAACCCUACUCUCAGCGCCUCCGACAAAAUCCACUCACCCACCUCAAAACACACGAACGCUCCUAAAAAAACACAGCAAAUCUCUAGCAGAAUUCGUUCUAACGUCGCAAAGACUGUGCCGUGGAGCUGUCGGAGUGAGGAAUGGCAACGACAACGACACAAGUACGGAAAAAGGUGGAGGUGCACAACCUACAAGGACGUGAGAAAUCCUUGAAGCAAGGGUGGCGCCGGUGAAGGAGGCGGGGCGCUGCCAUGCCUUACUUUCUGCGAGCCCACCUAGACGGCCAUGGGCUACGACACGCGGUAUUAGGGCUGGAUCCUGACGCCGUGCGCUCGUCCAAGUGGCAUUCAGGGAUGCGCCUAGGUGGCAUUCACGCCUCCCACUCGCACUGUAGCGGAACUUGGGCCUGAACACUUUAAAAGAUGGAAUCCUGAAUUUUUGCUUCAGGCAACCUUUGCUAUGGUUUCGACAUCUUAUCAAUAUUUGUAUGUAGUUCUGUGGUUGAUGGUUGGACAGCAUGCAAAUUAUUUCUUUAUAAUUUUAUCUCUAUUUUUAUACCUUUAAAACACUGGGAGUUUCUCAACAUCUUUGGUUUUCUAGGAAUGUGUGUAAUAAUAUCACGUGGGAUAAGCUAUAUUGAUAGAUGUAAAUUCAAAGGGUAGUGUACCCAAUAUUUAUUACUGCAAAUAAAAAUAAAAAAGGUUUUUUAAAGAUUAAAUUAUUAAAAAAUUUGGUUGUCCAAAAGAUCUAUGUCUUUGGUCCAAAAAAUCGAAGUGAAGUGAGAUGAAUAAGUUUAAUUUUUACACAUUUGAUAACAUUUCUAAUCUCUAUAUUUAAAUUUGUAACAAGAAUAUACUAAUUAAAAUGAAAAAAAUUUCUUUGUUGUUACCAAAAAAAAUUUAUCUACUUUAACUUGCAAUAGAGUAUGGUAUUAUGGUGGAUCCUUUUAUUGCUUUUGUAUUUGUAUUUAUAUUUGUAUUUAUAUUUGUAUUUUUUAAUAGACAAGAAGCGAAUUUCUAAAUCGAUGAUCUAUUGCCAUGCUUCAUUCAAAUCUUCUUUUUAAAAAUGACACCUUUAAAAUUCAUUCUUGGUUUUUUCCACUUAUAUGGUGGUUUGUGAUAAUCUACAAUAUUAGCAUAUAACUAAAAUUUUUAUAUAUUAAGUUUUAAAAUUUUUAUCACAAAAAAAUAUAGAAAUUAAUCUUUUUGCUUCAAUUAUUUUGUAAGGUAAACCACUCAAUUCUUUGCUUUUUCUUAAAAGCUUUAAAACAACCUUUCAUUAUUUAGUUUGUUUUAAAAAAUUUAAUAAUUGAAGCUUAAACAAGCAAUAUAUUAAUAUAAUUUUCAUCUCUUUUUGAUUUUUUUUAUAAACCUACUUAUAAAAAUCAUUUAAAUCUUAAUAAAUAAAUUUUUAUACUUCUUAAAUCUUAUAAAAUCUUGAAAUUAUAAAUAUAAGUUGAAUAUUUAUAGUAUAUAUCAAUGUUUCUUUUAAAUAUGCUACAUUCAUUAUUGUAUUGAAGAUUUUUUUAAAAAUAAAAAUAUUAAAAUUUAAUAAUAAUAAAAAAUAAGCUUUUAAAAAAAUAUUAUUUAAAUUUGUACAUAUAGAUAUAUAUGUAAAUAUAAAGUGUUGCUAAUGUUACAACAACCUAUCAUUGACUACAUGCCACUACAACAUUUGCCACUACAAAUACAACUUAUUUAUAUUAACAUUUUAAUUAUUUUUUAUUAAAGAUGGAUUAAAAUUAUAUAUAAUUUUAAAAAAUAAUAAAAAAUUAAAUAGAAUUAUUUAUUAAAAAAAAUAUUUUUAAAAAUUAAUAGAUGGCUAGUUCUAAAGAGAAUAACAUAAAUUGUAAUAGAAUUAGUGUAAGAAUCUAAAUAAGAUAAGAAUAGAAGAGAGCUUAAUUAGAACUAAAGGUAUCUAAUUUUUUUUAUCAAAUGUGGUUAAGUAAGAAAAAAAAGUUAAAAAAAAAGAAAGAAAAAUAACUACAUUAAAUAGAAGAAAUAAAUAAAGAUAUAAAUAAAAAUCUUAUAAAAGUAUUAAGAAUUGCAAAAAAAAUAAAUUAAAAAGUGGACACACUUUGGGCCAUAGUUGCACACGAAACCAAUAUCAAGAAUAAUAUUGAUCCAAGUUUUGAGAUAGAGAUGCUAUCGUAUUAUAUAAAGCCUUGCUUAAGCACUCAACACUUGGCUAUGGAAGGUAGAAGGAGUAUUGUAACAAUAAGAUUAUAAUUUUAAUAAAUUCUUAAAUAACUCCAAUUAAAUCUUAACAAUGAAAAUCAAGCUUUAGUCAACUCAAAGAAACCUCAAAGAAAUUACAAAAGAAUCAUGAAGUAAUCCUAAAGAAAUUCAAAGCAAGUAUUAAAAUAAAAUCCAAAAUAUAUCUUAAAUAAAUUCUAACCAAAUCUUACUUUAAUUUUAGUUAAAAUCUUAAUAGUCCUUAUUUAAAUCCUAAAUAAAAUCCUAAUUAAAUCCUAAAAAAAUCUUAGAUGUUAACCAAUUUCUAAAUCCUAAACCAAAUCUUAAUAAAUUUAAUCUAAUUCUCAGGUAAUUUAGAACCUCAAUAUCUAUCAAUUAUACCAUUGAUCUUACUUAAGAUUUUACACAAUUUUUGACGACUAAGUUGGCAAUAAGUAUACAAAAUUUGAAGAAGAUCGAACUUACCAAAUAGAAGAUUGAACCUAAAUUCUCCUUGGGUGUUGGCUAGCUUUCUACUCCAAUUUGAAUGUUGAACUUCCAGUAUCAAUAUUUCCUUCUUAAACCAUUGAAUUGCCUCUAAAAUACACUUAAAUUGUAGAAAAUCAAGUUUAUUCUUUAGAAAAAAAAUUCACUUCAAUCCAAUUAAUAAAUUGCUAAAGAUCUUAAAAACACUUACUGAUCUUCAAAUUCCAAUUUUUGAGACCUCAGCCUACAAAAACCUUCACACACUUUGAUCUAACCAUUCAAUUGAUCUCAAAAUCUUCAUAUAUACUAAUAACUAGAACAUCAACACACUUUCCAAAAUCCACAUAUAAACACACCACAAAAUUCAAGAAACCCUCAAUUUUAUAAAUAUGAUUUUAUUUUUCAAAAUCUAAUCCAACCAAAAACAAUGUUAACUUUAAAAAUCUUCCAAAAACUAAAUAUUAACUCAAUUGACAUAAAACCAAUGUUCAAAAAUCUCUUUACUAGUUUUUUCUCAAAUCUUGCUCUUUAAUUUACCAAAUAACCCUAGAAUCGCCAUAGGUAUGCAGUUUUGUGCAUCGGGGUCUGAUUUUGACCUAUGUUGACAAUUAGUCCUCUCUAGGUACUAAUAUUUGAUAAUUUGAUGUAACUUUUGCUUGAACCUACUGGCGAGUCCUUUUUAAACAUGUCUAUAUUAAUUACUUAUGUCAUUUAUUGUGAUUUAAGGCAUUUAUGCUUCUAUAAAGGAAAUAGAAGCUCCUUCUCUAAAAGACAACAUUAAGAAUAAACCUUUUAUUAUCUUUCUAUAAUUUAUCCUUAUUUUUCUACUACAUCUUCCUAUUAGGCUCUUCUAUAAUAAUAUCCCUAUUUUUAUUUUUCACCAUAUAGUCAUGUUACUACAUGACAACACUACAAGAAUCAACUUAUAAUGGGUAAUUAUUAAUAUAUAGAGAUAAUAAACAAUCUUAUCAAAGAAUGUCAAUUGAUUUAAAGCCAAAUGACUUAAACAUGAUUUGAUUAGGAUGGCAAAAUAGUGGAGUUUAAAAGAAGACUAUGAAUUCCAUCCAUUCUAUUAUAUAUUUUAAAAUAAACAUAAUAACAAGAUAAUCUAUUAUAUCUAAAUUGAGGAAAAUAUGAAAUAGAUAUUGUAAAGAAUCAUAUUGUAUUGAAAGAAUUAAUUAAAGGGCUUAAUACAAAGUAGCAAAGUAUAAAUCAAUAUUGAGUAGUAUCAAUUAAUAAAAAUCAAAGUAGUAGAAUAAAGAUAUAAAAAAGAUGACUAUAUUGUAUACUUAUUUUUUUGAGAAUAAAAGUUUAUUAAGAUAUGCAUGCAAUAUAUAUAUAUAUAUAUAUAUAUAUAUAUAUAUAUAUAUAAAUAUAAAUUUUAAAUUUAUUCAAAUUAAUUAAAUUAAAAUUAAAUAAAAAUAAAGUUAAAAAUUAGAAUUUUUUAUUAAUAUAAAUUAAAUAUUAUUAAUAAACUAAUAGUUUUAUAAGAGUCAAGAUUGGAAUUGCUUUGGAAUUUAUUCAAAUAUAAUUUUCAUAAAAUUUAUAUAUAAAAAAAUACUAUUGCUUCUAUUGAGCAGACAUCUUAAGGUGAAUUAAUUUAGAAUAGGAUUAAUACAAAAAACAAAAAAAAGUUGAGUUUUGAAUCUAAAAUUGAACUUCUAUUAAUUUGAAGUAAUCGGUGACACACAACGACAACUUUAAUGGGACCAUUAACUUCCAGUUAAGCCACUACAAUUAUCAAGAAUUUUAAAGAAAAGUCACAUUUAAUUGAUAAAGGUCUUAAUAAUAAAUUCAUUGAGAAAAUAAUAUUGAAAAAGAAACCAUCUGAGAACAAUGAAGAAUUAAUAAUAAUAUUUAAUAAAGAAUUCUUAGUAGAUUGACUAUUAGUCUACAAAUUAUUGUAUGCUUAUAUGACUAAAAUGAAAUAAAAUAAUGGAUUUGAAAGCUUUUAUCUUUGAAUCACAUCAACAACAGACAGAAAGUGAUCAAAAUUUUAAAAGAAAUUUAAAAUAAAGCUUAUAAAAUCAAAAAAUAAUGUUGAUCUAAGAAAUAUCCAAAUAUUGAUAUAUUGAUUGAAGAUAAAUAAUACAUAUGAAUUAAAAAAAAAAUUAGAGAGUAAAAUAAAGUAAUUAGUCAAGGUUUGCACAUUAAAGAUCUAAUUAAGUAAGAAAUGGAAAAUUUUAAGUCAAAAUAAAAGAUUAUUUUGAAAAAGAUCAAGCUCAAGAAUCUAAAAGAUAAGAAGGCAAAAACAAAGCUUAGAGAAGAUUUUACAAGUAUUAAUUACAAAAUGUAGCUCAACUUUUUGACCAAUUUAAUGAUAGAAGAAUUGACUAUAAAAGAGAUUCCUUCUAGCAUAAAUAAUAUGAUUUUAGGCAUAUUCAAAGAGUGGGAUUUAUACCUCAUUGCCAAGAUAUACAAAUUUAAAGAUGGAAAGAAUGGACUUCCGAAAUUGGACAAAAAAAUGAUUGUAGAAAUUAUAUUUUUUUUAAUAAAAGACUUCUAUAAUAUCUAAGAAAGUUAAAAAUAUCAUUGCAUCUAUGAUGGAUAGUUAAGAAGGAUCUAUAAGAUUUUGAUUCUUGUCUUUUAUUUUGACCAUUUCAAUUACAUCAAUAAGAAGUAGGCAACUAUCAUCACUAAAGCUUUAGACAAUAUCUAAAUGGUAUAUUCCAAGGCAUUUUUCUUCAAUACUAUCCAAGGCUUUUCCUUGAAAUCUAAAAAAAUUAAUUCAUUUGAGUUUUUUCUUAUUUUUUUAUUUUUUAUUUUAUUUUUAUCAUAUCUAUUAAAUACACAAUUUGGUGAUAUAAAAAGAGACAAAAUAUUAGGUGGGGCAUGUAAAAUAGACAUAUAUAUAUUUACUUCAAUAAUUACUUAUAUGAUAAGAUAGAAAUAGAUAAAAAUAGAAUAAUUGAAUAACAUCUUAUGGAAAAGCUUUCUAAAAGCUUCAUAGAUACAACUUUGACUUUAUAUGUGUUUGUAGUUGAUUGAUAGGUUAGAAACUUAAUCAAAAAAUUAGCUACAUAUUGCACAUAUUAAUAGCUUAUAAAAUAAGCUAUUUAUGUGGCACAUAUAUUAAAAACUUAUCUUGCAAGUUAAAACAUAUGUUUCAUAAAUUUUGAUAAAUGUUAGAGAUCCUAUAAAAUGUCACCACAUAGCUCUUAAUUAGACAAUACAUAUGGAGACAAGAAUGAAGCUUUCUUUGCUCUUCUCAACACUUUUCUUAUUCUUAGUCUAGUUUCAAGAAUCUAUAUUUUUCUUGUCUUUGGUAAUAGACAUUCUAACCUUAAUAUUAUAUUACUUUUAGAAUGAAUAUUUAUUUUUCUUGAGUUAUAUAAGAAUAUUUUGAGGUUCUUCUUACUUUGAUUCAUAUCCUUGAAAAUUAGAAAAGAGUGAUAAUUCAUUGUUCUUAUCUUAUUUUAGAAGUAAAUGGAUUAUCCUACUUUUAUUGUUGUAUUUUGAAGAUUGCUGACUAUCCACUUCUGAACAAAUAAUUUAAUCUUUUAACAUUAAUUUUUUUCUUAAGGAGAGUAGAUCACCUUUCUUUGAUAUUAGAGGUUUUAAAUUAUCCUCCACUAAUUUGACUUGUGGAUUUAUUUAGUUACUUGAAAUAGAAGUAAAAAUCAUAGAUUCUAUACUUAGCAAAAGUAAAAAUAGAUUUUCAACUAUCGUAGAUCUUCACAAGCUUGUCAACCCUAUUAGUGUGGAAAUUUCAUGCAUCACCAAUUCUAACAAAAGAAGUACUAUUUUUACACCCAUGAAAGAAGUCUAGAUUCUAUGUCAAAAAUUUGUGCAAUUAAGAGAAGCAAGUAAAGUAGCCUCACAACUAGAUUUUUUCUUCUAUAAGCAUAAAAGAGAUAAGGAUUAAUAUACUUGAAAGAUUUCAUGGAAUAAGAUCAAAAUUUCAAGGAUUUUUACAAAAAAUCAAGUUCUAUAUAAAAUUGCAUCUUUUCUAAUAUCAUGAUGGAUUUACUCAAGUUGGAUUCAUAGAUGUACUUUUAAUUGGAAAUGCUCUUUCUUUAUUUGUACCUUUGAUAGAAAAUAAUUCACAAUUCUUUUUUGAUUUAAAUUCAUUCUUAGAAGUAUUUAUAGCCACAUUUGGAAAAAGAAAUAAACAAAGAAUAUUAAAACCUAAGCUCUUAUUUUUAAGACAUAAAUCACGAUCAAUCACUGUAUAUGCUAUUGAAUUUAAAAACCUUGCUUGUGACUUGGAUUAAAGUGAAAAAGCCCUUAUCAAUCAAUUUUGAUAUUGAUUAAAAGAUAACAAUAAAGAUUUUUUUAUUAACAAUGCCAAAGGUAGAUUCUUUGAAAUAAUUUAUUAUUUAAGCUAUUGCAUGGAAUAAUCAAUUAUUUGAAAGGCAACAAGAACAAAGACUUAGUUAGAGAGGAAUAAGUCAUAAAUGAUGGUGGCUCCUAAGUUUUCAAAAACUUAUUCAUUAAGGCCGAAAUCAAUGCAAAUUGAUAUGAUACAUUUUAAAUCUUUUACAAAAUAAAAAAAAUUAGAUGUUAUCAAGAAGGUUUGUACUUAUAUUGUAGAAAAGCUAAGCACAAUGUUCAAUAUUAUUUAAAGAAGCAAGAAAAUCACAAAACAUAAAGGGAGGUUGCAAUAGAAGACAAUGUAUAUAAAAACAAGUUUUUUCAGCUAUAAUAGAAAAUGUAUGGUUGGAAUCAUGUACAAAACCUAAUAAAGAUCUUAUUCUCUCUUCAAAUCCUUCACCUUAUUUUACAAUAGAUAUAUGUUUAGAACCAAAAACAUCACAAAAUCUUAGCUUUAUUUGAUUUAAGAGCCUUAGCUUGUUUUAUUUGUAAAGACUUUAUCACAAAAAAUAAGAAAUAUCAUUAAUUAAGAAAAUUAAACAUGUACAUGUAGAGGUUAUAGAUUGUUGUUUAUUAUCUUUAAGAUAUUUUAUCUAUAAUUUGUUUUUAGAUGUAGCAAUGAAAGAUUAUAAUAGCAUAUUAAUAUUUAAGAUGAUAAAAUUUCUUUUCAACCUAAUUAAUUUAAGAUUCAACAAGAUCACCAUUAAAAAUCAAUAUCUUUUAUCUUUAAUUUGAAGACUUCUUGAUCAAUUCAAUCAAGAAAAGAUCUAUAUAUAAAUAUAUCUAUAAAAAAUAUAUAAUUUGAUAUACAUUAAAAAAUAGAUAAAUAAAAAAUUACGUUUCAAACUAAGUAUAAAUAUUUCAAAUAUAAUGACAUACUUUUUAGACUCAUGAAAGUAUUAAUUAUUUUUUAAUAUCUAAUAAAUGAUAUUUUUUGUACUUUUCUUGAUUAUUUUAUCAUCUAUCAUUUAAAAAAUAUUUUAAUCUAUUCUAAAAAUAUGAAUAUUAUGAAUUUUAUAUUUAUUUUAUAUCACAAAAAUUUAGAGAUACAAGAUUAUAUAUUAAGAUGAAAAAGAAUAUAUUUCACAUUACUUAAAUUGACCUUUAGAAUACAUCAUUUCAAACAAUAGCCUUAUGAUGGAUCUUAAGAAGGUCUAAACUAUCAUAGAUUAGAAGAUUUUAAAAAUAAAAAAAUAUGUGUAAUAUUUUUAAAGAUUUUUUAGUUAUUAUUAAAUCUUUAUUUAGAUUAGUUUUCAAAUUAUGGCUCAUCUUACAUGUUUGACAUAUAAAAACAAACUUGAGUAGAACAAAAAUUCUAAAGAAUGUUUUAAAGCCUUGAAGAUGACAUUUAUUUUUGUACCAAACUUAUAUUGUUUUGACUUUUUCAAGCCAUUUUUUAUGAAAACAUAUGCAUCAAAUUUUGCUAUGGAUGCAAUGUUGUUACAAAUAAUAAUAUAUAAUAAAUUCUAUAUAAUAGCUUUUUAUUCCAAGAAAUUUUUAGCAAUUGACAUUAACUACAAGAUCCAUAAUAAAGAACUUUUUAUAAUUGUAGAUUCAUUUUAAAAAUAGUGUCAUUAUUUAAAAGGUGCUUCUUGACUAGUCAUUGUAUAAAUGAAUAAAAAGAAUUUCAAGUAACCAAAAAUCUUUAUUAUGACCAAUAGUCUUAACGAGCCUACAAUACCUAAGCAAAAGAAUACAAUGCUCAUAAAUCUUGAUUUAAUAAUGCCAUUUAUUGUAUAGUACCUUGGCAAUCAAGGUAGGGUUGUCGAAUAAUGGCAAAUGGUAGUAGAAGUCCACUUACAAUAAAAGAACUAGCACAACUUCUUCAAACUUAGUAAGGAUUCUAAUCGUGAACAUCAAUUAAAGAAUAAAUUUAGAUGAAAUUAAUUAGGAUUUAGAUGAUUUAAGAUUUUAUCAAUGAUAAAUUGGAUGAAUUAUUUUUGAUUAAGUUUUAAUGACAAAUGAAUUUUUGAGCAUGGAUAGAUAUGAGUAUAAAUUUCACUCCUCAACUCCAAUUAUAAGAUGACUCCAAUUAAGAGUUACUUAUAAUUGGUGGUGUAAAGUGAAGUAAGCAAUUGAAAAAAGACAAAAGAGGAACAACCACAAUAUAAGUGAAAGAAAUGAAAUCAAGUAAUCACAACAUCCAAAACUAAGUCACAGUCUGUUUAUUGGAUUUUCAUCCAAAAAAAGUAAAAGUAAAAAAAUAAAAAAAUAUAUUUUUAAAUAGAUAUUUUUUUAAACUUUCCAAUGACAUAAAAAUCAUAUAGUUUCAAGUUAAUAUGAAUAAGUUAUGAUAGAUUAAAGAUAGAAUGUAAAUAAUAGAAAAAUUAAGUGAGUAAUUUUUACCUCAAGGAUAGUUUGGUUAAUAAAUCAGGAGUUUGAGCUUCACCAAGGCUCACAAGUAGUGUAUAUUGGUUGUCUAAAAGAGGCCUUGAGGUCUUAAUCUUAUCUUCCUACCUAUACCCAAGGUGCUACAAUCCAUAUGGGAAUUAUGCACCUCUCUUCCUACAAGAACUACACUAGCUGCUGGUCCUUCUAUUUUCUACUAGUAAAACUACUUUUUUUGCAUUUUUGACUUCAUCAUGGUGUUCAAAAAUACUCCAUUAGCCUUACAAUCUUGUAUCGUCUUCAAAUCUUGCUUCAUUUCUUCAUAAUGGCUCUCAAGGUGGUAAAAAUUAAUUUUACCAAGGUCUCAAAAUUUUCUCUAAUAAUUCAUAAAAAAUCCUAAAUAAAUUUUAAAUAAAUUCAGAAAAAUCCUAUAAUAUUUUAUAAUGUUAAUAUCCAUAUAAGGCUGUUUUUUUCUAUCUUAAUGAUUUUAUAGUAAUAAAAUCAAUUUAAAUCCACUAAAAAUCCUAUUUUUAAUAUAAUUAGUUAAAAAGACAUGAAGUUCUUUUUCAUGCUUCUUUGAACCACUAACUAAUCAUUGAUAGAAUUUUAUAAGUAAUGCAUGUAAAUAGGGAGCCAAUAAAGACAUUGGUCUCAAUAAUUAACUCUUAAUACUUAACAAUAAAAAAAAUACUAAACUAACUAAGAUAAUUACCUCCAAGACUUAUUAAGAUUCUAUUUUUAUAACUUUCCUUCUAAUAAGAUUUUUGCAACUUAUAAAUACUUCUAAAUUAUAAUAAAUACUUGGAAAGUCAGAAAGACUCUCUAAUAUUAAUAUUUUUAUAAUUAAAUGACUUAAAACUAUGUUUUUAAUUAAUCCACCAAUUAAAAUUAAUUUUUAGGAGUCACAAUAGAAUAUAUGGAUGAAAUAUUAUUCAAGGAUAAAUUUUUAUUUAUGGAUGAAUUUUUAUUAAUAGAUGAAUUUUUUAUUAAAAUAAUAUAAAAAUUAAUAAUCAAUAUAUAAUAAAAAAUAAUACUAAAAAAAUAACUAAAAAAAAUUAUGGCAUUAAAUUGUUGGAUGAUUUGUUAUUAUAAAAAUAAAUUAAUUAUUAGAUUUUGGCUUGAUUGCUUCAAUUAUUUAAGAAAAAAUAAGAAUUUUUUGAUUAGAAUUUAAUUAAUAGCUAUUAAUAAUUGAUUUAACUAUUCUUAAGUAAGUUCAAUUGAGUAUGUCUUUUAAUCUUCUUGUUUAUGAUAUUAAGAAUAGUUCUUCUAAGUUUCAUGGUACUUUUAAGUUUGUAUUGAAGAAUAAUCUUCUCUAUUUUGAAGUAAAAUUAUAUAUUCUAAAAGGCAAAGUACAAUUAUGUGUUCUUCAAGCUUAUCACAACUUUCUAAUAGUUGGACAUUUUGGAUGCAACAAGGUUUUGAAAAUAAUAUCUAGAGAUUUUUAGAGGCGUCAAAUAUAAAACACAAUCAAAGACUUUGUACAAUCAUGUGAUAUUUGUUCAAAGUUAUAAACUCUUUGUCAUCAAUCUUUUGAAUUUCUUCAACCAUUACUUAUUUUAGAAUAAUUAUGAUCUUUUAUUUCUAUGGAUUUUAUCAUAGAUCUUCCAAUUUUAAGUUUGUAUGAUUUUAUAUUUGUAAUAAUAGAUUAUUUUAUCAAAAUGGCUCAUUUUGUACCAUAUAUAAAAUCUAUCAAAGGUGAAGAAACAACUAAAUUUUUUCUUAACAACAUUUGUUACUAUCGUAGAUUAUCUAAGGAUAUUAUAUCAAAUAGGGAGAUUUAAUUUGUUUGAAUAUUUUGAAAAAAUCUUUUGAAGAUUUUAAAGGUGGAUAUAAAGCUCUUUUUGACUUUUCAUCCUCAAACUAAUGAAAAAAAAAGAUGUAUAAAUUAAGUUUUGGAGUAAUAUUUAAGGUAUAUCAUCAAUUAUAAAUAAGAUAAUCUAACAACUUUUUUUUAAUAGAAAAUUUUGCUUAUAAUAAUACGAUACAUUUUUUUAUGCAAAAAAUAUCUUUUUUUAUUAAUUUAUGGUUAUCAUCUAUGACUUGACGCUUUUGACUUUUCAAAAGUUGAUAAACUUGUGGCAUAAGAUUUGACAAAUUUUUUAUUUGAAGUACAUAGAAUAAUAAAGGCAUAAUUAAAAAAAACUCAAAAAUGACAAAAGACCAACAUGGAUGGCUAUAUCAAAGAGCAAUAUCAAUUUUACAUUGGUGAUAAGAUAUGAUUACUUCAUUGCAAUAUCAAGACUAGUUACUCUUGUCACAAGUUAGAUUAUUGUAGGCUUGGACAAAUUUUUAUUUGUAGAUAAAUCAAUUGUAUUGCUUAUCAAUUACAUCUAUAAUAAUCUAUGAAGAUAUAUCUUGUAUUUUAUGUAUCUUUUCUUAAGUCUUAUAAGACAAUUAAUAUUUCAAAAAAAUAAAAUAAAAAAAAAUGCUACCUCUUAUAGAAGUAGAUAAUAAUUAAGAAUUUGAGGUGGAAGAAGUCUUAGAUUCAAGGUGGCAUUGAAAUAGGUUGGAAUAUCUUAUUCAUUGGCAUUGAUAUGAUAUUAAUGAAUGUACCUAGAAGCUAAAAAAAAAUCUUACAAAUGCAACAAAGAAAGUUGAUGCUUUUUAUUGACAACAUCCAUUAAAAUUAAUAUAAAAGAAACAACAUCAAGUAACGAUAACAUUCUACCUUCUAUCUUUGUUAUAGUUUUUGUGUAUUUGUGGCACUAAAGAGAUGUAGAAUUAACAAGUGGAAAAUUUAACUCAAGAGCUAUUCUUUGUUGACUUAUUAGAGAAGACAUUGCAAUUGUCACAACCUUCAAGAUAACAUAAUCAUCAUAAAGAUCUUCAAAAAAUAUAUAUAUAUAUUUUUUUAAAUAGAUGAUAAGAUAUAAUACAUUUGAUAUCACAACCUUGGAAGAGACUCCUAAUGUUUGGUGAUUUUAUUGAAUGUAGAAAUGACUUUUGAUGGUCUUAUAAAUGUUUUAUUUGAAAAAAGUUAGAAAGGCCUCAACAACAAUCAAAUAAUAAGAUAGUCUUUUUGCAUUAAAAUAGAACAUUAUCAAUGGCUAAGAAGACCUAUUAAUUAUCUUUGAAAAAAAUAUAGAUCAGAAUAUGUGGCAAAUCUAAUUUGUCAAAUCUUGAACUUCAUCAAUAUGUGAUUACUAUUGCUUAUGAAACUCAUCUCUAGAAAGAAAAGGAAAUGUCACAAACAUACAUAUUUAUUUUUAUAUUUAUCUAUAUGAUUAGAUAGAAGCAGGUAAAAAUAAUUUAAUUAGAUAAUAUCUUAUGGAAAAGCUUUGAAAAAGUUUCAUAGAUGCGACUUUGAUUUUAUACGUAUUUGUGGUUAAAAAAUAGAUUAAAACUUUGUCAAUAAGUUAAUCAUGUGUUGCAUAUGUUGGUAGCUAAUAGAACAAGCUAACUAUGUGGUACACAUAUUAAAAACUUGCUUUGAAGUUAAAACAUGUAUCGGAGGUCCUAUACAAUGUUGUCAUAUAGCUCCUAAUUAGAUAAUAUAUAUAAAAGCAAGAAUAAAUUUUUCUUUAUUUUUGUCAAUGUCUUUUUUAUUUUUAAUUUUGUUAUAAGAGUCUAUCAUUUAUUGUCUUUAAUAAUAGCCAUUCUAGUGUUUAUAGUAUAUAACUUUUGAAGUGAAUCUUUAUUCUUCUUGAGUUACAAAAGAGCGUUUGGAGGUUCUUUUUGUAUUGAUUCUUAUCUUUGAUAGUAUGAUAUUGCUUGGCCAUACUAAAUAGUUGAAGCUUAGACAUCAAAAAAUAAGUCAAAGGCAUCUCUAUUCAAAGAAAAGGAUUUAAAUAUUUAAGAAAAUUUCUAAGUAGAGCUUUAAUUAUGAAAUUUUAAGCCUUAAAUAACCACUUAAGAAGUUACAAAGGACUUCACAUCCAAAAAAGAUUCUACUAUUGGAUUUUAUGAUAAGUCUUCUACCAAGUACUUUGAGGAGAUUAUGAAUUAUAUAAAACAUGUCAAGGCAUAGUUGAUUAGUGUACAAAAAGUAAUAAAAGAUUUAAGUGAGUUUUAAAAUGAACUUGAGGAUUUAAUCUCUAAAUCACUAUUUAUUAUAAAAUACCUAAAAGAGAUGAGAGCUUUGUAAUCUUAAGUUUUUUUUAAAAAAGAUAUAAUUGUCUAAUUAAAAAAUGAUUGAAUAUUUUAAGAAAAAAAUAGAUUGAAUAUUAAAUUUUUUAUGAAUUAAUCAAAUGUUUCAAUUUUAACCUUAAGCAUCUUUUUAAGGUUAUUUUUUUAUAAUAAUUAGUCACAUUAAAUAAGAUAUGGCAUUAAAAGAAGUAGCAAAAGUAUUUGUGACGGUGAUUAAAUAAUUUAAGAAGAUUAUGAGGAUGACAUACAUAUUCUAAAAAGAUGUCUAAAAGAACAUGACUUCCUAUUAAUUUGAUACUACUACAUAGACUUCAUAAAAAUUAAUAAUUGGAUAGGAAAUAAUACAAACUUCUUAAUUAUAAUACAAUUAAAUUCUAGGAGAUGCAAGACAUAACAUUAGGUAUGUGCUAAGUCUUUGGUCAAGACCAUACCAUCACUUGAAGAAUCAUUCAUUGUAUUAAUAUUAAUAUGCUAUAAAAGUCUUAAUUAAGAAAGGAUAAAGCUUAGAAAUAAAAAUCUUAAAAAAGUAGUGGUAUUGAUGAUAAUUAAAUUAGACAAGCUUUUCAAUGAUGAAAAAAUUACUAAUAGAAUAGAUCAAAGUAUUUUGGAUUUAAUUCUUGAGGUUAUUCUAAAAUCAAUGAAAAAAAAUAAGAGAUUGGUAAGCAUAAUUGAAAAAAAUUAAAGAAUUAAAAUCAAGUGAAGCAAGCAUAAUAAGAUGCUCUUGAUAGAAAAUCAAUUUAAAGUAAAGCCAAUAUAAUAGGAGUAGAAAUAGGUAGUGAAUUAAGUAUUGCCACUUAUUAAAAAAUAACUUGACAGAUUAUUUUAUAAACUUAAGACUUAUUUUUUUAAUUAGAUAUUGAAUAAAAUAUGCCAUUUUAUUGAUAAAAUAUUAAUUUAGAAGAUAUCAUGCAUCUUUAAAUGGUCAAUUUUAAAAAUAUUUUUAAUAAAUUUUUGAUUUUUUUAAAAUUCAUAAUCUUUUGCAUGUUAAUACUUGAGUGGUUUUCACUUAAAUUCAACAAUUUUUUAUUUUUAUUAAUUCAAACCAUCAAUUCGAUUAUCAUGUUUUUUGUAAUCUAUACUUCUAUAUCCACCAAAAUAUUUUAUGUUUGAUACUUAUGCUCAUUAUUUAUUUUAAAGUAUUUGUUGGAAGAGAAGAACUUCUAGAGCAAUUGUAGAAGUUGAAUAUUUAUGGCUAAAACGAGGUAUAAUAAAAAUAGAACUUCACAUCAAUUAUAAAAUAGUUCAAGUCAAAGGCUAGAGGCUGUAUCUCAUUUAAGAAAGAUCUAAAAGUCUUCAGCAAUAACAACUUGUAGUUAAGUUUGGUAAACACGUGAUUUGAGACCCAAGCUAGCCUAGACUUAGUGAUAUAUUAUAUUUAAAGGUUAUGGAAAAAAAUAGAUUAAUUUUAGCUAUUCAUCAUUUAAUAUAUAUAUAUAUAUAUAUAUAUAUAUAUAUAUAUAUAUAUUCUAUGCAUUUAAUGCUUUUAUGCAUGCUUAAGAAAUUUGAAGAAAAUAUUUUUAAUUCAAAAAUAUAAAGAUUAUAUGAUUAUUUGACUUAUAAAUAACUUAUUCUUUUAAUGCAAUUAUUGACAAAUCUAUAUAUUAGAUUAAUUGAAUUAUAUACACAUCCAUAUAUAUAUAUAUAUAUAUAUAUAUAUAUAUAUAUGUGUGUAUAUAUAUUCUUAAAAAAUAAUAUUUUUAUCACAAAUAUUUAAUAUAUUUUAAAAUAAACAUAAUAAUACGAGUAAAAUUGAUAUCAUGAUAUUUUAUUAACUUUAAAUAAUAUAAAAAUAGAGAAAUACUUAUAUUAAAGAUGAUUAAUAAAAAUAUUAAAAAAUAUUUAUCUAAUUAUAAAUUUAAAAUACAUUAAUUAUUCUUUGUGAUAUAUAUAUAUAUAUUUUAAAUAAAAAUUAUUAUUAAUGAUAUAUGAUUUUAAAAUAUUGUGAGUUUUAUACAGAUAAAAUUGUAAUUCUAUCUAAAAGAUUUUUAAAAUAAUAAAAUCUUAUUAUUUUGUUUUUUUUUAAAAUUUAUUUAAUAAAAUUUAUUUUAUAGAAAAAAUUAAUAUUUUUUCUAUAUAAGAAAUAGUUUCUAAGAAUAAUAAUACUAUUUUUGAUUAAAAAAAUAUUUAAUAAGAAAUAAUUAUAUAAUUAAUAAAUUAUUUUUUGAAAUUUAUUGAUUUUUAUGUUUAUAAUUUAUAUUUUGUGAAUUUUUAAUAUUUUUAUAAUUAUUUAAUGUUAAAAAUUGAUUAAAUAUGUCAUAAUAUUUUAAGGUUUUAAGGCAUGCAUUCAUUAAAAUAUAUUAAAUUUAUUUUAUUCUAUAAAUGGUUAGAUGUUAGUACCAAGUUUUUUCAUCUUUCUUUGCAUCUCAUUAAAUUAAAUUACAUAUAAAUCUAUUAUUUAGCUAGGUAUUAGAGAUAGUAUUAUUUUAUACCUAUAAGAAAAUCUUUUAAUUUUUUAAUUAAAAAAUCUUCAAAGAAAACGUUUUUCUUAAUAUUGAUCUUAAAUGAAUUGAUCUUAAAUGAAUUGAGAACCUUGUUUUUCAGUUGGUAUUUCCAAUUAUCUUACAUCUUGUGAAUUUUGGUCCUCGUUUUAUUGGCCAUAUUGAAGUUAGUUAAUGCCUAAUGGAAUAAAUCUUUCUUGUGUAUUUAAUCAUGAAGGAAGGUGUUGGAUGUGAUGAUUAUUAUUAUAAUUAUAAAAUAAAUUAAGAGGCUUUAAAAUAUUAUCCGAAUUUGGAAUUCUUGCCUUCUAUAAAUGAUCUUAGGCUUGCUGUUGAUAGCUUUCUUGGAAGAAUUUUAAAAUAAUUACCUUGUCAGAUUAUCUACACAUGUUCGUCGGAUGGUUUCUUUUAUAGUUUUUAUAUACUAUUCCAUUCUCUAUUCAAGAACUAUUUGGUGGAUGGCUUUUUUUGCAAAGGUGGUAUAUUUCUUGUUGUUGUUAUUACUAAUUUUUAAAGCCUUGAAUAAUAUUUUUUUGAAGUUGGAAUUUAGAAUUGGAAUCCACCAUAUUAUAGUUCCUAUGAGGUAGGACAUAUGAUUGCUACUUUCCUUGAUUUUGGUGGUAAUUUUGUUGGUUUGAGCAGAAUUGACUAAUAUGCCUAGAUUGACUGCACCUAGUAUAUCAAAGCCUUGAAGUAUGCUUAUCAGAUUCUAUUGGAGAUUGAGCUUAUUUUGGAAUUUGGCUCUUAAUUAAAAGAAUGAUCAGCUCUAAUAUAGCCUUCAUUUAUUGGAAAAUUUCAUUUUAGAAUCCCUAUUGGCUUUGAAGGAGUUCAUUCUUAAAGUACUCCUUUUAUCUAUUCUUAUCUUUUAGAUAUGUUAAUUCAAGAAGAAUGAAAGGUGGUUUAACUUCUGAAGGUACUAAGUAGUGGUUUAUGGAUUGAAAUUAAGUUUCUACAACUCUAUAUGAAUGUCUUUGAGAAUUUCUUAUAUUUUGAGCAUGUAUAGGAAUAAUACUAGAAAUUCUAUGGUCUUCUUUUUCUACAUUCACUCUUUUUGCAGGUCAAUGUUUUCGACUAUUCAAGCAAUAUUUUUUACUUCGUUUAAAUUAUUUGGCCUAUCUUUUAAAAUCUCUUGAUUUUUUUUAUUAUUAUUAAAUCCUUGAAUAAAAAAAUGGAUAUCAAUAUCAUUCAUGACAAGAAUUCUUACAAAUUGGAUUACUAUCAGCUCAAAUUGCCAAAUAUAUUCAUUGAUUUCUUCUCUUUUUUCUUAUUUCAAAGAAAAAAGGAUUGUGAGAGUAUUACUUUGCCUUACUUCUACCCUGAAUUUUUCUAAAAAUAUUCUCAUGAACAUAUCUUAAUUUUUAAAGGUUUAGAGAGAAGAGAAGUGGUUUCUAUACUAUUUGUAAGCUCCAUCCUUUAAGGUGCUUGAAAACUACAUAAGGUAUUAACUUAGAUUGGUAUUUAAAUAUGUUGUAAGAAGUUCCAUGAAUCUUUCUAUUUAUGCCAAUGGCUCAUCAUUCCUAAUUCUUUUAAAUAUAGGGAGGUUGUGAGGUAUAGGAAUUGCUUGUAAAUCCUUAGGAAUUACAAUCAAUAAAUUUCUUAAUUAAACCAAGAGGUUGAUGGAUGUAGAAUUGAAAUUAAUCUCUCUAUUGCGUUCCAUUAGAAGAAAAGAGAUGUUGACCCUUUUCUUUCUUCAUUUACCUCUAUAAAUAGAUCAGGUGAAUUGAAUUCUAAUCAUUUUGUUCUUAUUUUGUCAUCUAGAUUUACUUCAAUUGGAUUGAAAAAAAAAAUCGACUUCUAAUGUUGGACGUGUGGGUUGUUUACUCUCCUUGUUCAAUCUUUGAUUUAUUUUUUUUGAUAGCUGAUUCCAAAUUUUCUAUGUUUGGUGAUAUGUUGAAUUGCUUACAUCUAGUAGAAAAAUGCAUCUACACAACUAUCAACCUACUGUUCAACCUAAUACAAUUUCAUCUAUCAAUCCACAAUAAUUUAGUUUUUGGCUCUUCUGCUUGCAACCUACUUAAAGCACCUUCUUCUAUGAAAGAAAAACAAAAAAAAAACAACUAAAAGAAGAAUGCUUACUUGAGUAUGACCUCAAGUAAGACUAUUUUCAACUUUAACUGUUAUAUGAAACUACCAUACAUAGGAAUGACCUUAAGCAAUCUUAAUUGUGAAAAAGAAUUCUGUAAUAGGAUGACAAGAAAUCCAAGCUCUUUUUUUUUUCUUGCCUUUUCAUACUAAGACUAAUAAAUAAUUAUCUACUAUAAUAAUUAAUAAUAAUGUUUUACUAUAAAAAAAUUAUUUUUUCCAAGACACUUACAACAUAUUGAAGAAUGAUUCACUUGGUUGCAUCUCCAGUCAACCUAUUUCCAACAUAAUUUCUUCCUAUCCAAUUUAAAUUUAAUAAUUUAAAAAAUUAUUUUUAGAUUGAAAUAGUGAAGGAUUCUAAGACUAUUGAUUCUAUAUGAAAAAAUCUAAAAGAAGGUUUAGAAGGUAGCUUCUUCUUGCAUUUUUUUUUUAGAUUCUAUUCUCUAAUUCUUAGCUCUUACUCUUUGUAUUCAAGCAAUUUUCUAAAAUUAAAAAAAAAUUGAUAAGGAUUCAAGGACUUACUUCCUUGCAAGUUAUUAAUGCCAUUCUUUUUUCUUCUUAAGUUCCUUCUCCUCAAACUAUAAUCUCUUUCAACAAAAUAAAUUAAAAAUCAAUGAAAGUUGUUGAAAAAAAUACUCACCUUAGAUUUAUGUCUUAAACUUAUUAAUCUUUCCUUGUUGAUGAAGAAUUAUCUUGAGUUUCUUGCUAAGCUCCUACUAUACUACUUCCUUUGAAUAAAAGGGAUAUAAGAGGUGGAGUGAGUGAUUAAAUCUCCCUACUACUAGAGAAAAAUCCUCAACUAGAAAUUCACAAAGAUGAAAAGAAAUAAUAUGAAGUGUAGAGGAAGUGAUUAAAUCUCUCUACUACUAGAGAAAGGCCCUCAAUUAGAAAAAUUACAAAAAAGAUAGUGAGGAUCCUAAAAGACGAGCUCUACCCUUAAUGAUGAAUCCUUAGAACUUCCAAGCUUCUUCUUUAUUCCAAAAAUUGCUAGAAAUUGAUAAUUGAUUCAAUUUCAAAGAAAAUUAUACUAAUCUAAGAUUUUCCUUCAAAUGCUUCUAUUAUAAAGUAAUUUAAUUUAAAAUAAUUAACACAUACUAAAAAAUUCCUUUUCAAAUAUAGAAUAUACAAAACUACCAAGGCAGUAGAUCCCUUUCUAAUCAAAACUUCACUAAAAAUUCAAUUUUAGUCAAAUUAAUACAUGUAAUAGCUUCUUAUAAAGCUAACAUUAAGAUAAAAAAUCUCACAAAAUUUUAAAGUAAAAUAAUAAAUACAUAAAAAUUUAUUGAUAAAAAUCCGAGAGUAAUAUUUAUUUAUUUAUUUAUUUUUGUUUUUUUUUGUAAAUAUCUUUUGACUAUAUAAUUAAAAAAUAUUCCUUUACAAAAAUAAUAAAGAUAGGUAGAAAACUUUUCAAUAAUAGAAAAUAAAUUUAAAAUGCUUAUUUAAAAAUUCUACAUAAAAGAUCAUUUACAAUUAACUCACUUCACAUUCACUCUCACAAUUUGAAGUACCACCUCCCAGCAAACAUACCAAAAUGUGAAGGUAAAUUCCACCCUUCCACUCAAAUUAUAAGAUGGUCUCAAUUAAGAGUUGCUUAUAAUUGGUGGUAUAAAGUAAAAGUAACAAAAAUAAGAACAAAAACAAAAGAAGUACAACACAAAAAUAAAUGUACAAGUGCAAUCAAGUAAUUAUAUAUUAUAAAAUUAGUCAUAAUUUGUUUGCUAAAUUUUUAACUAGUAAAAAAUAAAAAUUAAAAGUAAAAAAAUUUAUUUUUUUAUUUUUUCAAUUGUAUAAGAUUCAUAUAAAUCCGAAUUAUUAUAAGUAAAUUCUAAAGGUAUAAAAAUAAUAAAUAAAUAAAUAAAUAAUUAAAUGAAUAAUUUAUACGUUAAAGAUAACUUGCUUAAGAGAUCAAGAGUUCAAGUCUUACCAAGGCUCAUAAGUAGUGUAUAUGGGUGUCUAAAAUAUGCCACAAGGCCUUAGUCUUAUCCUCCUAAGUACCUUUUAGGUGCUACAACCCAUAUAGGACUUGUGCACCUUUCUUCUUAUAAGGACUAUAUUAGUUGUUAGUCCUCCUAUUUUCUAUUAGUAAAUUUAAUAUUUUUGUAAUUUUGACUUCUCCAUGGUAUUUAAAAAUAUCCAAUUAGCCUAGGAAUCUCGUGUGGUCUUCAAAUCUUGCUCCUUUUUUUCAUAAUGGCUUCCAAAGUGAUAAAACUUAUUUUUACCAAAGUCUUGAAUAUUACUCUAAAAAUUCCUAAAAUAUUCUAAAUAAAUUCUAAAUAAAAAUUUAAAUUUUUUAUAAUAUUUAUUUAAUAUUAAUAUCAAACUAAAGCUAUAUUUUCCUACUUUGGUGAUUUUUUAUAAUAAUAAAAUUAAUUUAAAUCAACUAUAAAUCUUAUUUCUUAUAUAACUAACUAAAAAGAUAUAAAAUUCUUUUUCAUGCUUCUUCUAACUAUUAAAUACUAUUUAUAAAUUUUUUAUAAAUAAUAUAUUUAGAUAUAAGGCCAAUGUAAAUAUUGAUUUUAAUAAAUAUUCCUUGAUAUUCAAUAAUAAAUAAAAAUACCAAACCUAUUAAAAUAAUUACUUCUAAGAUUUAUUAAGACUUUAUUUUUACAUUUAAGAUUCUAAUUUUUUAUUUAUCUAAAGAUUUCUAUACUAUAUACCAAAUAUUGUGGUUUUAAGCACUUUAAAUGUAUUUUUUUUUAUCCUAAAAUAAUUAGUGAGUCAAUUUGAUGAUUGAAAACACUACUAACUAGAGCCUCUCUUGGUAGCCUCAAAUUAGCCACUUUGCCUCCAAUCUCUACUUCAACGAGAUAAGACUCAGUCUUUUUUCACAUGCAAUUCACUUGAUUUUCCAAAAAAAAUCCUCUAAAAGCUUCUUCCUACUUUGUCUUUCAAAAUUAAGUUCUAAAGGUUGCCUUGUAGUAGUGACUCUAAUUUUAUCUUCUUUGAAAAAGAUACUCCCUUUUUCAAGUCUUUAUUAUAAUCAGAGUAAUCUUUCCUUUCAUACUUGGAACUAUAAUAAUACAUACACCUCUUAACAAAUCCCUUUGAUUCCUUUGAUGCAUGUAAAAAAGUAAGCCUUUGACUCUUCUUUAAUUCACUCAUCUCUACUCUCAAUUUUCUUAUGUCUUUAACCAACUCUUCAAGGAUGUCUUUGAAAAGAGUAUUAAAUAUCUCUUGGAUUGGAGUAGAUAUCAAUGAACUUGAUGGAAUAAUUGGCAUCAUAGGUGGUAGAACUUUAUGCCUCAAAGUUCCUCCUCUUUCCUUCAUCCACCAUUGUUUGGUCAUCAAUAACACUACAUCUUCUACUAUCCUCUAAUUAUUAUUUAAACCUCUUUUGAUAGAAUUAUUAAUAAAAAGGAUAAAAUGAAUAUCUUCUAGUCCUUCAUCUAUUACUAGCAAGAAGAACUUGGUCUUCUUGGCACCCAAUAAAAAUCUCUCUGAAGAUGAAAGUUAAUAAAAUUUUCAUUCAAACUUCCUAAGCAAUUUUUUGGAGGCCAUAAACUUCUCCAAUUAUUGCUCAAUCUAUUCAAAAAACGACCUCUUUGUGAUUCUAUCUAAGUCAAAAAUUUUAUCUUUUAACUUUUCUUCAAAGUCACUUUAGGCCUUUAAAUUAUCUCCAUGCAUAUUCUUUAUCCUUUUUCUAAUUUCAAAAAUGCAUAAAAAUUCAAAACUAGGAAUAUAAUGAGAUUUUAGUACUUGAUGUACUUCUAUUUCUUUAAUACAUGCUUAAAAAAACUUAUAUUCCUCCCAUCAAACUUAUCAAUAAAAUCAAUCCACCUUAAUUGCGUUUGAUAGUCCAGUGGAAUAACUUCAUUCACAUAAGUUUAGAUGUCUUUUCUUUCUUAACCAUUAUUUAUCUAUGGUUUUAUUUUAUUAAUUUUAUUAAUUAAUUUAUUUAUUAUAUUUAUUUAUAUAAAAUUAUUAUUAUUAUUAUUAUUAUUAUUAUUAUUAUUUAUUUUUUAAAAUUUAAUUUUAAUUAAUUAAUUAAUUAUAGUUAUUUAAUUAAUUAUUAUGUAUUCUUUUAAUUAAUUAAAUAAUUAUUUAAAAUAUCUAAAAAUUAAUUCAUAAAUAUUUCAUAUACAUUAUAUUCUUUAGCAAAGAAAUAACCAUACAAAAAUAUUAAUCAUAAUACCACAAUUGCCUAUUAUUACAUCAAAAAAUAUAGACAAAAAAUCUUUAAAACUUGUUGUUUAAUAACCACUAAAAAUCAACUACUACCUUACUACAACAUGGUGAAUUAUGGAAAAUCUAUCUUAAUUGUCAACUCCUGAGCCAAGUCAAAAAAUUUGGCUUACAAAACCUCCUAUGCUUGUUGACUAUGCCUUACAAUGUUUUGGUCACUUCUUUAUCACUUGAUUGUACCUUUUGUUGUUUUUUAUGAACAUACUCAAAGCCAAGAAAUCAUUGGCACUUGCUCCUAUAGUGCCACUUGUACCAUUCCUUUUAAAAUCAUCUAUCAUCUUUGAAUAUCAAAAAUCUCUCACUUCUCUCCUUUCAACUCUUAAACUCCUCCUCAUGCUCUAAGCUUGUACUUUAGUUCCAUAACUUCAUUGUGCUCCACUUGUGCUCUCAAUUGCCCCAAAAAUGCUCUCAAUGGAAGUACCAAAUUUUUGUCAAGAAGGCAAGUCUCUUCAAGAAAACAUGGGAUUCUUAAUCAUAAGUAGGUUAUAAGAAGGUACAAUGUUGUUCCAAAUCAAAUUAGAUAUAAAGAGCAACCAAAAGGCUAAGUAUAAUUUAUAGAUUAAUUUCUUUCUUGUAUUAGGAUGCAUCCAAUUUCUAAUUCUAAUUUCAAAUCUAAAUCUCUUUUUACUAAAAUAUCUAUAAUUCACUUAUUAUUAACUCAAUCUAAGCAAAGUUUAGCUCAUUGAGAAUUAAAAAAAAAAAAUCCAAUAAAUGGCAUACAAAACCUCAAAUAUAUCUUAAAAUUCUCUAUUCAAAAAUUUCAAUAGUCCCCUUCCACAAAUUUGCUUGGAUCUUCUUCUUCAUAGCUCAAUUUUUUGAGUACUAUAGCUUAUUAGAAAGUUCACAAUUAGAUUUUUUUUUUUUUUUUUUUUUUUUUUUUUUUUUCCCAAAUAUCAACAGAAAAAGUAGUAUAAAAAAUCCAAACUAGUGUUGAAUCUCUCCUUCCAAAGACUCCAACAAAAAAAAUCAUACUUGAUUCUAAAACCCCGCCCUAACUUUCUUCCAAUAUUAGCCUUGAACUACUAUAUAGUCAAGUAUCUAUCCUAAAAGACAAUCAAUUCAAGCUUAAAUAAUCCAUUCAAGCCAACAACAUCUUAUUCUAAGCUCCAUUCAAAUUUAUAAAUAUAUUAGAAUUAUAUUCAUCUUCUCCUAUUAAAGAAAUUAAUUAUCUUCUAAAUAAAUUUGAUGCACUUAAAUUAAGUGUGUUAUGACAUUGUAUUAUAGCUGCAGUUCUUAAUAACACUUUUUAAGGCAUCUUUUUUUUUACAUUAUAGAAAUGGCCAAAGUCCAAAAUCCACAUGUUUCUAUACUUUUGUCAAAGUCAUCAUCUUCUCUAGCACCAUAACUUGUACUUUCUCAUGUUGUUACUCCAUGAAUUACUAAAUAGUCUUGAAUCAAUGCUCUCAUAUUUCUCUUGUAAAAAUUGAUUUGAAGAAGAUUCCUUGUAUCUUUUAAUGCCAUCUUUCCAACUUUCAAACUUUUUUAAUAGCUUUGUUGUUUGUAAAUUCUUAUUAGGUAAUUUAAUCUAUUUUUAAAAUAAUUUCCAAGUAAUACAAUCAUUGUCCUUCAAAAAAUAUUUGUCUUUUAAUGCAUGUAAAAAUAUCUCCAAUAAACUCUCGUAAUGCUUUAUAAUUGAUAUAAUAUAUUUUUGUAACUUUGAUACUAUGACAAGUCUAAAUAGCUCAAUCAACUUCUUCUCAAAGAUCCAAUUUAAUUCUAUUUCCCGCAUGUAAUAUCUUAGAUACUUUGAGAUGUCUCUUCCAUCAAAUUAGCCAAUUUUAUUAACUAUUGCUUAUAAUGCUUUAAUUUUCAAAGCUUCUUUGUAAUUAUUGCUUUAUUAUUGUUUCAUUGAUAAUAUAAAAGCUAAAAAUAAAAAUUCUAAUUGAAUCUUAAUAAACUCCUACAUCAAACCUUAAUCAAAACCUUAAUUAAAUCUUAACCAAAUCCUAGGUCAAAUCCUAAUAAAAUCCUAAAUCCUAGAUAAAUCUUAAAUAAACCUUAAUCAAUUCCUAGUUAAGUUCUAAAUCAAAUCCCAAAAAAAUCCUAAUUCUAAUCAAAUCUUAGAUCAAAUCCUAAGUCCUAAUCAAACUAUAAAUAAACUUUAAAUCAAACCCUAUAGUAAAAUGAUACUUCAACAAUUAAUCAUUGAACUAUUAAAAUCUACUCAAAAUUAGUAUAUUUUUUAAUAUUUUAGUUAAAAACAAGCAUAAGAAAGAAGAAAUCAAUUUCACUUAUUAAUUGAAAGAAAUGGAAGAUAAUCCAAUCAGAUGUGUCCUACUCCAAUCUAAAUACUAAACUUUCAAUGCCAAUAUCUACUUUUUGAACUAUUAAAUUACUUUCAGAUUUCACCUAAAUAUUAAAAAUUAAGUCUAUUAUUUAUAUAAUUAUUUUUUUCGAUCCAAUUAAUAGAUUUCUGGAGAUUUUAAAAAUACUCACUAACCUUCAAACUCCAAUUUUUGAUACUUCAACCUACAAAAACCUUUACACACUUUGAUCUAAUUGUUCAAUUGACUUCAAAACUUGCACACAUAUUUACAACUAGCUCAUCAACACACUCCCAAAAUUCAUCCAUAUAUAUACCAUAAAACUUAAGAAAUCUUCAAAUUUAUAAACAUAUUUUUAUUUCUCAAAAUUUGAACCAACUGAGAACAUCACUAACUUUGAAAAUCUCUCAAACAUUCAAGAUUGAUUUAAUUGAUAUAAAAAAAAUACUUAAAAAUCUCUUUUAAAGUUUUUUCUCAAAUCUUACUCUUUGAUCUAGCAAAGAAUCUUAAAUUCUCCAUAUAGGCAUGGUUUUAUAUCUCAAGAUGUGAUUUUGACCUCAAUUGACAAUUGGUCCUCUCCGGUGUUGGAAUAGAAUAUGACUAUAUAAUAAAACUAUAAUCAAAAUUGAAUUUAUAAUUAAUAUCUAAUUAUCUUGGUUUAAUAAUAAUUCAAGGUAUCUAAGCAUGGCUUUUAUAAAAGCCUCUUAGAUUAUUUUUUUAUCUUAAUAGUUAGUAGGUUAAAGGUCAAUUAAUAAUUUUACCUUCUAGGUUGUAGAGAUUCUUUUACUACCUUAGAAAGACCAUAAAUUGAUAAAAUCAGAUUAAAAGAGAUAAAUAAUUAAUAUGAUUGGUACUAGGGUUAAAUUAAAGGUAGGAUUGAACUAAAAAAUCCUUAAGAAAGGUUAGAUUGAUACAUGGGGGCCGACUAUUUAUGAGUUAGGGUCAAAAUCAAACCUCUAGCCACUAAAAUGACCGCUUAGGAUAAAUUAGAUUUUCAUUUGAAGAUUAGAGAUUAGAAUUUGAGAGCUAGGUUAGAGCUUCUUUCAAAGACGUAAGGCUAGUAUUGGUAGGAUUUAUUGAAACUUAGCAAUUGAUAUUAAAAAUUAGGAUUUAUAUUGGCAACUUGGGAUUUAUGCAAUGAAAUUAGGACUAGCAGUCUUGGCUAGUUUGUAAAAUUGGUGUCACAUCAACAGUUCAAAUUUUGAAAGUACUUGAUUAAUUAGGUUUUUUAAGUGUAUGUGAAAUUUUGUAAUAAUCCAACAAUGUAAUUGGGAGAUAUCUAGGUUUUGGUAUAAGAACAUAUUGGAAGUUGUGUCACGGAUAUAUAUAUAUAUAUAUUUAUAUAUAUAUAUAUAUGUUUACUCUGAUAAUUAUUUAGAUAAUAAAAAUAGAUAGAAAAAAAUCAAAGUAGAUAAAUAUGAUAAUAUCUUAUGGAAAGCUUUCUAGAUGCUUCAUAGAUGCUACUUUGCCUUUAUACAUGUCUAUAGGUAAUUGGUAGGUUGAAAACUUGGCCAAUGAAGAGGCCACGUGUCAACAUGUUGACCACUUGUAGUACAAGUUGGACAUAUGGCAUACAUCUAGGAAACUUGCUUUACAAAUUAGACAUAUGUUUUGUAAGUUAGACAUUUAUUAAAGGUCCUAUAGCAUGUCACUACUUAGUUCUUAGUUAAGUAGUAUAUAUAAAGGCAAAAGUGACACCUUCUUCACUCUUGUCAACUCGUUUCUUGCUUUUAGUCUAAUUUCAAGAGACUCAUGUUUUCUAGUCUUUAGCAAUAGUCAUUCUAGUUCUUCCUUGAAUAUACAGUGCUCCUACAAUGGAAUAUUAUUUAAGUUUUAAGGAACCAAAAAUAGAAUUGCUUGAAAAGUUUGAUGGCACAAGAUCUAAGUUUUGAGGAUUCAACAAUUAGAUACAACUGUUGAUUGAAUUAUAACCUCAAAGUUAUCCAACUUAAGAAUCACAAGUCAGGUUUAUUAGAACAUUAUUUUAGAUUCUACUUUGUCAUGAUUUUCAUCAUUUCUUAAAUGAUGUGAUCCAAUAUUGGAUAAUUUGAAAGCAUUCUUAGUGGAGUUUCAAUCUAAGUAUAGAAAAUAUGAUGCAAUUUAUUUUACAACCAAUAAGAUUUAUAUCUUACGAUAAGAUAAUCGAUCAAUGACACUAUAUGUUUGAUAAUUUUAAUAAUUAGCAAUAGAUAUCAAGUAGGAUGAUGCAACAUCCAUCAACCACUUUUUAUGGAUUACAAUAUGAAGUAAAGAAAUUGAUGCUUAAUUUAUUUGAUCCUCAAAUAUUGAGUCAAGCAAUUGACUUUGCUGUGAAAUGUGAUAAUUGGCUUUUUGAGUUUUGAUUUGAGAAUCGCACAAGAAAACCUAAACAUUAUUGUAAUUCAAUGAUGACACCAAUAACUUCUCAAUCUAAGCAUUUGGAAGUAGAAGACAUGCAAAUUGAUGCAGUACAUUUUAAAUCUCUUAUCAAACAAGAAAAGACUCAUCAUCAUCAAAAAGGACUAUGUUUAUAUUAUAGAGAAGCUAAACAUAGUACUCAAUAUUAUCCAAAGAAACAACGUAACUAUAAAAUGAAGAGUAUUACUAUUAAAGAUGAAAACAUAUUAAAAAAUAAUUUUUUUUAGCUACAAAAGGGACCAUUGUCGUGAUGUAAAAUAGCUAAUAGGAAAAAAGAUAAAAAAUAUCAUAUUUUUGAAAAUAUUAUUUCAAAUAUAUUUUAAAAAAUUAUCUUAGAAAAAUAGAUAAUAGUCAAGGAAUAGAAAAAUUAAAGGUGCUAAUACUGCCUUUUUGGAAAAUAGGCUUCUAUUGUCACGGACACAAAAUAUCUAACAAGAAAUUCAAGAAGAAGUAGUAGAACUAGAUUAAACAGAUGAGUACAAGAACAACACCAGAAAGGUGAGCUAGAACUCCAAGAGAUGUGUUGUCGAGACUGAAGAACCCUUCAGCCUCGACUCCUAUAUAUACUACUAAAUAGGAAGCUUCUCGAGCUACUUCCGCUAACUAGGAUGCUUCUCUAACAACUUCUACUAAUUAGGAAACUUCUCGAGCAACUUCCUAGAAUCUAUCAAAAUAUUCUAGAACCUUCUAAGAAUAUUCUAGAACCUUCUAAGAGAAUCUUUAGGGAAUAUUCUAAGAAUCUUCUAGAACCUUCUAAAGGAAUCUUUAGAGAAUCUUUAGAGAAUAUUCUAGAAGAAUAUUCAAAGAAUCUUCCAAUGUAUGUCCAUGACAUCACCUCCUCUUCUAACUUCGAGGUCUCCAAGAAGCAAUGUUGUUAUCAGUCAAUACCAACGCAAGAAAAUGAAAAUCUAUCGCAUCACAUCCGCUAUGAAUUCCAAUUGUUGUUCGCGAGGCAAAUGAUUCAUCGGCCCUUGGAGCCAACGGUAGUGACCAACACCUUCAACCUCUGACCAAGCGUGGACUUCUGUGUCUUCAUUGUGAAACUGUCCUCCAAACACACCUUAUGGCUGACCGUCGUAGGCAGGCUCGACCUCAAAUACAAUUACUAGCGAUCUGUUGCUCGGUAUCCUCCGACGUCGUCGUGGUGCAGGCGGUUCUUCAUCUCGCGGUCGUCUUCGUGAGCUAGUCGCUUGAGAUGACAUAACAAGUGUAGUAUCUUGACUAUCCAUGUCCAAAGGCUAAAAUGAUGAGAGCAAACUAUAGUUGCUAACAAAGUUCUACACUAUCGAACUAUGGGUUUUGGAGGUGCCCUCCCCCCUUUUUAUGCUACUUGAUGAGCAAGCUUCAGCAAGAAGCUAUCGUUGAAUCGGCUUAGGUUUAUGAGGAUAUCGUUGAUGAAAUUCUUGUACCUUUUUUGGUGCAUUGGCAAGAUUUUCGGCACGCUCCCACGUUCGUUCAUUGAUGUCGUAUCUACUCCAAUGCACUAAAUACUCAAAUUUUUUCCUAUUACGCCGUGAAUCUAGUACCUUUUCCACCUCGUAUUCCUCAUGGUUUUCAAUUUGGAUACUUGGUGGCGGACUUUGUACUCUUUGGAGAAAAGCUGACUCUCGAUAAGGUUCCAAUAAAGACACGUGAAAGACUGGAUGUACCUUCAUAGUAGCUGGUAACUCCAGACGAUAUGCCACCGGAUUGAUCUGCUUCUCGAUAACAAAUGGCCCUAAUCUCCGAUAGUCCAAUUUGUCACAUGGCCGCUUGGUCUUGAUAUUCCGUCGAAGAAGCCAUACUUUACUUCCAACUUUAAAAGUAGGCGCCUCAUUUCGAUAUUUAUCUGCAGAUGCCUUGUAACUCUCUUGGGCAGAUUGCAAUUGAAGCUUCAACGUCGCUUGAAGCUCCGAUAGUUGCUUCACAAAUCCUUCAGCUGCUGGGUUGUUAUUUGCUGAAGAACUCAAUAAAUCGAGCUUGGGGUGGUAUCCGUAGUUGGAGAAGAAUGGUGUUUGUUGAGUUGACGCAUGAAGAGUGUUGUUGUAUGCGAACUCAGCAAGCGGUAGAUAUGCAGUCCAAUCAUCUUGUUGAUAGUUGAUGGUGCAUCGUAAAUAUUGCUCCAAAACUUGAUUCACCCGCUUCGUUUGACCGUCAGUUUGAGGAUGAAAAGCCGAAGAGAGCUUAAUAUCCACCUUCAAUAUCUCAAAGAGGGACCUCCAAAACUUGGAUACAAAUUGAGUACCUCGAUCCGACACGAUAUCAUCUGGUAGGCCAUGAUAACGAUAUAUGUUAUCAAGAAAGAGUCUUGCGGUGUCUUCACUUGACGAUGUUUUCUUGCAAGGCACGAAAUGCGCCAUCUUUGUAAAUCGAUCUACCACAACAAAGAUGCUGUCAAAUGAAUUCGAUGGCGGUAGGUCCGUAAUGAAGUCCAUAGAAACUGAAGACCAUGGUCGGUGCGGAAUAGGCAAUGGCUGGAGAAGUCCAUAUGGACGAUGUCGAAGGAUCUUGGAUCUUGAACAAACAUCACAAGAAAGGACAAAUUCCUUCACAUCCUUCCACAUUUGGGGCCACCAAAAAUCUCGUGAAAUGAGCUCCAAAGUCUUGUUGAAUCCAAAAUGUGCCGCAGCUGGAAAGUCGUGGCGAGAUUGAAAUACUCGGAGUCGAGUUGGUCCUUUCGGGAUAUACAACCGCUCCUCAAAAUACAGAAGAUCUCCCUCCACCUUAAACUUGUCAUUAUCGACACGUUGUUUGAUGUCAAGAGCUAUAGAAUCCUCAAUGGUCGCAGUACGUACCUCGCUGAGGAAGCCGUCAUCGAUAGUUGCAACAGUAGCAAAAAUCCUGAAUUUUUCUGGUUUCAACAAUGUUAUACAUUGUUGAUCAAACGCUGCUUCUCCAGCCUUUGGCGCAAGAUACGAUCUCCUCGAUAAUGCGUCAGAUAAUCCUUGCUGUUUUCCAAGGCGGUAGGUGAUAAUAAAGUCAAAUCGUGAUAGAGACAUAUUCCAUCGAGCUUGACGACGAUUCAAAAUUCGAGCUGUCAUGAAGUACUCCAAAUUCUUGUGGUCCGUAUAAACAGUCACUGGAUGUGCAGCUUCUUCAAGGAAGUGACGCCACUCUUGGAAGGCAUCCACUAUAGCAAGCAGCUCUUUGUCGUGGAUCUCGUAGUUGAUCUCAGCAACAGAGAACUUCCGUGAAUAGAACGCAACUGGGUGAAGCUUCUUGUCUAUGCCCAUCUGUGAAAGCACAGCUCCCAAAGCAAAAUCUGAAGCAUCGGUCUCUAAAUAGAAAGCCUUUGCAAAGUCAAGGUGUACCAAGAUUGGAGCCGUAGUGAAUGCCGUCUUAAGAUCUUGAAAUGCUUUUGCUGCUUGUGAUCCCCAUUCGAGCUUGUCUUUGCUUGUUAGACGCGUGAGUGGUGCAGCAACUUAAGAAUAAUUCUUGAUGAAGAUCUGAUAGAAGUUAGCAAAUCCAAGAAAACACUGAACAUCUCUAACCGUCUUCGGAACUUCCCAAGAUAUAAUUGCUUCUACCUUUUUUGGAUCCAUCUUCAAGCCCUCUGUAGUGGCAAUGAAGCCCAAAAAUUCCAUCUCAUUCUGGUGAAAUUGACACUUCUCCAACUUGGCGUAGAGUCCUCGUUCGCGUAGUUUUUCAAGAACCAAACAAACGUGCUUCUCAUGUUCUUCUUCAUUCUUGGAAAAUAUCAAAAUAUCAUCCAGAUAGAUGACAACAAAGUCAUCGAGGUACUCCCGAAAGAUGUCGUUCAUCAUAUGCUGAAAGACCGCUGGAGCAUUGGUAAGACCAAAAGGCAUGACAUUAUAUUCAAAAUGGCCAUACCUUGUACGAAAGGCUGUCUUCCAUUCAUCUCCUUCUUUGAUUCACACAAGGUUGUAGGCUCCUCUUAAAUCAAUCUUUGUAAAAAUCCUUGCACGUCCAAGUUGAUCUAAGAGGCCGGAGAUCAAAGGUAAGGGAUAGCGAUUUUUCUUGGUCACCUUGUUGAGUCCUCGGUAGUCCACGCACAUCCGCAGUGAGCCAUCCUUUUUCUUCACGAAUAGGAUUGGUGCUCCAGCUGGCGACUUUGAAUGUCGAAUAAAAUUCUUGGCUAGAUUCUCAUCGAUGUACUUUGGCAAUUCUGCCAACUCCGUCUGCGAUAGGUUGUAUAUUAGACCAAAAGGUGGUUGCGCUCCUUCUUCUAAGUCUAUGGCGCAAUCAUAUGGUCGAUGUUCCGGCAGUAUAUCGGCGUUCUUCUUCUGAAACACGUCUUCAAAAUCCCUAUAUUGCUCUGGUAUAUUCGAUGUUGAGAUAUUCUCGCCGCUAGUUGGAGCUGCAUAAAUGACAAAUGGUGCGCCUUCCUUGGACGAUCUUAGGAACGCUCUCGCUCCAAUAAACAUGGAUUUCUUCAUGUAGGUUCUACCAACAGGUUUAUUAUUAUUUUUUUCAGGAAAUGUUAUCCUUCGUAGCCUCCAAUCAAUGGACGGAUUAUGAUCUUCUAACCAAGAAAGACCAAGGAUAACAGGGCUUGAUGGGGUUCUAAUAAUAUUAAAAAUAACGUGACUACUAUGGUCCUUAAACACCACUUCUAUAGGUUCUGAUUCGUGGGUAACGUUGCCUGACAAUAAGGGUCGUCCAUCUAUCACCUCUACGUGAACAGGUUUGGACUUCUGUACUAAACGGAUCUUGUGGCGUUUAACAAACUCUUCAUCUAAAAAACAAGUAGAUGCCCCCGAAUCCAAUAAAGCUAAAGUUUUUUGUUUUUGAGGGCCUAAAAAUAAAGGAAUUGUAAAACAACGGGCAGGUUGGAUAGAGAAGGAGGAACUUGAUUGUUGUCGUGAUAUUAGAUUGUCCAGCCGCACGGUUCCUACUGUGGCUGGGCGUCGUCGUUUUCCAGAAUCAUCGCACUUCUAGUCUUGACAGGGUGCCAAUUUUGCUUCUUUGGGCAAUUUCCAACCUUGUGACCUUCUUGUCCACAGUACAAACAUAACCCUUCCUCCAUACGCCGUUUCUUCUCUGUUGGAGUAAGAGAUCGGACACGCGCCGUGUCGAUUUGCAUGUCUGUUGCCUCCGAAUGUGAGUUUAAGCUAUUUGCAGACAUAGUCACGUCGUAACGAGUCAUUUGGUGUCUUAGACGUUGGUCUUGGCGGCGCUGGAAUAGGCGGUUGUCACACUUUACAGCUUGGCUAAUAGCUUCGUUGAGCGUUUGAGGAUCAGGAAGAGAUAACAGCAAGUCCUUCACAUCAUCCUUCAAGCCCUAAUAAAACUGACUCACCAACGCCUCUUCACCCCAAUUAAUGUCACUUGCCAAUUGUCUAAAAUCCGAGGCAUAGACUGAUGCAGAGCGUGUUCCUUGUCGUAGCGAUCGGAUCUUUGUUGUAGCCCAUCGAACUUUAUCAUGCUCGCCAAAUGCUUCUGCAAACGCCUCCAAGUACGUUUCAAAGUUGCUCAGGAUUGGCGAUCGCUUCUCAAACAAGGGAGUAAACCAAGACAGAGCUUGUGCUGUAAGCAAGGUUCCAACAAGCCCAACACGUGCUUCCUCCGUCGGAUAACGUUCGGGCUGUAAAAUUGUUAUCAACCUGAUUUGGUUGACAAAACCUCGAAACUUGGAACGAGUUCCAUCAAACUUAUCCGGAAGACUAACUCGAAGCUCCUUUCGUUGUAGGACUACUCGAUCUUGUUGAAAUGGAGGUAGAACUGCUUCUUCUGGCGCAGAAGUUUGAGACUAAUAUGCUUUAGAUGGCGCUAUCCCAGAUGCUCCAUUGUUAUGGAGUCCUACCAUGACUCCUUCGAUCUCUGUUGUCCUAUGUGACAACGAGGCAAGAGCAUUUAUGAUGGCGUCUAGUUUGGAUUCCAAACUUUCAGCCAUUUUAACGUCUUAACCUUCGGCUAACCUUCAGAAAGAAGAAAAAAGAGUUUUGACAAGAGGACAAUAUUGGUUCAGAGGAGAGUACUCCGCAACCUCUAAAACGCCUUAAGACUCCAAGAUGAGGGGUAAUCCACUCUCUCCAAGAAGAAUAAGGCUCCAAUAUUGAGAAAGAAGAGAUAUCAAUUUAGAGGAGGAUAAUCCGCAACCUCUAAAACACUAGCACACCUUCAAGAAGAGGGGUAAUCCACUCUCUAACAAGAAGGAACUAGCUCUGAUACCAGUGAAAAUGCAAUCUCGACAAACUGUCACGGACACAAAAUAUCUAACAAGAAGUUCAAGAAGAAGUAGCAGAACUAGAUUAAACAGAUGAGUACAAGAACAACACCAGAAAGGUGAGCUAGAACUCCAAGAGAUGUAUUGUCGAGACUGAAGAACCCUUCAGCCUCGACUCCUAUAUAUACUACUAAAUAGGAAGCUUCUCGAGCUACUUCCGCUAACUAGGAUGCUUCUCCAACAACUUCUACUAGUUAGGAAACUUCUCGAGCAACUUCCUAGAAUCUAUCAAAAUAUUCUAGAACCUUCUAAGAAUAUUCUAGAACCUUCUAAGAGAAUCUUUAGGGAAUAUUCUAAGAAUCUUCUAGAACCUUCUAAAGGAAUCUUUAGAGAAUCUUUAGAGAAUAUUCUAGAAGAAUAUUCGAAGAAUCUUCCAAUGUAUGUCCAUGACAUCUAUUCACUUUGUAGGACCAUAAAUAGAGCAAAAUAAGAUAGAUUAGAAAAAUAAACAAUGUAGGCACCUUUGAAAAGAAAUUAAGAGUAUUUUUAUACAAAAUAUAUCUAAAAAAACUAGAUAUUGAUACCCAAAGAGGAUCGGUUAUGAACCAAGAUUGAAAUCAAACUCAAGACCCAAAACUGAGCUCCAACGAUGAUUCUAAGGUUCUUUCGGAGAUGAGAGGAUAGGAUCUAAGAACUGACUUGAUAGAUUUUCUUUGAGUGUAUAUUAACUUUGUAUGAGCUUUGCAAAGUUGGAAUUUGUUUUAGAUUACUUUGGAUUUGUGAAAUAAAGUGGGUGAUAAUUUUUGGAGAAUUUCAUAAGUUAAGCAAUAGAUCUGCAAAUGAGUUUUUGAAGGUAUAUGGACAUAUAUGUGUUCAAUAUAUGUUGUGAAUUUGAGCUUGAUCAAAGGGCUAGAUCAAGGUUUAUUGAGGUUUAAGUAGGUCGGGAUCUUAAGAAGUAGAAUCUUAAGUCUAAUGAAGAUUUCUUAGAUUUUUUGCAAUCUAUCAAUUGGAUUGGAGUAAAAAUUAUGUCUAUAGAUAACAAACUUAUUUUUCUACAUAUGAGAGAUUUGAAAUAAAUUAAAUAAUUUGUUAAAGAGAUAUUAUUAUUGAAAAUUUAAUAUUCAGAUUAAAGAAGGAGGCCGGCCAACAUCCAAGCAAAUAUUAGGGUUGAACUUAUUUUUGGUAAGUUUGAUCUUCUUCAAAAAUUUUAUACUUAUUGUUAACUUAAUUGUAAAGAGGUGUGAAAAAUUUGAAUUAAAAUCAAUGGUUCAUUCAUUAGUUAUUUAGGUUUAAAUCUGUUGUAGAAAUUACUUGAGAUUAUUUAGGGUUUGGUUAGGAUAUAUUAAGGUUUGACUAGGAUUUGGUUAAAGUUUGUUUAGGAUUUGAUUAAAACUUGAUUAGAAUUUUAUUAGGAUUUUUUUAAGAUUUAUUUGGAAUUUGACUACGGUUUGAUUAGGAUUUGGUUAGGAUUUAGUUAGGGUUUAUUUAGGAUUUGAUUAAGAUUUGUUUAGAAUUUGUUUAGAAUUUGGUUAGAAUUUUUUAGGAUUUGAGUAGGAUUUGACUAGAGGUUGUUUAAGGUUUGACUAGGAUUUAUUUAGGAUUUGAUUAAGAUUUAUUUAGGAUUUAACUAGGAUUUAUUUAAGAUUUGAUUAGGAUUUAUUUAGGAUUUGUUUAAGAUUUGAUUAGAAUUUGAAUAGGAUUUGGUUAAGAUUUGUUUAGAAUUUGAUUAGAAUUUGUUAGGAUUUAAUUAGGAUUUAUUCAAGAUUUAAUUAGGAUUUGAUUAGGAUUUAAUUAAUAUUUUUAUUUUAAUAUUUUAUUAAGAUUUCUAUUUUGAUAUAUUUUUGAAUUCUAUAUUAUUUUUUAUGUUUUUUUAAAAUAUUUUUUAAGAAUACUUUGUGUUUCUUAUACAAUUCCUUUAAAAUUUUGAUUGAAUUUGAUUUGAUGUUUCAUUGUAUUUGUUAAUCUUUAAAUGUAAUUUGUUCAAGAAUCUAUUAGAGUUGUUAAGAAUUAUUGUUGCAAUUUCCUUUUAUCUUCCACAGCCACGUACUUGAUGCAUUCUCAAGCUAAAUGCCACAUAAUACAACACUAUAUAAGUGGAAUCUUAUAUAAUUCCUAAUGAAGGUCCUAUUUUCUCCUUAGAAUUGUCUCUUUAUUUUACAAUAGACGUGUGUUUAGGAUCUAAUAAUUACAAAGCCUUUGUUUUAAUAGAUUCAAAAAUCUCAGUUUGUUUUUUAGAUGAAAAAUUUAUUAAAAGUCAUAAUAUAUAGUUAGUCUGAAAAAUUAAACCUGUACACGUAGAAGUCAUAUACAAUCAUCUGUCAUCUUUUGGAGAUGUUACUCAUAAAACACUUCCUAUAGAUAUAAUAAUAAAUGGUCAUAAUAAUCAUAUAAUUUUUAAUAUAAUUAGAUCUCCGUUUAAUCUAGUCAUUUUAGGUUUAUCGUAGCUAAAAAAGUAUAACCCUUUGAUAGAUUGGAUUUCUUGUGAACUUGACUUUUCUUAAAAUAUUAUUAAGAGUUUUUCUAAUCUUGUAGAAAGCCAUGAAUCUAGUGUAGCCAAACCUAUAUUUGUAGGUACAAAAGCUUUUUUGUAUGCUGCAAAAGAAGGAUCAUCUUUUGUUAUUUAUGCCAUACCCAUUUUAAAUAAUAAAAAGAUUUCAAGUAAAAUUUUAAGUCAAUAUCAAGAUUUUUAAGAUAUUUUUGAGAAGAAGAAUGUAAAUAUUUUCUUAAAGCAUCAUCUAUAUGAUUGCUCAAUUGAUCUUAAAGAAAGAAUUGAGCUGCUAUUUGGUCCAAUCUAUAGUUUAUCACAAAAUGAGUUGGCUAAAUUCAAGAAGUAUAUUGAUGAGAACUUGGUCAGAAAUUUCAUAAGCCAUUCAAAAUUUCUUGUAAGAACUCCUAUCUUAUUUGUGAAGAAAAAAGAUGGAUCAUUGCAAAUGUGUGGAUUAUCAAAGAUUCAAGAAGAUCAUCAUCAAGAAUAGAUAUCCUCUGCCUUUGAUAUUUUACUUCUUCAUCAAUUAAAUUAAGCUAAGAUUUAUACAAAGAUAGAUCUACAAGGAGCAUACAAUCUGCUCUAUAUUAAAAAAAGAGAUGAAUAGAAGACUACUUUUCGAAUAAGAUAUAGAUAUUUUAAAUAUAAUAUUAUGCCUUUUGGACUCACGAAUGCACUAGCUACUUUUCAAUAUCUUAUGAAUGAUAUUUUUUAUGAGUUUCUAGAUGAUUUUAUAGAGUGUUACUUAAAUGACAUUUUAAUCAACUCUAAGAAUACAAAAGAAUAUGGAAUUCAUAUUUGUCAUGUAUUACAAAAACUUAGAGAUGCAAGAUUGUAUGCCAAGAUAGAAAAGUGUGUAUUUCACACUACUCAAGUUGACUUCAUAGGAUACAUCAAUUCAAACAAUGAUCUAAUGAUGGAUCUUAAAAAAAUUUAUACAAUUAUGGAGUCAAAGAUUUUAAAAAUAGUAAAAAAUAUAUAAUAUUUUUUGAGAUUUACAAAUUACUAUCGGAUCUUCAUCAAGAACUUUUCUUAAGUUACAACAUGACUUACAUGCUUUACUUGUAAAGACAAGCUCAAAUGGAGUAAAGAAGUAGAUGCAUCAUGUAAAGCUUUGAAAAAAGCUUUCACUUCUGUACCAAUUUUACAUCGCAUCAACUUUUCCAAAGCAUUUUUUAUGGAGACAAAUGCAUCUAACUUUUCCUUGAAUGUAGUCUUGUUACAAAUAGUAUUAAAUGACAAACUUCAUCUAGUAGUUUUUUAUUCAAGAAAAUUUUCAGCAGCCAAGAUUAAUUUUGAGAUCUACAACAAGGAACUUCUUGCAAUCAUAAAUUCUUUUGAAGAAUAGUGUCAUUAUUUAAUAGGCACUUCAAGUCCAAUCAUCAUGUAUAUGGAUUACAAGAACCUCAAGUAUUUUGUAUUAGCACGUAUUUUGAAUCAUUGCCAAGCUCGUUAGAGCAUGUCUUUGUCAAGAUUCGAGUUCAAUAUUACUAAUUGGCCAAGAAAAUAAAAAGUUUUGUCUAAUGUCCUUUCUAGAUGUUCUUAUCUUAUACCAAAAGAACGAGAAGUAGCUUUUAACUAACAAAAUUUAAUUUUAUUGAAGCCAAAAUAAUUUCAUCUCCGAGCAAUGAAAUCAACAUUGAUUAUUGAUUUGACUUUUCUUAAGUAGAUCUAAGAAAGUAUGUCCUUAGACCUAUUUAUUUAUGAUAUUAAAAAAAAUUCUUCUAAGUCUCAAGAUACUUCCAAGUUUGAAUUUAAGGAGAACCUAAUCUAUUUCAAAGGAUGUUUAUAUAUUCUAAAAGGAGAAGCAUGAUUACGUAUUCUUGAAACUUAUCACAAUUUCCCUGUAGUAGGAUAUUUUGGAUAUAAUAAGACUUUGGAGCUUACAUUUAGAGAUUUUUGGUGGCCUCAAAUGUGAAAAGUUAUUAAAGAAUUUGUACAGACAUGUGAUUUUUGUUCAAGAUCCAAAAGUCCUCAUUAUGGACCUUAUAGAGUCUUUCAAUCAUUACCUAUACUUGAACAACCAUGGUCUUGUGUCUCUAUAGAUUUUAUCACGGAUCUUCCAAUUUCAAGUUCAUAUGAUUCCAUAUUUGUGAUUGUAGAUCGUUUCACCAAGAUAGCACAUUUUGUACUAUCUACAAAAUCUAUCAUAGGUGAAGGAACAACUAAACUCUUCUUUGAUAACAUCUAUUGCUAUCAUGGAUUACUAAAGGAUAUUAUAGCAAAGAAAGAAAUACAAUUUUUAAUUGAGAUUUUUAAAAAUUCUUUUCAAAAUAUUGAAGGUGGAUAUAAAACUAUCUUUGGCUUCCCACUGUCAAACUCAUGGACAAAUAAAAUGGAUAAAUGAAGUUUUAGAGUAGUAUUUGAGGUGUACCAUCAACUAUCAUUAAGAUGAUUGGACAAUUCUUUUGCCAUUGGCAGAGUUUGCUUACAAUAAUUUGAUAUAUUCUUGUACUCAAUAAACACCUAUUUUUGCCAAUUACAAUUUUCAUCUAUGAUUCGAUACUUUUGACUUUUCAAAAGUUGAUAAUCUUGCAUUAGAAGAUGUGUCAAAUCGAUUGUCAGAGCUACAUUUAACAAUGAAGGCACAAUUAAAAGAAGCUUAAGAAUGACAAAAAGCCAACACAGAUGUCUAUUAUAAAAAAAAAAACCUCAAUUUUAUGUUAGAGAUAAGGUAUGGUUACUUUGUACUAAUAUUAAAAUUAUUUUUCCUUGUGAUAAGUUAGAUUAUCGUAAGCUUAGACCAUUUGCCAUUUGUCAAUAGAUCAAUCCAGUUGCUUAUUGAUUACACCUACCAAAGUCUAUGAAAAUCCAUCAUGUAUUUGAUGUAUCUUUACUUAAGCCAUACAAGACAAUGGAUAUACAAGGAAAGAGACAAAUGCCACCACUUCUUAUAGAAGUGAAAAAUAAUGAAAAGUUUGAGGUUGAAGAAGUCUUAGAUUCAAGGCGAUGCCAAAAUAGGUUAGAAUAUCUAGUACAUUGGCAUGUAUAUGACAUUAAUGAAUGUACAUGAGAGCCAUCCAAGAAUCUAAUAAAUGUAUCAACCAAAAUUAAAGCUUUUCAUCAAUAAUAUCCAUCAAAAUCAAGAUAAAGUAUCAAGAAAUUCUUUGGAGAUUUCAUUCAAUCUUGUAUCAUUGCUUCUUUAGAUUUUUUAGUGCUUAAGAUAUGGAACACCAAUAACUAGCAAAUUCAACUCAAGAGCUAUCAUUUAAUGAGCUAUUAGAUGAGACAUUGUAACUAUCACAAUCUUCAAGAUAAAAAAAUCAACAUGAAGAUCCUCAAGAAUGACAUGUUUUUUCUCGAAUAGAUGGCAAGAUACAAUGUGUAUGGUACCAUGACCUUGAAAGAGACUCUGAGUAUUUAGUGAUACUUUUGGAGGUAGAAACCACUCUUGAUGAUAUUAUUAAUGUUUUGUUUGAAGGAAGUUAUAAAGGCCUUAAUAAUGAUCAAAUAUCAGGGUGGUCUUCUCACCUUGGUAUAGGUCACUAUCAAUGGUUGAAGGGACCUAUCAACUACCUUCAAAGGGAACAAAGAUCAGAGUAUGUGGCAAAUACAGUUUGGCGUAUCUUGAAUUUCAUCAACAUAUAAUCACCACUCUUUGUGGAAUUUGUUCCUAGAAGGGGAAUUAAUGUCACGGAUAUAUAUAUUUAUCCUAAUAACUACUUAAAUAAUAAAAAUAGAUAGAAGUAAAUCAAAGUAGAUAAAUAUGAUAAUAUCUUGUGAAAAGCUUCUUAGAAGCUUCAUAGAUGUUGUUUUGCCUUUAUACAUGUCAAUAGGUGAUUGAUAGAUUGAAAACUUGGCCAAAAACGAGGCCACAUCUCGACAUGUUGAUCACUUGUAGUAUAAGUUAGACAUAUGGCGCACACCUAAGAAACUUGCCUUACAAAGUAGGCAUGUGUCCUAUAAGUUGGACAUGUAUUAGAGGUCCUAUAGCAUGUUGCCACAUAGUUCUUAAUUAAGUAGUAUAUAUAGAGGCAAGAUUGAUGCCUUCAUCACUCUUGCCAAUUCCUUUCUUACUUUUAAUGUAGUUUCAAGAGUCUCAUGUUUUCUAAUCUUUAGCAAUAGCCUUUCUAGUUCUUCCUUGAAUAUACAUACUUUCUUAUAUUUUGUUAUUUUUUUUUAUACAAAUUCUACAAAUUUAUGUAUCUUCUUCUAGUUUGUAUCCUUGACAAGUUGGCAAUUUGAAGUUUGAUAGUAGAUCAAGGUAAAAUUUUAUAUGGUAUUGAAGGACUUGAAGAUCAAGCUAUACACAAAUUUUAGUUGAAGUUUACAAUUGGAGAAGGAAAAAUUUCUAUUGGAAUUUCUAUAUCACCUUUCAAGUUGGCAACCAAGUAAGAUCAAAGCAUUUUUUCGAAGUUUUCUCAUAAUUCAUAUAUUGGAUUGGGUUGAAAUUUCUUGAGCGUAUAGAAGAUUUACAUUGCCAAUUGCAUAGAAAAUUUUACAUCAAGUGUAUGGUUAGAUUAGAAGUUAUAGCUUCUCAAAGCUCACUAAUUAGACUUAGGGCUUAUAAGAAAAAUCUAAAUUACUUAAAUAUGAAAGUAACAAGAUAAUUGGGAUUUAUAUAUGAUUGAAGCUACUUUUGAAUUGAAAUUCGGAUUAUAUUCUUUUUAUAUGAAUGAAACCUAUUAAGAUUUCAUGGAUACUUGUGAAACAUAAUUUCAUCUUCCAUAAUUAAAUGCCUAAUGCAUUUUCAAAUAAGACAAUAUGUAAUACGAUACUGAAUAUCAAUUUUUCAUAAUUUGAUGUAAAUUUUGCUUUAUCCUAUUGUAAUUUUUUUCUUAAAUAUGCUUAUAUUAAUUUUUUACUUUAUUUAUUUUGAUUUGGCUCAUUUACACCUCUACAAAAUAAAGAAAAGUUCCUUCUACAAAAAGAUAAUAUUAAGACUAAAUCUUUUAUUAUCUUUCUAUCUUUUAUUUUUAUUUUUUUAGUAUAUCUUUUUGCUAGAUUUUUUUAUAAUAAAAUUAAUAUAUUUUUUUUUAUUCUAUAAUUGUAUUAUUACAUGACAUUGCAUUGGUCUUUUGUUAUUUUUGAGCUUCUUUUAAUUAAAUCUUUAUUAUUGUAUGUAGCUCAAAUAAUCAAUUUGCCAAAUCUUUUGUUGCAAGAUUAUUAAUUUUUGAAAAGUCAAAAGCAUCAAGUCAUUGAUGAUAACCAUAAAUUAGUAUAAAAAGAUAUUUUUUGUAUAGAAAAAUGUACCAUAUUAUUAUAAGCAAACUCUGUUAUUGACAAAAAUGUUGUCUAAUCAUCUUAUUGAUAGUUGAUGAUACAUCUUAAAUAUUGCUUCAAAAUUAGGUUUACACACUUUGUUUGACUAUUGAUUUAAAUAUGAAAAUUCAAAGAGAUCUUUAUAUCCACCUUUAGAAUCUUGAAAGUUUUUUUGAAAAUCUUUAUAUAAAUUGAAUCUUUUUAUUUUAAAGAAUAUUCUUAAAUAAUCUAUAAUAGUAACAGAUAUUAUUAAGAAAAAACUCAACUAUUUCUUCACCUCUGAUAGAUUUUGUAUAUAGCACAAAAUAUGCCAUCUUGAUAAAAUGAUCUAUUAUCAUAAAUAUAAAAUUAUACAAGCUUAAAACUAGAAGAUUUAUAAUAAAAUCCAUAGAAACAAAAGACUUUGAUUGUUCUAGAAUAAAUAAUGGAUGAAGAGGUUCAUAAGAUUGAUGCCAAAAAGUUUACAAUUUUAAAAAAAUAUCACAUGAUUGUACUAAGUCUUUGAUUACCUUAUAUAUUUUAUGCCAUUAAAAAUCUCUAGAUAUUAUUUCCAAAAUCUCAUUGCAUCCAAAAUAUCCAACUAUUAGAAAGUUAUGACAAGUUUAAAGAAUAGUUCAUGGUACUUUGCCUUUUGGAACAUAUAAUUGUACUUCAAAAUAGAGUGGAUUAUUUUUGAAUUAAAACUUAGAAGUAUUAUGAAACUUAAAAGAAUUAUUCUUAAUAUCAUAAACAAGAAGAUCAAAAGACAUACUUGAUUGAACUUACUUGAAAACGGUUAAAUUAAUACUUAAUGUUUAUUUCAUUGCUCAAAGAUAAAAAUGCUCUAAUUUUAAGAAAAUUAUUUUUUAUUCAUCAAAAGCUAUAUUUUUUUCUUUUGGUGUAAGAUAAAAAUAUCUAAAAAAAGUUUUUGAUAAAUCUUGUUAUUUUUCAAAUAGAUAAGUGAUUUUGAAAUCAAAUCUUAAUAAAAACAUGCUCCAAUGGACUUGGCAAUAAUUCAAAAUAUGUGUUGAUACAAAGUACUUAAGAUUCUUAUAAUUUUUAUAUAUGGUGAUUAGUUUACAAGCACCUUCUAGAUAAUAACACCAUAUUUGAAAUCAAUCUUUAAUUGCAAGAAGCUCUUUAUUGUGGAUCUUCUAGUUAAUCUUAAUUGCUAAAAUUUUCUUGGAAUAAAAACCUACCAAGUGGAACUUAGGUGAGCUAAAAUAAAUCUUAUCUAAUUGAAAGUUUGUUUUAAUUCACAAUAAGUGAAUUAACCUUAUGAAUUUUAGUAAUUAUAGAUAUUAAUUAAAUUUUAAUCAAAUCAAUUUUAUUUAUUUUUAAAUAAUCCAAGCAAUCAAGCCAAAAAUCUACAACUAAUUUAUCUUUAUAAUAAUAAAUAAUCCAAAAAUAGUUAUUAAAUUAUUUUUUUAGUUAUUUUUUAAUAUUAUUUUUUUAUUAUUAUUUCUUAAUUAUUAAUUUUUAUUUUAUUUUAAUCAAAUUUCAUCUAUUAAAAAAAGUGAUCUAUAAAUAAAAAUUUAUCUUUAAAUAAUAUUUCAUCUACAUAUUCCAUCCAUGCUCAAAAAUUCAUUUGAUAUUAAGACUUUAUUCAAAAUAAUUCGUCUAAUCUACUAUUGAUAAAAUCUUAAAUCAUCUAAAUCCUAAUUAAAUUCAUCUAAAUCUAUUCUUUUGUUGAUAUUCAAAAUUAGAGUCUUCAUUGGGCUUAAAGAAGCUAUGCUACUUCUCUCGUUGUGAAUAAACUUCCACUACUAUCUACCACCAUCCACCAACCUUACCUUCAUCUUAUAGGUGCCAAUCAAUAUAUGGCAUUGUUGGACCAAGAUUCAUGAGCACUAUUGUUGUGAUCUAAUACAACUAAUGAAUCAAAGAAAGAGAAAAAAAAUUAUAUUAUAAAAGAACUUAUUUUAAAAUAUUAUAGAAAAUAUCUUAAAAAAUAGGUAAUAGUCAAAAAGAUAGUAUAACUAAAGAAUACUAUUGCGGCUUUUUUACAAAAUAAGCUUCUAUUUAUUUUGUAGGGCCAUAUAUAAAAUAAAUCAAAGUAGAUUGGAAAAUAAAAUAAUAUAGGUAAAUAUAGGAAGAAGUUAAGAAUAGAUUUUAAUAAAAAUUACCUUAAGAAGCCAAGAACUAAUACACGGAGAGGACCAAUUAUCAACUUGGAUCAAAAUCAGACCCGGAAGCAUAAAACCAUACUCCUACAAUGACUCUAAGGUUCUUUGGGAGAUUGGAGAGUAGAAUUUGAGAGCAAAAUUGAUAAGGUUUCUAUAAGCAUUGGUUUUAGAUGAUUUGGAUUUGUAAUAACUUUCUAAGAGCUUUACAAAAUUAAGGUUGUUUUGGAUCACAUGGACUUUUAUAAAAUAAAAUAAGAUUGAUAUUUUGAGCAAUUUUGGGAGUUUGGUAGUAGAUCUAUGGAUAUGAUUUUGUGAGUUGGUGGGUAUAGUUGUAUUUGAUAUAUGUUGUGAAUUUAAGAUCAAUCUAACAAUUAGAUUGAAGUGAAUAAAAGUUUUUGUGAAUUGAGGUCUUAAAAAUUGGAAUUUGAGUACCAAUAAGUAUUUUAAGAUCUUUAAUAAUUUAUUGAUUGGAUUGAAAAGAAAGAUUUUUGUAAAGAAAUUAGAAUUAAUUUUUAAUAAUUUAAAUAAAUUUUAGAAGAAAAUCAUCAAUUCAAAUGAGAGAUAUUGGUACUAAAAGCUCAAAAUUUAGAUUAGAAUAGGAUGUUGACCAACACCCUUGAAGAUUUUAGAAUUUUUCUUAUAUUUGAUAAGUGGGAUUAUUUUCAAAUAUUUUGUAUUAAUUUUUAACUAAGAGAUUAAGAGAUAUGUAAAUUUUUAAAUAAGAUCAAUAAUUUAAUUAAUAGAUAUUCGAAUUCUAAUCUAUCUUAGGAUUUGGUUUAAGGCUUAGGAUUUGUCUAAGAUUUGAUUUAAGAUUUAGGAUUUAUUUAAGGUUUGAUUUAGGAUUUAAGAUUUAUUUAGGAUUUAAUUUAGGAUUAGAAUUUAAUCUAGGAUUUAAUUGGAAAGUAUUGAAGUUUUAAUUAGAAUUAAGAUGAGAUUUGGUUAAGAUUUAUUUAAGAUUUUUUUUGAUGUUUCUUUAGGAUUUUUUUUGUUUUUUAUGUAAUUUCUUUAAGAUUUAUUUUGAAUUUGAUUAAAGCUUAAUUAGCAUUAUUAAAUUUUAAUUAUGAUUUAUUUAAGAUUCUAUUAGAGUUUUUAAGAUCUUAUUAUUAUAAUUUUUUUCUACCUUUUACAGCUAAGUACUCGAUGCAUUCUCAAGCAAGACUUCAUAUAAUACAAUACCACAUUCUUUUGCUAAAGUAUUAUAGGCUUGUCAAAACUAAUAAUUAUAAUAAAGAUUGUUUAUUACUGAGAAGCUCUUAAGUUCCUUUUAACUACUCUUUGGAGUUCAUUCACUGAUAUUCUUACAAUAAGGCUCCUAAUAUGUUGGCUUUCUUAUAGAGCAAUGAUAACAAUAUCAAAUUAACUACAUCACCUAUAUAAACUUUCACUAGAUUUCUUCUUGUGCCUCGAACGGUCUUUGUGCUUCAAAUCUUAUAAGAUUCUAACAAAAUCUAUAUCAACUUUUAAUUAGGAUAUUACUUGAACUUACAAGCUUUUGGAGAGAUUUGGCUUGCCUUUACAUAUUGAAUGUGGUUGCUUUUUAUGCAUUAGAAUUGUUGAGAAGUCUUAUAAUAAGUGAUAUGAGAAUCUUUUUUGUCAAAUAAGAUUCAAAACUACGAUUUGCCUCCAAAAAUUGAAUAAAGUAGUUUCAAUAAGUCUACUAGUUGACAAUAUAUCUUUAAGUAUGUAUCUUAUUAUCGAUGAUUAGUACCUCAAAAUCAAUGUCAAUGUCAUUACACCACAUAAAUAAUACUACAAAAGAGCUUGUUGCUAUAUCAUAACUCAAAUUUUAACACUCAACAAAACACUACUGUAAGCUCAGCUAGUAUAUCUUCUAUUGUUCAUUAAGUGAAUAGAUUGCUUCAUUUUGCCGAGUACAUAACAUUAAGAAUGGGAUUAGCUCCAACAUUAUAACAAUAAUUUCUUCAAUUGCAAAAAGAUCAACACUUCUUCCUAAAAUAAAAGCAUAUCUAGUGCUAUGUAUGAUUAUUAUUAUUAUUAUUUUAAAUAUAUAUAUUUUGAGAAUGAAAGCUAAUUUUAUUAGGCUACAAAAAACCUAUUCAUUAUGAAAAUUUAUUUUAAUAAAUUUUAUCCAAAGUUACAUAUUCACUAUUAGCAAUCUAUUUUCUAUUUUUUUCUAAAAUAUUUACCAUUAAUUCAAAAAAUCUAUAAUUUUAAGCUUAAUAAGUAUCUUUUUUAUACUAAAUAUCUAAGUAAAUAAAUUCAUUGAUUCAUAUAUGGCAACUAUCUAAAAUUAUCCCAAAAAGUAGAGAAUCCAAAAGUCUUACUCCAUAAAUAAGUCUUUAUCUAAAUUUAGGCAUAUUGGAUUUAAUAUUUUAUAAAUAUUAGAGUAAUAAUAAUAUAGAAUCAAAACAAAAAUACUCUCAUAAAAGAUCAUGGUUAGUAUUAGUACAUUUCUAUCUUUUAGUACUAUUUUUUUUGAGUUAGAAGACUACUAAAAAAAAUUAGUCUAUUUAAUAAAAGAAUGUGAGAUAAAUAUAUGAAAUAAGAACAAAAACAAAACAAAAGAAGGAGAACAAUAGGAAAGAAAAGAAAGAAAAAUAAAAUACCUCUAAGUAAAAAAUCUAAAAAUUAGUGCUGUAUAAUUCUUAUAGAGGGAGAAGAAUUUAAGUUAAAAGCUAUGAGGCCUAUAUAUCCUAUAAAUUAUACAAGUUGGCCACCUUUAUGUUUUUAUACUAGUUCAUAUGGAGAGCUAACUUUGAAUACCAGAUUUGAAACCAAACCACCUCUUAUAUAAUCACUUUUGUGGCCAACUUCUCAAUAAUCCAAAGAUGCUAACUUAUGCUAAUUUAUCUUUAAAUCUUAUAUAAUAUAUAUAUAUAUAUAUAUAUAGAUAUAUAUAUAUUAGAUGAAAUUUAUUAUCUUCUAAUAAGUAAAACAAAUAAUAUUCUAGUAGAACCAAUAAUCAUUUUUAGAAUUAGUUCACCUCUCUAAUGAAUGAAGAUAUAAUUUUUUUGAUAAAAAUCAAAUUUGACAUUGUAUGGCUGAGAUUUUUUUCAAUUGGAGUAUUAAGAGUAAAAUUUCUUUUUUUUUGCUCUGUGAUAAUUUUUUCAUAUUUUUUAUUUUUUAUAUUUAUUCUCAAAUAUUCUUAUUGAAAAUAAUUCAUCAUUUAAUAUUUUUAACUAUAAAUAAUUUAUGAGUUAUCAAAUUGACUCACUUAUUUUUUUAGGAUAAAAAUAUGUAUUUAGAAUGCUUUAAAUCAUAAUAUAUAGUAAGUAGUAUAGAAAUCCUUAGAAAAAUAGAAUUAUUUAUUAAGACAAAUAUUUAUAUUGGUCUUCUAUCUAUAUGUACUACUUACAAAAACUAUAAAUGUUAGUAGUUAGAAGAAGCAUGAGAAAGAAUCUCAUGUCAUUUUAGUUAUUGGUAUAAAAAAAAUAUAAUUUAUAGUAGAUUUAAAUUGAUUUUAUUACUAUAAAAAAUCAUCAAAAUAAUAAAUUUUAGCCUUAAAUGGAUAUUAAUAUUAUAAAAAUAUUAUAAGAUUUUUUUGAAUUUAUUUAGAAUUUAUUUAGAAUUUUUUAGGAUUUUUUAGAGCAAUUUUUAAGACCUUAGUAAAAAUGACUUUUAUCAUUGGGGAAGCCAUUAUGAAGAAAUGAAGUAAGAUCUGAAGGCCGUUCAAGGUUCCUAGGCUAAUCCAGUGUUUUUAAACACCAUGGUGUGGUCAAAAUUGCAAAAAUAUUGGUCCUUCUAGUAAAAAAAUAGAAGGACCAGCAGCUAGUGUAGUUCUUGUAGGAAGAGAGGUGCACAAGUCCCAUAUGGGUUGUAGCACCUUGAAGGUAGUUAGGAGAAUAAGACUAAGGCCUCGUGGCCUCUCUUAGACACUCUUACACACUACGUAUGAGCUGUGGUGAGGCUCGAAUCCUUGAUCUAUAAGCAAAUUAUCCUUGAGGUAAAAUAUUUUCACUUAACUUUUUUUUUAUUUACUUGUUUCAAACCUUCAUAACUUACUGAUAGUAACUUGGAUUUACAUGUUUUUUAUACCAUUAGAAAGAUAAAAAAAAAAUACCUAUCUGAAAAUUUAAUUUUUACUUUUUAUUCAGCAAAAACAUAGUAAACAAACUAUGACUAAGUUUUGGAGUGUGUAUUUAUUUGUAUACAUUUCUUUCACUUAUUUGUGUUGUUUUCUUCUUUUGUUCUUGUUCAUUGCAUCUUUUACUUCACACUACCCAUUACAAGCAACUCUUAAUUGAGGCCAUCUUGUAAUUUGGGUAGAGGGAUGAAAUUUACACUCACAAAAUUGUUAUCAAAAACUUUCCAAACAUAAUAAGGACCUAACCAAAGAAUAUCAAAUUUCCUAAGGAAAUCCAUUCUCCUUGCAUCUUAUAACAAUAUUAGUAUUUUUAAUUAUAAGACUCUUUUAUUGUAUUUUUUUAUCAAAAGUAAUUUUUUUCUUUCUUUGAAUUGCUUCUAUAUGUUGAGCAAAGUUCUUCAAUUUUCAUCAAGGCCCUUUUAUUAUUCUAAUCUAUCUUUUAAAGAAUCUUGAAUAAUUAAUCUAUCAUCUAUUGCUAUCUUAAGAGAAUUAACUUCAAAUUCUAUUAGUAAAAUAGCUUCUAAAUUAUACACUAAAAAAAAUGAAGUGGCUUUGCUGUCAAGGACAUGAAUCUCGAAGAAAGAGAAUCCUCAAUAUACUCUUCUAUCACUGAAGAGAACUAGAAAGUCACUCAAAAGAUGAUGUAAUAUUAACUAGAAUGGCUAUUGCCAAAAUCAAGAAGACUGAAAAGUCUUGAAACAAGACUAAGACUAGAAAGGCAUUGAGAGGAGUGAAGAAGGCUUCACUCUUGCCUCCAUAUAUACUAUCUAACUAAGAGCCACAUGGCAAUGUCUUAUAGGACCUCCAACAUGUAUUGACUUUGCUAGCCACAUGUCUUAACUUGCAAGGAAAGUUAUCUAUAUAUGUGCCACGUAGUUGGCUUGUUCUACAAGCUACUAUAUGGAAGUAACUUUUUCCACAAGCUAUCAAUACAUAGUUAGCUUUUUGGCCAAGUUUUUAACCUACGAACACAUCUGAAGUCAAAACUGCAUCUAUGAAGCUUUUAGGAAGCUUCUCUAAAAGACUUUAUGAAAUUAUUUUAUUUUACCUACUUCUACUUAAUCAUAUAAGUAAUUAUUGAGGUAAAUAUAUAUGUCUAUGAAAUUUGCUUGUAAUCUUGUAGGUUAUAUGAUAAGUCUACAAAACUACUUGUAAUUUGAUAUGUCAAUCCUUCUUUGAGUCUUGUACUACUUCUCUCAAGAUAAUAAUGAAGGUUUGGUUCAUUCUUUUUAUAUGACCAUUAGUUUAUAGAUGGUAAAAAGUUAUCAUAUGAUGAUUUAUAUUAAAUUUAUUAGUCAUUUUUUUAUUACACUAUUCAAGAAGUAUGUAUCCCAAUCAUUAAUUAAGAUUUUGAGACAACAAAAUUAAGUAAUGAUUUUUUCAUACAUAAAAUUAGCUACAUGGAUGGUAUUAUUGGUUUUGAUAGCUCUUGCUUUUGUCCAUUUUCUUAGAUAUUUUAUUUCUACUAUAAUAUGUUUCAUACUUCAUGAAAAAUUCAGAUGAACUUCUUUUAUGUAAUCAAUUCCUAAUUUUUUAAAGAGAACUAAAGGCAAGGAUAUGUGGAGAGGAAGUGCUAUAUGCAAAUUAUUUUUUGCAUAAUAUUAGCAAGCAUCACAUCUUUUAGCAUAAUCAUGUAUAUUUUGAAAUAAUAUAGGCUAAAAAUACCUUACUUUUAUUGCCCUUUGAAUUAUCAAUCUACCUAAGAAGUAUUUUUCACAUGUGCUAUCUUGGCAUGCCAUUAAUAUGAUUAAUACUUCAUCAACUACCACUCAUUGUUUGAAUAAACUAUCUAUUCUUUGACAAUAUGAUCAUUUUUGUAUGUUAGUAAAAUAAAUUCUAUUAAUUUUAAUCUUACAUUGUUUGUAUUUGAAUAAUCAUGUUAGAAAUUAAUUAGAAUUUUGAAAUUUUGAAAUUUGAUACUUAACAUUUGUAAGAGGUUGCAUUAUAGCUAUGACCUCUAUUUUUUCUAAGUCAGAUUUUUUUCGCUCAAUGGACACUAUAUAAUCCAACAAGACCCUCUUUUGUAUUAUCAAAUAUAUUUUUUGGAGAUUUAAAGAAAUUUCUAUUUUUCUAAAUCAUUCUAUGGUCUCUUCUAUAUAUUUUAGAUGACAUUUGGUAUUAAAUUAGGUAUUAAAAUUAUUUAUAAAUAUUUUCAUAAAAUUGUGCAAAAAAUCUAAAAAAGAAAAUAUCAUGGUUCUUUGAAAGGAAAAAUAGGCAUUAUAAAGCCUAAAAGGCAUGAAUAAAAAAAUAAAGAUUCUUCACAGAGUGAUAAAAAUUAUUUUAUGGUGAUCUUCUGAGACUAUGACAAUUUGAUUAUUACUUGAAUAACCAUCCAUAAACAUGUAGGUUUUGUGACAUACCACUUCAUCUAAAAUACUAUUAAUGAAAAGAAAGAAAAAAUAGUCUUUUUAGAUAUGCUUGUUGACUUUUCUAUGAUCUAUGUAUACUCUUAAUUUAUCAUUCAUCUUCUUUACAAGGACCAUAAGACAAAUCCAAUUUGUUAUUUUGAUUGAUUUAAUAAAACUAACAUGUAACAAUUUUUUUAACUUUCCCUUAACAAUCAAUUGGAGUUGGAGAUUCAUACAUAUAUAUAUAUAUAUAUAUAUAUGUUUUGUUUAAUGCCUUGGAACUAGAAAUAAGCAGAAUAUGGUGUUGAACUACUUCAGGUAAUAUAUUCUUUAAAUCUUUGUAUAACCAUGCUGAGACAUCUUGAUAUUUCAUGAUCAAAUUAUAGUAUUUAAACAUCUCGUUUUAAUAUUUUAAUAUUUUUGGUUCUUUAAAUGAACUCUCAUGGUUCUUUAAAUGAACUCUCAUUUUAAUGUUUUUGGACUCUUCUCUUUCAUGAAAUACAUCUAUGAAUUUUUUUUUUUAGAUUAUUAUACUUAAAAUUGUCUUAAAGAGUUUUUAUAAUAAUCACUAGGUAGUUGACAAUUCUAUUUUCAACUAUAAUUUUUGAUGAAGUAUUUUAAAAUCUAAGAGGUGGAACUAAGUCGUCAUCUCUUUUAAAGACUUCAAUUUCUUUUUCUAAUAUCUCAUCUAAGUUAAUAUUAAAGACUUCAAUUUCUUCAACUUCUGCAAUAUCUAACAUAUCUUUUAAAAAAUUAGCUCAUUCAAAAUAAUCAAAGUUAGAGUCUAAAUGAUUUUUUAGCUAUUUUUUAAAUUUUCCAUCAUCCUUUCAAUGAUAAAGGUUGAAACCUAGGCAUUCUAUUUUCUUUGAAUCCUAGUCAAUCGAAUUAACCACUUUUGUUAAUUUACCUUAUUUUCUCAAUUGUUGGAUAUCUUUUUAAAAGUCAAUGGAAUUAAUUUUUCUGUGAUCAAAUAUAGGUUGUAUGAAGAUUUUGGUUCUAAUUUUUUUUGGACCAAAGGUAAUGUGGAGCUUGUCUCUUCCUUAGUUGAAUAUGGCUUUUGAAUCCAUCAAUCAUGGUCUACCUAGUAAUAAAAAAAAAAAUUAAAAAAAUUAAAAAUAAAAAAAAAAAAUCCUUUGAUGUAUGUAUCUAAAUGACAUCAUAUAUAAAAGAAUAUUCUUUUUUCUCAAUCUAAGUCUUGUAAUUUUAAUUUAGUCCACUGAAAUAGAUCGACUUUUAUUUGCUAUCUUGAUAACAAAUGGAAACAAGUUAAUGACAUUCAAUCCUAGUUUCUCCAUGAUUUGGAAGGGCAUGAUGUUCAACCAUCUAUAAUGGUAUAAAAUAUUAUUUUUUCCACAAUAGAAAUCUCAAUUUUUAUUGCAUUUACUUCACUUUGUUUAGUGUAGGCAUUUAUUUUUGCUGCCAUUUUAACCUUAGGCCUUCUUUGAUUUUUCUUAGAAAUAUUGUUUUUUUAGUGCUUUUCUAAUCAUUGGAAAAAUUUCCAAUAGUUGAACAAAGAUAAUAUUAGCCUUAAAAUUACUAAGAUCAUCCCAUAAUUUAUAUUCUUGUUUGUUGAAUUCUUCCACAUCCUUGUGUUGAAGAAUUUCAAACCUGAAAAUUUUGGAAUCCUUUCAAUUAUGGUUAUUUGGAUUAAUACUUGGAUUAUGUUCAACUCUAAGAUUUUAAAAAGAUAAUUCUUUUAGAGAAGGAUUAAAUUUUAUCAAUUAAGUAGUAUUAUUUUGGAUUGCCUUAAUUAUGUUCUUAAUGACUUAAUCUAAAUUUGAGAAGGUGGAUUCUUUGAGGCACUAUUUUCUUCUUUUUGAUAGAUAAGUAAAGAUGUGGCCCUUGAUCUAGUCAUUAUUAUUAGGAUUAGUACUAAAAAUAAAUCCUUUUCUUUUAUUUGAUUUUUUUAAAAUAUUAUUGAAUUUAAUUAAAGAAAAAAGACUUGAUUGACAUUAGAUUGGGUGGAAUUUUAAAUAGGUUCCAAUUUCUUAAUAGAUUGAGUUACAAAUCUCACAUCUUAAGAUCCUUGGCCAUAUUUUAGUUGAUUAGAAGGAUUUUGACCUUAAAAUUGACUUUUAUUAGGAUUUAAUCAAAUAAAUCUAGAAUUAAUUUGAAUCCUACUAAGUACUUUCUGGCUCUAUCUAUUAUUUUCAUAGUCAUAAUACAUGUUUGAGGGCCUUAAGUUGUUAUUUUUUGAAGAUUGUCUUACUCUUUUACAAUUGUCAACUAACUAUUGAAUAUAAUUACCAAAUAAAGGUUUUAAAAGAACCACUCUAUCUGAUUUUCUACAAAAGUUUGUGAAAUGGUUACUACCACAAUUUCCACAUUCGACUUAAUUUUCAAUCUAACAUUAAUAAAGUAGGUGUCUUUUCUUGCAAAAUCCAUGGAAGUCUACUUAUUAUCUUACUUAACUCGUAAGACCUUGGUUCCUAGAAUUGAACCCUUGUUGCCUCAAAUUACAUCCUUGAAAGGAUUGAUUUUUGUGUGGAGGAUCAUAUGGUUAGAAAUGUUGAUUUUGUGGAAGCAUGGAAUUACAAAAUUGAGCAAAAUGCCUUGAUUGUCUACAUUGAGUGCAUCAUAAUCCUAUUCUAUGUCUUCUUGAUUCAAUGGGAGAUGGAAAAAAGUUGAAGUUGGAAUUUUUAGCUAAUCUAAUUAAUUAUUUCAUCAUCAACUUCAUUUGAUGAAAGAUUUGGAUUUGAAAUUCUAACUAAGAUGCCCUCAUCUUUUUUUGUAAAUCAUCUUUCUAUCUAUUAUCUUCAAUAGAAUAUGUGAAGAUCAAUGAAAGAGAUAGAGGCCUAAUAUUUAAAGAUAAGGAAUAGGCUCAUAUGGUUAUAGAAAUCAAUGUAGUUAUUUGUGCAUCUAAGAGCUUGAUGCAUAAGAAAUCUUAACAUGUAUGGAUAUGAAGCUAAAGAUAUUGUGGUCUUCUUUAUGCCAUAGCCUUUUAUGCUCUUUAUUUAUUUAUUUUACUUCUAUUAUUAUAUAUUUGGCUAUUAUAAGAUAUUUAAGGCAUAUAUAGAAGAUUUUAUUAUUUUUUUAUCUUUAGCAAUUCUUUGAAAAAAGAAAUGCUUCAAGGUGUCAUUGGUGAACAAAGUUCCUACAAACCUUGUCACCACUAAUUCAAAACACUAAAUAUACAAUGUAAUAUCUUCAUCCUUCCCUUAUCUAAAAGAAGAUAAAGAAUUUAAGGUUGUAUUUUAUCCUACUUCAUGUUGAAAAAUGUUCUAAGAAAGAAUGUUGAAUCAUAUUCCAACUUAAGAAGGUAUUAGAAGACUGGUUGCAAUAUUAUUCAUAUGCCCCUUCUUCUAAUGUGGUUGAAAAUCACAUUAAAUAAUAAUAGCCAUCCAUUAUCAAAUAUGUAGUGAUUGUUUUUAUGAACUCUUUUAUAUAGGCCAAAAGAUCUUUAUUUUUUUAUUUCUAAAGAUAAAAAGAUUAGAAGGCAUAGUUGUAGUAUUAAGUUCUUUCAAAAUACAAAUAGAUAAACUCGUUAAUUGAACUAAGGAAUUAAUUGAUAUGAGUAGUAGUUCUUUUUUGUUCUAUUUGGAUCCAUUAUCUCUAAUAGUUGAAAUAAAUAAGUACUUUUUUAUCCAAAUUACUUGUAUUAUUUACUGAAAGAUUUGAAAAUAAGUUUUUUGAACUUUCUUUAAGGUCAUCUAAACAAAGAUCUUCAAAUUCUUCAAAGAAAUUUCUAGAGAUGUUUAAAUCAAGUCCAAGAAUUGAAGUUUUAAUGUUUGGUAAGUAAGAUCUAAUAGUUCUUAAUAAUUUUAGAUUUUUUAAAGGUUGUACUAAUACGAGUUUAUGAGACCUAGUGGAGUGGUGCAUUAAACUUUUAUAAUCACAAUGUCAUCUCUAAAAAUUAAAAAUUAAAUCAAUUAAAAUAAGCCAAACAAAGUAACUUAUCAAAUUUAAGUUUUUAUUAUCUUGUACUUUGUUAUAAAGAAGGUAAUUAAAUCCCUUCAAUCUUUAAAGAUGGGCCCUCAAUACAAAAUUGACAAGGAGAGAAAAUGAUGACCAAAUUGAAAGAAGAGCUCCAUGUUUGAUGAAGAUCCUUAUCUAAUCCUAGUUUAAUUCUAGUCCUUAAAAUAAUUCUAAGUCUUCAACUAAGCUUUCUAUUAUGUUAUCAUAAAUCCUUCAAGCUUCCUCUUCACUCUAAGUUCCUACACAAUAAUAAACCACAAUAAUACCAAGAGAUUGUACUAGAAUAGGAUAAAAACAAAUAAAAAUAUAAGACAAUGAAAUAAUUGCCUUUUAAGCAAGCCUAAGAUUUAUAAGGUAAAACUCUUGGCAAAUGCACCAAAAUAAGUGCUUGAAUAAAUCUCCACUAGUUGGAAGUUUAUUCUAAUUUACAACAAGUGAAUUAACCUUGUGAAUUUUAGUAGUUAUAGCUAUUAAUUAAAUUCUAAUCAAAUCACUCUUAUUUCUUUUUAAAUAAUCCAAGCAAUCAAGCCAAAACUCUACAACUAAUUCAUCUUUACAAUAAUAAAUCACCCAAAAAUUUAAUGCCAUAAAAAUUUCUUUUAGUUAUUUAUCAUUAAUUUUUUUUAUUUUAAUCAAAAUUCAUCCAUAAACAAAAAAUCACUUAUGAAUAAAAAUUCAUCCUUGAAUAAUAUUUCAUCCAUAUACUCCAUCUAUGCUCAAAAAUUCAUUCGUCAUUAAGACUUCAUCCAAAAUGAUUCGUCCAAUCUACCAUUGAUAAAAUCCUAAAUCAUCUAAAUCCUAAUUAACUUCAUCUAAAUCUACUCCUUUGUUGAUGUCCGAGAUUGGAGUCCUCAUUGAGCCCGAAGAAGCUGGGCUGAUCCUCUUGUUGUGAGUCGAUUCCCACCAUCGUCUGCCACCGUUUGCCAAUCCUGCCUUGAUCGUCCAGGUGCUAGACGAUGAAUGGUAUUGUUGGACCGAGAUUCAUGAGCGCCGCGUUCUUUUGCUCAAAUGUUGAAGGCUCGUCAAGACUGCUGGUCGUAAUAAAGAUUGCUGGUUGUCGGGAAGCUCUUAAGUUCCUUCUGAUUGCUCUUGGGAGUUUGUCCAUCACUACUUUUGCAAUGGGACUCUUGGUACCUUGCCUUUCUUGUGGAGCAAUGAUAACAAUGUCAAACUAAUUGCAACACCUUUAUGAACUUCCACUGAAUUUCAACUGAUUUUGAUUUUUGACAGAAGGAAGCUUUAUAAGUUGCCUAAUCCCACAAUAUCCUUUGAUGAUGAUGCGUGGUUAACAAAUGCUGGAUCACUGGCUCAAUCCCUUCAUUUUGAAUACCUAAUUCCAUUGUGUGGUCUAGAUCCUAAUUCUAAUUAUGAACCAUCAAUUUGGCACAAGAGUCGUCGUUGCCACUAGAUCUUCGGAAAUCAGCUCCCCACUGAUUGUGCGUUCAAGCUGAACUUCUCAGAGUAGCAACAGCAAAUCUUUUGGCGUCUCACGUCAUGAUGUCCUUCUACCUCUUCUCUCUGGCACAGUAAAGACCAGGUCGCCGGUGAGGUGAUGCGUGCGAUCCUCACACAACUCAAGCGCGAUGGCUCUCCUAUCAAGCUAUGUUAGAUCUCUUCUUGUGCCUCGAACGGUCUCUGUGCCUCAGAGCUUGCAAGAUCCCAACAUGGUCUACAUCGACUUUCAAUAAGGAUACUGCUUGAACUUGCAAGCUUUCGGAGAGGUUCGGCUUGCCUUCACAUAUUGAAUGUGGUUGCCUUUUAUGCAUUAGAACUCUUGAGAAGUGUAACAAUAAGUGACAUGGGAAUCCUUUUUGUCAACUAAGAUCCAGAACCACUGUCUGCCCUCAAAAAUUACACAAAGUAGCUUCAACAAGCCUGCUAGCCGACAAUAUAUCUUCAAGUAUGCAUCUUAUUGUCGACAACCAGCGCCUCCAAAUCAACGUCAAUGUCGCCACACCACGUAAACAACACGACAGAAGAGCUUGCUGCUGCACCACAACUCAAACUUCAACACCCAACGGAACACUGCCGUGAGCUCAGCUAGUAUCUCCUCUAUUACUCAUUGAGUAAGUAGAUUACUUCAUUUUGCCGAGCACAUAACUCCAGGAAUGGAACUAGCUCCAACACCGCAAUAACAACUACUUCAGUUGCGGCAAAAUCGACACUUCCUCCCGUAACAGGAACAAGAAAAAAAUAACAUUAGGAAUUAAAAAUAAGGAAGUGCUGCACCGCUGCACUCCAGCUGAACAAACAAACAAAAAAAAAAAAAAAAAAAAAAAAAACCACAUAAAUUUAGACCGCAGCCACGCAACUAGGCCAAAAAACAAAAGCAGGAGCAAGGGCAUCUUGAUAUGUUGCCGGAACAUCGCACCAAAAAAUAAAACAGGAAGUAAGAAAGGCUACCGUAGUACCCCCACGAUACGAAGGAAAUAGUAGAAUCAUUCCAAAGCGUCCGGAGCUCAUGAAGUGUGAAGAGAGGAAAAAACCAAAAUUAGAGAGAUGGAGUCGGAGGCGGCUUGGAUCCCUAUCAGCAGAGAGGCUGCCGCAAAUCAUGGACAGCUUCUACCCUUUGUCAAUAUCUUCUUUUCUCCUACUUUUUCCUUCUUUCUUUCUUUCUUUCUCCUCCUCCUUUUUCUUCCUUCUUCUCUUCUCUAUUCUUAUUUCUAUUCCUUUGAUAUAUAUAAUUUAUUAUUAUUAUCAUCAUUUUGUAUAUAUAUAUAUAUAUUUUUUAUUUAUUUAUUUAUUUUUAUAAAAAAAACAAUUAAUAAAAUAAAAACUUCUUUUUUCUUUUGACAAUGAGGGCUACUCCUAUUGGGUCAUCAUCUAAUGUUAGCUUCAAAAAACCUAUUCAUUAUGGAAAUUUGUCUUAAUAAAUUCUAUCUUAGGUUGCAUAUGUGCUAUUAGCAAUCUAUUUCCUAUUUUUUUCUAAAAAUUUCUACUACUAAUUCACAAAAUAUAUAAUUUUAAGCUUAAUAAGUAUCUUUUUAUACUAAAUAUCCAAAUGAGUCAAUUCAAUGACUUACAAUUUAUCAUAUGUUCCUAUUUGUAAGAAUUAUAUCCAUAGCAAAGUUUGAUGCAUCUAUUUUUAUAAAAAGUGGCUUUAAAAAGUCAACACAAUUUAAUUUUGGUACAAAAAUAAAUGUUAUCUUCAAAGCUUUAAAAAUUUCUUCAACGUCUUUGCUCCACUCAAUUUUUUUUUAUAUGUCAAACAUGUAAGAAGAGCCACAACUUGAAAAAAGUUCUAGAUAAAGAUCUAGUAAUAAUUAACAAAUCUUCAAAAAUAUUACACAUCUUUGAUUAUUUUUGGAAUCUUCUAAUCUAUGAUAUUUUAGAUCUUCUUAAAAUCUAUCAUAAUGCCAUUGCUUGAAAUAAUGUAUCCUAAGAAGUCAACUUAAGUAAUAUGAAAUAUAUACUUUUCUAUCUUAGUGUAUAAUCUUAUGUCUCUAAGUUUUUGUAAGACACAAUAAAUAUGAAGUUCAUACUCUUCAACAUUUUUAGAGUAAAUUAAGAUGUUGUUUAAAUAUAAAAUAAUCAAAUAAUCAAAAAACUCACAAAAGACAUCAUUUAUUAGAUAUUGAAAAGCAAUUGGUGCAUUCAUGAGUCCAAAAGGCAUGUCAUUAUAUUUGAAAUAUUCAUACUUGAUUCAAAACAUAGUUUUUCAUUCAUCUCUUUUUUUGAUGCAUAUCAAAUUAUAUGUUUCUUAUAGGUCUAUUUUUAUAUAGAUCUUUGCUUGAUUUAAUUGAUCAAAAAAUCUUCAAAUUAAAGAUAAAAGAUACUUAUUCUUAAUGUUGAUCUUAUUCAAUCCUUGAUAGUAUAUACAUAUUUGCCAAGAUCCAUCUUUUUUCUUCACAAAUAAGAUAAGAGCUCUUAUUGGAAUUUUAAGCUAGCAUAUGAAAUUUUUAGCCGAACUCUCAUCAAUAUACUUCUUAAGUACAAUAAAUUUGUACUUCAAUAAGUCGUAGAUUGGUUCAAAUGAUAAUUGAACUACUUCUUGAAGAAUAAUAGAAUAUUCAUAGAAAUAAUAGUAUAGAAGAAUAUUCAAAUUUUUUCUCUCAAAUGCAUCUUCAUAAUCUUUAUAUUGACUUGUAAUAUGACUUGAAAUUGUUUUUCUAUCAAAAUAGAUAUGGCAUAUAUAGCAAAAGAUGACUCUAUUUUUGUAGCAUGUAUAAAAGUAUUUGCACAUACGAAUAAGAAUUUGGAUGUAUUAAACUUAUAAAUUUCUACUUGACUAGCAGUAUUUUAACCUUAACUACAAGAAAAAUUAAGAUUAUAAGAAAUUCAAUGUAUUUGAAGGUUAUACUUUUUAGCCAUAAUAAUCCUAAUAUAAUUGAAUUGAAAAGAGAUCUUAUCACAUUAAAUAUUAUUAAGCUAUUAUGACCACUUUUUGCUAUAUUUAAAAGAAUAAUUUUAUAGAUAUCAUCUCUAAAAGACAAAAAAUGACCAUCUAUUAUUUUACACAGACAAAUUUAGUUUUCUUAAUUAAGAAUUUUUCUUAUUUUUUGACAAAGUCUUUAUUUAUUAAACAUGUUAAGGCUCCUAAAUCUAACAAGGCUAAGACUUUGUGAUUUUUUGGUCGAAAAUAUACAUCUAUUGUAAAAUAAUAUGAGAGAUCUGAAAAAAAUAUAUAAACUUUACUAGGUGUUGCAUAUGAUUCUAGCCGCAUAGCCUCUAUUGUGGCCAAAAAAAAUUGUUUAUCAAAAUACAUUGUCUUCUUUCACAACCAUAUUAUUUAUAUUGCAAUUAUAUUGUUUCUUUGGACAAUGUUGAGUAGUGUGCUUAGAUUUUUCAUAAUAUAGGAAUAUACCUUCUUAAUAACUAUAAGUCUAUUUUUUCUCAAUAAGAGGUUUAAAAUUUAUCUUAUUAAUUUGCAUUGGCUCUAGCUUGGAUGAAUAAGCUUUUGAAAAAUUAGAAGAUAUUGCUAUAACUUAAUUCAAACUUCUCCAACCAAAUCUUUAUUCUUAGUGUCUUUCAAAGAGUCGAUUAUUAUAUGCAAUAGCUAAAGCAAUAAAUUACUUCAAUGAUCCCACUUUUAGUAUCUCUAAUAAUAAAUAUUUAAUAUUAUCUUUUAAUCUAUAUCAAAAUUGAUUGAUAAGAGCUUUUUUAUUCCAAUCCACAUUGCAAGCAAGGUUUUGGAAUUCAAGAGUCUAUAUAGUAACUAGAUGUGGUCCUUGUCAUAGAAAUACAAGUUUGAUCUUUGUUAUACUUUCUUAAUUUCUUUCUUUAAAUAUAGCUAUAAAUACUUCUAAAAAUAAAUUUAAAUCAUAAAAUAUUUGUGAAUCUUAUUAAAUCAAAGAUGCAAACCAAAAAAGAGUAUUUUUAAAGAAAAGUGCUCUUAUAAAUCUGACUUAAAUAAAUCCAAUAAAGUAUUAAGAGGGUUGAAACCUUUGAUAGAACUUUAGUUGUUGUAGAAAUCCUCAAAAUUUUGAGCUUAUUCUAUAAAAAUAAAUUGAACAUACUUAUCCUUGUUUUCUUUAUAUUCGUAGAAGGAAGACUUCUUAGAUUUAGUUAUAAACUUGAUUUACUUUCUUCUCUUCAUUGUACAACUUCUUAGCCUAGACUUUAAACUUCAUUAUUGACUUCUUCCAUAGGUGUAGAAAUAAUACCUCCAUGAUUCAUGUUGGAAUUAUGUGAGAUUUUUACCUUGAGAAUGUUGACAAGAUUAAAAAGAUCUACAAUAGUUGCAAAUCUAUUCUCACUUUUACUAAGAGUAGCAUGCAUAAUUUUUCCUUUCAUAAAUAAUUUUAAAAAAUUAAAAAAAAUAAAUUAGAGGAAGAUAAUCUAUAAUUUUUAAUAUCAAAAAACAUUUUACAAAGAGGGAUAAUUUUCUCUCUUUAAAAAAAAAUUGGUAUUAUAAAAUUAUAAAUUAGUUCAAAAAUGGGUGGUUCAUAAUUUUCAAAAACACAACAAUAGAAGUGAGAUAAUCCACUAAAUCAUAGAACAAAAUAAGAACAAUGAAUUAGCACUCUUAUCAAACUCUCAAAGACAUGAAUCUCAAAGAAAGAAAAAAUCAAUAUAUUCUUUUAUGACUCAAAAAUAUUAAAAAAUAGUUCAAAAAUGAUAAUAUAUUAAACUAUAAUGGCUAUUGCCAAAGACAAAAAAUUAAAAAUUCUUGAAACAAGACUAAUAACUAAAAAAAUAUUGACAAGAGUAAAGAAGGCUUCACUCUUGCCUCCAUAUAUACUCUCUAAUUAAUAGCUAUGUAGCAGCAUUCUAUAGAACCUCCAACAUAUGUCCAAAUUGCAAAAUACAUGUCUUAACUUGUAAAGCAAGUUUUUUAUAUGUGCACCACAUAGUUAACUUAUUUCACAAGCUAUCAACACAUAUGAUACAUGGUUGACUUGUUGACAUAGUUUUUAUUCUAUCAUAUAAAGUCAAAGUCGCAUUUGUAAAGCUUCAAUUAAGCUUUUCCAUAAGAUAUUAUCUAAUUAAUCUACUUUUAUUAACUUCUAUCUAAUCAUAUAGAUAAUUAUUGGACUAAAUAUGUAUGUUCAUAAUACAACCAUGGGAAGUAGAAAUUAAGAAUAAUGAAAUAAGAGAUUAUGAAUAAAAAAAAUAAGAAAAGGAGGUUGAGAUGAGAUCUAAGAAUGGAUGAAGCAAAGACAAAGAACAAGACAAAUCAAGAUAAAUGCUAUGAUUAUAAUGAUGGUUUUUGAAGAUGAUCCAUUUUUCUAAUGAUGGUUGUAUUAGGAUGGAUUUAUUUAUUAAACAAAUUGGUCAAUUUAAUAUUUAUAUAUAUAAUCUAAUCUAAAAAUAAAUUGAUAAAAAAUUAUUUUUAUAUGUUAAAAAAUAAAAUCUAAUGUGAUCUAUUAAAAAAGAACCACUAAAUUUCAAGCUUAUAUACUAAAUUUUAAAACUAUUUAUUCUUAAAACGAUUUUUUUUAUAGUUUUAUGUGAUAUUUUAUACUUAUAUUUUUUUCUUUUAAUAAAAUAUUAUAACAUAUAAGAAAUAUAAUUAUAUAAAAAUAAUAAUUAGAAUUUAAUUUUUUAUUAUUAUAUUAAAUAUCUUUAAAGAUAAAAUAUAAUAAAAAAAAUUAAAAAUUAAUGAUUUAUUAAAUCUAUAUUUUUUAGAUAAUGAUAUAUUUUUUAUUAUAGAAUUCUUUAAGAAAUAUGAUUUUCUAUGAAAUAAUAAACAAAUAUUAUUAUGUAUUAUAAUAUUAUAUGUAUAUAUAUAUAUACACACACACAUUUAUUAGAGACAAAAAAUCUAUACUAAGAUCUUUUGUUGGUAGGUUUAUAUAGUGUAUUUUAUAUUAAGUAAGAUACAAUUAAAUAUAUUAAAAAUAAUCAAAAUGUGUUAGAGAAGUAAUAGAAUAAAUUUAAAAUUUUAUUUUAGAAAGAAAAAUAGAUAAUUUGAUAUAAAAUUAAAAAUAAGUUUUUUUUUAUUUUUUAUUUUUUUAUUUUUUUUCUAAUUUUUGUUGUAGAAUUAUAUUAAAAUAUCAUAAAGCAUAAUAUAUUAUGCAUAGAUUAAAAGAUUGUAAAUUUUUAGUCUUUUGAUUUUAUUGUAAGUAAUUUGAUACUUUAAAGAAUUAUGAUUUUUUUAAUUAUGAUUUUUAUAAUUUUUAAAUAUAUUACUUUACAAUGGUCUACCUGGUGUAUUAAUUUGGUUUUAAUGUUAAUCAAAAUAUAAUUUAUUUGGCUUUGAGUGCCUGUGUACAUUUAUAACAUUAGUAAAUUUUAAAUAAAUGAUUUGAAUUUAUAUAUAUAAAAAUAAACUAAACACUUUGAGACAACAAUAAAGUUUUGCAAUAUAUCUAUAUAAUUAUUUAUGAUAUAAAAUUGUAUUUACAUUUGCUAUAUACUUAAGGCACACACUUAAAAAUAUAAAUCUUAUACAAUAUAAAUUAAAAUAAUAAAAACUAAAAUAUUUGACACUAUUGCAAGAUCAUAAUAUAACAUGAAAUAAUUUAAGAUGUCAUGAAUAUAAAAAUAUCAUGAAUAACAACACAUGUUUGACUUUCUUUACCAGUAAUUGUAAAACAUCCAUACAAAUGAAUACAAUUGAUCUGACUUGUAUACAAAAUCAUUUAUUCUGUGGUUACAUUCAUCGCUGUAUGUAUAAAAGUAUAAUACAUGACAAAUGUGUAUUUUGAAUUUAAGAAAUUAGUAUAAAUUAAAAAGGGCAGAAGGGUAAGUAGGGCAAAAGGGGCGGGAAUGAACAGCGGGGGAUUGCGGAGAUCCCUGAACCCCCUCGUACAUACAGACAUGGCCAUGAAAGGGUGUUCAUCCUCCUGCAUGGGAUCAUAUGCCACUCUCCACCCUUCCGCACCCUUCCAUCCUCCACGUCAACUCUAAUACGCCAGGUCAGAUUUAGCUCGUUCCCCAAUUCGGAACCUCAUCGUGGGAUGUGGCCACGAUGUGGUCCGAGUAUUUGGGGUUGUGAGAUUGGCUGGAGGACCGAGUAAAGAGCAUCUCCUGCCAGAAGAGGAUGAAUGUGGAAACAUCAAUAAAUGAAGGCACACUGUGGAUGAUACUGCGUGAGGCUUCACUGCAGGGGCAGGAUAGACUUCCGCAGCAGUAACGCCAGAGGGGCUCAUUUCGCAGGAGGGUUUUUUUAACGUGCGAAGGCGGAGAGAGAGCAGAGAGCAGAGCGAGCAAUAAGAGGGUAGCGGAGCCCCCUUCUGAGUGUUCUUGGUGUUUUCAUUGACGCGAGAUUAGCCUAUACGGGUGGAUCACAGGAUUGUGCAGGUGGUUGGCAAGAACUGGGCAGUGGGCCAAGAAUUUUUUGAGAUCUAGUCUGGAGCAGUGGUGGUGGUUUUUGUGUUGUUAGGAAGCCCCGAUACACAUCAUUUAACUUUGAAAGAGGUGUAGUUUCAAAACUCAAUUUUUGGAUUGCAGCUAUUUUGUGUUGCUGAACACUGAUUGUAGAUUUUAGAGUAUGGAGGAAAUUGUAAAUAUUUUGCAAUAAGAUUCGUGUUGAAGCAAUUUUUUAAUUUUAUUCAAUUUUUAUUAUUAUUAAAUAUUUAUUUAUUAUUUAUUUAAAUAAUUGAAUAAUUAAUUUAUUCAUUUUUAAGCAUUUAAUUAUUAAACAUCAAUUAUUUUAUCAUUUUAUUUGAUUUUGAUAUUUAUUUUAUUAUUAAAUAUAUAGAUAAAUUAUAUAUAUCAUAAAUAUAUUAUCUAAAUUGUAUAAUUAUAAUAUAUUAUACAUUAUAAUAUAAUUAUGAAUGCUCUGAAUACCAUAACAAGUGGCAUAUAUAUAUAUAUAUAUAUAUUUAUAUAAUACUUUGUUGUUGUUGGAGUUAUCUCUUCCAUAACAGAACUAUACAAUAUCUGUACCAUCUCUUACAGUGCCAUCAUAUUGUGUGACUACAUCUUGUAUAGACUUUGAAAUGACAAAUUCUUCAAGCAAAUGCACAAUGACCAUCUUUGCAGCAUCCAUGCUACUAGAUUUGGCACCUGCAAUGUUGUUGUUAAAUAUGUAGACCUCAUCUGCCCACAAGCUUGCACUGUAAAAUUUAUUAAUUAAUACUUGAUGGAACUAGAAUAAACUGAGGGGAGAAGGAGGAAUGUAAUUGGGAGGCACUAGAAUAUAGAGGAGUUGGAAAUCAAAGGCUGUAUUUAAAUUUGUUACAAAGCUUUUUGAGUCAAAAGUUUUAAGCAUUAAUGAAGAGGGAUCUACUGAAGAGAUUGUUUAAUCAAAGUUUGGUGAGAAGGCUUUGAUAUUGAAGAGUAAAAAAGAGAGUUAACUUGGUCAUUUGAUUUUUAUUAACUGUUUUGCUUCUAGAGCAUUUGCUUGGCAUAAGAACAAGGUCUAGGAUUGGAGUUCAAGAAUAUAUAUAUAUAUAUAUAUAUAUAUAUAUAAUUUUUCUAUAAAGAUUUUUGGGAUUUAGGGCAGCUUUUGGUGGUAUUAGUAAAAAUUGUGAUGGGUGGCAAGUUAUAAUAAUAGCAAAAAAAAUUGUGAUGGUAAUAGCAACAUUAUACAAACAUAAACAAAUGCUUGUAUUGAAUGUUUUUGCUUUACUUCAAGAAUAUUGUAUUGUAUUGAAUAAAUUAUUAAAUAUAUAAUUUUACAAUAAUAAAUUAUAAUAAAAACUAUAUAAUUAAGAUUUACACAAAUAUGCUAUAUAAAGACUAUAAAAAUAUACUAAAUAGAUCUAAGUUUUUACUAAAUCAAUCCACCCAUAUUAACCAUCAUAAAAAAAUAAAAUAGUCUCUAAAUUCACCUUUUUACUAUUAGAUCUACAACCAAUAAAAACCAAUCACAUUCAUUAUAAUUAUUAUAAACUUUAUUAAGAGUGGAUCUAUUUAAUAAAUACACUAGUCUAUUUAAUAUUCUCCAAAAAAUAUUAAAAAUACCUAUAUAAAUUAAAAGAAUAAGAAAAGAUUUAAAAAAGUAAAAUCAUAUGAUUAUACUGAUUAUUUUUUUAAUUUAUAAUUUAUAAAAUUAAAUUAAUAAAAUUGAAUAGUUUUUUAAUUUUUAUUUAUUUAUUUAUUUAUACUAUAUUGAUAUAUAAACCAAAUGUGAUUUUUCAAAACUAAUUUGAUAACAACUUUUGUUAUUAUUAUGGAUUCCCUCUCCCUCAUCAGAUUUCAAUAUGGGUUCUACCAGGAGAUAAUAGUUUGGGUUUCAUGUACCCACCAGUCUAAUAGUAACGGAGAUUAGACCGCAGACGAAUACGUGGAAUUACAUGGACAGUGAAUACUCACCAGUAUCAGGAAAAAGUCCUGUAGGUGAGAAAAUUUUGUCAGCCAACUGAGGCGUAAGGCACUGGUAAACACUGAGUUCAAUCAUGGGGUUUUGGCAGCCUGGAAUUCAUCACUACAACAGACAAAAGUCUCCGAGUGUGUUGUUUUCAAGCUCGUGAUUUUUAUUUUUAUUUUUAUUUUUUUUCUUUGUUUGGCGCGUGAGUUACCGCAAUUUUUGACUAAGUCAAUCGUCGCCUGCAGGGGGGUAGAUUGGGGAAUACGCCAGCGAGUUGUGACCACGGCAUACAUCAUGUUGUAAUGUCUAGUGCACACCUCACAACUCUGCAGUCGUAUUCGCCGAUGUGAACAGGUUACAUAUAUUCGGAUAUGCUGAGGCCCCACUUUGAAGCCCAUGAUUGAAGACUUCAUGAUCAUUUUCAGCUCAAUUGCUGAGCGGUUUGUAUUAGAGCACCAAGACCGCGGAGCUACGGCCCCAAGCAUCCUUUAAAAUACCAAGUUCAUAGGCACUGACUUCGUUCGAUUCGAAUCGUGUGAUGAGCCUACAUUUGAUGGGGAAUGGGUUAUAUUUCACAGCGAUUUCACUAACGAGUGGUCGUGUUCCAAGUGCUACUGGGAAACAGAAUCUCCGGCAACUUGGCAUCUACGUGGUGGGAUCGUUGUAAACUGUGCACUCUUCCACACUCCUCUCACUUGGUUUUCUGGUGCCCAACUCCCAUAAUGUGGACCAGUUUUUUCUUGGAAGCUGAUGUGAAAGUUGAGUGAGGAGGGGUAGCCGACACAGUUUUACCCGCUUUUGCAACAACGUGCUGGUGAGUCCAGCCACUUCAUCACCACUGCUGUAGCCUGGCCUUCCGUUAUUCCAAAUCUGAAGGUCGAUAUUAGAAGUGGUGGAUCAAAUGAGACUGUAGGGUAGGCAUUUCGCAGCUUUGGUGAUCUAAGACGCGUCCCACUGCUGCCGAGCUCUCGUGCUGGAAAGUUAGUCCACUAUGCUGCACUUGUAGAAAUCCAUCCUCCCUUGUAACGCCGUUGUUCUCUACACAAGGGUUGCAAGUGCUUUGUGUAGAAGACUAGCUUUCUUAUGUGUUCUUUGUCUGCCGACCAUUACCUUCCACGCUUUUCCUUUCUGUACUCUUCCAAAUCGUGUUGUGGAGAUAAUUUCAUGGAAUUUAAGCUCUUGGUGGAGAGUGGCAGGGAAGAUUUUGAUCAACUGUGUCAUAACCUUGUAGGUACGAGAAGGUUUGAAACACAAAACGUGAAGAUUGGGGUUCGCCAAAGCUGCGUGAGUGACUUUGGAACUUCGACGAACAGUGCCGUUGGUCAUCCUCCAUGGCGAUAGCGACACGGAUUAGUUGCAGUUCUAGAGGUUCAACUCCGGCGACAUGGUCCUUGUGUGUGCUAAUUGCAAUCUUAUCACUUGCUCUUCCUAUCUACGGCCAAGGGCGUGGGCAAGGCGGAGGUUGUGGAGCGGACUUAAGCACUAAAGUUUCACAGUUUGAGACGACAAGCCUGGUUUGCGAAUCUUUUCGACUCCAGGGACCGAUUGAUUUUAACAUAUGGGUAUGCUCUUCUUUUAUCAUUUCAAACUUGUUUCAGCUCCCUCUGUUUAAAAUUUCAACUUCCACUUCUUUGGCAGGCUCAAACUUAUCACAAGAUUUCAUACCCAUUAUGGGCAGAAUAUUUUGUUGCCGCGGUUUUUCUUGUCUCUCCGUUAGCGCGUUUUCAUUUGAAAUACACUAUAGCAACAUCGCUUGCUAUAACUCAAUUGUUUUAGAGGCAAUCAUGCCAACGUUUCGACAUCUAUGGGUUGAGCCAAGUGCACGGCGAUAAUUCAAUUUUGGUGUGAUCCUGCAAAAUGACUCGCAUUGGAGGCACAAACACAGUCUGCACUAUCCGUGGUCUUUGCCUCUUUCUUCAAUCAAUCGCACUAGGUCCUUCAUUGGAAAAAACUAUUGCUCUAUAUGGGGCUAGCACUUCAAUAGAAUAGUUAGAUUGAAACACUUCAAUAGAGUAGUUAGAUCAAAGCUACUUGCAUUUGCUGCUGUAGUGCAGCACUCUUAAGACCUGAAUUUCGAUCUGAUAACCCUAUCGACAAAUUUAGAUCAACACCCAAGUUGGUUGCUUAUGGUAUUUCACCACGCACUGCUAAUAUCCUUCGCUUUUACAUAUGCUGGAGGCUUCGGUAUAAACCUUCCGCUGUUGUCUGAUUUUUGAACACUCGUGUUCGUUGGCAGGCCUUGAAAGAUAAUGUGACCCUAGUCACAACCAUGGUUCUGGCAGCGCCUUUGUCAGCUGGGAACUGGAUUGGGUUUGGAUUUUCGCCGAACGGUCAAAUGGUAGGCUCCACUGCAUUGAUAACAACAUUGAACUUCUCCAAGGGAGCCGUCGUCACUGAGUAUAGUCUCAACGGCAGGAGUACAGGCCAAGUGGUGAAGAAAACUGGGGCACUGGCCUUUGUUGGAGGUUUUCCUGAAGGAGUUUUCGAUGCAGCUAGUAACAUGGUGUAUGUCUCCUUCCAAGUGAAUUUGACAAAAUCAGCGGCAAAGACUGAUUCCCUGCUUCUUGCAUACGGGUCCCUGGCGUUAGACGGCUCAAUCAACAGACACACUGAUCGAAGGUCCAUUAGUGCGCAGAUUGCAACAGGUAUCUUUCUUCCCUCAGUGGCUUACUGUGCUGUAAAAUGGGCUCAUUGGAUGCACGUCGAUAUGUUUGGGACUAUUUAUGAAUCAAUCCAUGUCCUGUGAUCCGCAGGUGUUGGCCCUAAAGGAAAUGGCGCAGCCGCACUUGAUAAAAAGGCUAAAGUCCAUGGUUCACUUCAGAUACUAGGGUGGGGAUUGAUCUUGCCAAUUGGAAUCCUAAUAGCUCGCUACGCGCGUGCCUGGGAUCCAGCAUGGUUCUAUCUUCAUGCUACAUUCCAACUCGUUGGUUUCGUUUGCAUAAUUGCUGGAGUGGUUCUCGGUAUUCAGUUGGCGAAGGAUUUGCAACCACCGCGUCUAGCAACACACCGAGGACUCGGGUUGUUCGUUUUCGCCCUGGCGAUUCUGCAGGUACUGUGGCAUUACAAAAUCUUUCAUUCCUGUCUUUACCUACAAUUCCAACUUCGAAUUCACUGCCCUUUUACGCAGAUCAAUUGCAACUAAUCUUUCUCGGUUUGCCCUUCUCGCGGAUUGCAGGUUCUUGCGGUGUUCUGGCGCCCGAAAAAGGAAACAAAGGUGCGCAUGUACUGGAACUGGUAUCAUCAUCUUGUGGGUAGCUUGGCGAUCUUCUUAGCCAUCGUUAACAUCUUCGUGGGUCUCAACAUGGCGCAUUCCGAACAAUCCUUCAGAGUUGGAACUGUCACCCUCCUCGCCAUCUUGGUAGCAGCGUUCAUCAUCUUGGAAAUCGUUCAAUGUUGGCGGUUGAGUAGGCAACGCCGAACCCAGCAAAUAUCAAACGAUCAACAAGGUUUCCAGUUCGGUGGAAGUGUAUGAAAUCUUGCAUUCAAAGGGACCUCAUUUAGGAUUAAGAUUCUUCGCCACUCUGGUCUAAUAUUUUGCGUAGUCGCCCAUGAGUCCACAAGCUGAGGUUCAUCCGUGACCCAGUAAGCGUUUGCAAAGCAUGAAGUGCUCGGUGAAUUUAAGCCAGAUCUUCGUGCACAGACUGCUUGGAUUCACCAGACUGUUGCUGAAUCUCUGAACUACGCAACCUUUUUGAAGGUUCUUACCCAUAGACGAUUCCAGAGGUGAUUUCUAUGAAUGAGUUGCUAGUACUUUUGUGGCACUACGACAAAAAAAGAAAACAUCUACAAAAGCACGACGAGGUGGUGCAUUGACAGAGAAACACCCUCUUCCUCUUCAAGCUUUUCAUCAGAUGGGGUUGCUUCCACAAGCUAUGCUCGAAGCCCACUACUCAGUCUGCAAAACUGCAUGCUUUGGUUAAUGUUGCUCGCUGUGAACACACAUGUUUGAGGAUCUGCAACGACGGCCAAGUUUGAUGAGGAAAGUCUCGUACUAUACUGCCAUAAUAAUAAGCUCUUCUUCCUAUUUUCAGUAUUUCAUGCACUGCCGUUGGUUUGCACUGGCAAUGUAUACUAUUCGGUACUGUAAAAAAAAUUUACAUAUUUUUAUUAUAUUGUUAUGUGUUAUAAGAUUGAAGGUUCAACGUGUAUUAAGAAUGGAAUUAAACUGAAAUUGUACAAAAUAUCGAACACAGUUAAAUCUUCGUCAUAGAUAGACUGCAAAGUUAAGUUAUCAUUAUUUUUUAUUUAUUUUAUUAUUUGUGAAAAUACAUGCUUAGUAACAUCUCAACUCCAUGAAAGCAUCAUGUGAUUGAGAUUGCAAUGAAACCAACUCAAUUGGCGUACAAUCUACCAAUUUGCAAUGUCAUUAUCUCAUUUCUUAACAAGACAGACUUUUUAAAAAAAAAAAAAAAAAAAAAAAAGAGAGAAAAAAUCAGGUUGAUGAACUCAUCACUUGAACUAAGGAACUUAAAGACAUAGCCCCCACACAGCCCUUCAAAAAGCAGUAUAAAUGAAUGUGCAACAUCUACUUUUCAACCAUGGCAACUGGGAUGGUUGAACACCUACAGACAUAUUUAGAAUCAGUUUCUAUCACUACAGUACAUACAACAGACUUUGUCCUCAUAUUUGUGCAUGUCUUAUAAAUUACAAAUGUCUUGAAAUAUCCAAACAAGUUAUACUUUUGUGUGAAAAAGAAAAGUUAAAACAGUACAAAUUCUGUACCUGCAGGAUCAUGUUCAAUGUUGACAUUGGCUCUCAUGGUUUCAACAAAGACAUCAUGUAGUUGGGUUUUGGCCUACUUGUCAUUGUAACCCAGUUUGAUUUUUAAUUCUUAAUUAUUGUUAUUAUUAUUAUUAUUAUUGUGAGUUUGUUUAUUACUUUUGAUCCAUGCAACAACUUGGUACAAUGUUUACUACCAGAAGAAUUAGCCACAUGUAGUGUGAAGAGGAAUUAGUACUGAUUUUGUGCUCCCUAAAUGCCUUUAAGUACCCUUCAUUUAAGGCACAAUGGCACCCAUCAUGGUGGGAGUUUGGCUGUAAAACUGAUGUUGUACACACAGAUAUUUGCAUCGAGGCUGGCAUCUUUUAUCAGGUUCUGUGAGGGCUUCCAUUGUCACAGGACAAUUACUUGCAAAUAUAAUUGAGAGCUUUUCAAAUAGUGCUUGAUGUUGAGUUUACUUCUAUAUUCACAGGACUUGAUAAUAUAUUUCAUUAUUUAUAUAUUCAUCUAAUGGGGUAUAUUUCAAUAUUUUAUUUAAUUCAUAAAAAGAGAGAAUAGAAUAUUAUUUUUUGAAAUUAUAUUAAUGUAUAUGUAUAUAAAAUAUAUAUAUAUAUAUAUAUAUAUGUAUAUUUUUGUUAUUGUCACCACAGUUUUUCUACUACCACUGCAACCUUCCAUCCGAAACAUGCCAUCUUUCUUUGGUAUUUUUUAAACUAACCAAUUUUUUUUGUUCAAUACUUUUCAAACCAUUUGAUUGAGCACAAUUUUUAAAGUAGAAAAGAAUAAAAAAUUAAAAUUAAAACUUUUGAAAGACAUUGAUAAAACUAGGAUUAUCUUACUCUUUCUUUCAUAUAUACUAGUUGAUAAAAUAAGUCUUGUAGAAGAUUUUUAAGAACUAUUAAAUUUUAAAGACAAACAUUUGAUUUAUAAAACAUUUUUUUAGUAGUCUCUUGGAUUUAUAAAAAUAAAUAAGAAUUUCAUUAUAACCAGAAGAUACAUUCAUAGAAACUUAUAGAUCCAACCUAUAUCAGUAUAUUUUUUAAAAUCCUUCACAAAGAAUGUAUUAUUAACCUAAUAUAACUCUAUUUAUUUCUAUUUAUUUUUUUGAAUUUUAAUCCAAUAAAUAAUUAAGAAUACUAUCAUUCUUGAGAUACUUUAAUUAAUAAGUAAUAAUGAAAUUUCAGAUUAUAAUAAAUGAUAUUUAUUCAGAAUUAUUUUAUUUUAGAUUAAAAAUAACUUAAAUUUGUUAUAAUCCAACUUAUUACAAAGACAAUUAGUCUUAAUGUUACAAAAUAUAUAUAUAUAUAUAUAUAUUUAAAAUUUACAAUUAACAAUAUCUUUUUAGAAAAAAAUACUUUAACAUAUAUAUAUAUAUAUAUAUAUAUAUAUAUAUAUAUAUUGUAUAACAUUUUAGCUAAUAACUUGCCAAAGCUAUUACUAAUUUUUUAUUUAAUUUUAAAAGUUAAACUUAUUAAAAUUAUAAUAUUUUCUAUAAUUAGUAUAAAACAAAGGUUAUAAGUAUAUCACUUAUAAUCAAUAACAAUGACUUUGGUUGUAAAAAGGAACAUUUAAAAUUUAGCAUGUUUUAUUUUAAAACUUUUUUGCAUAACAAAUACAAUAUAAUUUUUAAAAGAAAUAUUUAAAUGUUAAAAUAGAUCUUUAUUUUUUGAAAUAAAAUUUUGUGUAUAUUUAAAACUACUGUUUAUUUUUUAAUUCAAGAUUAGAAAUAUAAAAUAAAGUAAUUUGAUUUAAACAAUUAAAUUUCAAUUUAAUAUAUCUAUAAUUUAUAAAUAUUUUUUAAAAUAUUACUUAAAAAAAUUUAUUUAUUUUGUUAUAACUAAUUUUAGUAUUAAUUUAUUAUAAAUAAUUUGAUUAUAACUAUAAGUAAUGACAUUGUUAUGUGCAAUUAAAGUUAUAGUCGGUUAGUUUUGUACUAUAUUUAUAGAUACAAAUAAAAUUAAGUAUUUAAACAUAAAGCAUAUUAGUUGUGUUUAUUAAUAUGAAAAAAUAUUUUUAGAAAUUAAUAAAUUAUUUUUAAUUAUGAACAUAUAUUAUUAUUAUUAUUAUUAUUUAAGAAUUACAUAUUUCAAUUUAUAUAUUAUGUAUGUAAUUCUAAAUUUAUUAUUAUUUAAGAAUUACAUAUUUACUUAAGUCUAUUAAUAGAAUUUAAAAAAAUAUUCAAAAAAACAUUUUAUUUUUUGACAAUGAUUUAGACCAAUCCUUUUAAAUUAACUUAGAGCUAGGUUAUAUAUAUAUAUAUAUAUAUAUAUAUAUAUAUAUAUAUUAUUGUAUUUAUUCUUAAAUUUUUUGUAUAUAAAAUAUUAUUUCCUAUGUUAUGAUUUGUUUAUAUUUAAAUACUCAAGAAACAAAGUGAUUUUUGGUAUCAUUCUCAAGAUAUUUUCUCUCUUUCUCUAUAUUUAUGUCUUAUGACCAUAAAAGUUGCUAAUGUUUUACAAAUAUUUUCAUAUAACUAAUGAGGAGUAGAACAAAAAUCUCUCAAAUCUCUCAAAAUAGUUUGAAUAUAACUGAUAUAACAAUGAAGAUGCAUCACAAUGUACACAUUGCACUCAAUAUUUGGAGCAAAAAUGUUUUUAACAUUCUGGAACCACAAUAAAAAAAAACUAUCAUAUUGUUACAUGUCCCUUAGUUGCAAAAUUUGUGUAAGUUGAUGUCAUUCUUGUACUUAUGAAGCUAUAUAGUUUUGAAUUAUCCUUGAUUGCUUCGCUGUUUACUAUUACAUUAUUUGUUAUGAACAAUCUAAAAGUUUAGGAUAACAAGAUUGAAAACUCCAGCCUGGAAUCCAUUUACUCAACAUAGAUCAAUACAUCCUCAAGGGUACAUUAAAAAAACAUUAAUCAUAUUUCCAUUUGGAAUUAUUUCCAUCUUUCAUACACUUAUAGAUCCAUUAAAGUCUCAGCAGCCUUGGAAGUUAUCUUUAUGGGUUUGCAUAUUUUGAAAUGUCCCUAUACAUUACAGAUAUCAAGCGGUCAAAAAUUCAAACCUGACAUACUUCAGUGUCAUAAAUUUGCCUACAAAGAACUUGCCGAAACAACUUUACCAACCUCAAGAACCUAUCUAACAUCAUUUUGCAGAAUACUUUGUUCAUUUGGCAAGUAUUUCACAAUAGCAGUAAUCCCGUUGGUCGCGCUGGAAGAAAAAGAAGAAACAGGAACAGCAGCAGAAGAAGAUGCAAAUUUAAUGAAUACAAUGUGUGUUAAAAACCUUGGACCUGGUUACACCUAAGUUUGUUGAACCAUAACUCAAAGGUAAGUAAUUACUGGUAAGAGUAAUGAACUACCCGACAUUGUACUGUCACGACACUCUAAAGCGUCACUUGAAUUAAACUAGAGAAUGCAGAAGAAUUUAGCUCUCUUCAAGCUGUUCUAUUACAGAACAACUAUUUGCACGAAUUCAUUGCAUUCAAAGGUAAGUGUGUAGGCUGAGGUCAUUCGUAACAAAGCCUAAAAGAACCUGGUUUGAAUGAGUUAUUUACUCCUCAAAACAAGUAUAUGUACAGUACGCCAUUCAGUACACCAUUUAGAUAAAAAGUUGUGGACUCGGAGACUGAUGGCCUGCUGGUGCAAGGAUAAUUGAAGGAGAGCAUAAUGACGAAGUACAUAGAGCUCCUGAAGAGAAUAAAUGCCGCCUCAGAGGUCAGAGAAAGGCAUUCAUGAAGGACCAGCUGACAUUAAAUACGAGUGCUUCAACAGCCACCUACCUCCUGUCGCGCGUCUGCCACCCCUAGCUUGCCACCAUUCCAUCGCUUUCCCGCUGACAACUCAUCCAGAACUUUCAGCUCGAGUUUGCAAGUAGCUACCGCACCGAUCUGGAGGAGCUGAGAGAAAAAUCCACUGUAUGAUGGUCCAUUCUCUCCAUCGCCACCUGCGGUCGAUCGAUUGCUGAAUCUCAAUGUUAUCUCUACUGCUUUUGUAUAUACCAGGAGAUUCAAAAAUGAUUCAGGGUGCCAUCACUCUCCUGUCUUGGGUCGCAACAUGCAUUUGAUGGUUAGCUGGCAUGGCGCUCAUUACGUCCUGGCAUUCUGUCAUGACCUCACACCUCCUGGCAGUCUGUAGGUCAUAGCAAUGUGAACACCAGUUUGCGUGCUUACCAAUUUCCGCCUAGGUAUUACACUCUCUGUUGCUCGCGAGACUUUGAAUGUGCUGUGAGCUGGUGCGGUCGCUGCUUAAUUUUCUUCCAUGGAACCACAGCAAGCCUUCUGAAGCGACUCGUUCGUUGAGGUGAAGUGCAGCCGUUUCGGCGGCAACCACACCAUAAUUUCAGCUCAUCGAACUCUUGAAACAGGUGAAAAAUGCAUGUCCCUCAUCCUGACUGUGUGAGGUCUACAGUCGAAGAACAACUUCUUUGUCGUAACUGUCUCCAGUAUUCCUGCAUUGUAAUAUGUUGGAUAAUCCUUGCGAGCUCAGACCCCUUUUUAACAUAGCUAAGCUUCUAACAUUUGCUCUUUGUUGAGUCAUUCCGAGCUCAAUCCUACCCACAUUGCCGAGUUCCAAACCCCACAUGCUCUCUUCAACCCGCGAGGUGCCAAUAAUCUGUUUUAGAUAUCUGUGGGCUCAUCAAUGAUGGCUAUGUGUUUUACCAAUGUUUGUUUGCUGGGUUUAAGUGCUGCCAGUUCCCUCUCUGCGUUCGAGUACUGAAGCUCAAUAUGAUCGGCACAUGCUUCUCAGAUUGAGAGCGAAGUGAGCGCCCUGAUAUCCUGAUAACAGGGGAGGGAGACGUUUUCACGAAAGCUAGCAGCAGAAGCUCUCAACAAAGACCUCAACCGUGCUUUCUGGUUUAAGAGAUUCUGUUGUUAGAGCUUGCGUCAGCAUUGGAAGGGAAUCACAAUGACGCGUUUCGAAAAGUCAGGGAGUACUGACCAAAAACUGAUUCAAGCCGGGCACAUCGCGGUUGCCAUGGCCGGUGACAUUUAAAAGUUGAAUCCCUCGAAGAACACCACCCUCUUGACGCUCUUGCUCAAUCUGGGGUGUAAUGUAAAUGUGCAUGAGAACCGCUGGUGAGAGUCAAGGAAGUUAGGAAGUUCACUAUAAUUAAACAGGAGGUAUUUGACCAUGGACUUCGAACGAAGGAGGGAAGGACCUCGUUACAAUCGGGUAGUUUGCAAUUGCAGCGAUGGUGUGUGUACAGGAAUCAAGAACAAGUAUGGCGCUAAUCCUCACGUCAAAGCUUCGCAGGUAGCAGUCGCUUGUUCACCCAGUGACACGCCCUCGCGGUCGAAGUCAUACUAUCUCGAGUUGAAAGAUCUUUCAUACAAAAUAAUCAAGAAACCUAAGGAUCCCAAGGGGGCAUGGGAGACGAUCAAGGCAGAGUGGGCCUCCCUAAAGGCCAAGCCAUCCCACUACGUAUUGAAGCACAUCAACUGCGAAGCGAAGCCGGGUGAGGUAAUGGCGGUCGCGGGGCCGAGCGGAGCAGGAAAAUCCACAUUGCUCGAGGUUUUAGCUGGAAGGAUCAAACCUGGAUCGGGCUCUGGCAGCAUCCUCGUGAACGGACAACCCAUGGAUAUGCAGCAUUUUCGCAGGAUUAGUGGAUAUGUGAUGCAGGACGACGCGCUCUUCCCCAUGCUCACCGUCAGAGAGACGCUCAUCUACUCUGCGAGACUGCGGCUUCCGAGCGUGGUCCCAACCAGUGAGAAGAUUGCGCGAGUCGAAGCUCUUAUGGCAGAACUUGGUUUAAGUCAUGUUGCAAGCACCCGCGUCGGCAACGAGAAUGUCCAUGGAUUGUCUGGAGGAGAAAGGCGUCGCGUCUCCAUUGGGGUUGAUGUCAUCCAUGAUCCCGCCGUGUUGAUUCUUGAUGAACCCACUUCGGGGCUAGAUUCCGCAGCUGCACUUCACGUUUGCAGCAUGCUGCGAUCCAUGGCGGUCUCCCACAAGCGCACUAUAAUUCUGAGCAUUCAUCAACCGGGUUACCGGCUUCUGCAACUGUUCCAUUCGAUCUUGUUGCUUGCGCACGGCGCAGUGGUACACCAUGGCACGCUCGAGCUUCUUGCCCAGCGUCUCCAAGCGACGGGACACAAGAUUCCUCCUCAAGUGAACGUCCUGGAGUACGCCAUCGACUCAAUCGACUCCCUUGAUGUCGACAGGAGCAGCAUCUUUUCCAUUCAAGGCAAGACCGACAUUCCAGUUCUCUCCCUCCAGGAGCUCUUCGAACUUGACCCCGCCCGUGCUGCAGCUCAGAACCUACUCGGUACGCAACCGUCGCUUACAGAUUCAGAGAAUGCCGAAGUACCCGACGAAAACGUCAAACUCCACUUCGCAAACCCAAGCAGCACGGAGAUUAUGAUUCUUGCUCACCGCUUCGUCAAGAAUGUCAUUCGAACUAAGCAGCUGCUUUACGCAAGAACGAUUCAGUCUGUGGGAGCAGGAUGUGGAUUGGGCACCAUCUACCUCCACAUGGGUUACGGUACUCCGGGACUACAGAAGCGAGUCGGAUUCCUUGCCUUCACCUUAACCUUCCUCCUCACAUCCUCCAUUGAAGUGCUCCCCAUCUUUCUCGAGGAGCGUCUCAUCUUGAAGCGAGAAACAGGGCGGGGAGCUUAUAGAGUCUCGUCUUACGUCGUCUCCAGCACGCUUGUUUUCCUCCCCUUUUUGUUCCUCAUCGCGCUAAUGUACGCCGGGCCUGUCUACUACCUCGUGGGGUUAGCGCCUGACACGGAUGCGUUUUUCUUCUUUUUGUUCACACUCUGGCUCGUACUAGUAUCGGCGAAUUCCUUCGUCUCCUUCUUCAGUGCGCUAGUGUCAAAUUUCAUUAUGGGCAAUACGUGGGUGACUGGUAUUAUGGGCGCGUUCUUUCUGUUUUCGGGGUAUUUCAUUGCGAAAGACUACAUGCCGAAUUAUUGGCUUUUCCUGCAUUACCUUUCGCUAUUCAAGUAUCCCCUGAACGCGCUCUUGAUCAACGAGUACACUCACGUCGCGGACAAGUGCUUUGGCCCGGAGUAUGGUGGCCAAUGUCUCAUUACCGGGAAGAAUGUGCUGGAGAAUAUGUUUCUUGACAAGGAGAACAAGUGGGUCAAUGUUGGCAUCAUGGCCGGGUUUGCGGUCAUGUACCGCCUCAUGUGCUACUUCGUUUUACAUUACAAGCUUGUGAAAAGGCACAGGUGAGAAAGAAGUUAGUUAGCAUUACAUGAACUCUCGUCCUACUCAAUGGCAACUCUACGACUUAGUGCGGGAUGUUGUAGCAUGAUUCCGAUGGAGAUUUGGCUCUUGUGUACGCCAAUAAAAUCUAGAUCAGCUCAAAUCACGUCCGAGAGCCACGUCCAAGAACUCGGCGUUGAUCGUGGCAUGGAGAUCUCAUUGUUCGCAUUUCAGUUGUAAUCUCAAUUAUCUGUCUGAUAGUCGAAUGGAGAGUCCCGGUGGGAGUUGUGGAUUGCCAAAAUCCUCUUGCAAUCAAACGCUGAAUGACCGCGCACUGCAAUGUCAAGAUAGAACUAUUCCAUGACAGUUGAACAAUGUCUCGAACUACUCAGUUUGUAGGUAAAGAAAAAUCCUUGUCCGCUUUAACUACAGGUAGAGAUAUCAUCUAUUGAUGCCCAUUUACAGUAUGUUGAAAUCGCACUCAACAGCGUUUAGCUACGUUACUUCACAUGUGAGGCGUGUAUGUUCCAGUGAAACCAUCUAUCAAGCAUGCGAGAUCUUUUUUGACGCCGUGACGCAGCAUGGCACACGAUUGUAACUGGUCUGAUGGUAAUGAGAGUUCCGUUGCAACUGCAGCCUACUCCAUUAAUCUUGGUUAGUUGUUAUUAUUCCCACGACGCAUUUGACCGUGUUUGUAUUCCGUUAAGAGCGUCCCCCCCCCCCCUCACGAUUGCCAAGAUUUGCUAGUUUCACAAGCCGACAUCCCUCAUCUGAAGUCAAGAAGUCGCCAGAUAGGCAUUUAACUUGUAGUAGACAAGGGUUGUUGGCAUGUGGAACCAUCAGAAUCUGACAACCAUAUCUACACAGUGUUGCUCAUCUCGGCGUCCGCUCGCGUCAAAACGCUCCUGAUUGUCUGUAUCAAAAGCUAAAUACAUGCUGAAGUACUCACGGAUCAUCCUGUCGUUUCGAUGAUUCCACCGAAACACGCCUGUUGACAAGACAAUCCGAUCGACAUCUAAUAUGAGAAGAAACAAGACUUCCUCAAAGAUGGAGAUGCUCCAAGAACUCGAAUAUACGACAAAUUAAAUAGUCGUAAUACCGUGAUAGGGCGAUAAAGAACCUUCUUAUCAACGAACGUGGGGCGUCACGCUUCAAACCACGACGCAAAGCAGGGAGAUAGUGAAGUACUCUGGUUCACUGCCGGCUUCAAGCGCAAACCUUCUUUAGAAAUCAUUGAGCAAUAUAAUAUUCCACGCCACCAGGGCCUCACACAUGCCUGACGUGGAUCGGGUAUGCAUUCGCGUGGUUUAUGCCCGUCACUGAAGGCGAUUUAUAAAUUUAUAAAUCAGCGAGUAUUUGAGGCCAUGUAAUCCAAAUUUCUGUGACAAUGGACUGCUGACGAUGCAAGGUUUGUUUAUACCUUUGACUUCGGCAUGGUGACAAAGAUACUCUUCGGUCAUGAAGAUUCAUAUGUGCAAACAACGGUUGGUUUCAUUCUAGGGCUCUCCAGCCAUGAGGCAACAUUACUGAAAAUCUGUAAAGUUCGUGUGAAUUUGGAUGAUUGUAACGCAGAAGUUCAGAUCUUUCCUCGUUACGUAAACAGUUGUAAGCCAAUGGGUGGUGGUUCUGAAAGAGGGAUUGUGGAGCGGGCUGCCGUAUGAAAUUAUUAAGCCAGUGCUGUCUUUCAUGCCAAUUCUAGCCAUGUGCAGGUUUUCCUGUGUGUGAAAAGGCCUGAAAAGAGCUUCUGAGCAAGGCAGUCUGUUUUGACCCACGAGGCUUGAAUUAAUUGGUCUUUUGUGCGUUUCUUUUUGUAACCUGGACAUGAAUUGUGAUUUUGUUGUCCUAAGCUACAACUUUGAGAAAGACAGAUAAAAAUAAGUGACCGCCCUUUUCAUAUCUUGCAAUGAAGAAUUUAAACGAUCAUUUGAUGAUGUUCAUUACAAACUACUUGUCUGCACUAAUAAGUUCUAAGUGAUGUAUGCUAGUUAAGAUGAUUAAGGCCUGCCCUCAACUUAUCAUUCCAGCAGAGUUAUUUUUUCAUCCACUAUUCCUUCUCUCUAAGAAGUCACUUAAUUUGUACUAAAAAAUUGUUAAUGCUACAUUCCCAAUUGAUAUUGCUAUAUUCCUAAUUGUUAAUGCUACAUUCCCAAUUGAUAUUGCUAUAUUCCUAAUUGUUAAUGCUACAUCCUCAAUUGAUAAGUAUUUUUUAUUUUUAGAAAAUAUUUGGUAGUCUAAUAUUUAAUCCCAAUAUUGACCAAAAAAUAGACUAAAUCAAAAAGAUUAGUUUUUUGUAUUUUUGGUAGUCAAAUAAAAUUUAACAUAUAUAUAAAUUUUAUUUAAUUUUUUAAAGGAAAAAUAUAUAUUUUUUGAAAAAAAUAGCUUACAACUUAUAUUUUUAAUAAAAUAUUCAUUGUCUCCUUCUCAACUACUUUUUUUUUAAAGCAAAAAAAGAAAAUAAUGUGAAAAAAGAAGAGACAUAUUAUUAGCUAAUUGUUGAUAAAGAAGUCACAUGGAAUAUAGCAAUAUCAAUUAAGGAUGUAGCAUUCAUAAUUCUCUUUGUAUUAUAUAUAUAUAUAUAUAUAUAUAUAUAUAUAAUUAAAAUUAGUUCUACAAUGUCUUCAAUUUUUAAUAUAGUAUUAGACCUCUAAUCAAGAAUAGUUCAUUAAGUCAAUAUUACUUUUUCUUAGAACCUUUUAGCUUUUAGAGAUGGUAGAUUCAAAUUGAGAGAUUACAAGUAAUAUAUAAGGCCAAUAAGUUGAAAUUAGUUCACAAAAUACCUUUGUUAGAUGACAUACCAUUAAUAUAAUAUAAUAAAGAAUAAUUCAAAAGCUUGUUGCUCAAAUGAAUAUAAGCAAUAGUCAUGCUAGUUAUAUUAGAAAUAAUACCAAAAUACUAGAGACAUAUGUAUAGCUUGACAAAUAUUGCUUAUGGAUAAGUUUGUCAACAUUUACAAGACUGGUAAUUUAUAAAAUCUAUUCUCACUUCUGCGGAGAGUAGCAUCCAUAAUUUUUUCUUUCAAAGACAACUCAAACAAGUUCAAAAAGUUAAAUUAGAAGAAGAUAAUCUACAAUCUCUAAUAUCAAAUGAAAAUUUCUAAAAAGAGGGAUAAUCCACUUUUUUUAAGAAAAAGAUCAGUGUUAAAAAAUAAAAUUAUUUGUUCAAAAGUAGGUAGUCCACAACCUUCAAAAUACAACAAUACAAGUGGAGUAAUCUGCUCAGUUUUAAAUCAAGAUAAAAAUAGUAAAUUAGUACUCUUAUCAAACUAUCAAGGAUAUGAAUCUUGAAGCCGUAGUAAUAGGGAGCUCAAGAACGACAAAAAAUUAAUGUACAUGCAUAUCAUAAGAAACAACCACAAUUUAACAUAAGUGAUAAGAUAUAGUUACUUUGUUGCAAUAUCAAGACUAUUGAUCUUUGUGACAAGUUAGAUUAUCGUAGGCUUGGACCUUUUCUUAUUAGUGAAUAAGUCAAUCCUAUUGCUUAUUGAUUAUAUCUAUGGGAUUCUAUGAAGAUCUAUCCUAUAUUUCACAUGUCCCUUUUUGAGCCAUAUUAGACAAUAAGUAUUUUGAAAUGAAGACAAAUGCCACUUCUUCCUAUAGAAGAAAAUAAUAAUAAAAAAUUUGAGGUGGAAGAAGUCUUAGAUUCAAGAAAAUACCAAAAUAGGUUGGAAUAUCUUCUUUAUUAGCAUGGAUAUGAUAUUAGUAAACACACAUGAGAGCCAACAAAAAAUCUUGCAAAUACAACAAAGAGAAUUGAAGCUUUUUAUUGAUGGCAUCUAUCAAAAGCAAGAUGAAAAAUAAAAAAUUCUUUGAUAUAAAAGAAAUAAGAUCAAAGAAAGAUAACACUCUACCUUCUAUUAUUUUUUGUAGUUUUUGUGUAUUUGUGACACUAAGGAGAUGGAAAACUAACAACAAAUAGAUUCAAUUCAAGAGCUUUUAUUUAUUGACUUAUUAGACAAGUCAUUAUGAUUUUUACAAUCUUCAAGAUGAUGUAAUUAAGAUGAAGAUCUUCAAGAAUGACAUGUCCUUCUUCAAAUAGAUUUUGAGAUACAAUGUGUUUGAUAUCACAACCUUAGAAAAAAAUCAUGAUAUUUGAUGAUUUUAUUAGAGAUAGGAACAACUCUUGAUAAUGUUCUAAAUAUUUUAUUCGAAAGAAGUUACGAAGGCCUCAAGAACAAUCAAAUAACAAGGUGGUCUUCUCACCUUGGUAUGAAAUACUAUCAAUGGCUGAGAGGACCUAUCAACCACCUUUGGAGAGAAUAAAGAUUAGAGUAUGUGUAAAAUAUAAUUUGUCACAUCUUGGAUUUCAUCAUCAUAUGAUGAUUGCUCCUCAUGAAACUUAUCUCUAGAAGGAGAGAUAAUAUCAUGGAUAUAUAUAGGUAUUCUAAUAAAUACCUAUAUGAUUACAUAAAAAUAGAUAAAAAUAAGUUAAUUUCAUAAUACCUUUUAGAGAAGCUUUCUAGAAGUUUUAUAGAUAUUGCUUUAACUUUAAAUAUAUUUUUAGUUGAUUGGUAGGUUAGAAACUUGGUCAAUAAGUUAACCACAUGUUGAUAGCUUGCUAAAGAAUGUAACUAUGUGGCGCACAUAUAGAAAACUUACUUUGUAAGUUAAGAUAUGUGUCUUGCAAAGUCAACAUAUUUUGGAGGUGCAAUGGAACAUCACCAUGUAGUUCCUAGUUAAGAGUAUAUAUGGAAGGAAGAGUGAAGCCUUCUUCACUCUUAUUGAUAUCUUUCUAGUCCUUAGUCUUGUUUUAAGACUUUUUAGUCUUCUUGUUUUUAGCAAUAGCCAUUCUAAUUCAAUAUUAUAUCAUCUUUGAGUGGCUUUCUAAGUUCUUUUCAAUGAAAUAAGAGUAUAUUUUUUUUCUUUGAGAUUUAUGUCCUUGAUAAUAGUAGAAUAUAUGCAAAUUUCAAAUUUUGCAACAUACAAUGUUAUUGUGCUAUGUGAAAAUCAGCUUAAGAAUGAACUUGGAAGGAUUUGGUCUUACUUUCAAAUUAGAUUUAUAAUACAAAAAUAAUGCAUAAGGUAUUUAAAAACAAAUUUUUGACAAACUUGAACAAAAUUUAACAAUAUAUUAUGUUAAAAAUACCUUAUUAACUUUUUUAAAAUCCUAAAAAUAUUUUAUCAUUCCUCAAUCAUCUCCAAAUAAAUCUUAAAUAUUUUCUAAUAAUUCUAAUUAGAUUCAAAAGAAUUUCUAAUCAAACAAAGAAAAUCCUAUGAAAUCCUAAUAAAUUCUAUUUAAAUCCUUAUAAAAUUCUAAAUAAUCUAAAAGAAACUAAUCUAACUCUAUACAAUUUUUAAAUAAAUUUUAAUAAAAUUUUAAGUAAGUGUUGACAAAUCUUGAUCAAAUCUAAAAUAAAUUUUAAUAAAUAUUCAUUAAAUCCUAAAAAAAUUGUAUAAAUUUUUUUAAUUAUCAAUAAUUAUUAAUUUAACCAUUAACCUCAAUUAUUAUUAUUUUUUACUUUUUAAACUUCUAUUUGACAACAAACAUACAAAAUUUGAAGAAAUUUAAACUUACAAUUUAAGAGAAAAAGCUCUUCAUUUUCUUAUUUAUUGACCAUCUUCCUUUUUCAACCUUAAUGUUAAUCUUUUAGUAUCAAUAGCUCCUUUGUAUACCAUUUACUUGCUUUAAAAAAUUAUAUAAAUAUUAGAAACUAAAUCAGCUAUUAGUUCAUAAUUUUGUUUUUUUAAUCCAACUAAAAAAUUGCUUAAAAUUCUAAAAACCCUCAAUAGUCCUUAAAAACCAAUUUUUGAGACUCUAAUCCACUUGAACUUUGAUAACCUUUGUCUAUUUAAAUUAAAAUUUGAAAUAUAUCUAAUACAAUCAUCUUUAUAAUUUCACAAAUUUUUAUUUAUAGAUCUACUAUAAAACUUAUAAAGUUUAUCAAGUGUUAUUUCAUUUUUUGUCUCAUAGAAAACAAAGAUAUUCAAAAAAAUCUUAGCUUUGCAAUACUCUCAAAAAGUCAUUAUUUUCUUUAAUUACUAAAAAUUAAUGCUCAAAGAAAUUAUAUAAUUUUUUAUUUUUCAUUUUUUAUUUAUGUUUUUUAAUCUUUUUCUUUGAUCGACAAAACAAUUCUACAUUUGUUGUAGGUGCAUAAUUUUGUGUCUUAGGAUUUGGUUUUGAUAUUAGUUCACAACUAGUCUUCUUUGGAUAUUAAUUGAAUAUAUGUUUCGAAAAUCUUUACUAAAAGCUAUUCUUUAUUUUUACUUAAAGAUACCUAUAAUAUAUAUAUAUAUAUAUAUAUAUAUAUAUAUAUAUUUUAAUCUACUUUUUUUUGUCUUUUUUGUAGCUUUGCAAAAUAAAUAGAAUAUAUUUUCUAUAAAAAGAUAAUAUUAAUACUAAAUUAUUUUUUACUAUUUUAUUAAUUUUUAUCUAUAUUUUUUAAAGAAAUUUUUCAGUAUAUUUUUAGUCAAGCUCUUCUAUAUAUAUAUAUUUCAUUCAAUAAUUUUGUAAUAAUACAUUAACACACUUCUACUAAUCUUAAUAUUAAUUUUAAUGCAUAGGUGCCUAUAUUAUUAUAUAAGUCAUUUUUAUAGAUGAUCUUUUGAUUACUAGUUUCAAGCCAUAAUUAAUUAAUAGCUUAAAAUAAGAUUUCUAAUGCUACCAUAAAAUAAAGAAUUUGAGAUUGAUAUAUAAAUUAUUUUAUAUUUAAAUUAUCCAAACUUUAUAUGACAUGUUUUUUAUUAAACAAAUUACUCCAUUUCCAUCCUUGCCAAAUAUUCCAACCAUAGUAUGUCUACACAAAUGCAAUUGUCUUUGCAAAAGAAAAAACAUUCAUUUUGUCAUUUCUAAAGACUAUCAAAUCCUUGUUGAUCAAUUACAUUAUUUAAAAAAGACAUACCUAAAUAUUGGGUUUUAACAUCUCUAUCCAACUAUUUUACGUAUAAUCCUCAACAAAAAUAUCUUAUUAUUGACAAAAGAAUAGUUGGCUAUUUGGCAAUUUUUUUAUUAUUCUAUAGAUCUUUGGUUCAAAGAAUAAAAAAGCUAUUUUUCAAAGAUUUUCUAAUAUUAAUUAUUAUAAUGACUUAAAUAAGAAAACUUUAACUAGUGCAUAUAUAUAUUUUUUUUUUACUUUUGACAAACUCUAAUAUUAUGGUCUUUAUAAAAACAAAGCUUAUUGUCAAGAUCAUCUUGUGAAUCUAAAUACAAGAUUCCUUCAAGAUGCACAUAUAAAGUAGUGUUUAUUAAAAGGCUAAUUCAAGAAUUGGAUUUUUGACAUUAACAUUCAACUAGGCUAUGGUGAGACAAUUAGAAUGCGAUUAGAUUGAUAAAGAAUCUAAUUUUUUACAAAAUAACUAAAUACUUUAAAAUUGAUUAACAUUUCAUACAAUAGAAAAUAAAAAACAAAGAAAUUACUAUAGACUUUAUUAGAACUUUUAAAUAGCUUGCUAAUAUUCUUACAUAAGCCAUAGGAGAAAAUAAAUUUUAGAGAAAAAAAAAUAAUAAUAAAUUUGAAAAGGCUCUAAAGAGGCUCAAAGACAUAGCUGAUCUUUAACAUAGCGUACUAAAAUUCUAAAAAUUAUUUCUUUUUAGAGACUCUUUAGCCUUACCCUGGUAGCAAAGUUUUUAUACCUUCUCUCACUCACUCUUUUGAUCUGUCGUUUACAAUUUGGGCGAGUAUAAUAUAUUCUAGGUUGAAUACUUCUUCUAACAACAUAGAACUUUAUAAAGUAAGGUCAUCUGUUGAACAAAGAUUGUGAGACUGAUGUUGCAAACUAGAGCCUCUUUUGUAAUCCACUUCCAAUUGUGCGUUGUCUGCUUCUCCUCCAACACCUAACUGGAAAUAAAACCAGCACAAGUAUCUCGGCUACCACAAGAACAACAAAGUAAAGUAGCUACAUCUCUAUCAACUCAAUUAAAGCACUGCAACUAAAGUACAUAAAGAUAGAAUUAGCGACAUUGCUAGAAUUCUUAGUGUUAACAGUCGUUCCAUAUCUCUACUCUCAGAGAUGAAUAGUGAUGGGGCUCAGAAUUGCACCCGACCUCUUGUGAGACACAUGAGUUCUGGCCAUAACCUAUCUACUUCUAAGUUAGGACUAGAACUGAUCCUUCUUUCUAAGAAAGUGCUUAUUCUGUACUCCUUUCUUUUCUGAUUGAAAUUGGUUCCACCAUGUCUCCGGCUCUCAACAUAUGCCACCAUGCAAUUUUUAAAGCAAGCUUCUGGACGUUACUAGUAAUAAUUAGGCUGGUUAGUCUGAUCACAAUUGCUGAUGACAGCAGCAAGAAUGUGCUCGCAAACAGUGCUGGUUGGUUUAAACUACAGAGUGGUGGGAAAUCUGUCCAGUACCCAGUUCCUUGCCCUUAUUUCAAUCGAUGCUGCAAGUCUGGAAUCCCUGUGAAGUUCAUCAGAGAAGCUGGUAUGUCUUGACUUGGUGAGUGGAUUUGCAGACUUAUCUCCGAACCCGAUUCCGUUACGUUCGGGGAGAAAAAUUGUUGAUCAUGAGGUUGGAGUGCUCCAAAGUUCGUUUAAGCUCGUGAAUCUGAGCUUCAGCAACGUGUUGAAAUAAGGGGCGGUUUCUUAGUUUUCCCCCGAGGGUUCGCGAAGUCGAUGCAUCAGGAUGCCGACAGCAGCAAUGUCUGUUAUGAACUAAACAAGUUACCAAUUAGUUCUGAAAUUGCUAUCAGUUGUGUAGAUUAAAAUUUAUCAUUAAUUGAUUCUCAAGUAGGGCCUUGAUGUCUGUAAACCUCGUAAUUAGACGUUUGGACUACAGUGGAUAUUUAAAUUUGUAUCAAGAGGUAUGAUUAGCUUCACUUCCUCGAGCUAGUAUGUCAACAAUUUCGGGACAAAUUGGUUUACCUCUUGUCUGCGUGACUUACACGCCGUGGGAGGUUGAAGGUUGGCCAAAGUGUCGCAGCAGUAACGUUUUGGCUAGGGUGUUUUAGGUACUUUCAAGUAUGAUGGAGUAGCUUUUAAGAGUACGAUGACUUGCCAGGGAAUUCAUCGUCCACCAGAGUUCUGGUAAGCGAAGAAACAUUCGAAACGCGAGACUCAGUAUUGUGUAAUGUUCUAGCUUGAAACAAAUCUCUGAAUGCCAAUGUUAGCACUCCUGCAGAGCCCUUAGGUUGACUAGGCACAAAUGGCGAGAGUAAAAGGCAGAAUCGGCUUGGGUGGCCAAAGCCUCGUGAUUGUGCACCUGAGACCAGACGGUCCAACCAAUUCGCAUAAGUUGUGGUUGAAAACGUAAAUGAGUGACUGCAUUUUGGCAAUCCUCGCAUUUGCAUAUGAUCUUCAAAGCCAGGCUGGUUAGACCACUACACUGAAAAUGAGAAUGAUAAACAUCUAUUGCAUUGUACAGAAAGUCUUGUCCUGAAAUAUGUAGUGGUUCUCCUAGGUGAUUGCUGAUGAGUGUGUUGGGAUUAGUGAGAAGUGUUAUUCUCACAGCAGCACGAGUCAGUGACACCCAUGUGCUCAAUGUGAGGACCUUUCUCACCCGUCGAGCAUUUGGUGAUUCAGUGGGGCUACUCUAUUUCACCGCACACCUAUCUGUUCUAGCUGAAAUUAUCCUUGAUUUCUAACCAAGGAUAAAUUCAGCUAGAAGAACGUCACCUCUAGACCACGCAACCAAUAUCUCAUUUGUUGAUCAAUUCGAAAUCCAGAUGGAAUUGAACAUCUUCAUGAAUGCUCCGAAACAAGUGUAAGGAUAAACCCGAGUGCAAGAUGGAAAUUGGACGGUCCAGCCUUAUCAAAGUACCAGUGCCAAAUUCGCCUUCCAGCUCAGUUACGAAUUCCAGAACUACUAGAUGGCAGCUACAAGAAUUUGCAGAGAGAACUUACAGAGAGCCGAAGCUCCACUCACCACUGACGUCAAUGGUACAUUCACGCGAGGGCCUUAAAAGGAAAUUAUGAUUCCACAAAGAUCUCCAGUAUGCAUUAUACAAGGUCGCUCUCUGAUGUUGAUUUCUACACAUCCAUCACGUUAGUCAAUGAAACCAUUCAGGCUAUAGCGAACAAUCACUCUUCUGUUUCGACAUACCACUGCGCAGAAAUAUCAGUAUUAGGAGUGAUCUGCAGUGAGCGAUGAAAAUUCGACAAAUUGACCAUUUAAGGGCCGAAAACAUUACAUAUCACAGAGAAAGCCUAGCGAAGCCCAAGGACAUCUAUCCACGCCAGAUACACUGAACUCUCUUAAGUCUAAUCCAGCUGCGCGUAGAAGAUACCCUCGAUCUUCACCUCCUUCGGAGCCUUCGACCCCAGGUCAGUGUCUGAUGGCUGGAUGCUCUCGAAUGUUCCUGCAAUCUCCCCAGUCUCCGUGUUGCUCUUGGCAAUGCUGAAGGUGAUGUUGCCGUUCAAAGCAGCAGUAUUCUUCUCAUUCUCCUUCGCCAACUCCUCUUCAUCUCCGGCACCACCAGCAGGCAGAGCGACGGCGUUGUCGUAACCGGUGGAUCCACCCCUACCCUUAGGGUCCAAGAAAGAUGAUCCUCUGUACGAAGGCACCAAGAAUGAUCCACCGAAUGCCUCCGGUUUACCUUCUGCCACCAACUCUUUCACAGUGAACAGGAAGGGAACCCUCUCUCCUCCUGGCAGCUGCACGGUCACGGCGGCGUAGUCAAUGCCGUCCUUCUCCUCGAACCUCAGGUUACCGCCCUUAACGGUCAGAGGGCCCUCGAUUUCGUCCAAAGUGUAGGUCAAUCGAGUCAUCAGCUUCGUCUGCUGGUAGCCCUCACUGCCUCCCUUGAAUGGCGACUCGGCCUUCACGGUGAAAGAGGUAGGCUCGAGGCAGAGCUUCCUCAUGGUGUACUCCCCAUCCUUGAAGGAAAACUGACCGGAUCCCUCCGCCACAAUGGGGCACUGGUUAGCGGUUCCCGACCCCUUCACGUCCAUGUAAGUCUGGGCGUUGAUCUCGUCGAACGUCAACCUCUGUGGAACUCCUUCAGCUAAUGCAGCCUGCACAGAAAAUCCCCCAAAACUAAAUCAAAGACUCACAUGGACGCAGAAAACACAGACCACACCCGUUACCUAUAACUUCGACCUGAUCUAGAACAUGAAAUUCGAGGUAGUGAAGAUAGGAAUCCGCCCCUGAGAGUUAAAUCCUAGAAACUGCGUUAAAAUCCGUCUCGUGGUAGGUUACAUGGCGGCUACUGGAUCAGAAGAGAAAACAUAAAAGGGGCACAUAAAAGCAAAUCGACAGUUCCAGUGCGAAUAUGGCUUACCCCAGCCAUGAGGGCCGAUGAGGCCAGGACGAGAGCAGCGGCCUUGGCGCCAUCAACAACGCUCCUCACAUUCUCCUCCAAGUUGCAGGACACGCGAGCAGCAGCCGGCGUCAAGCCGAACGCGCUGCUAAGGGAGGCUGACUUGAUGGUCUGCACCUUCUCGAGCUUGGAGUUCGAGGCCAAGGCGACCGACGUUUUGCACGAAGCGGAAGCAACGGAGGCUGCCAUGGCUGCACCCAGUUCCUUGCUCGCAGCUGGGCUCUAGUUUCAGCCUGGCAAAAUAGUCCACACCCGCAAGCUCCUACAACCAAUAACCCACAGGUUACGAGUGCUAGAGUGCAUAUCAAAUACACUUGGAAUGGAUGGCGCUAGGAUCCGGACCCCGUGACCCGGAUAAGGGCUGGGAUUGGGUAUUGGUGGCGCAGGGGAUAAGGCAUUCACUGGGAAGGCCGAAAGUGUUCAAACCAAGGGAUCGCAGAGUGGGACCGGCGCGUUACUGCCAUGCGCUACUACAGCCAGUACCUGAGGUUCAAAUGGCAUUCCUCUCCAGCGGUUGGAUAGAGUAAUUUUCUGCUCCUCCGCAAGGCGUACUGUUCACCAGUCGUAUUUAACAAUUUCCAUCCUUGUCAACACAUUACUUAUAACUACGUACUCUCCAUGAAAAACUACAUGCGUAAAACAACACAUUGAUUCAAUUCCAUGUAGAAACGAUUCAAGCUUCGACACAGAAUUAGGACGCCGAUUAUUCACAUGCAAAAGCGGUGUGUUGAAGGGGUGGUGGCUUCGCUGGAUACGACGAAGUCCUUUCUCGGCCUGCCACUAAUGUCGGAGAUGAGGAGACGAUGAGGGUCAAUGUGAAGGAACACAGCAGCCUUGAACGACACACCACAUUCAACAUUGCCAAGAGCAGCAGAGACUGGGAAGACCGCAGCAACAUCCAAAACCGUGCAGCCUUCAGACACUCAAUUGGGGUCCAAGGUGCCGAAGGAGAAGAAGAUGGAGGAAAUCCACACAGCCCAGUUGAAUUUGACUUGAGUGUGAGAAACUAACUACGCCUCAAGGCAUUCUCUGAACUGUCAUGGUCUCACUCCUUUACUGAUCAUUCUGUUGUUGGUUGUGUUUUUUACGGCCAUUGCAGAAGGCACAAAACAAACAGGCUGCCUUGUUAAAACCCGAAAGUGAAAGACAGUAAGGCCAACCAGAACUGGCUCAUAAAUGCUGUGAGUCUCCUUCCCUGUCCUUUGUUUUUUAAAAAUUGCUAUCUAAGCAUUGGAUGCAUUGGUUAUAUUUCAUGGUAUUAAUUUUGAUCUUAUUUCAUACAAAGCUAUAUAUAAAAUUAGAAUGUAUAUUCUAUGAUAUACAUAGUUACAUAAUAGAUAUUAUAAUUAAAUAAUUAAUAUUCUUUAAUUAAUAUAAGGUUUAAUAUUUAAUUCAUUGUUAUUAAUUGACCUAAUUAAUUAAGCAAUAUAUUUAAUAAGCAAGGUCCAAAUAAUAAAAGGAUCCAAAAAAAUAAAUUUAAGGUGGAUUAAAGAUAUCCAAACCACCUAAGAAUUGGACACAUAAUUUAGGUCAAAUUAGAGUUUAGACAAUUGAUAAAAAAUAUUUAAGGUAGAUUAUAAAAUAUCCAACCUACUUAAAAACUAAAUAGUUAGGUUGAAUCAUAUUAAAGUAGGACAAUAAGUAGCUAUUAAGAAAAAGAUGGUUAACUACUAUAAUUAAUUAGAAAUAAAUAUAAAUGUAUAGUAAGACUAUAUUGAAACAAUUCUUCUUUUGUUGUUCUAUUAAAUCUAGAAGUUCAUUAGGAAUAAUUUUGCACUAUAGUGUCUCUAUUAAUAUUUUGUUCAAUCUCAAUUUUAAAUGUUUUUAACUAAAAUUGAAUUAUAUAUGGUUAUUUUAAACAAUAGUUAGUUAAAAAAAAUCUUAAUCUUCUUAAGAAUACCUAGUUUUGUCUAUGAUUUAUUAAAUUUGGUAUAAGAAGUUAUGUUGAGAUUAGUAUUUAUAAACAUGCAUUUGAUAUAUGAUAUAAUAAUUUAAAAACAUUAAAUGGUAGUAAACAAGUCUUUUCAACUUACAACAAAUUUUGACUAAAAUUUUAUAUUAUUCAACAUCCAAAUUCUUGUACCUCAAGAAUUUUAAGUAUCCUUUCUAUAUUUCUAUAUAGGAUCUAUCUCUGUACUUGUCUUAAAUCUCCAUAGUUCUUAGCUUUGUCAAAAUCAUAGUCAAAUAAUUCAACUUUAAAACUAUUUUCAAUUUGUGUGUCAAUUUUAUCUAUUAAUUUUAUUUUUUAAUUUUAUCUUAUCUUUUUCAAUCUAUUCUUCAAACAUUUAUAUCUUCAUGGACAUAAUCUUAUCUUUUGUAUCAAGGACAUGAACCUCAAAGAACUAAAAUGUCAAUACACUCUUGUGAUACUUGAAAAAACUACAAAAUCAUUCAAAGAUGAUAUAGUAUUAAACUAGAAUAGCUAUUGCCAAAGAUAAGAAUACUAGAAAGUCUUAAAAUAAGACUAAGGACUAGAAAGACAUUGACAAAAGUGAAGAAGAUUUUACUCUUGUCUCCAUAUAUACUCUUAACUAGAAGCUACAUGGCAAUAUCCUAUGGGACCUCUAAAAUAUGUUGACAUUGCAAGACUCGUAUCUUAACUUGCAAGAUAAGUUUUCUAUAUAUACGCCACAUAGUUAGCUUGCUCCACAAGCUAUCAAUAUGUGGUUAACUUAUUGACCAAAUUUCUAUCCUACCAAUCAACUACAAAUAUAUGUAAAGUCAAAGUAGCAUCUAUAAGACUUCUAAGAAGUUUUUCUAAAAAAUAUUAUAAAAUAAAUCUAUUUUUAUGUACUUCUAUUUAAUCAUAUAGGUGAAUAUCAUAAUAAAUAUGCAUGCCCAUGAUACCUUGUUUUCUUCAACCUAAUCUUUAAUCAUCUAUAUCUUCAUUAACUUCUUUUUGUCUUUGUUUUUUUCAAUCUAAUCUUCAACCAUCUAUAUCUUUAUUAACUUCUUCUUGUCUUUGUCUUCAAUCUAAUCUUCAAACAUGUAUAUCUUUAUUUCAUCUUACAACUCAUACAACUCAAUAUUAAACCAAAAUUUUAUAAAAUAACAUGCAAGAAUGUGAAUUGUAAUAUCUUUAUUAUAAUUUUUUUUGAUGAUUAAAAUUCAUAUUUUUAUAGUAAAUUUAUUUUCAUAUUAAUUAAAAAUAGUAAAAUUAAUAUAUUUUUAACUACCAUAACUAUCAAAGUGGUUUCAACUUCUUUAUCUUUUAAACACAUGGAUGGCUAAUCACUUUGCUGUUUCACACUUUCUAAUUUUUUUCUAACCUUAUUUAUACUUGCUUCUAUAAGCUGGUUUUUUAUAUCAAAUUUUAUUAUUUUUUCUAAACUAAUAUAUUAAUAUAAAAAAAUGAGAAUAAAAGAGAGCAUAGUUGACAUGCUUGUAUGUGAUUUUAUAUACUUUUGGUCUAGUAUUAAGUUAUAAGAGUUAUAUGAUAAAAUAAAAAUAUAUGGAUUUUUAAAGAUUAGAUUGAAGAAGAAAAAUAUAAGAUAAAAUAAAGAUAUAAAUGUGUAAAGACUAGGUUAAAGAAGACAAAGAUAAGAAGAAGAAAUAGUUGGUUGAAGAGCUAGGUUAAAGAAGAAGAUGACAUGAUUAACCUCAUGAAGAUAUGAAUAUUUGAAGAAUAGAUUAAAAAAGACCAAAUAAAAUUAGAAAAUAAAAUUAACAUAUAAAUUGAAGAUUUUUUUAACAUUGAAUUGUUUGACUGCAAUUUUGACAAAACCAAGAGUUGCAAAAGACAAGUAUACAAAUAAUUCUUGUAUAAAAACAUAAAAGAAAUAUUUGAGAUUCUUAGGAUAUAAAAAUCUAAAUUUUCAUUUAGCAAAUAUGGUAGGGAUACAAAUCUAUUGUUGGUAAUUAAGUUCAUAAAAUUUACACAAUUACUAGAAAUUUCUUUUGGUAAUGAUGAGUGAUUUAAGAUUUUAAAGAACAUUUUGUAGAAACUAUAGUCAAUUAUCUUAGUGUGAGUAGAUAUAUUUUUGAUUGUAAGACAAGACUAUAUUUGUAGUAUUUUGAAAGGUGUAUAUUUUAAUUAUUCAUAUUAAGUAUUUGGAUUUUGAAAGCAUGUGAAUUAAAUAUGGUCGAAUUUAUUGCAUAUGUGAUAUUUUUUGUAUAGAGCUAUAGAUAAAAAAAAUGAUCAAAAUAAUGUAUGAUUUGAAUAAUCCAUCUUUAGCCUACUUCAAAGAGCAUAAAACAUUAAAUAAGGCCUUUUGUAAAAGACUAAUUUUAAUAAUACUAAUAUAUUUCAAUAAUCUUGUACAAAAGAUAUUCAAUGAAAAUGGCUUGGUAAAAAGGAUUUUAAAAUUUAUUACUAAUAUCAUAUAUUUGUAGUAAUUACAGAUAUAAAUAGUUGUAAAUUAGUAUAAGUAAAAAUAUUAAAUAUAUGCUUGAUUGUGAUAAAAAAAAUAUCUUAGAAUCAAAGUUAUAAUAUAAUUAGUAUUUCUUUAAAUAAAUGAGUUAAGUUCAUCAUGAUAUAGGUCAUAAACCACUUAUUAUUAUAAGCAUCUUAGAGGGUAUUUUUACUUAAGCCAAGCUUAAUAACUUUUUAUAUUUUCCUAUUAAAGUUGAUGGCAUUAUAAAGCUUGCAUGUAUACAUUUAUGGGCACAUAAUGAGUAUACUUACAAUCUUUUGGAAAAAUAUGGAUGAUAUGCUUAUUUGCAAAUUCAAUGGUAAUAGUAAUAUAAGAUAUAUAGGAAAUCAAAGCGACUUGUGUUUAAGUAGAAUGGAUUGAUAAGGAUGCUAAAAGACAUAAAACAAAAUUGCUCUAAAGUAAGCUAUCAAAAAAGGUAGUUAAAAACUUAAAACAAUAGGUGGUGCACAAGUUGGAUGUGCAAAUGAUGCAAAAGAUUCUUCAACCAAGUUAGUAGCAUUGAAAUUUGGAUAUUUUAUUAUCAAAAGUUAUUUCAAAUUUACAAAUACAAGUAAAAAUGAGUAGGCUAAUUAUUAGCUAGUAUUGUCUUAGAAUUGAGUAUUUCUAUGGUUGUUAUAGUUUACAUUUUAAUUGCUAUGGUUUGAACUUAAAGCAUGGUUAUAAAAUAUUAAUUUUAAAUCUUAUAUUAAUUAAAAGAAUAUUUUUCAAUAAAAUCAUUUAAGUUAGGAAUUUAAAAAGUUGAGAGAAAUUUGGCAUACAAACUUAUUAUUUAUACUUUAAAUUAAGGUAUUUCUUUCAAAAAAAUAAAUUAUAUAAACUUCAAUAUUUUGAAUAUAAAUUAGUUUUUAAUUUAAUAGUUAUGAAUCAUAGAAAUUAUAAUUAAUAAAAAGUAUGUAUUAUUUUAUGUAUUAUAGAGAAAUAAGAAAGAAAUAGAAGAAGAAAAAGAAUAAAAUUUGGUAUAAACAAACAAAUCAUAGAAAUAAGUGUAAAUAAGGUUAGAAAAAGAUAAGAGAGUGUGAAAAGGCAAAGAGGUUAGCCGCCCAUGUGUUUAAAAGACAAGAUAGUUGAAACCACCUUUGAUAGUUAUGGUAAUAAUAAAUAAAUUAUUUUUAUUAUAUUUGAAUAGUAUAGAAAGAAAUUUACUAUAUAAAAGCUAUAAAUAGCUUUAAAAUUAUAUUUUAAUUAUCAAAAAAAAUUACAAUAAAGAGAUUAUAAUUUUCAUGAUUGUAUGUCAUUUUAUACACUUUGGGUCUAAUAUUGAGUCAUAAGAGUUGCAAGAUGAAAUGAACAUAUAGAUAUUUGAAGACUAGGUUGAAGACAAAGACAAGAAGAAGUUAAUGAAGAUAUAAAUGAUUAAAGAUUAAGUUGAAGAAAAUAAAGAUAAGAAAAAGUUAAUGAAGAUUUAGAUGGUUGAAGAUUAAGUUGAAGAAGUCAAAGACAAGAUUAAGUUCAUGAAGAUAUGAAUUUUUGAAGAAUGGAUUGAAGAAGAUCAAAUAAAAUUGAUAAAUAAAAUUGACAAAUAAAUUGAAGAUAGUUUUAUAAUUGAAUUUUUUGACCACGAUUUUGAUAACACUAAGAAUUCUGAAGAUUUAAGACAUGUAAAAGGAUAGUUUCUAUGUGGAAAUAUAGAAAGGAUACUUGAGAUUUUUGAGGCAUAAGAAUCUAAGUGUUCAUUUGGCAACCAUACUAAUGAUACAUCUCUAUCUUUGGUAAUUAAGUUCAUAAAAUUUAUAGAAUUAAAAAAGAUUUCUUUUAAUAAAGAUGAGUGAUGUUCUUGAAUGGAACUUAUCAACUUUACUACAAGUAUUAAGAACCAUAAAUAAAGAUGGUAUGGAAAAUUUUUAUGUUGCUCAUUAAACCAAAAGGAUUGAAAAAAUUGGACAAGAAGAAAGAAAUAACAUCUAAUUUUAAUCAAGGAAAAGGUAAAAAUGAGAUAAAUAUUAAAAAUAGAUCUACAUCAAAGAAUUUUGUAUGAAAGAAAAUUUUGGCAUUGAAGAGAUCACAAAAAAAUAUAAAACUAAUGACUACAAAUGUUAGACAAUAUAUUAGAUAAUAAGUCAAGAGAUUGGAUUUCCUAAAAGUCCAAAAAAUAUAAAGAAAUAAAUUACUAAAUAAAAACAUAUUUAUAGAAUACAUAAACAAAAAGAUGAAGAUAAAAGAUGGAAAAGAAUUGAUAGGCAAAAUGCUAAGAACAAAAAAUAUUAUAAUAGAAAAAAAGAUUCUUCUAAAAGACUUAAGUUAAAAAAACUUAAUAGAUGAUUUAAGUUCUACUAGUAAAGAUAAUAAAAAUUCAUGAAGUAAAGAAAAAUGAAGAGAUUCUUCAAUCAUAAAAGAAUUUAUAAGAAAGUUAAAUUAAAUAAAUUUUACUAUAAGUGUAGAAUCAAGUUAAUUUUUAAUAUAGUCUUCAAAUUUACCUACACCAUUAUAACAAAGAGCAACAACCAAUAUGGUAUUAGUUAUUAAAUAUACUAAAGCAAGAUUGCCCAAAUUUAAAGGCAAAAGAGAUCUAGAUUUUUAUAUCAAGGAAUUUAAUAAUUUUUAUCAAGCUAAUAAAGAAACAAUAGAUAAAGAAAAAUUAAUAUUUUUUUUAAUAACAGUUUAAAAAAUGGUACUUGAAUGGUAGGAUUAAUAUUCUAUAAAACAUUUUACUUUUUAAAAAGAUCUUAGAACUCCAUUUAUUAUUCGUUUCAAAGAAAAGUAGAGUAAUGGAGAGGUCAUCAAUAGUCUUUCAUUUCGUAAGCAAAAGAAGCGUGAGGAUGUAGAAUAAUUUUUUGAAAGAAUAAUAUAGGUAGCUAAUAAACUUAUUCUUCAAUCCUACAAUCUAUUUGAGCAAACAUAGUUUUUAAAUGGAUUAAAAAGAGAAGUAGGCAAAUAUUUAGCUUUAUUACCAACAAAUACGUCGGAAGAAGCUCUACAAUCAAUAAGAAAAGUUGAAUUAAAUAUAUAUAGGAAUAAAAAAAACUUAUGAUAUAGAAUCUGAGGAUUCAAGUAUGGAUUUAGAUAAAAAAGAAAGAAAAAAAAAAGUAGAAGAUAGAAAAAAAAGACUAUUGAAGAAAAUUUAAGAAAAUUAAAAGAAGAGAUGGCUCAAUAAAGCAUUGGAUUAAAAUAAUUUAGAAUAGAUAUUUUUUUUAGAAAGUGCAAUAAUGAAGGACAUUUUAUUUUUGAGUGUCAUAUGAAAUUUUGCACAAAUUGCAAUACAUAUACACAUCAAAUUUAUGAUUGUAUUUAUAAUUGGCAUUAUAGAAAUAAAAGUUUAGCAAUUUGUCAAGUACAACCACAAUUAAAUAAUAUGAAAAGAAGAAGUUUUAUGAGAAGAAAUUUACCUAUAAAUCAAGAUAGAGAUCAUGGAUCCCUGAAUCAACAAUAUUAAAGGAGGGAAGAUACUAUGAAAAAUAACACUUAUAGAGGAGAAGAAAGAUAUCCUUAUAGAAAAGGGUAUAGAUCCAAGUAUUAUGAGGAUAGAUUACAACCAAAACAUGAAGAAGAUAUGGAAGACAUAUAAAUGUAAAUUUACUAAGAAAAGAUUAUAUAAAUCAAGCACUUGAGUGGUAUGCUUGAUAUUAAAAUUAAACAUCAAAUAUUUGAAAGUAAAUAUUAUCACAAGAAAAUUAUGUAAAUAAUUUGAUUAUAAUAGGAUCGAAUUAGCACCUUUUAUAAUAAAAAUAAUUGAUUAACAAAAAUAAACUAAAUAGAAGUAUCUAAGAUUUACAAAUGCAAGUAAGAGAAUUUAAUUAUAAUAUUAAAAUAAUAGUUUUGGAAAUAGAAAAGAAUAUUUAAAGCUAUUCUAUAUUAUUAGGUUAACUAUGGAUUAAAUAAAAAAAGUCUAAAUAAGAUUGGGCCAUGAAUAUUGUAACUAUUUUUAAAAAAAAUAAAAAAAGAAAAUAAGUACUCUUAAAGUUCUAAGUCAUUCACCAUCAAAAUACCUUACACACUUGUAAUGUUAUGAUUGAAAAGGAGGUUUGGCUAAUAAAGAAGAACAAAUUCUUUAUCAAGCUAUACCUUUAUUACAUCCUAUAGCUAACAUUGAAUUAUUUAGGUUAAAAAAAAUGCUUAAUUAUAAUUGUAACAUGGUAGAAAUGAUAUCACAAAAUGAUACAAAAUCGAAAGAAAAAAUAAAGAAAAAAUAAGGAUAAAAUCUCAUAAACUAAUUGAAUCAAUGAAAAAUUAAUAAAGUAUCUUAAUCAUAUUUAUAAAUCAAAACUAGAAGCCAUAGAAUCAGAUAUAAUUUGAGCUAUAGUACAAAUUAAGGAGAAAUCCAUCACAUGUUGGACAAUCAAUGAAAAAGAUCAAAUUGAUGAAGUGAAUUGGAGGACUAAAACUCAAUCAAAAAAAAAUAAAAAUAAAAAUAACAAAAUAGUGAAGAUUACAAGAAAGAAUUGAUAAGAUUAUUAAAAAAAAUAUAAAGAUAUUUUUUUAUGGAUUUAUGAAGAUUUAAAAAGAGUACCUAUUUAUAUUUUUGAAUAUUGAAUUGAAUUUUAAUUUGACACUUGACCAAUUAAACAAGCAAGACAUCAAAUGAAUUCAACUUAUGCAGCUAAAGUAAAAGAAGAAAUUAAUAAAUUACUUAAGAUAAGAUUUAUUUAUCUUAUAGAUAAAACAUAAUUAUUAUUUUUAAUAAUUAUUAUUCCUAAAAAAUUAGGAUUUUUUUUAUUUAUAUUGAUUAUAAAAGACUCAAUGGAGUCACAAAAAUAGAUCCUUUUCUAUUAUCAUUUAUUGAUGCAAUACUUGAAGUAGUGGCGGGAUAUGAAUUGUAUUCUAUAUUGGAUAGAUUUAGUGGUUAUAAUCAAAUACCAAUUUCUAUAAAAGAUCAGCUUAAAACUUGUUUUAUUACAAGAUAGAAACCAUUUUCUUAUCAAAUAAUGUCUUUUGGUUUAAAAAAUAUACCUAUUAUAUUUCAAAGAACAUUUCUAUAUGCCUUUGUAGAAUAUUUGAAUGUUUUCAUGUAAGUUUUUUUUUAGAUAUUUUAGCACAUAUGGAACUCAAAUCAAACAUUUGAAGCAUUUAGAAAAGUAUCUUCAAAGGUGUCAAGAAUAUAGAAUCAGCCUUAAUUCAAAAAAAAAGCACCUUUGCAGUUACUUUAGAUUUAUUAUUGCGUUAUUUUUUUUUUUUUUUGUAAAGAAUGACUAUUAGUAGAUCCAAAUAAGAUACAAGCUAUCAUCGCUUUACUACUAUUGAAGAAUCUUAAAAGAAUACAAGAAUUUAUGAAUUCUAUUAAUUAUCAUCAAAGAUUUAUACAUAAUUUUGCCAACAUAUCAUAACUAUUGAUGAAUUUAAUAAAAUCUAGUAUAAAGUAUGUAUGGACUAUAGAAUGUCAAUGAGUCUUUAAAUUUCUAAAAAUAAAAUUAACAACUAUUUCAAUUUUACUUAUAUCAUAUUGAAAUAAAGUUUUUUAUGUAAAUUGUAAUACUUCAAAUGAAGCAAUUGGUUGUAAUUUGGCUUAAAAUAUUAUCAAACAAUUAGAUUCACCAAUUUAUUAUAUGAAUUGAUUAUUAAACCAAUUUGAAAGAAAUUAUAAUACCACGGAAAAAGAAGCAUUGACAAUAAUUUAUUCAGUUCAAAAAUUUUGUUAUUAUUUGCUAGCAAGUUAUUUUAUAUUUUAUAUCAAUCAUCAAGUAUUAUUAUAUUUAAUUAAUAUACCAAUAUUUUCAAGAUAAUUUGCAAUAUGGAUUUUAUUGUUAUAUAAAUAUGACUUUAAAAUUAUUUACAAGCCAAGACGUCAAUAUGUCAUGGCAAAUCACUUGUCCAAAUUAAUCAUUGAAGAAGCAUCCAUGAGAGUAGUAGAUACUUUUUUAGACACGAAUUUAUUUAUAGUCUAAGUUAAUCUAUAAAAAGACCACCAUCUAUUACUUUUUAUGGAUUAAAAAAUACCUUUUAUUGACUUCUUUAAGAAUGGAUGACUUACUACAAUUAUUUUAGGUAAUGUCAAAUGAAAAAUCACCAUACAAAGUCAAUACUUCUAUUCGGACAAAACUAAAAAAUAGAUGAAAACUUCUUUAGAUGGAAUAGAAAAAAUUUAUUUAGUAGGGCCUAUCACAAAAGCUAUUAUAGUUGAAGCAUAUGAAGGACCUGCUGAAGGCUAUUUUUUGGCAAUAAUAAUUUUAUACAAAAUUCUUAAUGCUUUAUUUUGGUGGCCAAUAUUGACAUGGGAUGUAUAUGAUUAUUGUAAACAAUGUGAUGUUUGCCAACAAACAACGUCUAUGCCAAAUAAACAUAAUAAUCUUUAAUAUCCAGUAUUACCAUUAGAAGUGCUUCAAGGAUGGAGAAUUGAUUUUAUAGGACCAAUUGAUCCAUUAGCUAGUUUAACAUGGAAACAAUGUAUUAUAACUGCAAUUGAUUAUACAACCAAGUAGGUAGGAAGAAGAGCAUUGAAGGAUAAUACAGCCAAAUCACUAGCAAAAUUCUUAUAUGAAGAAAUUAUUACAUGUUAUAGUUGUUCUAUUGAUUUUAUAAGUGAUUAGGGGAUAAAUUUUAUUAAUGAAAUAAUUCAAUCAUUGACAAUAAAAUUUAUAAUUCAACAUUGGAAGUCCACCACUUAUUAACUUCAAAAAAAUAGACAAAUUGAAUCAAUUAAUAAAGUUUUUAAAGCUAUAUCAACUAAAAUAAUUAAUACAAAUAAAAAAAAUUAGGAUACUCAACUUUAUUUGGUACUCUAAGCAUAUUGUAUUAUAUACAAAGUGACAUUUAUAUACACCUUUUUCUUUAGUUUAUGAAAUAGAAAGACUUUUGCCUAUUCAAUACAUGAAUGGAAUUGAAAAAGAGAUUGAAGUUUUUAAUAUGUAAAUUGUAAUAAAAAAUAGUCUUUAUUAAGUUUGUGAGAUGGAUUUACAAAGAACAAAAGGUAAAGAUAAUAUAAUAAAAAUUCAAUUACCAAAAAAUUCCAAGACAAGCAUUAUUUUUUAAAAUUUUAAUCAAGAUAGUAACUAACUUAUUUGACAAAUUUCAAAAGAAAAAUUACAUCAAAAUGUAUGGAAGAACAAUUUAUAAUAAAAAUAUCAAAACAAUCUAUAAAAACUUAAUGAAUAUAAAGAAUGUCAAUUGGUUUUAUGGUUAAAAACAUCUUCAAUAAGAAAAAGAAAAAAAAAUUCAAUACAAAUAAAUAGAUCUUAUGUGAUUAAUUUUAUAUAUUUUAAUAAAAUAGUAGAUUUAAUAUUACCUAAUGAUAUUAUUGUUAAAGCUAAUAUAAAUAUAAUCAAACCAUAUUAUGAAACAAGAAAAAAAAUAUCUAUUUAUUCAUUUUUUGUGAAUAUUUUAUAAGAUAAUAUUAAAAAAAAUUGAUUGAAGCUAAUUUUUAUGAAUAUAUUCAAUAAAAAUUAUCAAUGAUUAAUAUAUUAAGUCAAAAAAAUAAUCUAAAUAUAUAUAUAUAUAUUUUAAAUUAUAAAUUUUUUAUUUUUAGAACUUAGCAAAAUAAUUCAAUAAUUUAAUGGCCUCAAUACAAAUAUAAAACAAUUCAAAUAUUUUGAUUAUAUUUUUUCAUCAAAAAACUUAAUCAAAAGGUUGAAGGAAACAAAUAUUAAGUUAUUUUACUAUGUGUAGAAUAGAUAAAUAAACUUUGCAGUAAGUUACUGGUUGGUUAUUGAUAACCUUAAAAAUUAGACUGAUCAUCAGGCACUUUAGUUGGUAAGAGUAGGUUGUUAGUGGAAUAAAUGGUUAAGAAUUCAAAGGAUCAUAACCUCUGGAAUCUGCUCGCUGACAGUCCAUCUUUUGGUAGGAUAAAGAGGUUGAAGAAAGGGAGAUCGAGGCCAAACUGUGAGAGUCGUAAGCCAAGGGCCAGACUGUGAUAGUCAUAAGCCGAGGCAAGCUUGGUGCUACUUCUUUUUGUUUCUUUGUUAUUGACAAGUAAUGGAUAGUUUCUAAAUACUGAGAAGUUAGUCUGGAGUGCCAAACUAUAAGAGUCGUAAUUCUGUGUGAUGAAUUGAGAAAUUGAAUACAAUAGGUAAGCUAGAGAUCAGUAAUUGAAUAUAUCUAAACCACAAAGAGAGUAAGUGGGAGAUGAAUGGAUAAGAAUAUGAAAGUAUUAUUGAAUUGAUAGUCGUAGAAUGGAUUAUGGGUUGAAUUAAGAUGGAAGUAGUAAGCUUUGGUAUUUUGUAGUUUGAUAAUUGAUUUUAGAUAGCCAGAGUACAGUUAAUUGUGACACGAACAGACCCAAUUCAUAUAAAUAGUCUUUCUUCCCUGUUCGAAUCCACUUCUAUUAGUUCAAUUGCUUUGGUAUAUUGAAGCUUGAAUACAAUGAGAACAACAUUUUGGUGCCGCUGUCGGGGAAAUGAUAACAAUAUGAAAUGUUAAAAAUUGAUUGUAUGGGAGAUGGAAUUAUAUGUUGAAUGAGAAUGUGAGAAGAACUAGUUUUAGAAUUAGAAAUAUGAGAGUUAUAAUUCAAGGCAGUAUUGAUUUUGUAAAGAAGAAUGAAAGAUUAUGAGUGAUAAUCAUGAAGAAGAAGAUUAUCAAAGAAUUAAUCGACAAGCAAAAAAAAGACAGGAACGAUUAUGCAUAAGAAAUUUGCUACGGGAAUGACAAAAAGGAUUUGUGUGUCCAAGUAAAACCAAAAGAAGAAAAAUUCAAAUUCAAAUAGCAAAGAGACCAGUGAUAAUACCAAUGGCCGUGAGAGUGCCAAAAGUACCAAUUGCAAUACAAAUAGGAGUAGUAGGAGAUCGAACUACAAGUGUGGCACCAUUACAUAUUUUUAGUGGUUGGUCGGGCUCUGAUCUUGAUCAUCAUAUAUCUCAAUUCUUGACAGUCUAUAUGACUAAUAAUGGUAGAACUGAAGACAUUUGGUUAAAAUAGUUGCCAGCAAUUUUAAAAGAUACAGCUUUUGAAUGGUAUAUUCAGUAAUCAGUGGAUAGAUUUUCCAAUUGGGAGGCCUUGAAAAAUACCUUCCUAACCCAUUUUAGACCAAUUGGAUUUGAAGAUCGGCUUAGAAAAAGUUUUAUGAAUAGCAGGAUGUUUGCAAGAGAAUCAAUGGAGUGCUAUUAUGGCUGGAUCGCGAAUAUAUUUUGUAAAUGGUCAAAUAAUCAAAUGCAAGAAGAGUUUAUAUUGUCGAUAUUAAUCAAUAGUUUGCAUCCACCAAAAUUGAAAAUAUUUGUAAAAGAGGCUCGACUAGCUACAGUAGAGGCAUUGUUGGCAUGAACAAAGAUGUAGGAAGAAUGUCAUUAUGACCAAUUGUUAACAGUGGGGGCCACGAUGAUUCCAAGUUCAAGAAGCCAACAAACACAAUCGGGAAAUGUGUCGAUGGAUAAUUAUCCACAAAUGGCUGACUCUAACAUGAAGAAUGUUAUAUUGCAAAAAUCAAUUAAUGCUAUACCACUCCAAGCAAUAGCACCAAUAACAAUGAUACCUUAUUUUACAUCGCCAAUCUAUCAACAACCAGAAUUGUUCACAAAUGUGAUUGUUAAAGAUCCAAAUGAAGCCUUGUUAUUAAAUCUAUUAAAGAAGAUGGAAGAAUUGGCUGUGAGUUUGGCUAAAGAUAAGAAAAAAUGACAUAAGCUUUCUAAUACAAGAUCUAAUGUAUGGUGUAAUAAUAAUAAGGGAUAAGGUCAUUUUGAUAUGGAAUGUCCAUCACCUAAACAAACGAGUGUUGAAUGUACAUUUUGCAAAAGAAAGCAUCCUACCCAAAACUACUGGCAUUUACAAAGGUAACAACAAUUCAGUAAUCAGACCAUGAUUCCACCAACUCAGUGGAAAGUCAAUCAAGUUCAAAUAGGAAAUACGAAUGGAUGGAAUGGAAAUCGAUCUAAUUGAUAAAAUCAAACAUUCAAUAACUUUCAAAGUUUCAAUUUUAAUCAGGGGUCUAUAUCAAACCCCUAGAACUAUGGGAAGAAGCAACAAUGAUAUCAACAAUAUGCUCCACUGUAAUCAUCGAACCAAGUACCCAUCGUACAAAUGGUGUCGUAUUGUAACACGAGUAUACCGUGAAAAUAUAAAGAAAGGGGACUUUUAUUAAUGUUCAAUUACCUCGAAUAUUGGGAGGAACGACCAAUUCCAGUGCAAAUACUGAGAGGUUAGGUUCAGUCACCCCGUUACAAUCAGUCGAGGCAUACUGAAAUGCUCCAUUCGAUUCCAAUAACGAGAGUCAGCAGGAAGGGAAAGGACCAAUUCAACGACGGGUGAGCCUGGUUCGAAGAGCCAAUUAGAUCCAAUUUCAAGACAUCCAAUCCAGGUCUUACCCAAUAUGAGACCUGAAUUGGUCGGGCAACCCAAUGCGGUCCAAUUACGGGAACAUCCAGGUUACUAUGGGCCUCUUAGCUAAUAUAAGACCUGAAUUGGUCGGGCGACUCAAUGUGGUCCCGAUUACGGGGCUCCGAUUCCGUUUCAGGCUGUUCCGUCCUUUGUGUCGUUUCGGGAACGUCCUUUUGGUAAAAGGAUCUCUUAAACGUAAAAACGAAGGAGAAAGCUCUGACAACGGAGCUAAUUCCGGAUCCAAGACAAAAGAUUGAAGAAAUUCAGAGGCUAGGGUUUGAAAGAAGGAAGAAUAAGUUUUUUAGAAGAAUCGGAGAGCUAGCUUCAUGCUUCGGGAAGGGAAAAAAAGACAAAGAAUUGGAUUUUUUUUCUUCAUAGGGUUUUGGAAAGACUGAGGCAAUUGUUGCUGAAGUCAGUGUUGUAAUGGUGAAUCGAGCUUUUUAAUGAAGUGGGUGUGAUUGCUCUUAACUGUUUUGUGAAAUCGAAGUUACGUCUGUGAUUGAAGAAUUAAAAGGGUGUCUAUAGGAUUGAGUAUGCGGAGUGAAUGAAAUUUGUUGGGUUAAUCUAACGAGACAGUCAGUGGAUAUAAGAUCGUGAGUAUAAAGCGGUAUUGAAGAUUAGCAGUUUGGAUUGUUCGGGGUUCUCUAUAACGUCUAGAGAUCUACCGAUGUUGUGUUGUAACACGAGUAUACCAUGAAAAUAUAAAGAAAGGGGACUUUUAUUAAUAUUCAGUUACCUCGAAUAUUGAGAGGAACGACCAAUUCUAGUGCAAAUACUGAGAGGCUAGGUUCAGUCACCCCGUUACAAUCAGUCGAGGCAUACUGGAAUGCUCCGUUCGAUUCCAAUAAUGGGAGUCAGCAGGAAGGGAAAGGACCAAUUCAACGACGGGUGAGCUUGGUUCGAAGAGCCAAUUAGAUCCAAUUUCAAGACAUCCAAUCUAGGUCGUCUUAUCCAAUAUGAGACCUGACUUGGUCGGGCAACCCAAUGCGGACCAAUUAUAGGAACAUCUAGGUCUUACUACGGGCCUUUUAGCCAAUAAGAGACCUGAAUUGGUCGGGCGACUCAAUGUUGUCCCGAUUAUGGGGCUCCGAUUCCGUUUCAGGCUGUUCCAUCUUUUGUGCCGUUUCGGGAACGUCCUUUCGGUAAAAAGAUCUCUUAAAGAUAAAAAUGGAGGAGAAAGCUCUGACAAUCGGAGCCAAUUCUGGAUCCAAGACGGAAGAUUGAAGAAAUUCAGAGGCUAGGGUUUGAAAGAGGGGAGAAUUAGGGUUAAAGGGGAGGAUAGGUUAAGAAAUGGGAGGGGAGAGAAUAAGUUUGUAGAAGGAUCAGAGAGCUAGCUUCAUGCUUCGGAAAAGGAAAAAAAGUCAGAGAAUUGGAUUUUUUUUCUUCAUAGGGUUUUGGGAAGAUUGAGGCAAUCGUUGCUGAAGUCAGUGUUGUAAUGAUGAAUCGGGAUUUUUAAUGAAGUGGGUGUGAUUGCUCUUGACUGUUUUGUGAAAUCGAGUUAUGUCUGUGAUGAAGAAUUAAAAGGGUAUCUAUAGGAUUGAGUAUGUAGAGUGAAUGAAAUUUAUUGGAUUAAUCUAACGAGACAGUCAGUGGAUACAAGAUCGUGAGUAUAAAGCGGUAUCGAAGAUUAGCAGUUUGGAUUGUUCGAGGUUCUCUGUAACGUCUAGAGACCUAUCGACUGGGGCAAAAAGGAUUUCGGCGAGCAGUUGAAGGACAUCCGUAUAGAUUUACGGUAUAUUCUUGCAAUCAUUUAUAUUUCAAUAGUCAAAAACCGAUAGACUGCUUGAAUAUUAGCAAAUCUCCAUACUACCUUCUACAGCCAGACGCCCGGCGCGUUCUCAAGUAAGAAAGCACGUAUUACGACACCGGCUGGGACAAAAAGGAUUUGGCAAGUAAUCGAAGGACAUCCGUAUAGAUUUACAGUAUAUUCUUAUAGUUGUUUACAUUCCAACAGUCAAAAAUCGAUAAACUGCUUGAAUAUUAGCGAAUUUCCAUACUACCUUCUACAGUCAGACGUCCAGCGCGUUCUCGAGUAGGAAAGCACGUAAUACGACACAAGUGGUGAACCCGACGUGAAAGCUUGAGGUGGAAGGUAUUGGAUUUUGUUUGAUUUUAUUUUUAUUUUUAUUUUAUGGAAAACAAAAAUAAAAAUUUUGAAGGAUUUUUUGGAGGAGUUUCUGGUGGAGGUUCUUCUAAAGGACAAGAUAUGCACAUGAAUCCGUCUAUUGCUAGUAUGUUUCAGGCCUUCUCAUUAUCAAUACAGCAACAGCAAAGCAAUGAUCAAAAGGAAGCUUUGGCAAUCAAAGCAUUGCAAGUAGUGGUCAAUAAAAUUGAUCAAUUUGAUGGGAGGAAUAUUUCAAGGUAUUUAAGAUGUUAUGUUCGUGAAAUGGAAUUAAAUCGGGUUUCUAAGAAGAAAAUGGUUGAAUUAUUUGGACUUGCCAUGAUAUUGGAGAUAAGAGACCACAUUACAUCGAUUACGGAUCGUUAUGGGAAUUCAUGGGAGGUUUUUUCACAUGCAUUGAAAGACGAAUAUUUCUUGGAAGAUGCUGAUCGCAUUACUAAGAAGUUGUUUCUGGAAUGGAUUGAAUGGCCUAAUAAGAAUUUGCAAGAAACAGAGCUACUAAUGGAAUUUGAGAGGCAGUAUUCUCAAUUAUCGAAGGUAGAAAAAUUGACAUUGGAGCCGAACAAAGUUGAUCUAUUUCUUCAAGCUGCUGAUGGAGAAUUCAAGGGAAAUUAGAACUCUUUCUUGAAGACAAAGAAGAAGAUGAAGGAUUGACAACAAAGUGGAACAACGUUGAAGAUGUAGUGGGGUUGCUUACAGAAAGAGAAAGGAAGAAGGAUAGGAGCAAUAUUUCGAAAACAGUACAAGCACCCAAAGCUCCAGUACAUACAAAACCACUAACAAUGCCUACAGUUCAACCUUCGACAUCCUUAUCAAAGAAAGCAGAUAUGGGGAUGGAAGGAAUUAUACGAGGAAUGCGAGAUCUUCAAAUCAAAUUGGCAAGACUUAAAGAGAAUACUUCUACAAACAAUUUGAAGGAUGUUUCAAAAUAAGGAUAUGUACAAAGAUGCAUUUGGUGUGAUGACGCUUCACACACUAGGAAAGAUUGCAAUGAAUUUAAUAAUAUGAUACGGCAGGGAAUUAUUUACUGGAAAGAUGGAAAGAUAGCAUUGAAAGAUAGAAAGGAUCUUCUUCAAACCAAUUUUGGCAAGGGAGGAAUGAGAGCAUUGGUUCAAGAUUACUUAAAAGAGCAUGAAACAGUAGUACGAGAAAGUGCAAGUUAUGGUGCUAGAGUAGAUGAUGAAAUUGGUGGAAGUACGGAAACUAGUGAGUUUUGGGCUUCUGCCGUUUCUACAAUGCAAGAAGGGAAAUUACCUCGAGAAGCGUUAUUGAGAACUGCAGCUACAAUACGAGGAAGAACAGGUUGGGAGGAUCCUGUUGAGUCUCUUUCAGUUCAUGCAUAUAUUGCUAAGAGCCAACAUGAAGCUUUGAUGGAAGAAAAGAGACGAGGAAAUUUUGAUGAUACUAGAGAAGAAAAUUCUUCUAAGAGGUAAACUCGAGGAGACAAGGCUCGGGAGGCAACUUCACAAGAAUUUCUUGUAAAAGAUACCUGAGCAUCAUUGGAAGAAAAAACAAGGGAAAUAAAAGAUAAGGGCAAAUCAAUUGCUUAUAAGCUACUUUCUGACAUUGAAGCAGCAAUAAAUUUGAAAGGGGUGUUGGAAGAACGUAUAUUAAACGCUAAAGUGGAAUUCACAUUGAAAGAAGUCUUGGGAAUUGCAAAGAAGGAGUUUCAUGAUGUUAUCAUUGACAGCAUUAAGCGAAAGUGGUAAUUAAUGGGCAAAACUGGAAUGAGUCAUGCUAUUGAUGCAAGAAUAUAUAAAGAUGAAGAAGAGGUUGAUAUUGGUUACAAGCAACCAACAAAUGAAAAGAAUGGGUAUAAUCAGCGAGUACGUUUCGAAGAUUCUAGUGACAAGGAAAUGGAAACUUUGAGCCAUUAUACUCGAAAGCAUUGGGCAAGGGCAACUAUUGAGGUAUUGGUGAAGGUAGGAGAUAUAGAAGAACCAAUAGUUGCUUUGGUGGACCAUGGUUCUGAAAUAAAUCUCAUGUCUAAAGAUCUUUAUAAGAAACAAAAAUGGCCAAUUGAUAUGGAACAUGGAUGGGCAAUACGAGCAGCUAAUAACACACGAGGCGAAUUAUAUGGAGCUUGUCCAGAUGUCAAAAUUCGGAUUGGAGAUGUUGCGAUGGAGCAACAUUUCUUCGUUCAAGAUACAACGUCUUAUCCGUGNNNNNNNNNNNNNNNNNNNNNNNNNNNNNNNNNNNNNNNNNNNNNNNNNNNNNNNNNNNNNNNNNNNNNNNNNNNNNNNNNNNNNNNNNNNNNNNNNNNNCUUGACGAUGGUUCUGCUUAUGCAAGGGUACGGAGUGAAGAUGGGAAGAAAGCUGUACAAUUUCUAACAGUACCUCCUAACCAUGAACGGAAUCGAGAUAGGUUGAGGGAGAAACCAUUGCCAAAGAUUGUUGAAGGAUUUAAGGAUUUUGGGGAGGUACCACUGUAAAGCGAGAUUAUGGAGGUACAAAAGAGGAGGUACUCUUGCGAGAUGAAGGUGCCUUUGAUGCGAAUUUUAUUGGUAUAUUGGAGAAUGGAAAUAUUAUGUAUAAGAAAGUUGAUGAUUUUAAAAGAAAAGAAAGAAAAAGAUUAUAUGAUAUUGAAGGACAGUUACGCAAGAUAGGUACAUUGCAAGAUGAUGAGAGGAUUUUAGGUGUUUAUGAAGAAAAUGGACAGGAAGAUUCAUUGGAAUUGAUUACAUCUAUUGGGUUAGGGGAUAAUGAUAAGAUUGUUGAGAUUCAUUCAAGAGAGGUUUAUACCGUAGUUGAAUCUUUUCAAGCACCAAAAGUCACUGUAGAGACGAGAUAUAAAACGGCAGAUAAGAAGGUAAAGCCUGUUGUCGGACCAUUACCAGAAGAUUCUAAAGAACAAAUGGGAGAAGCAUCAAAAGAAGCAAGUUUAAGAGAUCGAAUGAGAAUUGGACAUCGGUUUACUAAAGAGACUUUUGAAGAAUUGAAGAUUAGUUCUAAUGGUUCUUUAUUGCCGGAGGAAAUUACUUGCUUCAAAAAGAUGUUGGCUAAACAAGGUAGAUCAUUUGCCUUCAAAUUUUAUGAAAUUAAGUGUGUGGAUCCAAAUAUUAUAACACCUAUGGUUAUCUUCACUGUACCGCAUGUACCUUGGAAUCUAAGACUGAUUCCAGUACCGAGGGCACAUUUACCUAAAUUGGUGGAACUAUUAAAAGAAAAGAUAAAGAUGAAAAUAUUGGAACCCUCAUUUGCGUCGUAUUCUAGUCGAUGGUUUAUGCUACCUAAGAAGAAUGGGUCACUACGGUUUAUUCAAGAUAUGCAAUCGAUGAAUGCACUAACUGUCAGAAAUGCAGGAAUUGGACAUAUUGUGGAUGAAUUUAGUGAGACGUUUGCUGGAAGGGCGAUCAAUUCAAUGGGUGACUUGUAUUCAGGUUAUGAUCAAUUUCAACUUGUCGAAGGAAGUAGAGAUAUGACAACGAUGAGGACACCACUUGGAUUGGUUAGAAUGUGCACUCUUCCUCAAGGCGCGACUAACUCAGUUGCGCAUAUGAUGAAUGAGAUGAAUAAGGUAUUGAGAGAUUUUAUUCCAAAAAAGAUUAUGCCUUUUCUAGAUGAUGUUCCUAUAAAAGAGUGCAGAGAAGGAGACAAGGAUGAAACUUUAGAUAAGAGGGGGUGUCGCAAAUAUGUUGUUGAUCAUAUACAAGAUUGUGAAAAGAUUUUAACUCGGCUUGGAGAAGUUCAUCUUACAUUAUCGGGUAUGAAGUCCGUAUUUAGAGUACGAGAGGUUGUGAUUGUUGGAAAUUUAUGUGGAUCUUACGGGAGAAAACCAGAUCCAACUAAAGUUGAUGCAAUUGGAAGGAUGAAAGAGGAUUGUGAUUCUUUAACAGAGGUUCGCAGGUUUUUAGGUGCAUAUGUAUUUUAUCGAAUCUGGAUCCUUCAUUAUGCUCAUAUAGCGGAUCCAUUAUAUGAACUAUUACCCAAGGACUAUUGAUUUAAAUGGAAAGAAAGGCAUAUUCAGGCAAUGCAAAGAUUGAAGAAAUUAUUGAUGUAACCUCCAAUAUUGAGAAAGGUUGAUUAUAAGUACAAUAAACUAGUGAUUCUUACUGUAGACGCUAGUCCAAUUGCCAUUGGAUGGGCUGUGGAUCAAGAUGAUUCCAGUGAAAAUAGAUUUGCAAUUCGAUUUGGAGCUAAAGUUUUAAGUAUUUGUCAGCGUGCAUAUUCGCAAGUCAAAAGAAAACUUUGGAGAGUUAUUUCGACUAUGAAAGCUAAAAAAAACUAUUUGAUUGGGGCAGUAGUAGUAAUUGAAACAGAUUGCUUGCCAUUGCUCGGAAUGAUUACUAACUGUUCAAUGCCAGAUAUUGCAAUGUUGAGAUGGAUUUCUUAUAUUAAGUCACUAAAUCCAGAAUUUAAGCAUAUCACUGGAAAGGACAAUUUAGUAGCAGACAUGCUAUCUCAAGCAAGAUACGAGAGGGAGGAAAAAAUGGUUGAAGACAUUGAUGAUGUCGGAUUGAAAUUCUAUUCAAUAUCGAAUCUCAACAGAGAAGACAAGCUAUUUCUUGAAGAAUCUUAUAAAGGAGAAGUAUUGGAUAUUGGUCAUUACUUGAAUACCUUGACUAAGCAAGGGAAUUGGUCUACAGAAAAAUUCAAACAAAUAAGAAAAAAAGCAUAUGGAUUUUUGCUUCGAGAUGGAUUCUUAUGGAAGAGACCGAAGAAAGGAAUUGGGAUGCCACAAUGAGUGAUAGGCAAAAAGGAAGAAAAACUAAAAUUAUUAAAGGAGUUCCAUGAUAGUUUAUGGAUAGGGCAUAGAGGAAUCUGGGCUACUUUUGCUAAACUCAAGGAAUGAUAUUGGUGGAAAAAUAUGUAUCGAGAUGUACUCUCAUUUGUAGAAUCAUGUGAAAUCUAUCAAUCGUAUUCUAAUAUCCGACAUCGAGAUAGUCUUCAUCUUACGUAUCCUCUGGCUAUUCAUUUUAAAUGGGUUGUCGAUUUGGUUAUUAUGCCGGUUGGGUUAUGGCAGAUGAGAUAUUUGGUUUUAGCUCGUGAAGAUUUAUCAAAUCAAGUAGAAGGAAGAGCAUUGAAGACAAAAUCUACAGAGGAGAUUUGUAGGUUUUUGCUUGAAGAUGUCAUUUGUCGCUACGGAUGCGUAGGAAAAAUCACUUCAGAUCGUGGAGAAUUAAAUGCACAAGAAGCUCGUAAGUUCUUUGAAAGAUGUGAAGUUAAACUAUCAUUGACUACUACUUAUAAUCCGGAAGGAAAUGUAAAAAGCAAACGUGGUCACCCAUCGAUUGUGAAAGCAUUAGUUAAAGCUUGUAAUGGGAAAGUUAAAGAGUGGCCAUGACUUUUGUCAUUUGCAUUAUGGGUUGAUCGAACAACACAUAGUUCAUUGACAAGAUAUAUGCCAGUAGAACUUAUGUCAGGUCGAAAACCAAUUAUGCCGAUUGAAGAAAAGGUAUUUACUUGGAGUAUGCUACCAUGGAAAGAUGGAUUGAUAAGAGAAGAACUUCUGGCUAUUAGGAUUCGACAAUUGGAGCAAAGAUCGAAAGAUGUGCAGAUAGCAUUGGAAAGGUUAAAAAGCGCAAGGUUACAAAACAAGGUGCUAUUCGAUAAGCAAUAUCAUUUGAGACCUAAAGCAAUCGAGGAAGGUAACUGGGUACUUGUUUAUCAUAAUAGUCUGGAUAAUUAACAUAGUACUUUGCAAAAAUUUUCAAAACGUUGGUUUGGAUCAUAUGUAGUAACAACUGUUCAUGAUAAUACAACUUACUCAUUACAGGAGUUAGAUGGUAUAAAAUUGAAAAUACCAAUUGCAGGGAAGCGAGUAAAAAUAUUUAAACGAAGACACGCGGAGAUGAAUAUGGAAGACCUUAAUGAAGGUAUAGAGAUUUCGCAGCAAGAAGAUGAAAGUGAUAUGGAUAAUGAAGGUGACGAAGACAAACUAGAGAAAGACGUAGAGAAUAUAUUGUAAAUCAAACAACAAUUGGAUAAAUUGGUGCAUACCGGAGGAUGCAGAGGUUCAGAGGGGGUGGAUGUCGUGUUGUAACACGAGUAUACCGUGAAAAUAUAAAGAAAGGAGACUUUUUUUAAUGUUCAAUUACCUCAAAUAUUGGGAGGAACGACCAAUUCCAGUGCAAAUACUGAGAGGCUAGGUUCAGUCACCCCGUUACAGUCAACCGGGGCAUACUGAAAUGCUCCGUUCGAUUCCAAUAACGGGAGUCAGCAGGAAGGGAAAGGACCAAUUCAACGAUGGGUGAGCCUGGUUUGAAGAGCCAAUUGGAUCCAAUUUCAAGACAUCCAAUCCAGGUCUUAUCCAAUAUAAGACCUGAAUUGGUCAGACAACCCAAUGCGGUCUAAUUACGGGAACAUCCAGGUUACUAUAGGUCUCUUAACGAAUAUGAGACCUGAAUUGGUCGGGCGACUCAAUGUGGUCCUGAUUACAGGGCUCCGAUUCCGUUUCAGGCUGUUCCAUCCUUUGUGCCAUUCCAGGAACGUCUUUUCGAUAAAAAGAUCUCUUAAAGGUAAAAACGGAAGAGAAAGCUCUGACAAUAGAGCCAAUUCCGGAUCCAAGACGAAAGAUUGAAGAAAUUUAGAGGCUAGGGUUUGAAAGAGAAAAGAAUAAGUUUUUAAGAAGAAUCGGAGAACUAGCUUCAUGCUUCGAGAAGGAGAAAAAAGACAAAGAAUUGGAUUUUUUUUUUUCAUAGGGUUUUGGGAAGACUGAGGCAAUCGUUGCUAAAGUCAGGGUUGUAAUGGUGAACCGGGAUUUUUAAUGAAGUAGGUAUGAUUACUCUUGACUGUUUUGUGAAAUCGAAGUUAUGUCUGUGAUUGAAGAAUUAAAAGGGUGUCUAUAGGAUUGAGUAUGCGGAGUGAAUGAAAUUUGUUGGGUUAAUCUAACGAGACAGUCAGUGGAUACAAGAUCGUGAGUAUAAAGCGGUAUCAAAGAUUAGCAGUUUGGGUUGUUCGGGGUUCUUUGUAACAUCUAGAGACCUAUCGGCUGGGACAAAAAGGAUUUCGGCGAGCAGUUGAAGGACAUCUGUAUAGAUUUAUAGUAUAUUCUUGCAGUUGUUUACAUUCCAACAGUCAAAAACCGAUAAACUGCUUGAAUAUUAGCAAAUCUCCAUACUACCUUCUACAGCCAGACGCCUGGUGCGUUCUUGAGCAGGAAAGCACGUAAUACGACAACGAGACAACCAUGAUCAUUUACUAUGGCUACUUGGAAUCGACCUUGUAGAUAUAUUCCAAUGGAGACUUCAAGUGUACUUUACGAUAUGGGUUGAAAACAACUAUGUUGCUACUGGUGUCGACAAAUUGGUUAUUAUAUUAGUGAAUGCCCUAAUCCAAGGUUUAUAGACAAAUAUGCUCUAGUAUGUGGAAAUAACAAGCAAUUGGGUCAUUUUCAUUAUCAAUGCAAUGUUCUAUUUAACCCUAAUAAUUAUGAUCAGAAGAUACAAUUGACUGUGCAAAUUAUAGAAGAAAAAAAUAAUGGGACACAGGAAUCACCAGUUCAUCGAAUAGAAGUAGUCGAAGCUGUCCAUACAAGAAGUCAGUAAAAGGAGAAAGGACCAAUUCAACAUUUGGAUGAUCCUGAAGCAAAGGACCAAUUGGACCUAAUUAUGGGGCCAUCCAAUCUAGGUCUUGACAUGGGCGCCUUACUCAGUACAAGACUUGAAUCGGUUGUGCACCCCAAUGAGGUACCAAUUACGGAGGCUUUAGUUCCGUGUCAAGCUGUUCCAUUUUCUACUUAGUUUUGGAAAACAUCCUUUCCGUUGAAAGAUCCUCUAAGAGGCGUAAAUUCCAAAGAACCAAUAUCAACCUAAUUGGGAGAAUAAUCUUACCCUUUGAAAGAACCAAUUUUACAGGCUCCAUCAAAUUUAGUUCCAUUAGCUUUAUCAAUUUCUAAUAUUGAGAAAACCAAUUUAUCUGCAUCAAUAUCUAGGACUGAGAAGAAGAAAUGGAGAUUAGGAAUUAACACUAAUACAGAACUAUAUGAUAUUCUAAAAGAUUUGGGCACCAUACAAUCCACAAUCUCUAUAAAGCAACUAUUGGCGGUAGCACCUGAGUGCCGAACUAUCUUGAAUUCUUCAUUAAUUAGUCACAGAUCUCGAAAUAAAGAAAUCUUAGAAGUAAGUUUGAAUCUCGAUCCAGGUGCAUUAAUGAUUGAUGCCUCAAUUGAUGGAGUAUUAUUAUCGAGAGUGCAAGUAGACGGAGGAUCUAGUGUAAAUCUUAUGAAUGCCGCUACAAUAGAGGUGUUGGAUUUGGAUCACUUAUUGCCUACUACAGUAAUUUUGAGAAUGGCUGACUCUAGUCGAAUUAAACCUAUGGAUAUUUUAUGAAGUAUUGAUAUAGUAAUUGCGGGGAUUAUUUACAAAAUUGAUUAUAUUAUUUUUCAAUUGCAAAGCUCUACAUUGUCAUACCCAAUUUUAUUAGAGUAACCAUGGUUGUAUCAAGCUAAAGCUCGAAAUGAUUGGGGCCUUGAUACAUUGACAAUAGAGAAAGAUAAUGAUAAAAUUGUGCUACAAAUAUACCCAGUAUACUAUCACAGGGAAUUUCUAUUGCCAGCAUCUGAAUUGAUGUCGGAUGAUGGGCUUGGUGUAGAUGAUGAUGUAGUAGCACCGAUUACGGAGGCGCCCGUGGAAGCAGAUCAAUACCCUGGAGUGGUAUACUAAUGUGGCAGUCCGAGGAAGUACUUGAUAUACUUCACAGAUUCGAAAAUCUUUGCUAAAGUUAGUAUUGAUUGGAUGCCUAAGAAUGAUGUGCACCACGAAAGUGAAAAAAUAGAAGAAAGUAUGUAUAUUCAAAGAAGAACUAGAAUGACUAUUGCCAAAGACUAGAAAACAUAAGACUCUUGAAACUAGACUAAAAAGCAAGAAAGGAAUUGAUAAGAGUGAGAAAGUCCUCUCUUUUGCCUCUAUAUAUACUACUUAACUAAGAAAUACGUGGCAACAUGCUAUAAGACCUCUAAUAUGUAUCCAACUUGCAAGACACAUGUCUAAUUUUCAAGGCAAGUUUCUUAGGUGUAUGCCAUAUGUCCAACUUCUACUACAAGUGGUGAACAUGUCGACAUGUGGCUUCCUUGUUGGCAAAGUUUUCAACCUAUCAAUCACCUAUAAACAUGUAUAAAGACAAAACAACGUCUAUGAAGCUUCUAGGAAGCUUUCCACAAGACAUUAUCAUAUUUAUCUACUUUAAUUUACUUCUAUCUAUUCUUAUUAUCUAGAUAAUUAUUAUAAUAAAUAUGUAUAUUUGGAAUAAUCUAUUCUUCUUCAAACUUUUAUUAGUCCUUUAUUCGAAAUGAUAUACCUUGAAAAGUCAACUUGAGUAAUUUGGGAUAUAUACUUUUUUAUCUUGAUAUAUAGUCUUUUAUCUAUCAUUUUAUGUAAUACAAAAAAAAUAUGAAGUUCAUAUUCUUUUGUUUUCUUAGAAUAAAUUAGAAUACCAUUUAAGUAUAAAAUAAUAAUAUUAUGAAAAAACUCACAAAAAUAUUCUUCAUGAGAUGUUGAAAAACAAUUGGUGCAUUUGUGAGUCCAAAAGGCAUGAAAUUAUAUUCAAAAUGUCCAUACUUAAUUCAAAAAGUAAUCUUCUAUUCAUGUCUUUUUUUGUUGUAGAUCAAGUUGUAUAUUCUUUUUAGAUCUAUUUUUGUAUAGAUCUUGACUUGAUUAAGUUGGUCAAAAAAUCAUGAAAUCAAAGAUAGGAAAUAUCUAUUUUUGAUGGUAAUCUUAUUAAGUCCUUGAUAGUUUAUGCACAUCUACAAAGAUCCAUCAUUUUUCUUCACAAAUAAGAUGAGUUCUUGUUGGAGAUUUUGAAUGGCAUAUGAAGAUCUUAGCUAAGUUCUUAUUAAUAUAUUCUUUUAUUGCAACCAAUUCAUUCUGCAAUAAGUUAUAGAUCCAUCCAAAUGGUGGUUGAAUUCUUUUUUGUAAAUCAAUUGAGCAAUCAUAGGAUCAAUGCUUUGGAAGAAUAUUUCUAUUUUUUAAAAAAAGCAUAUUAAGAAUCUUAAUAUGGAUAAGAAUAUCACUUGACAUCUUUCCACCAUUAAAAAUAAACAUAGCAUAUAUAGCAAAAGAUAUCUUUCUUUUGCCAGAUACAUGAAAGCUUUUACAUCUACCAGUAAAGAUUUGGAUGUAUUAGACUUAUGUGUUUCGACUUGCCUAACAAAAUUUUGAAUCAAACUACAAAAAAAAUUAAGAUUUUAAGAAAUUCAAUCUAUUUGAAGGUUAUAUUUUUUUAAUUACAAUAAUCUUAAAAUAAUUAAAUUGAAAGGAGAGCUUACUAUAUAAGAUAUUAUAAUACUAUUAUAAAAUUUAAUUACUAUAUCUAUAGAAAUAAUCUCAUAGAUAACAUCUCUAUAAGACAAAAAAUCUAUGACUUUAUAUAUACGGAUUUAAUUUUCGUGACUAAUAAUAUCUCUUGUUUUUUAACAAAGUCUUCAUUUACAAGACAAGUUGAGGCUCUUUAAUUUAAAAAGGUUAAGAUUUUAUGAUUCUUUUGUCCUAAAGAAACUUCUAUUGUAAAUCAAAAUAAUAGAUCUAAAGAAAGAAUAGAAUCUUUACUAAAUGUUAUACAAGAUUCUAGUUGCAUAGUUCUUAUUAUAGCUAGAAAAACUUAUUUUUCAACACAUCGUCCUUUUUGGCAAUCAUGCUCUUUAUUUUGUGAUUGCAUUGUUUUUUUUGGAUAAUUUUGAGUAGUAAACUUAGAUUCUCUAGAAUAUAGGCACAAACCUUCUUAAUAACAAUAAUUCUUUUUUUACUCAAUAAGAGGUUCAAAAUGCACUAUAUCAAUUUACAUAGGCUCUAGUUUGAAAAAAUAAGCUUCCAAAAACUUAGAAGGUGUCGCUAUAGCUUGAUUUAUACUUCUUUAACCAAGUCUUUGUUCUUGACAUCUUUCAAAGAGUUAACUAUUAUAUGCAAUGACUUGAAUAAUAAAAUGAUUCAAUGAAUCUACUCUUGGUAUUGUCAAGAAUAAAGCUUUGAUAUUAUCUUUUUAUCUAUAUCAAAACUAGUUAACAAGGAUUUUUUCAUUCCAAUCCAUAUUACAAGCAAGAAUUUGGAAUUCAACAAUAUAUGUGGUGGCUGAAUGUGAUCUUUGUUGUAGUAAUACAACCUUGGUUUCUAUUACUCUUUCUCUAUUAAUUUUUUUAAAUACAAAAUAUGUUGCCACGUAUUUCUUAGUUAAGUAGUAUAUAUAGAGGCAAGAAAGAGGCCUUCCUCACUCUUUUCAAUUCCUUUCUUGCUUUUUAGUUUAGUUUCAAGAGUCUUAUUUUUUUUAGUCUUUGGCAAUAGCCAUUCUAAUUCUUCUUUAAAAAUACAUACUUUAUUUUAUUUUGUCACUUUUCUUUUGAUACAGAUUCUAUACUUUUAUAUAUCUUCCAAUUUGUAUCUUUGAUUCUUGAUUCUUGAAUAUUUUAUUUUGUGUGAACAAACAUAUUUUUUUUAAUUGUGCUAAUAUGAAAGAGCUUGUUGAAAUGAAGAGUGCAAUGGCUUGAAUACAAGCGCAAAUGAGAGAGUUAAUGCUUGCAAUGCAUCAACUUAGUUUAUUACUACAAGAAGCAAGAAGAUUAUCAAACAAUAAAGAUAUAGACAUGAUUGAAGCUACUUCAAUAUCCAUACCAAGUUAUACUACUGAUCUUACAAUGGAACAUUGUUUAAGUUUCAAGAAACCAAAAAUUGGAUUACUUAAGAAGUUUGAUGGUAUAAGAUCUAAAUUUUGAGGAUUUAUCAUUCAAGUACAACUAGUGAUUGAAUUACAACUUCAAAGUUAUCCAACUUAAGGAUCACAAGUCAAGUUUAUUGAAAUAUUAUCUUCAGGUUCUAUUUUAUCAUGGUUUUCAUUAUUUCUUGAAUAAUGUGAUCUAAUAUUGAAUAAUUUGGAAGCAUUUUUAGUUAAUUUUUAAUUUAUAUAUGGAGAACAUAAUGCAAUCCAUAUUGCAACCAACAAGAUUUGUAUCUUGUGACAAGAUAAUCAAUCAAUGAUAUUUUACGCUUCAUAAUUUUAAUAAUUAGUGAAAAAUAUCAAGUGGGAUGAUACAACAUUUAUUAGCCAAUUUCUCUAUAGAUUAUAAUAUGAAAUAAAGAAAUUGAUGCUCAAUUUAUCUGAACCUCAAACAUUGAGUUAAGCAAUUGACUUUGCUGUAAAAUGUGACAAUUGUCUUUUUGAGUUUCAAUUUAAAAAUCGCACAAAGAAACCUCAACAUUAUUACAAUUCAAUGACAAUACCAACGACUUCUCAAUCUAAGCAUUUAAAGAUAGAAGACAUGAAAAUUAUUGCAGUAUGUUUUAAACCUCUUAUCAAAUAAGAAAAGACUCGUUGUCAUCAAGAAGGACUAUAUUUAUAUUGUGGAGAAGUUAAGCAUACUAUUCAAUAUUAUCCAAAGAAAUGAUGCAACUAAAAAAUGAAGAGUACUACUAUCAAAGAUGAAAACAUGUCAAAAAACAAAUNNNNNNNNNNNNNNNNNNNNNNNNNNNNNNNNNNNNNNNNNNNNNNNNNNNNNNNNNNNNNNNNNNNNNNNNNNNNNNNNNNNNNNNNNNNNNNNNNNNNCAGGACGCAUCUUUAUAAUCAAAUGGUAGUGAUAAAACCAUUGAUUUAACUUUUUUUUGCCAUUGAUUUAUACUUAAUUUUAACAUAUACUUCUUGGCUACUUAAAAUUUCUAUAAUUCUUUGAAUUUCAUUAUAAAAUUCUUUAAAAAACAUAUCAAUAAUUUAAUUUCAUCCUUGUAAUCUAUGUUUUGUUAGAUAAUCUAAUCAUUCUAUAUUAUUUGAAAAUCCUAUUUCUACAAAUUCUUUUAAUAUAAAUUUAUUUUUAGUUCUUUUUUAUAUUCUUUCAAAAAAAUUAGAAUUUUUAAUAUAACACUUAUUAAUCAUUUUUAACUUAUCAAAAAUUAUAAAUAAUAAUAGAUAAUCUUAUAACAAUCUAAUAAUUUUAAUAGAUAAUAUCUUCUCCUUUAAGUAAUUUUUAAAAAAAUUUUAAUUUAAAUAUUUGAAAUCUUGCUUUAUAAUGGUACGUUGUAAAAACCUUGAGGUCUUUAAAAUUUAAAUUCAUUAAUUAAUUUUUUCUAAUUUGAUCAAUUUUUUUUCAUGAUUUUUAUACAUAAUUAAAAAUUAAUUUUCUUUCUUUUCAUUUUAGUAUUUCAUCCUUGCAUAAGCUGAAUUAUCAUCCAUAAGCUUUGUCUCCAUUUGUAUGACAAUAAUAUGUUGUUGUCUCAAUAUAAUAGAAUAUGUAGACAUAUCUUGUAUAAAGAAAUUUUAUUCAUGAAUAAUAUCUCCUAUCAUCACCUUGAUAUUUGGACAAGCUCUAUACAAAACUCUUUAUGAAUUGUUUGUUAAUCUUAUUAUUUAUUCAUAUUAAAUAUUAAUAGGAUAUUUUUUAUAUAGUUCUUUUGAGAUUAAAUUUAUUUUAGAACCAUGAUUAUUUAAUGUUACAAUUGAUGCUUGUAAUUCGUUUAAUUUUAGUAAAGUUUUGAUAAUAGCCUUUAUGCAAUAUUUUGAAAAUAAUGACUAGAAGCUUAAAUCAUAUUUUUUUUUUGUAAAUCUAAAUUAUAAAAUAUCUCUAAAAAUUAGAUUUUAACCUAUUCAUUUGCAUUGCUUCUUACUUCCAUUAUUUUUUAUGCAUUUAUGUCAUAAUAUCUCCUAAAGAUUUUUGUUUUUUCUUUAUUUUAUCAAUAAUAAUUUCUUAAAAUUCAUAUUUUACAAUCAUUAGAAUUUUAUUAAUAUAAAAUUUAAAUUUUAAACCUAAAGUCUAUGCUUCUAAUAUAUUCUUUAUAUUUGUAGUAGCUUCAAUAUCCAAUUGUAGUUUAUAACAAGAACCUUAUUUUUAUCUUUUAUGGUUUUUCUUUUCUUUUUAGAAGCAUUCUCUAUUAUUGCAAAAAAUUCAAGAUUUAUACUUACACUCUUUUUUAGAUUUUCUCCCAUCUAAUAUGUUCAUACUUCAUUGCUUGAGAUUGUAUGCACUUUAAAACCAUCUCCUAUAAAUACCUUUAUUCUUCUUUUAUUAAAAUUUAUCUCUAAUUUUUUUCUAAUUACUUAUAAGUUUAUUAUACCAUCUUUAAAAUAUAUAUUUCUUUUCAUAGUGCAUCUAUAAAAUCUUUACAUUUUCUUUUUAAAUAAUCUAUACUUUCAUAUUCCAUAAAUCUAUGGACUAUACCUUCUAUUGGUCUCAAUUCUUCUCUUCUUAAAAAUUUUGAUAAUUGAUCUUUUUCCUCAAGUUUUACAAAUUUUAUUUAUAAAUCUUAAAUCUUAUAUAUAAUUUCAUCAAUGCUUAGUUUUUCUUUCUUUGACAUAGCCAUUGAAGGUUGAGUCAAGGAUGUAGAAUAGAGAAUAUAUAUUUUUACCUUAGAUAUUUGCAAUGGUCUUUGAAUAUCCACUUUUUUUUUUUUUACAAGCAACCCAACUACCUCUUCUACUUCCUUCUAAUAUUUUUAUCAAUUCUUCAUCUUCUUCAUUAUCUUCAAGAAAAUUUCUUAACCUCUCUUGCAACUCUCUAUAAACCACUUGAAAAAGAAAGCUCUACUUCGUUCAAAUUUAAUUAUUUGUUUGUUUGUUUGUUUUUGUUUUUAUUUAUUUAUUUUUUUUGAUAAACAUGAAUAUUAUCUUUCAAAAUAUUGUAAUAAUUUUUUUACUCACAAAUCUUUUUUUGGCCUUCUAACCUAUUCAAAAUAUAUCUUCUUUGUAAUUUGACUACCUAUCUUUUUUAUUUCUUGAUAUGCAAUCAAUUCUACAAUAUCUUCAACAUCCCUUUACUUUUUUGUCAAUCCAAUUUUUGGUUUCUUGAAACUUAAAAAAUGUUCCAUUGUAAGAUCAGUAGUAUAACUUGGUAUAGAUAUUGAAGUAGCUUCAAUCAUGUCUAUAUCUUCAUUGUCUGAUAAUCUUCUUGCUCCUUGUAGUAAUAAACUAAGUUGAUGCAUUGCAAGCAUUAACUCUCUCAUUUGUGCUUGUAUUCAAGCCAUUGCACUCUUCAUUUCAACAAGCUCUUUCAUAUUAGCACAAUUAAAAAAAAAGUGUCUAUUUUCACAAAAUAAAAUAUUCAAGAAUCAAGAAUCAAAGAUACAAAUUAGAAGAUAUAUAAAAGUGUGGAAUCUGUAUCAAAAGAAAAGUGACAAAAUAAAAUAAAGUAUGUAUUUUCAAGGAAGAACUAGAAUGACUAUUGCCAAAGACUAGAAAACAUAAGACUCUUGAAACUAGACUAAAAAGCAAGAAAGGAAUUGAUAAGAGUGAGAAAGUCCUCUCUUUUGCCUCUAUAUAUACUACUUAACUAAGAAAUACGUGGCAACAUGCUAUAAGACCUCUAAUAUGUAUCCAACUUGCAAGACACAUGUCUAAUUUUCAAGGCAAGUUUCUUAGGUGUAUGCCAUAUGUCCAACUUCUACUACAAGUGGUGAACAUGUCGACAUGUGGCUUCCUUGUUGGCAAAGUUUUCAACCUAUCAAUCACCUAUAAACAUGUAUAAAGACAAAACAACGUCUAUGAAGCUUCUAGGAAGCUUUCCACAAGACAUUAUCAUAUUUAUCUACUUUAAUUUACUUCUAUCUAUUCUUAUUAUCUAGAUAAUUAUUAUAAUAAAUAUGUAUAUUUGGAAUAAUCUAUUCUUCUUCAAACUUUUAUUAGUCCUUUAUUCGAAAUGAUAUACCUUGAAAAGUCAACUUGAGUAAUUUGGGAUAUAUACUUUUUUAUCUUGAUAUAUAGUCUUUUAUCUAUCAUUUUAUGUAAUACAAAAAAAAUAUGAAGUUCAUAUUCUUUUGUUUUCUUAGAAUAAAUUAGAAUACCAUUUAAGUAUAAAAUAAUAAUAUUAUGAAAAAACUCACAAAAAUAUUCUUUAUGAGAUGUUGAAAAACAAUUGGUGCAUUUGUGAGUCCAAAAGGCAUGAAAUUAUAUUCAAAAUGUCCAUACUUAAUUCAAAAAGUAAUCUUCUAUUCAUGUCUUUUUUUGUUGUAGAUCAAGUUGUAUAUUCUUUUUAGAUCUAUUUUUGUAUAGAUCUUGACUUGAUUAAGUUGGUCAAAAAAUCAUGAAAUCAAAGAUAGGAAAUAUCUAUUUUUGAUGGUAAUCUUAUUAAGUCCUUGAUAGUUUAUGCACAUCUACAAAGAUCCAUCAUUUUUCUUCACAAAUAAGAUGAGUUCUUGUUGGAGAUUUUGAAUGGCAUAUGAAGAUCUUAGCUAAGUUCUUAUUAAUAUAUUCUUUUAUUGCAACCAAUUUAUUCUGCAAUAAGUUAUAGAUCCAUCCAAAUGGUGGUUGAAUUCUUUUUUGUAAAUCAAUUGAGCAAUCAUAGGAUCAAUGCUUUGGAAGAAUAUUUCUAUUUUUUAAAAAAAGCAUAUUAAGAAUCUUAAUAUGGAUAAGGAUAUCACUUGACAUCUUUCCACCAUUAAAAAUAAACAUAGCAUAUAUAGCAAAAGAUAUCUUUCUUUUGCCAGAUACAUGAAAGCUUUUACAUCUACCAGUAAAGAUUUGGAUGUAUUAGACUUAUGUGUUUCGACUUGCCUAACAAAAUUUUGAAUCAAACUACAAAAAAAAUUAAGAUUUUAAGAAAUUCAAUCUAUUUGAAGGUUAUAUUUUUUUAAUUACAAUAAUCUUAAAAUAAUUAAAUUAGAAGGAGAGCUUACUAUAUUAGAUAUUAAAAUACUAUUAUGAACUUUAAUUACUAUAUCUAUAGAAAUAAUCUCAUAGAUAACAUCUCUAUAAGACAACAAAUCUAUGACUUUUACAUAUACGGAUUUAAUUUUCUUGACUAAUAAUAUCUCUUAUUUUUUGACAAAAUCUUCAUUACAGGACAAGUUGAGGUUCUUUAAUCUAAAAAGGUUAAGAUUUUAUGAUUCUUUUGUCCUAAAGAAACUUCUAUUGUAAAAUAAAAUAAUAGAUCUAAAGAAAGAAUAGAAUCUUUACUAAAUAUUAUACAAGAUUCUAGUUGCACAGUUCCUAUUUAUUGUUAUAGUAAUACAACCUUGGUUUCUAUUACUCUUUCUCUAUUAAUUUUUUUAAAUACAAUAAUAAAUACUUCUAAGAAUGAAGUCAAAAUAUAGAAUGGUCUUGAAUCUUUUUCCAUCAAAGAUACAAAUUAAGUAAAGAUACUUUUCAACAAAAAAGUACUUAUGAAUCUAACUUGAAUAAAUCCAUUCGAAUAUUGGAAAGGAUUUAAUGUUAAAUAGAUCUUAACUUGAUGUAGAAAUCUUCAAAAUUUUGAUCUUGUUCCAUCAAAAUUUUGAAGCAUAUUAAUCCUUACCUCCCUUGUACUUGUAGAAGCAAGACUUCUUGAAUUUGAUUGUAAAGCUAAUCUACUUACUUCCUUCAACUGCACAACUUCUUAGCAUUGACUUUGGACUUCUUGUAUAUGUAUAAGAAUAGUACUUCUAUAAUUUAUAUUUAAAAUAUAUAAAAUUUCUAUUUUAAGAAUAUCAUUAAACUUAUGAAGAUCUAUAAUAAUUACAAAUCUAUUUUUACUUCAAAUAAAAGUGGCAUCCAUAAUCUUUCUUUCUAUAGAUAAUUCAAACAAAUUCAAAAAAUUAAAUUGGAGGAGGAUAUCUUACAAUCUUUAAUAUAAAAUAAAAAUUUUUACAAUAAAAAAUAAUUUAUUUUCUUUAAAAAAAAAGAAUUAGUAUUAGAAAAUUAAAUUUUUUAUUUAAAGAUAGAUAGUUUAUAAUAUUCAAAAUAUAAUAAUAUAAGUGGAAUAAUCUUUUCACUUCUAAAAUAAGAUAUGAACAAUAAAUUAGCAUUCUUGUCAAACUAUCAAAGACAUGAACUUCAAAGAAUAAAAAGGUUAAUACACUUUUGUAUCACUCAAGAAAACUAGAAUAUCAUUUAAAGAUAAUAUAGUAUUAAACUAGAAUGGCUAUUGCUAAAGACAAAAAAAUUAAAAAGACUUAAAAUAAGACUACACACUAGAAAGGCAUUGACAAGAGUGAAAAAGGCUUCACUCUUGCAUCCAUAUUUACUAUCUAAUUAAGGGCUAUAUGGUAAUUUUUUAUAGGACUUCUAACACAUAUUGAAUUUGCAAGUCAUGUAUUUUAAUUUGCAAGGCAAGUUCUCUAUAUGUGCACUACAUAAUUAGCUUUUUCUAUAAGCUAUCAAUACAUAUAAAACAUAAUUAACUUGUUGACCAAGUUUUUAACCUAUCAAUCAACUACAAACAUGUGUAAAGUCAAAAUUAUAUAUAUAAAGAUUUUAAGAAGUUUUUUUAGAAGAUAUUAUAAUAUUAAUCUAUAUUUACUUACUUGAAAGAUGUCAAGAACAAAGACUUCGUUAAAGAAGUAUAAAUCAAGCUAUAGCGACACCUUAUAAGUUUUUGGAAGCUUAUUUUUUCAGACUAGAGCCUAUGUAAAUUGAUAUAGUGCAUUUUGAACCUCUUAUUGAGUAAAAAAAGAAUUAUUGUUAUUAAGAAGGUUUGUGCCUAUAUUCUAGAGAAUCUAAGUUUACUACUCAAAAUUAUCCAAAAAAACAAUGCAAUCACAAAAUAAAGAGCAUGAUUGCCAAAAAGGACGUUGUGUUGAAAAAUAAGUUUUUCUAGCUAUAAUAGGAACUGUGUAACUAGAAUCUUGUAUAAUAUUUAGUAAAGAUUCUAUUCUUUCUUUAGAUCUAUUAUUUUGUUUUACAAUAGAAGUUUCUUUAGGACAAAAGAAUCAUAAAAUCUUAACCUUUUUAGAUUAAAGAACCUCAACUUGUCCUGUAAUGAAGAUUUUGUCAAAAAAUAAGAGAUAUUAUUAGUCAAGAAAAUUAAAUCCGUAUAUGUAAAAGUCAUAGAUUUGUUGUCUUAUAGAGAUGUUAUCUAUGAGAUUAUUUCUAUAGAUAUAGUAAUUAAAGUUCAUAAUAGUAUUUUAAUAUCUAAUAUAGUAAGCUCUCCUUCUAAUUUAAUUAUUUUAAGAUUAUUGUAAUUAAAAAAAUAUAACCUUCAAAUAGAUUGAAUUUCUUAAAAUCUUAAUUUUUUUUGUAGUUUGAUUCAAAAUUUUGUUAGGCAAGUCGAAACACAUAAGUCUAAUACAUCCAAAUCUUUACUGGUAGAUGUAAAAGCUUUCAUGUAUCUGGCAAAAGAAAGAUAUCUUUUGCUAUAUAUGCUAUGUUUAUUUUUAAUGGUGGAAAGAUGUCAAGUAAUAUUCUUAUCCAUAUUAAGAUUCUUAAUAUGCUUUUUUUAAAAAAUAGAAAUAUUCUUCCAAAGCAUUGAUCCUAUGAUUGCUCAAUUGAUUUACAAAAAAGAAUUCAACCACCAUUUGGAUGGAUCUAUAACUUAUUGCAGAAUAAAUUGGUUGCAAUAAAAGAAUAUAUUAAUAAGAACUUAGCUAAGAUCUUCAUAUGCCAUUCAAAAUCUUCAACAAGAACUCAUCUUAUUUGUGAAGAAAAAUGAUGGAUCUUUGUAGAUGUGCAUAAACUAUCAAGGAUUUAAUAAGAUUACCAUCAAAAAUAGAUAUUUCCUAUCUUUGAUUUCAUGAUUUUUUGACCAACUUAAUCAAGUCAAGAUCUAUACAAAAAUAGAUCUAAAAAGAAUAUACAACUUGAUCUACAACAAAAAAAGACAUGAAUAGAAGAUUACUUUUUGAAUUAAGUAUGGACAUUUUGAAUAUAAUUUCAUGCCUUUUGGACUCACAAAUGCACCAAUUGUUUUUCAACAUCUCAUGAAGAAUAUUUUUGUGAGUUUUUUCAUAAUAUUAUUAUUUUAUACUUAAAUGGUAUUCUAAUUUAUUCUAAGAAAACAAAAGAAUAUGAACUUCAUAUUUUUUUUGUAUUACAUAAAAUGAUAGAUAAAAGACUAUAUAUCAAGAUAAAAAAGUAUAUAUCCCAAAUUACUCAAGUUGACUUUUCAAGGUAUAUCAUUUUGAAUAAAGGACUAAUAAAAGUUUGAAGAAGGAUAGAUUAUUCCGAAUAUACAUAUUUAUUAUAAUAAUUAUCUAGAUAAUAAGAAUAGAUAGAAGUAAAUCAAAGUAGAUAAAUAUAAUAAUGUCUCGUGGAAAGCUUCUUAGAAGCUUUAUAGACGUUGUUUGGCCUUUAUACAUGUUUAUAGGUGAUUGAUAGGUUGAAAAAUUUGCCAACAAGAAAGCCACAUGUCGACAUGUUCACCACUUGUAGUACAAGUUGGACAUAUGGCGUACACCUAGGAAACUUGCCUUGCAAAUUAGACAUGUGUCUUGCAAGUUGGAUACGUAUUAGAGGUCUUAUAGCAUGUUGCCACGUAUUUCUUAGUUAAGUAGUAUAUAUAGAGGCAAAAGAGAGGCCUUCCUCACUCUUAUCAAUUCUUUUCUUGCUUUUUAGUUUAGUUUCAAGAGUCUUAUGUUUUCUAGUCUUUGGCAAUAGUCAUUCUAGUUCUUCUUUGAAUAUACAUUAUUUCUUGAAUAAUGUGAUCUAAUAUUGAAUAAUUUGGAAGCAUUUUUAGUUAAUUUUUAAUUUAUAUAUGGAGAACAUAAUGCAAUCCAUAUUGCAACCAACAAGAUUUGUAUCUUGUGACAAGAUAAUCAAUCAAUGAUAUUUUACGCUUCAUAAUUUUAAUAAUUAGUGAAAAAUAUCAAGUGGGAUGAUACAACAUUUAUUAGCCAAUUUCUCUAUAGAUUAUAAUAUGAAAUAAAGAAAUUGAUGCUCAAUUUAUCUGAACCUCAAACAUUGAGUUAAGCAAUUGACUUUGCUGUAAAAUGUGACAAUUGUCUUUUUGAGUUUCAAUUUAAAAAUCGCACAAAGAAACCUCAACAUUAUUACAAUUCAAUGACAAUACCAACGACUUCUCAAUCUAAGCAUUUAAAGAUAGAAGACAUGAAAAUUAUUGCAGUAUGUUUUAAACCUCUUAUCAAAUAAGAAAAGACUCGUUGUCAUCAAGAAGGACUAUAUUUAUAUUGUGGAGAAGUUAAGCAUACUAUUCAAUAUUAUCCAAAGAAAUGAUGCAACUAAAAAAUGAAGAGUACUACUAUCAAAGAUGAAAACAUGUCAAAAAACAAAUUUGUCCAGCUACAAUAGGAACCAUGCGACUAGAAUCUUAUACAAUUCCUAAUGAAGGUCCUAUUAUAUCUUCAAAAUCUUCUCUUUUUUUUACAAUAGAUGUGCAUUUAGGAUCUAAUAAUCACAAAGCCUCUAUCUUAAUAGAUUUAAGAGCCUUUACUUGUUAUUUAGAUGAAAAAUUUGUUAAAAGUCAUAAUAGACAAUUAGUACAAAAAACUAAAUCCAUACACGUAGAAAUCAUAAACAGUCAUCUAUAAUCUUUUGGAGAUGUUACUUAUAAAAUACUUCUUAUAGAUGUAGUAAUAAUUAAUCAUAAUCAUUGUAAAUUUUUAUAUAUAAUUAGAUCUUCCACUAAUCUAGUCAUUUUUUAUUUAUUGUGGCUAAAAAAAAUAUAAUCCUGUGAUAGAUUAGAUUUCUUAUAAACUUGAAUUUUUUUCAAACAUCAUUAAGAGUUUUUCUAAUCUAAUAGAAAGCCAUGAGUCUAAUAUAGCCAAACUUGUACUUGUAGGUGCAAAAGCUUUUUUAUAUGCUAUAAAAAAAGAAUCGUCUUUUAUUAUUCAUGCCACCUAUUUUAAAUGAUGGAAAGUUUUCAAGUGAAAUUCCAAUUCAAUAUUAAGUUUUUCAAGAUGUUUUUGAAAAGAAGAAUGCAAAUAUUCUUCCAAAGCAUCGUCCAUAUGAUUGUUCAAUUGAUCUUAAAGAAGAAACUCAUUAGAAAAAGAGAUGAAUGGAUGAUUGUAUUUUGAAGAAGGUAUGGACACUUUGAAUAUAAUGUCAUGCCUUUAAGACUCACAAAUGUACCAGCUGCUUUUCAACAUCUUAUGAAUGAUGUUUUAUGUGAGUUUCUAGAUGAUUUUGUUGUCUGAUACUUAGACAAGAUUUUAAUCUAUUCUAAAAAUACAAAAGAAAAUAAAGUUUAUAUUUGUCUUAUAUUACAAAAACUUAGAGAUGCAGAAUUAUAUACUAAGAUGGAAAAGUGUGUAUUUCACACUACUCAAGUUGACUUCUUAGGAUACAUCAUUUCAAACAAUGGUCUAAUGAUGGAUCCUAAAAAAUUUCACACAAUCAUAGACUGGAAGAUUUCAAAAAUAAUAAGAGAUGUAUAAUGCUUUUUGAGAUUUGUCAAUUAUUAUUGGAUCUUCAUCAAGAAAUUUUUUCAAAUUAUAACACCACUUACAUGCUUAACUUGUAAAGACAAGCUCAAGUAGAAUAAAGAAGCAAAUGCAUCAUUUGAAGCUUUGAAGAAAGUUUUUACUUCUGUACCAAUCCUACAUUGCGUCGGCUUUUUCAAAGCAUUUUUUAUGGAGAUAGAUGCAUUUGACUUUGCCUUAGAUGCAGUCUUAUUACAAAUAGGAGCAAAUGACAAACUUCAUCUAGUAUCUUUUCAUUCAAGAAAUUUUUUAGCAACCGAGAUUAAUUAUGAGAUCCACAACAAGAAACUUCUUGCAAUUAUGGAUUAAUUUUUAGAAUGGCAUUAUUAUUGAGAAGGCACUUCAAGUCUAACCAUUGUUUAUAUAGAUUAUAAGAACCUUGAGUGUUUCAUGUUAGCAUGUAUUUUGAAUCGUCGCUAGGCUUGUUGGAGCAUGUCUUUGUCAAGAUUUGAGUUUAAUAUCACUUAUUGGCUAAAAAAACAACAAGGUUUGUUUGAUGCCCUUUCUAGAUAUUCUUAUCUUACACCAAAAGAAGAAAAAGCACCUUUUGAUCAGCAAAAGAUAAUCUUAUUGAAGCCAAAAUAAUUUCAUGUCCAAGCAAUGAAAUCAACAUUGAUUGUUGAUUUGACUUUUUUCAAGUAGAUCCAAGCAACUAUGUCCUCAGACCUUCUUGUUUGUGAUAUUAAAAAUAAUUCUUUUAAGUCUCAAGUUACUUCCAAGUUUGAAUUUAAGGAGAACCUACUCUAUUUUGAGAGACACUUAUAUGUUUCAAAGGGAGAAGCACAAUUACAUGCUCUUGAAACUUGUCACAAUUUUCCAGCAACAUGACAUUUUGGAUAUAAUAAGACUUUGGAGCUUAUAUCUAGAGAUUUUUAGUGGCCUCAAAUGUAGAAGGCUAUUAAAAAAUUUGUGUAAACAUGUUAUAUUUGUUCAAGAUCAAAAACUCUUCAUCAUCAAUCUUAUGGACUCUUCCAACCAUUACCUAUACUUGAACAAUCAUGGUCUUCUAUCUCUAUGGAUUUUAUCAUGGAUCUUCUAAUUUCAAGUUUAAAUGAUCCUAUAUUCGUGAUUGCAGAUCAUUUCACUAAGAUGGCAUAUUUUGUACUAUGUACAAAAUCUAUCACAAGUGAAGGAAUAGCUAAACUCUUCCUUGACAACAUCUAUCGCUAUCAUGGAUUACGAAGGGAUAUUAUAUCAGACAAAGGAACACAAUUUCUAUUGAGAAUUUAAAAAACUCUUUUCAAAAUAUUGAAGUUGGAUAUAAAACUAUCUUUGGCUUUCUACCCUCAAAUUAAUAGACAAACAAAAUAAGUAAAUCAAAUUUUAGAGCAGUGUUUGAGGUAUACCAUCAAUUAUCAUGAAGAUGAUUGGACAACUCUUUUGUCAUUGGCAAAAUUUGCUUACAAUAAUUUGGUACAUUCUUCUACUCAAUAAAUACUUUUUUUUGCCAAUUAUGGUUAUCAUCCAUGAUUUGAUACUUUUGACUUUUUAAAAGCUGAUAAUCUUGUAAUAAAAGAUGUGGCAAAUCAAUUGUCAGAGCUACAUUUAACAAUAAAGCCACAAUUAAAGGAAACUCAAGAAUGACAAAAAGCCAAUGUAGAUGUCUAUCACAAGGAACAAAUUCAAUUCUAUGUAGAAGAUAAGAUAUGGUUACUUCAUUGUAAUAUUGAAACUAUUCGUCCUUAUAACAAGCUGAAUUAUUGUAAACUUGGACCAUUUGCUAUUUGUGAAUAAAUCAAUCCAGUUGCUUAUUGAUUACACCUACCGGAGUCUAUGAAAAUCCACCCUUUAUUCUAUGUGUCUUUAUUUGAGCCAUACAAGACAAUGGAUAUACAAGGAAGGAGACAAAUGCCACCACCUCUUAUGGAAGUACACAAUAAUGAAGAAUUUGAGAUAGAAGAAGUCUUAGAUUCAAGGUAGCAUCAAAAUAGGUUAGAAUAUCUAGUACAUUGGCAUGGAAAUAACAUUAAUGAAUGCACACGGGAGUCAUCCAUAAAUCAAGCAAAUGCAUUAGCCAAAGUUAAAGCUUUUCAUCAACAACAUCUAUCAAAAUUAAGAUAAAGAGUCAAAAAAUUCUUUGUUAUAAAGCAAAGCAAGUCCAAUAGAAAUUUCAUUCUAUCAUAUAUCAUUAUUUCUUUGGAUUUUUUAGUACUUAGGAGAUGAAGCACAAACAAUCAGCAAAUUCAAUUCAAGAGCUAUUAUUUGGUGAUCUAAAAGACAAGACAUUGCGACUAUCACAAACUUUGAAAUGGCAAAAUUGGAAUGAAGAUCCUCAAGAAUGACAUGUUCUUUCUUGAAUAGACAGUAAGAUACAAUGCAUUUGGUACGACGAACUUGGAAGAAACUCUUGGUAUUUAGUGAUAUUUUUGGAGCUAGAAACCACUCUUGAUGGUAUAACUAAAGUAUUGUAUGAAGGAAGUUAUGAAGGCCUCAAUAAUGAUAAAAUAUCAAGAAAAUCAUCUCACCUUAAUACGGGAUAUCAUCAAUGGUUGAAGGGACCUAUCAACAACCUUCAAAAGGAACAAAGAUCAUAGAAUGUGGCAAAAAUAGUUCGGUGCAUCAAAAAUUUUAACAACAUAUAAUCACUGCUUAUUGUGGAAUUCAUUCUUAGAAGGCAGGAUAAUGUCAUAAACAUAUAUAUUUAUUCUAAUAAUUAUCUAGAUAAUAAGAAUAGAUAGAAGUAAAUCAAAGUAGAUAAAUAUGAUAAUGUCUUGUGAAUAGCUUCCUAGAAGCUUCAUAGACGUUGCUUUGUCUUUAUACAUGUUUAUAGGUGAUUGAUAGGUUAAAAACUUUGCCAACAAAGAAGCCACAUGUCGACAUGUUCACCACUUGUAGUACAAGUUGGACAUAUGGCAUACACCUAGGAAACUUGCCUUGAAAAUUAGACAUGUGUCUUGCAAGUUGGAUACAUAUUAGAGGUCUUAUAGCAUGUCGCCACGUAUUUCUUAGUUAAGUAGUAUAUAUAGAAGCAAAAGAGAGGCCUUUCUCACUCUUAUCAAUUCCUUUCUUGCUUUUUAGUCUAGUUUCAAGAAUCUUAUAUUUUCUAGUCUUUGGCAAUAGCCAUUCUAGUUCUUCCUUGAAUAUACAUACUUUCUUCUAUUUUUCCACUUUCUUUUUGAUACAGAUUUUAUAACUUUAUGCAUCUUCUUCCAAUUUGUGUCCUUGAUACUAAACUAUCAUAGAUUGGAAGAUUUUAAAAAUAAUAAUAGAUAUGCAAUAUUUUUUGGAAUUUAUCAAUUAUUAUAAGAUCUUUAUUAAGUUUUUUUUUUGAGUUGUAGAUUGUCUUAUACAUCUUAUAUGUUAAGACAAACUUGGGUGGAAUAAAGAAGCUAAAGCAUCUUUUGGAGCUUUGAAGAUAGUAUUUAUUUUUAUACCAACUUUGUAUCAUGUUGAUUUUUUCAAGGCAUUCUUUAGAUAUAUAUAUAUAUAUAUAUAUAUAAAAUGCAUCAAACUUUGCUAUAAGUGUUUUUCUGUUAUAAAUGGGAGCAAAUAACAAGCUCUACCUAGUAGAUUUUUAUUCUAAGAAAUUUUCAGGAACCAAGAUUAAUUAUGAGAUCUAUUAUAAAGAGCUUCUUACAACUGUACAUUCAUUUUAAGAAUGGUAUCAUUAUCUAGAGGCACCUUAAGUCCAAUCACCAUGUAUACAAAUCACAAGAACCUCAAGUACAAUUUCAAAAAUCUCUUUUUAUGUGAUUUCAACUUUAGCAUAGAAUACAUAUUUAUCAAUAAGCUUCUCUAAAUUUGUUGUUGCUUCAAGAUUACAUAGUAGAUCAUAAGUUGUUGAUUUAUUUUUUUAUUUUUUUCUUCUUCUUUCUCCUUAAAUUUUAUUAAAUCAUCUUUUGUAGAUAAUUCUUUUGAAACCAUCUUAUAAGCCAUGUCUCCUCAAAUUUAUUCCUUAGAAGAAUUUUCUUUUCUUAUAUUAUCAAAAUCUUAUUUCAUUUCUACUUCUAUAAAAGCUUCUUGUUGACUCUUAGAAAUAUAUGCAUAGAUUAAAUAAAACUUUAUAUAAUCUUUUCAAUCUAUAAUACAGAUUAUUGUAAUAGCAAUUUUUAAUAAUGCUUCUUGUCACUUUUUUUUUUUUUUUUUUUUUUUUUUUCAUUGUAGAUUUUGCAUAAGAUCAAAAUUUCUUAUUCCUAUAUUUUUAUUAAAGUCAUUAUCCACCUUGAUACUAUAAUUUAUAGCCUCUAAUGCUAAAAGCCCAUGUACUAUUAAAUAAUCUUAGACCAAUAUUUUUUUUAUUUCUUGAUAUGCAAUCAAUUCUACAACAUCUUCAACAUCUCUUUACUUUGUUGUCAAUCAUUUUUGUUUUUAUUUUUUUUUUGUCUUUAAGAAAAAAAACUAAUUUAUCUUAUAAUUUUCUAGCAAGAAUUCAAAAAAAUAACUUAACCUUAUUUGGCUCUAAUGUUAACUUUUCCACCUUUGAAAAUCAAGAAUAUUGACUUUAAAACUUUCUAAAUAGCUUUGUAGCUUGUAGAUUCUUGUUAGACUUAAUCUAUUUUUAAAAUAAUUUCUUAUUAACUAAAUUAAUGCCUUUAAAAAAACAAUCAUCUUUAAAUGUAUGAAAAAAUAUCUUCCAUGAAAUCUUGCAAUGUUUUAAAAUUGACCUUCACAUAUUCUCUUAUUUUUGGUAGUGUGGUAAGUUUAAAUAACUCAUUAAUCAUCUUCUUUAAAAUAUAAUUUAAUUAUAUUUUCCACACAUAACAUCUCAAAUACUUUAAAAUAUCUUUUCUAUUAAACUAGUCAAGCAUAUCAACUCCCAAUUGCAAUGCUUUCAAUGCCAAAGCUUACAUGCAAUCAUUCUAUUAAUGUAGUUGCCUAGAUAAUAUAUAUACUUAUGAAAUACUACCAAAGCUACUAUAGCCAUAUAGAUAUCUUGUAUUCCAAUAGAAAAACUACUAGAAGCUCCACUUGAAGAUCCACCCAAAGCUCCUAUAGAAGUUUUAACUUCAACCUCCUUGCCUUCUUUUUCCAUGAGAUUUAAAUAAAAAUUAAAAAAAAUUCAAUACCUUUCACUUUAAACUAUUACAUUGGAUUAACUACUUAUAUUGUGUUGUUUGUUGUCUUAUUUGGGAAUAAAUUGCGUACUUGGUUGUGGAAAGAAAACUUGAAAUUUACUACUAAAUAAGAACUAAUAAUUUUAAAAACUCAUAUGAAUAAUAAGUGGAGAAAGGAUUUUUUGAAAUAUAGGUUCACAAUGUAUCUUAUCUUAUUAUUAGGACGUUCUUUUAGUUAUGAAGGCCUUAAAAAAGAACAUACAAUCAUCAUACAAUAGACCAAAUUUUUAAUACAAUUCUAAAUUUAUGUUGUUUGUAUGUUUUUGAAUAAUUUUGAAAGAGACAAAAUCAUAGGAUGUAAUAUCAUCACAAUAUUUUAUAUAAAGUCAUCUAUUGUAAUAAGCAAAUAAUAUGUACUAAGCAUGUAAGAAGAUAAAGUAAUAAUUAGAUCAAUAUAAUGAUUAUAAUAAAAUGAGAUGUAUAGGAUUGGAUAAUUUGUUCUUAAAAGGAAAUUACAAAAGAAAAAAAAAUGAUGAAACAAUAUGAAAUAAAAUAGAAAUAACAUCUCCUUGUUAUGAAACAACAAAUUGGCAAAAGAUAUUAAAGAUGUUUUGAAUUGGUGUGGAUGGAAAUGGAGCUUUAUGGAUGUUGAGUUUCUUUCAAACUAUGAGCUUAAGAAGUAGUUGUAUCAAGUAUAGAAGAGUUGAAUGACAUGACUCAUGUUGUUAUAGGAUAGAAACUUUCCAUUCAUGAGAUUGUGAAAACGAGUGACCUACAAUAAAAGUAGAAAGGGAACAGAGAUGGGAUGAAGACGGGAGGACAAAAGGGAAGGUGGUAUGUGGAUGCAUGCCGGGCAGGGUGAUCUGCGCAGAACAUUCAGGCCCGUUGUCCCUCCACUGCACGGAGCGGGGAGUGAACGCUGCUCGGUUGCCCGCCUGACGCGGUGCCCCCCUCAUCAUCGCCCGCGAAACCCCACCCUCCGACGAGGUCCCACUGGCGACUCCGUGCUUGGAGUGGGCAGGCCCUCCACACCCCUCCGCAGGCCCGUACCCGGCGCCCCACAUCCUCACCCUCCUUCCCCCGCAGUCGGGUUACAAGCGGACGCUACCCCGCCCAGACAUCUGCAUGACUUCCUCCCUCUCUCUACAUACCUUUCACCACUGCAUGCUCCAAAACGUAUGGCGCUAUCUUCCCUCCUCCACCAACCCCGCUUCCUAUCCCCACGGGUCCCCGCGGACACUGCCCCCUCGCCCACUAUCCCACGCCGCUCUACCCUCUCUUCCCCACGCCCCUGGGACCGUAACCCCGCCGCACCACCGAGCGGAAUCUCAUCUCCUUCGGGACUGCGGCGACAUCACAGCCCCAGCACCCUGCACCACACCCGCGUC